AGAUACUUACGUUGGUCAUAACUCUAAAGCCGCAGACAUGUUAUUUAAUUGUUUUGAACAGCUAGCUGCUAACUUUCACUUCACACUUAGCUUCAUUAAUUAAUUACUCAUACCAAGUUCUUAAGAGCUGCCUAUGUUGCCAAAUUUCAUAGUUCCUUCGUUUUUUUGACCGGAACUAUUAUUACCGUUGCCGGUAUUGGUAUGGCCACCACUAUUAUGGUAAGAAUAAGGAGGAUAUGGAUAACCUGGACCUGGCUGUGAAGGGUGGCCAUAAUAAGGUGGUGGUGGAGGAGGAGCCGGAGGAUAUCCAUGGUUGUUAUGAGGUGGCGGAGGAUGAGCCGGAGGAUACCCGGGAUACCCAUAGUUACCAUUAUGAGACGGUGGCGGAGGAGGAGGAGGAGGAGGAGCAGGAGGAUAUCCAUGAUUUCCAUUAUGAGGUGGCGGAUGAUGAGCCGAAGGAUAUCCGGGAUACCCAUAGUUUCCAUUAUGAGGCGGUGGCGGAGGAGGAGCAGCAUAGCUGUUGGGAUUGCAUUGUGGUGGCGGCGGAGGAUAGGAAUGAUAAGAUUCAUAAGACGAAGGUGGUUGUACUAAACAUUUUGAUGAAGCUUUCUUCUUGAGGUUGGUCUUUUCUUCAGGAUGAGUAUCAGUAACCCAGUUGAAAAGACCGCGAGCAACGCCAUGUAUGGCACCGUCCAGUGGAGCUAAAGGAAAAGUUACAACAUCAGCUACCCUGUGCAGAGUAUCGAACUGUAGUUCGACACUGUCUCUCACCUGAUUUUUAACUCGGACAGCCAUAGCCACACUGUUCUAUAACUAGCUUAAUUACUUAUGCUUUGGUUAUGGUGCACUGAUACACUUAAUAUAUACAAUCUAUUUAUGGAUGUGUGCAGGGAUGAUGAAGAAUAUAUUUUCUGCUUCGUACUAAAGCUACUUUUUCUCUAUAAGAAUUAUUCAUAUUCACCAUAUUAUGUGGAGAAGAGGACUGCGACUAUUUUAUUUUUCAUGGUUUUUCACAGUCUUGGACAGGUAGAUACUUACGUUGGUCAUAACUCUAAAGCCGCAGACAUGUUAUUUAAUUGUUUUGAACAGCUAGCUGCUAACUUUCACUUCACACUUAGCUUCAUUAAUUAAUUACUCAUACCAAGUUCUUAAGAGCUGCCUAUGUUGCCAAAUUUCAUAGUUCCUUCGUUUUUUUGACCGGAACUAUUAUUACCGUUGCCGGUAUUGGUAUGGCCACCACUAUUAUGGUAAGAAUAAGGAGGAUAUGGAUAACCUGGACCUGGCUGUGAAGGGUGGCCAUAAUAAGGUGGUGGUGGAGGAGGAGCCGGAGGAUAUCCAUGGUUGUUAUGAGGUGGCGGAGGAUGAGCCGGAGGAUACCCGGGAUACCCAUAGUUACCAUUAUGAGACGGUGGCGGAGGAGGAGGAGGAGGAGGAGCAGGAGGAUAUCCAUGAUUUCCAUUAUGAGGUGGCGGAUGAUGAGCCGAAGGAUAUCCGGGAUACCCAUAGUUUCCAUUAUGAGGCGGUGGCGGAGGAGGAGCAGCAUAGCUGUUGGGAUUGCAUUGUGGUGGCGGCGGAGGAUAGGAAUGAUAAGAUUCAUAAGACGAAGGUGGUUGUACUAAACAUUUUGAUGAAGCUUUCUUCUUGAGGUUGGUCUUUUCUUCAGGAUGAGUAUCAGUAACCCAGUUGAAAAGACCGCGAGCAACGCCAUGUAUGGCACCGUCCAGUGGAGCUAAAGGAAAAGUUACAACAUCAGCUACCCUGUGCAGAGUAUCGAACUGUAGUUCGACACUGUCUCUCACCUGAUUUUUAACUCGGACAGCCAUAGCCACACUGUUCUAUAACUAGCUUAAUUACUUAUGCUUUGGUUAUGGUGCACUGAUACACUUAAUAUAUACAAUCUAUUUAUGGAUGUGUGCAGGGAUGAUGAAGAAUAUAUUUUCUGCUUCGUACUAAAGCUACUUUUUCUCUAUAAGAAUUAUUCAUAUUCACCAUAUUAUGUGGAGAAGAGGACUGCGACUAUUUUAUUUUUCAUGGUUUUUUCUUUUUAGAGAAAUAAUGGAAUUAAACUUGUUAUCCCACUUGCAGUAUGGGAAUUAUCUAGUAGGGUGCCAAUUACCAUUUUAACGCAGAUGGGGUUGAAUUGAUAUGGAUCUCUUUUCAUAAGAGAGAAACAAAAUUUUAAUAUAACUAUGAAUAUAGUAUAAAUUUUUAUUUUCAUUAUUGAAAAUUUUUAAUAUUUCUAAUUUUCAUAUUAUAUAAAUUAUGCAAAAAUAAUUGUACGAUAUAGUUGCCAAAGAGUGAAUGAACCAAUACAUGAUUAGGGGUAAUGGUAUUCUCAUAUCUUUUUCUUGUUGUUCAGAUUUUUAAAAUUUUUUUACUUAGAUUGGGUAUGCUGAGAGACCUAUAUAUUGGUUUAAUUAAAAUUAAGGUUUUUACAUUUGCUAAGUUUUUCUUAAAUUUAUAAUUAAUAAUAACAAACUAUAAAUUGCUGAUAAAAAAAAAAUAUAGACAUAUUCUAAGGUUCUAAAAAUAUUCAAUUUUUGUGGCACAGUUAUCUAAUGUUUUCUUUGGAUUAAUGAAGUGCUUUAUAUAUAUUGGGGGGACUUGAAUGUGGUUGGAUGAUAGUGUGAGUAUCUCAUUUUCAGCUGCAAGAUAAGACAUGAGACUUGUUUUGAAUCUUUGAUAGCUAGUUUUCAAGGCAUGAUUCUCUGAACGUCGUAAUAUUUGGCAUUAAAACCAAACUCCAUCCAAUUGCAAUCGAGCGACGCACGUACGUAGUGACGCUGAAAUUGUAAUAUUCUCUAUAGAGAAGGCAAUGUUUGCGCAGACUGGCUUGCACAUUAUGGAGCUAGUCUUGCGCCUGGGCUGCAUCGAAUUCAACGGCCUCCUACAGGCAUGUUUCAUUUGAUUCUUCAUGACUUGUGUUUGGAGUCUCGUAUCUUAGAAAUGUUCUGAUGUAAUUUUUGUUCGUUUUGUUAUCUCAUUCUUUUUUCAAAACGAAAAAAUCUUGUACACAACUAUUCUAGUAAAAUAAUUUAUAUGAAAAUAUUUUCCAUAAUUUUUCAUUGUUUGAGGGAAUUCAGGAAAAAAAGUCAACGGAAAAUAUUUUCCAAUUUAAAGGAAAAUUAAAACAUUUUUAAGGAAAAUAAUUUUUCAUUUUUAAGAGCAUAAAUCAUUUUUCAGAGUUUGACAAACUUAUAAUUGUAACGUUUUAUUUUUCUAUUGAAUCGAGUCGUUGCUUAGAGUCGAGUCGGGCUGCUUUAAAACCCGGUUCGAGCCAUUAGAGUCUAGAGUGGGCUAGAAUGAAAUAAGGAGAAGAAGUGGACUUAUUUGAAGGAAAUAAAAGAUCAAAGUAUAAGGAUUAGGAGUUGAUUUCAUUAAAGUAUAAAGUUGAGGUAUUGAGUUGUACCAUUUUGACACUUGAGGUACCAUUUGGUAAUUUUCACAUAAAAAUCAAUGUAAUUCUAGAGACUACCCGUGAGUUCCAUUUCACUUUCAUUUCUUCAUCCUUAUCUUCAUCUUCUUCCUCUACUUUCCUCUUACACUUUCUUUUCUCCAUCAUGUUUAAUGGUGGGGAAGAUGUUAAUGGGAGUUAAGCAUUAAUUCAACUNNNNNNNNNNNNNNNNNNNNNNNNNNNNNNNNNNNNNNNNNNNNNNNNNNNNNNNNNNNNNNNNNNNNNNNNNNNNNNNNNNNNNNNNNNNNNNNNNNNNNNNNNNNNNNNNNNNNNNNNNNNNNNNNNNNNNNNNNNNNNNNNNNNNNNNNNNNNNNNNNNNNNNNNNNNNNNNNNNNNNNNNNNNNNNNNNNNNNNNNNNNNNNNNNNNNNNNNNNNNNNNNNNNNNNNNNNNNNNNNNNNNNNNNNNNNNNNNNNNNNNNNNNNNNNNNNNNNNNNNNNNNNNNNNNNNNNNNNNNNNNNNNNNNNNNNNNNNNNNNNNNNNNNNNNNNNNNNNNNNNNNNNNNNNNNNNNNNNNNNNNNNNNNNNNNNNNNNNNNNNNNNNNNNNNNNNNNNNNNNNNNNNNNNNNNNNNNNNNNNNNNNNNNNNNNUUAGCUUUACAUGGGUUUUUGAAUCACCCAAAUCGGAGUUAUAUAUUGAGAGAUAUGGUCAAAAGAGUACAGACUGUGCAGGCUGAAAAAUGCGCGCGCGCGAAUUGCAUGAAAAGCUCGCGAUCGCGACUUUCAUUUGCGCGCUCGCGACCUUCACCUGAAACUCUCUGACUCUCAUUUGGUGCUUUACGCACUCGCGACUUUGCACUGCGCGCUCGCGACUUGUGCCCGAUAACUCACUGACUCUCAUUUUUNNNNNNNNNNNNNNNNNNNNNNNNNNNNNNNNNNNNNNNNNNNNNNNNNNNNNNNNNNNNNNNNNNNNNNNNNNNNNNNNNNNNNNNNNNNNNNNNNNNNNNNNNNNNNNNNNNNNNNNNNNNNNNNNNNNNNNNNNNNNNNNNNNNNNNNNNNNNNNNNNNNNNNNNNNNNNNNNNNNNNNNNNNNNNNNNNNNNNNNNNNNNNNNNNNNNNNNNNNNNNNNNNNNNNNNNNNNNNNNNNNNNNNNNNNNNNNNNNNNNNNNNNNNNNNNNNNNNNNNNNNNNNNNNNNNNNNNNNNNNNNNNNNNNNNNNNNNNNNNNNNNNNNNNNNNNNNNNNNNNNNNNNNNNNNNNNNNNNNNNNNNNNNNNNNNNNNNNNNNNNNNNNNNNNNNNNNNNNNNNNNNNNNNNNNNNNNNNNNNNNNNNNNNNNNNNNNNNNNNNNNNNNNNNNNNNNNNNNNNNNNNNNNNNNNNNNNNNNNNNNNNNNNNNNNNNNNNNNNNNNNNNNNNNNNNNNNNNNNNNNNNNNNNNNNNNNNNNNNNNNNNNNNNNNNNNNNNNNNNNNNNNNNNNNNNNNNNNNNNNNNNNNNNNNNNNNNNNNNNNNNNNNNNNNNNNNNNNNNNNNNNNNNNNNNNNNNNNNNNNNNNNNNNNNNNNNNNNNNNNNNNNNNNNNNNNNNNNNNNNNNNNNNNNNNNNNNNNNNNNNNNNNNNNNNNNNNNNNNNNNNNNNNNNNNNNNNNNNNNNNNNNNNNNNNNNNNNNNNNNNNNNNNNNNNNNNNNNNNNNNNNNNNNNNNNNNNNNNNNNNNNNNNNNNNNNNNNNNNNNNNNNNNNNNNNNNNNNNNNNNNNNNNNNNNNNNNNNNNNNNNNNNNNNNNNNNNNNNNNNNNNNNNNNNNNNNNNNNNNNNNNNNNNNNNNNNNNNNNNNNNNNNNNNNNNNNNNNNNNNNNNNNNNNNNNNNNNNNNNNNNNNNNNNNNNNNNNNNNNNNNNNNNNNNNNNNNNNNNNNNNNNNNNNNNNNNNNNNNNNNNNNNNNNNNNNNNNNNNNNNNNNNNNNNNNNNNNNNNNNNNNNNNNNNNNNNUAGCAGAUAAGAUCAUGCUAGUAUCAUAAUGUGUGAUUAUAGGUUCAUGGAAAGGAGUUAUGAGAUAAUUAGAACUAAAUUAUUGAUGUUUUGAAUUAGAAAUUUAUUCGUUGCUAUAAAGAGACAUUUAUGUUGAAAUUUACUGAUUCUAUGAGUAUCAAUGCUUUAUAAAAUUUGUAUUUUAAGUUAGUUGCCAUCGCACUUUAUUAAGUAUGUGAAUUAUGAGCACCACUGAGUUUUAUACUCAGCGCGUCGAUUUUUAUCACGUGUAGGUUGAAGAUUGUGGUUAGUACUUGAAGAUUUGAGGAGUACGUUCAAAGCAGAAGUGACUAACUUGGUCAUAGUAGAUUGAGAGUUGUAAUAUUAAGAAUUAUGGCAUGUAUUAAGAUUUAUGGCAUGUAUAAUUAUUACAUUUUUUUUGGAGAUUAUGUUAUUUGAAUUAUAUGUAAUAAUAAAUUAUUUUGGUUUAUAUAUUUGGAGAUAAGCAUAGGAUUUAUUAAAUGAGUGAAUAUGAAAUAUUUUAAGUCAGUUGAUAUGAUUACUUCAUUAAGACUUGAUAUCUAUAAUGAAUGCAAGUAAUUGAUCUAGUUGGUAUGAUUAAGUCAUGAAGACUCGAUAUAGAUCAUGAAUGCACUUAAUUGCUAGAUAUUAAAUGCUGUUGAGGAUUUAUACAAUUAUGAAAAGAUAUAUAAAGUGUUAUUGUGUUAUGAUGAUUCUUUGGAGAUGUUGGAAGUUUAGAGUUUNNNNNNNNNNAGUUUAUAUUCAUAUUUUUCAUACAGUAUGAUAUCCGCAUGACAGGACAUAGGUUCAACCAGAUUGUAGCGUCUCGGCUCGGUUCAUUCGGGUUAACGGGUGGACCGGAAAGGGAUGUUACAAUAAUAACCUUAUAAAUUCAUAUUUUGUUAAUUUAUUAAUUAUCAGUAACCAUUAUCACCACUCACCGUUCACCAUCACGGCCACCAUCCACCAACAACACCUGCCACCAGUGACUUUUAUAAUUUAAUUUUUUUUACAUUCUUCUCAUAUUUAACAAUAAAAUUUUUAAAAUACGAAAUUUAUACUAUUAGUAUUUUUAUUUUCAUCGUCUUAUGAGUUAAAAAUUUUAAUAUUUUUAACUAAUUUUUAAAUUGCAACCAAAAAUGGAAAAUAAGUCAUUUGAAAAAUAUUUUCAAGGAAAAUAUUUUCCUUGUAAAAUAUUUUACAAAUGAACCAAUUAAUUGCCCUUGCAUAAUAUUAUAAUAUUACUUAUACGAAACAAUAAUUAAUUUUUUUAAAAAAAAAGAGGAUAUUAGAACAAUAACUAAUUUAUUUAUCAAUAAAGAGAGGUUUAAAACCUCAAAUACAACUAAGAUUACACCAGCAGAAUUAUUCAUACAUAUAUAAUUAUAUAGAUAGAAAGGUCAUUCGGUUACUGCUGGAUCCAUAUAGAGCUUGCAAGCAAACCAUGCAACAAGUUCUUCUUAGGAGCUACCAAUGUUUCCAAAUUUGACAGCUCCAUUGUUUGUUUGCCCAGAACUAUUAUUAUCAUUGCCGGUAUUAGUGUGGCCACCAGUGUUAUAAUAGGAAUAAGGAGGGUAUGGAUAACCAGGACCUGGCUGUGAAGGGUUGGUAUAAUAAGGUGGUGGCGGCGGAGGAGGAGACGGAGCAGGAGGAUAAGCAUAACUAGCAGGAGGAGGAGGAGGAGCAAAACAGCUUUGUGGUUGUGGUGGUAGACAAGUCUCGUUACAGGGUUUAGGUUUUUCCUCAGGAUGGGUAUCGGUGAGCCAGUUUAGAGCACCUCGAGCUAUGCCAUGUAUGGCUCCAUCAAGUGGGGCUAAAGGAAAGGUUAUAAUAUCAGCAGCUCUGUGUAGCCUAUCGAUCUUUCGCUCAAAAUGGUCUCGCACUCGAUCUUUAACUCGUUCUGCCAUAGCUAGCUAGUUGCUUUCUACUAGUCGUCUUUUCUUGUAUAUUUGGGAACAACAAAAUCCUCAUUAUAUAGAAGUUGCAGGAGAAUAUAUGAGGAAUAUUUAAUCGUUAGGUUUAAUUUCCUUUAGACAAAGCUACUUCAUUAGGAAUUUCAAAAUUAUCAUAUUCAUCAUUAUCUUUACUGGUGCAUUUUUUAUGGUAUACAAUAAUUUUAAUAUUUGUUUCAUUUUCUGCAAAGCUAAUGAGGCAUAGGCACAUGCAGGGAAUACUUUUGUGAUACACGUUUUAUAAAUAUAUUCGUUUUCAACUAAUCAAAUGUGAUUUAAUUGGUCUUCUUUAUUAAUGUGAUGAUUCGAAUAGCUCUUUUUUUAACUUACUAAAUUGAUGAAAAUUCUUAUAGUCGAAAGAAUUCAAACUAGAGUUCUUCUACUUCUUGCAUUUUUGAGAAGACCAACUAGACCACAACUGAUUGAUUGUAAGUUUGAUAUUUUAGAUUAACUUAAUUAAAUGAAAAUCUGAAAGCAUAUGAAAAUUAAUCACGGAAUACAAAGGUCUGAUUAGAUUGCUACAAGAUGUCACCUAUAUUAUGUAAUCAUCUUAUGUCACUUUUGUCAAUGGAUAUUUAUGUAAUCAGUUGUAUUGAAAUGGCCGUAUUAUGUCAUUUUCAAGAAACUAAAGUGAAAUGAGAUGAUUCUAUAAUAAAGGGGUGAAAUAAUUUAUAGUCAGGAAAGAAAAGACUGUCUAUGACUUUUCGUUUUUCAUCGGUUUAUAUGAAUUUGAGAAUUCCUUACAUAUAUUUAUUGGUGGGUAGAAAUAGAUAAAUGAAAAAUAUUCUUGGCUAUGAAAUUUCCUUACACGGUCCGAAAUAAUCAAUUAGGAUAAAAAUGUGGGUCCUACUGGUAGUAUUUAUGCUUGUUUUGUUUGUGGUACAGUGUAGACUCAGUGACGAAUUAGAUUAAAUGGAAUCGAAGAAAGAAAUUUUGUACAAUUUUGAAAAAUUAAAAAGAAACUGAAAAUUAGGAAAUAUCUCUCUUCCUCCAAAAGAGGGGGGAUGGGCGAUUUAUGUUAAUUUAGUUUGAUUUGAUAGAAUAUUGAGUGAUCUAAUAAAAAUUUUGUGAAUUUAUUAAAUUUUUUUAUUUAAUUGAAAAAAAUAAAACACAAUAUGGAAUUAAUAGAUUUAUUUUUUUUUAAAGAAACGGAAAUAUAUUAAUCCAUAUAAAGAGAAUACAAAUAAUUUGGAAUAGAUUCUCAAAUUGGGAGACUAAUAUGGUUACACGAAGAUUUUGCUAAUUGAUGAGCUCCAAGAUUCAUUUGGAGUCGAAUCCAUUGAACAGAGAACUUAAAAACUAUUUUACAAUUAUUUAUCACCAAACCAUAAGGAGAGCAAUCUGGUGUUGGAGAUGAUAAAAAUAGAUAACUUGCUGUGAAUCGGUAUAUACAGAGCCUGUUCCAUGUAAAUUACCUCCAAUCCAAAGCAAAUUCUGACGAAGAGCCAUAGCCUCGACUAAAAUAGCAGAACUGCAGCCUGGGAAUUUGCCUGUUAAGGCAAUCUUGAAAUGACCUUCUAUCUCUUCUCAACCGAACCAAAAUCCAACCCUCUAUAUCUUCUCAACCGAACCAAAACCUGAUGCACCCAUUGCUGAAAACAAAGCUCCAUUUGUGAAAACUUGCCGCUGCAGGACUGUCAUGGUUGGUUGGAUAUAUCCAGGAACAGUAUGACGCCUGCUAAGAGUUGAAGACAGACUUGCACGAAGACUAGAUGUUUGGUUUUUUUUUUUUUUUUGAAAAGAAGACUAGAUGUUUGUUGUGAUGAUCCCAAAUAAUCUUGUUACGGUGCCACUAGGGCUGCACGUGGGUCGGGUUGGGUCGGAUUGAUUAAUUUAAAGUUUUUGACCUGUAUAUGUGGGUCUAUAAUUUUUUUAUCCAAUCCAAUCCAUUAAAUGUGUAGACCCACAGAUUAUAAACCGGUUAGGUUGGUUAUAGAUUUAAUGUAAAUCCGCGGUCAAAUAACUGAUAAUAAUAAAAUUAUUUUUAAAUAAAAUAUAACUCUUUAAGAGGGUUAGUAAAAAAAUUAAAUAUACUCAACGAUCUUAAUUAUGUAAUAAUUUUUACAAACUAUAAAUAUAUUUCAAUGACAAUAUUAAAAUUAAAUUUCUUAACAUGUUCAUUAUUAUCGGCAUCAUAAUCAUAAUCAACAAUGAAAAAUUAAAUUUUCCAAUUAAAAAAACGACCAAAAAAUUAGAAAUACUUAGUAACAUAAUUAUAUAAUAUGUUUCAUUUAAACUACAAUAUACUCCAAAAGCAAAGGUAAUAUCUACUAUAUGUAAAUAAUUUAGUAUUUAUAUUCAAAAUUGCAAAUCAAAUCAAAUCAACUAAAUAAUUCAUAAUUAUUUAUGGGUUGGGACGGAUCUACAAAUUUAUCUAUUGAACCUGUGAUCCAACCCAACCCGUAAAUUAUAAAGAUGACUCGCCCAACCCAAUUCAUCAUAUCUUCAAACCCGCCGAGUUGGACAGUUUGGAUUGGAUCGAAUUAUAACGAGUUAUGUGCAGCCCUAGAUACCACCACAGAUACCGUGAAAUAAUAGAUUUAUCAAAAGCCUUAAAUUACAAUUUUAGAAAAGAAAAAUCGCAAGCUAUUUCAUCUUUUUUUUUUUCCAAACAAAACAUAUCAUUUUUUUUAAUUAUAAAAUUUAAACCACUUAAUUUUUUUAUAUAUACUUGCCUUGGAGGUAAAGGGUUUGGCGCAAUUGAAAUUUUGGCCCAAGUGAAGUUUACAUUGUAGAGGAUCAAACUCAUGACCUUAGUCAAAGUGAUUGACUCUACAAGUGCUAUUUGCCACUGAGCUAUCCAUUCGAAUUAAACCGCUUAAUUUUUUUUAAAUCUAUAUUAACAAUGGUGAUAAUAAAUAAUAAUAUUUUUUAUUUUUGAUACUCAAUAAGAGGAUACAAUUAAGAGGAAAAGAGACAAAUAAGGAGCAACAAACCCAGCAAAAUAAGAAAGACCAAAGAGACGAUAUCAAUAUUAUAUGAUGCCAUUAAGAAAGAGGUUCAGAGUCCUCAUAUUACAUCAUCAAGUUAAUAUUAUUUGGAAUUGCAACAGAUUUUAGUUAUUAUUUAUAGCCCUAGGUCUUGGAGCUAGUACUCCUGAUCAAUACCCCCUUCUUCACAGGUUGAAUAUCGGAGCUUAAGAGCUGCCAAUGUUGCCAAAUUUGACAGUUCCAGGACCGUUUGUUUGGUUGGAACUGUUAUUGUUAUUGCCAGUAUCUUUGUGACUGCCGGUGUUGGAGUAGGAAUAAGGAGAGGGAGAGCCAUAACCAGGAUAGUAAUAAGGCUGUUGGGGAGGAGGGUAAUAAUAACUUCCAUAGUAAUAAGAUCCAUACGUCGGAGCUGGGGCUGGAGCUGGAGCAGGAGCAGGAGCAGAAGGAGGUGGAGCAUAGUAGGGUUGAUUUGAAUAUUGCGUUUGAGGAGGAUACCCAUAAUUUCCAUAAGGUUGUUGAUAAUCUUGCGCACUUGCCAUUUUCGUUUUUCCCCCUUGUUUUGAUAUGUAGGAGAUGUAAUGAGAAAAUACUAACCAGUAUCUCCUCCUUAAAUGGAUGUAGGAAGAGGAAUAUAUUAUUUGCUUUAAAUCAAAGCUAUAUAUUUUUUUAGGAAUUUUGAUAUUAAUAAUUGUCACUCUCAUGGAGAAGAAGUCAUGGUGACUUGUCCUUUUAGAAAUUUUUAGAUUCAUUUUUAGUUAAAUCAAAUAAGAAAUAACUAAAUAAGGAACUCUUCGACUUUCAAACCUUAUUUUGAGGAUAAAGGAAAUACAAUUACAUGAAAUGGGUAAAAUUCAAAAAACAAGAAAACAUAUCCUUUAAAAAAAAAAGAAGAAAAAAACAAACAUUACCAAAAAAAAACCCUUUGUUUACCAUAAUCUUAUAAAAAAAGAUAAUUUGAAAAAACAAAAUUUGGCAUUGGAUUGAUAUAGAAAUUCUAUGUUUCCAUAAAAAUUCAAUUAUUGAAUACAUGAAUCUCAUAGUGAUAAGCACUUUCUUAUAUAGAUAGGAAUAUUUUUUCAUAUUAAGGGUUUGUUCGGCAAAAUUAACUGUUUUGAUAGUUGUUAAUCAUUAUAUGAUUUAAUUUUUAUAAAAUAGUACCUUAACCUCUAAGAACUGGUUUAAAAGUUAUGUUACGUAAUACUAUAAAAAAGCAUUCAAUGUUUUGACCAAUCAAAACACAACUUAAAAAAAUUAUUGGGGAAACAAAGCCUUAUUAAGAAAAAGAAGAAAUUUUUAAAAAGUUGAAGGGGAAUAUUUCACAAGUCCUUCAAUGUGGCGAAUAACACAAAUAUAAAAAUAGAUGCUCUAAAUUAAUAAUUACUCUAUUAUAAUGUUCAUGUGAUGACUUGAUUUUCCAUUUCCAAUUUUGAUCCCAAUCUCAUUAUUGCAAUCUUAAUUCCAUGAGUCUACAGUUCCAAAUAUUGUUCAAUUGCAUACAUAUUGGAUAAGGCAAAAGUUGCAUUCAUAUAUUCUUUGUUCUUCUCUUGGUAUUAUCCAUCAUUCUAAUAUUGUACUUUUCAGAAAGUAAUACCAUUUCAAUUGAAUCUUUUCCUUUUUUAGGUAUUUUUGUUUGGAAAAUUGAAGUAUAUAUGAUCUUCACAGCACAGAGCAUUCGACAAUAAGAAUCCAUAUUCCAGAUGCCAAUAUAUGUGUAUGUACAAUAUAUAUGGAUGCUUUGAAGGUGGAAGAAGAAUAUAAUAAAGCCUUAAUGCUUUUGACUGGUAAGAUGAUGCCCAGAGCGUGCUUCACGGAUCCUAUGUAUAGUAUACAAAAAUUAUCAUUAUCGUAAGGAUUGAGUUGUUGAUUACUAGAUUAUUAUUAUUGCGAAUUUGUGAUUAUCUAACAUUCCAUAAUUUCUUAAACAGAUAAUAAAUAAAUAAACUGUAAAUAUAACAAUUAAUUUGAAUUUAUCUAUGGUUUGUUUUUUCUUUAUUCGAAAAUUCUAUUUCGUUCAAUUGGAUAAAAAUGAUUUGAAAUUUAAAAAAAAAAAAGGAUUUUGCUUGUUUAUUUUAUAUUUUUUCUGUUUGAAUAAAAUUAAACAUAAAAAAAUAUAAUUAUAUAUUGAAAUAUUUAAUUAAAUAUUUCAAUUUAAACAGAAAAUUUUAACAUUAACAUAACAUAUUAUAUAUUAAUAUGCCACUUAUGUCAUUUUUUUCAAUCUGCCUUGUAUGUAAAGGCCACAUGCAAGCAAUCAAUUCCAUUUAUUUCUUUAUCUCCCGGUGAAUUGUAUAUUCGUAACAAUAAGGAUAAAAUUUUUUCAAUUCCAAUCGAUUAGGCAUACUGUUUUAUUCGUUUGAGUAAUAUAUUUUGAAAUGUAUUUUGCUUUCUUAUUAACAUUAUUUUGAACACAAAAAUAAUUCUUGAAUGAAGUAUUCAACUUCAGGGAUGAAUCAAAAAAUAAAUCUUUAUUUAUUCUACCUCUCAUUUUUUACGAAGAGAAUGAACCUUCUUAUCAAAGGAUCAGAAAAAAAAAAUGGGUCUACAUCUACGAGAAUGAUUUGGAAGAUCGAAAAUAAAAAAUAAUAGUAUUUACUAGCAGCAACAUAAUGGAGGAAGUUCUAAGAAACUUUCAAUUUUCUAAUCACAUAAGUUUAGCUUAUACUAUCAUAUAAAUCUAAUAUCAAUAUAUCCACAAACCCAACAUAAUAAUAUUUUAUCAUUUUUUUUCUUCUUAUUAAUAGUCAGAAAUAUCAUUAUUUGAAUGUUUUUUAAUUAGUUUAAUGUGAAUCAGUCGAAACAAGAACGUAGAUAAGUCUUUUCUUCAUGAAAAUAUAUAAUGGAGGAAAGAAAAGAUACGUUAGAUGCAAAAAAGAAAAUUGAUAGAGAACGAUAUCACCUUAGAGUCUGGGGCACAACCCUAUCAGUUUUUUAAAAUUCAAAUUUUCCCUAUUAAAUUUUAUAUAUUUUUUAAAAAAUAUCCAUAUAAGCCACCAAUUUUAGUUUCAUUUCUUUUUGUUUUUGGACCUCUCAAUACUUAAAGUCUAGUUACACUCAUGAAAAUCAGUAUUCAUUUUCUGCAUUUCAGAUUCCAUUAAUCCUUUCAAACAACACAUUAAAGUAUUGAAGUUAUUCUGAAAAAUUAAUGGAAAAAAUAAAAACUGGGAAAGAAAUGGAUGACGUAAAUGCUUGAAUGCAGGUCUAGCCAUUUGGAUCGAGUUCAUCGAGUUAUGAAUACUUCUAUUUAACGAGAGGAUGGGAAAGUUUGAUAAAACAACCAAUUAUAAAAAUUAUGAAAAUAUUAAUUAAUUACAUUAUAUAACAUUUUUUUCUGAAAAAAGAAAAAAAAAAUGAAGAAUAAUAACUAAUUUAUUUAUCUUAAAGAGAAGUUUAAAACCUCCAAUAUAUUACAGCAACCAUCUUUUUUCUUGGACACGUACGUUAAUUAAGAUUACACAAGCAUAUAUAGUUAAUUUUCUAGUACCCUGACAGAGCUUAUUACAUGCAAACCAUGCGACGAGUUCUUCUUAGGAGCUACCAAAAUUAGCAACUUUGAUAGCUCCAUCAUUUGAUUGCCCAGAACUAUUAUUACCACUGCCAGUAUUAGUAUGGCCACCGCUGUUAUGAUUGGGAUGCGGUGGCUGUGAAGGAGGAGUCUGAGGAGGAGGAGGAUCAUAAUGAUGAUGAUGGUGAUGAACAAAGUUGUAUUGUGGUGGCCACGUUGGAGCAUAGCUGUAAUGUAUUGGUGGUGGUGGCGGCGGCGGCGGUGAUAUAGAUUUGAUUGUAUAAGUGUUGCUAAAGGGUUUUGGAAUUUCUUCAAGAUGAGUAUCAGUACCCCAGUUGAGAAGACCACCGCUGCGAGAUACGCGGUGUAUGGCUACGCUAUGUACAACUCCGCCAUGUACGGCUCUGUCGAGUUGGGCAAAAGGAAAGGUCAUAUUAUCAGUAGCUCUGUGAAGCCUAUCGAGCCGUUCGAAAUGGUCUCGCAUUAGAUCUGCAAUUCGUUCAUCCAUAGCUAGUUGCUGCUGCUAAUCUUAAUUAUCAGUUAUUGACAAUCUUAAUUUGAAGUCUUAUUAUAUAUACAGAGGUUGCAACUUGCAAGAGAAUAAAGGAUAAGAACUGUCUACUGUAUACGAAACAAUGAAAAACCAACGAAAAGAGAUAUUUCGUUUGAAUAAAAAUAUUUUUCAUUAACCUACUUAUAAAACCGGUUCUAGGCAAGUUGUUCUUGAAAAAAUACGAGGAACUUUUUUAAUUUUUUUACAAAUUUCUAUACUUUUUUUUAUUCAUAAAAGAAAAGAUCGAAUGAAUCCGAAUAAUAUUGCGGUCUACAUAGCAGAAGUAAUCUUCACUCUUGAAUAACGAUCACUAAAUUGAUAAUAAUUUUUAUGGUGGAGAGAUUUAAUCUCGAGACAUUACACUUUUCACAUUUUUCUUUAUAAAUGUGAUAUUAAUCUCAUUUCGAGGUUUGUAAUUGUGCUGCUCAUAAAUUGUUUUAUCUAAGUAUAUGAUGAAUAUUUGAUUAUUCCAUCCAUCCUAAAAAGAUGGUCCAUCUUUUCUUGUUGGUUUGUUCCAAAAUAUAGUUCAAUUUUCUUUUUUGCAUUGUAGUUAAUCCUUGAAUUGUUUACUAUACCCUUAUUAAGUUACUUUAUUUUCAAUAACUCUUAUUAAUUAUUAAUUAUUAUUUUAAUACUCGUGUUAUUUAAGAUGGACAUAAUAGAAAAGUUAUAUAAAUAAAAUUAUGCUUUUAAUUAUAUCUGUUAAUCCGUAUAAAAAUAGAAAAUGGAUUAUUUUUUCGGGACAGAGGUAGUAUUAAUUUAAAUUGCGUUGGACCAAUGCUAGGAAUUCCAAAAUUGUGAUAUUUAUCUUCAGGUGCAUAUUUUAUUGUAGAUAACUCCACAAUAUUAUGACAUCUGUUUUAUUUUUCCUUUUUUUCUUAUUUUUUUUAUACGAAAGGUGAGGCACACACAAGCAUAAAUGCUUUUUGUGAUACACGAUUUGUAAAGAAAUAAUCCCAAGCUUUCAUCACUACAAGAUGUCACCUAUGUUACAUUAUGUAAUUGUCAUCAUCAACAAGGAAGUUAGAAUUUUAAAUUAAGAGAAAAAAUAAAUAAAUGAUAUUUUAUAUAAAAAUUUUUUUAUAAGAAUUAAUUAUUUGAAUUUUGUUAAUUAUAAACUCAAAAUAAUUAUAGAUAGUCAUUUAAUUAACAUUGUUUAUAUAUCACAUUUAAAGAUAUUAAAUAUCUUAUAAUAUGACAGUAUAAAGAUUAAGGCCUAAUGACUUAAAAAAUCUGAACUUUGGCCUUUUUAAUAAUUUUGAUUAAUUUUUUUUAAUUGCUAUAAUUGAUACCGCGAAGUAAUUUUUUCUUAACAAUUGUGGCAUCCGUCCAUCAACCGUUACUACUAUGCUGAUGUGUCCGUUGGUAGGACCCUUGCCAUGACAUGUCACUUGCUGACUGUAAAUUUGCAAGGUAUAAUUGUCAAAAAAAUUGACCAAAAUUAUUAAAAACGCCAAGUUCAGGGAUUUCUUUAGUCAUUAGACCAAAGGUUGUUAGUUUACCAAUUUUAGUCAAGAUUAUUACAUGCAUAUCAAGGUAUAGUCUAGUAGUAAGUGUAAAUACAACUUGUCAAUAAAUCCAAGUUUUUUUAUUAAAAUUAAUUUGUAAUAUUUAUAUAAUUUAUUUGUCAAUAAAUAAUUUUAUAACUUGUAAUAUUCAAAUUUAAUUUAAUAAAUUUAGUUAAAUAUUUUAUAAAUUUAAUUAUAAUAUUUUUUAUUUUAAAUGAUAUAUUAUAAUAAUUAAUGACAAACAAUGAAUAUCAUGCUAAAAAAGUUAUUUCAUUUUAAUAAAAAUUAAUUGAAAAUAAUAAUUAUGACACAAAAUAAAGGGAGAAAAAAAUUUGAAAAGGAGAUAUAACUUAAAAAUUGGAAAGGUGCUAAACUUUACAAUUAAAAUAUAAUAAGAUUGAUAAAAAUUUACAAUUAUAGAUAAAUUUCUCAAAAAAAGAUUAGUGUAAAAGUAUCUGAUGUUAUCCUUUUAAAGAAAAGGACAAAUUUGAGUAAAGGGAUAAUAUUGUUGAAGAAGUUCCUACAAAUAACAUUAUCGCUUUUGAAAUUAAAGCGGAUUUACAAUUGAUUAAUUAUAUAACAUUUAGUUUUCCCCUCUCUCACUAUAUUGAUAAUUUCACUCGAUUUUUAUAUCUCCUUUAAUAUUUAAUCAUUAUAAUAUGAGCAUUGAUAAUUUCGAAUGACUAAAAAAACUAUCACUUCUUUUUUGAAAUUGACUAAAAAAACCCUGUCUUUGAUCUUUUUAUAAUUUUGACCAAUUUUUUUAACAAUUAUACCUUGAAAAUUUAUAAUCAGUAAACGACAAUGUCACGUUAAGGGUUCCACUAACGGCUACACCAGCAUAGUAUUAACGGUUAAUGGACGGAAGCUACAAUUGUUAAGAAAAAAUUAUUUCGCGGUAUCAAUUAUAGCAAUAAAAAGAAUUUGCCAAUAUUAUUAAAAAUGCCAAAAUUCAGAUUUUUUUUUUAGUCAUUAAGCUGAAGAUUAAAAUAAAAAAUUAUUUCAAGAAUUAGAAGGUAAUUUUUUAAUGAAUAAUUUUAAUAAAAAAUUAAAUUGAAAAUUUUAAGAAAAUUGUAUAAUUUAAACUAUUUAGCCAUUCUUAAAUCAGAGAUUAAACAAAUACUUAAGGGUUACCCAAGGAAACUUGCCGUUCAAAAUUAGUCGCUCACGCAAUUACUAAAAAGACUAAUUCUUUGUCUACAUUUGAACGGGAUUAUGUGCUCCUUUAAUUUUGUAUGGGUCUUUGUUUUAUGAUCUUAAUAAUAUGAGCUGAGCUCACUAUUUCAUUAAAAAAAAAAUUGCUCAAGGAAAAAAUCAUCUAAAAGAUUUAAAUAUAUUUAAAUGUUUGAAAUUUAAAAAUUUAAAGAAUCAAAAUAAUAAUAAAAAUUUUGAUCAAUCAUAUAAAAAUUAUAAAAUUAAUAUGCUAAUUAUUAAACUCUCUAGUCUUACAAAUGGGGGAAAAAAGGAAAUAAAGAAAAUCAAUGUACAAAAUAGAAUUUAUAACAAUUAGUAAAAGACAUAAAUUUUUAAGAUCUAAAUCUCACAAUUAAAUUUGCUAUUUUAUUUCUAUUUUUCAGCCUUGCGUGCCUCUUGCUAUAAGAUUUGCAUUAAACCUCACAAAAAAUUUAAUUGUUAUUUACAAUUUUUGGUACACCAACCAAAAACUAAAGAGAUCAAAUUUAUUUUACAUCGAAAAAGAAUGGACAAAAUUUUUUUUUUUUUUUCCUAUAAUCUUUCUCUCUUUGAUGUUUAUAUUAACUUUAUUUGCUGAUUUUCUUUAUACUUCAAAAUUUAAAUGAGUUAGACAUUCAUAUCUCAUUUAGAUUCAAACUCGAGAUCUUUUGGUAGAAAUCUCCGUAAUAUUCUAUUGAGAAUUUUUGUUAAAAUUUUACUAAUUAAAAUUUAUGUAUUCAAACCUAAUUUCAUCCUAACCAUUGAACUUAAAAAUAGAUGUAUAUGAUUUAACAGCUACCAAUGUUGGCAAAUUUGACAGUUCCAGGAGCGUUUUUUUGGCCGGAAUUAUUAUAGUUAUUGCCAGUAUUUUUGUGGCUGGCGGUGUUGUAAUAGGCAAAAGGACAGCCAUAAUCCGGAUAGUAAUAAGACCGUGGAGGAGGAGGAGGAGGAGGAUAGUAAUUUCCAUAUAUUGGAACAGAAGAGGAAGCAGCAGCAGGAUGGGGAGGAGGAUGGUAGUUUUGAUUUGAGUGGGUACGAGGAGGAUGCCCAUAAUUUCCACAAGGAGGAGCAGCUUCUUCUUGUUCUCGUUUGCGUUGGGAACUUGUCAUACAGCCCAUGUUUGUUUUGCUAUGAAGAAGUUGUAAUGAGAAACUGCUAACCAGUAUCUCCUUAUAUGGAUGUAAAAAGAAAGGAAUAUAUUAUCUGCUUUAAAACAAAGCUACUAUUUUUCUCUCUGUUUGAAAUUUUCCAACUCACCUUUUUUUUCAAUCUUUUAACUCACCAAAUUAUUAAUUAUUAAAAUUCGAGACUUUCCACUUCCACUUCCACACCAGUGAAAACACCAACCAUAUUAUUAACUCAUCUUUGAUUAAACCAAAUAAGUUAAAAAUUUACCCAUGAAAAUUUUAAAUGAAUUUAUAUUUAUAUAUUUCUCUUGGUAAAAAAGCAAAAAAGAAAAAGAAAAAGAAAAAGAAAGAAAGAAACAUCGAGUGCAGAAUAGAAAAUCAGUAUUCAUUCUUUUUCUGCAUUUCAGAUUCCAUUUUUCCUUUCAUACAUGAAAAGAACAAACCAAGAGAAAGGACUUCAUUGUUACAAGUGAAAUGAAAUCUGAAGUUACAAUUCCAUGUCCUGGGGCAGAUUUUCUACACUCAUAUCCUCUAAGAAAAGUUACUGGUUUGGCAAUAUUAUGUCUACUAAUCAUUCUACCAUUACAUCUUCUGGAGCUUCAGCGACCGGCUUAGAUUUCCCUUUUUUCUUACCUGUGUAUGGAUAGACAUGCUAGCAUCAGUAGAGGCAUAAGGAAAAGAAAAAGACAAGUGCAAAAUUGAAAAUGACUUGGUAGGAUGCAGCCUGACACAAAAAUGGAAAAUUUACCAUUACUCUUCAACUGUUUGAGUUUCAAACCCUUCUUCACGUUAAAUCUGGCUGGUGUUUUGUUGGCAUUCUCGGAUAUACCUUCACCUAAUAAAUUAAGUUGCACAAGCGUUUCAUCAAGAUGCUAGCAACAGAGGUAGACCAUAGAUUCAACCGAAAGCCAUUAGAUUGUGGUGAUUGCUUAACAGUUUUUUUACACCGCAAACUUGAUUCAUAGCAUACAACCCAACUCCAGUCUCAAGAAUUUGUUAUUAAAGCACAAGGGAGCUCCACAAAGCAUGAAAAUACUAUACAACCAAAAUUGAAGAGCAUAAAUUUUUCAACCCAUGAUAUGCAUACUCUCUACCCAAAAGAACUGUAUUUAGCUGUUCAUUUUGACUUGUAUGAGUAUGAAAAACCUCUCUACUCCAAAAGCACACAAUUCUCCACCUCCCCCACAAAUAGAUUUAAAAUAUGAAAACAAAAGCAUAAUGUUACUUCCUGCACCAACAAGCACAAUUUUUGCUCCAAUUUUCCACCAUAGCCUAAAUUUAGAAGAGGAAACCAAACUAAACCACCUUUGGUACUAAACCUCUAAAACAAGAAAAUGCAUUGCUCUCAAAAGGAAAAAAUGAGCCAGCAGCUCAAUAUACUGGUUAUCAAACAAUUCAAACUGUAGGAAAUCCGAACCUUAAAAUAUGCCUAUUAUUAAAUAUCCACACUUAAUAUGGUAUACUAAAGGCAACAGCAAAGGAAUACCCUCUCUACUAUCACAUACCAAUAUCAAGCAAACUAAUCUGCAAUUAUAAUUAGAACAUUUACUAGAAGUACACUCUCUAAUCUAGUCCUUCUUCAUAGAAAUUAUUAAAUUCAUUAACCAGAUUGAAAUUGCAUCAAAAGAAUAGAAAAACCUUCAGCAGCAGCCAUCUCCACAUCUUCCAUGGUGACCAGACCUUUCUCUAUAGCCUCCUUCUGAUCCUGUACAAAAUUAGCCACGAAUAAAUCAUUAAACGGCGCUCUGUAUUUUUAUUAUCUCCAUAGCUAGCAUAGAGACGAAACUUGUUAAAUUGGGUAUUUACAGAUGAGAUGUGAAGAGGGACAUACUCUACGCCAUUUCUUCAAUAGCUUGCGCUUGCGCUUUCCAGAGAGAGAGAGGGGCUGAGGUUUGUUCUUGAGCUUCCCUGUAACUGGGUCUCCGUGUAUUGCUCUCUUUCUAUAUGCUACUUGUUCUCUUCUCCUUUUUUGCACCACAUUGAAUUUCGCCAUCUCUAUCCUUCUUUCUCUCUACCUAAACCCUAAUUCUUGCAAUUGUCUUUAUACAUUUCCAGAUUACAACUUUGGGCUUGCAUUUGUGGGCCUCGUCUGGGAAGGACCCAUUAUUCACUUGCCUUUUAAUGGACUGGUUUUUUAGCAAUAACAAUUGGGCUUGUUUAGCAUAUCAUACAUAAACUAUUUUAGUAGUUCGCAGCUCUUUUAUUAAUUUUUCAUAAAACUCUAAAAGUUAAACGUGCUUUUAAAAAUUAAUUCAAAUAUUAUAUUACCGGACAUAUAAAAAUAACGCUUAGUAUUAGCUAUUUAAAAAGAUGUUACCGAACACGAUCACGAGAAAGUAAUUAAAAAUGUAGGUUUAAUAUAAUAAUAGGACUUGCAAAAUUGCAAAAUGAAAUUGUUGCCAAGCUGCAAAUGGCGAAAAGAAAAGACGGUUAGACAAAAACAUUGAAAUUAUUGCAACCAACUUAUUAGUAGAAUUAAGAAAAUAAAAAAACAUUUAAUCCUACAUCUUACAAGAUGAGAUAAGCUAAAUAAACAACAGAAACAUAAAUUUGAAAAUAUAUACAUAAGAGUAAAUAGGCAAAAAUAAAGAUCAUAUCAAAUGCUUUUUUGUUGCACAGCCUACAGUACAAUUAGUAUGCUUCUUCUGCCUGAGGAUCUAUAUGCAAUGCGAUGGUCGGAACAGAACGACUCGGGUUUCAUCUCUAUUUACUCUUCCUGUAAUGUUGUCUAUAACUAACUACAAGCAUUUGGCCUCAAUUUCCUCGAGAGUGAGUCCCUUUGUCUCCGGCACAAUGAAGAAUAUGAAAAGAAGAGACAGAAUUCCGAUUACUCCAAAUGCAUAGAAUAAUAUUCCAGCGCCCAACCAUGCCUGCAGCCAAAUCGAAAAAUUCCGUUUCUAGUAUCAGUAUUCAUAGAAAUUUGAUAUAGAAAAUUCAUUUCAAUGAACUAAUGUGAUUUUCAUGAUGAAUAAAACUGCAAUAAAAGAAACAGAAAUAUCAAUAUUCUUCUUCCAAAUGAUUAGAAGCAGAGAGGAAAUGAAGAAACUCAAACAUUAAGCAACUCCAUUUGCAGAAAAUAUGACAGGAAGAGUAGACAAAUAAGAGCAUCAUGACAGAACUGUCCGAUAUGCUCGACUACGUAAUUCUUGAGUUCCUUGAAAAAGAAAAAACAGUACUUCAAUGAUCAAGAACCCGUAAAACAGAAAACCUUGUAUUAGUUUUUCUUUUUAUUUCAGUAAACACCAACAGUUUCACUCAUUAUAAACCUUUUCCAAACUGCAGAAGCUUUAAUGGGCUGAAACAAGACAAGAUUCAGGAGAGCAGGCAAUAUACAUUGAACCUGCACCCUAAACUUCAAACAUAAGUUGGAUACAAAGACUCAUGGUUCAGAAGAAAGUUCAAACAAAUAAGCCUUCAAACAAUUUGAAAACUGAAGAUGCGCCAAAUCCUCAGAAACCCCUAUUCAAAACAAAUAUACUCUGUUUAUCAUCAACUCAAACUUGCAGAAAUUGAAAUCCAUUUAUCAUCAACUCAUGCUUGCAGAGUUCUGUCCUAGCUAAUUUAAGUAAAAUAUGAAACCUUCACCAGUCCUAUUUAGUUAGCUAAUGAAAACCAUUAACUGGCCAAACCAGCUAAAUCUUUUAGAUACUUGGUCAUAAUCACAUUCUUAAUGGCAAUGCCAAUAACCAAACUAAAAAAUAUCUGACAAAUGGUUGCCAUGUUAUAGUCCAGAACAAGCAUGAAAACUAUAACUCCUACCUUCCCAAAUGGCUAGUACUUCCAGUAAUUCAAGCAUUUUUUUUAAGCAUGCAUCCUCAAUAUUAUCCUUAUUUAAGGAUCACAUUUAUUCCUACCAUGGAAUGUGGUAGAAUUUCUAAUUAAAGCUAGGACUGUCAUGACUUAACGAUAAUGAAAUUCAAGCAUUCGAAUAACUUAAAGAAAGUGAGAGAGUGGUAGUUUUUGUCUAUUAUUUUCAUUACUGUCUUACUGAGGAUGACAUGUAUAUAAGCAUGAAUUUACUGGAUAUAUAAAUAGGCUAUCUAAUUACCUUCAAUGGGGAAAAUGCAAAUGUGACGAGUGCAUUUGCACCAAAAUUCACAAGCACUGCUAUACUAAGUCCUCUCCCUCUUAGGCGUAGGGGGAAAACUUCUGAAAUCAUCAACCAACCAAUAGGACCAAAUGAUAACUGCAAAAUUGAUUUCAUUAGCAUACCAUCACAGAUUGCAAAAACAGAAGCUAUAGAAACAAGUUCUGUAACCGAUGAGAGAAAAAAAUGCGUAAAUUUUUUAAUUGAACAAAAAAGUAAAUCAUCUCAUACACUAAUUAUAGAAAUAAUCAAUGCAAUGAAUCAUCAGACGGUAUAAAUUCUACCCAUUCUUUUGCCAUCCACAGAAAAUUGAUUUUCCCACAAAGAAGUUCUCGAAAAACAAAAUAGGCUUCUUAUCCAUCAAGUAUUCUAGGAAAGACAAACUUAUGUGAACAUAAAUGCUUUGAUGGAGUAAAAAGACGUAACAAUGCACAAGAAAGAGAGACAAAUUAGUUGUCCUCUCUUUAUCUCACCCACCUCCUCUAUUCAGAGUCUGUCCAGACAGUAAUUGGCAUACAUUAAUAUCCCAUUAAUAGCUAGUACCUCUAUGUGGUAUUGUGGUUUUGUUAUUACAGGUUUAGGUAUCAGAGAAUCACCAAAUGCAUUAGAAGAUGCCUAACACAUUUCCCAACUGUUGUGUAAAUUUUAGGAAAUAUAAUUCCAAUAAAAAAGACUUAACAUGAUAUGAUACGAAUGGUGAAGGUAUCUUCAGCCUGCUUUCUUGCAGAAUUCUAACAGCAAUAAAGAAAUUGACUAAGCAGAAACUUCAAAGAGAUUUGAAUUUGAUUUAAAAAGUUAGAUAUUGAUGAGCUACAAGCUUACUGAUAUCAAUGAUUUGUCAAUAAGUUCCCAGGACCUGCUUAAGAAAGGCUGAUCACUAGAAUUCUGUAUGAUUAUGCAGUAAGCCCUUCCCAUACUGGGAAUUUCAUUAGCUGUCAUAUAUACCUAUAUAUGCUAAACAGUGUCCUGCACACAAGUAACCUUAAAUCUAAUCCUAAUCCUGACUGAAGGACACAAGUACACAUUGAACCACAAAAUUCAGGGAUGAGAAUUUAGUUGAGAAAUGACAUGAAAAUCUUUGAUUACCUGAUAACAUCCAACAUACAACAGCAGUGCAGCAACAGCCACAAAAGGAGCAUUAUCCAGGAAAAGAUAAUAUGACCCCAGAAGGAAUAAAGAGAUGACCUGUUCCCAAAAUAAAGCAUAGUUCUUAGGAAUUCCUCGUGACUCACUUUAGUUCAUAAAUUAGAUGCCUAUCCUUUCUUCACUCUUCUUCAUUCAGAAAAAUAAAGCUAAAGUCAAGCAAACUAUAAUUCGAUCAAACAGAAUGACCGCCGAAUUGUAAAGACAGAGCUACUGACUUCACACACACUAAUAAAUUCAUGAAAUAACCAUUAUGCAAGAGGAUGGUGAAGAGAAAAAAAUAAAGAGAGAAGAGUUACCAUUCCAGAAACACCACCAAGCAGUAAAGGUCUCCUUCCAAGUCUAUCAACAACAAGAACGGCUAUUCCAGUCAUAAUCAACUACGAAUAGGACAGUCCAAGUUAGAGAUCUCCAGAAGAGAUAUUUAGUGGUUUUUGAUUGAAAACAGUUUAUGUAUAACGUAUAAGAAAAAGAACAACAUAAUAAGUCAGCAUAAUGAAAUGAUAAUUACAUGGUCAUCUAUUCAAAAAGGAAAAAAUAGACUAAUAGAGACUGUGCGUAACUUAAUUGAUAGAACAAAAAAGAAAAAAAAAAAUGGAAAUUCAGAUUUACAGCAUAUUCUACCGAAAACUCCAUGAAAGCAAAGGCACACACCAUAAGUUUAUGUCCUCUUUAUGCAUGGCAAGCACAAGCAAAGGCACGUGACAAGCAAUAAUACUCAGAUAAGCCACAAACAUGGAAAUGAAUUAAUAGCACCAAGAGCAGCAGCAUGUAACUUUGCAAUUUUGAUACCUAGACUUGUUACUUAUAUAGCACCUUAAUUACAUAUGUUUAUAUAGAAUUAUAUAUCACCAAGUUCAAAAUAGAAAUAAUGUUAACAACAACGACAACGACAACAAUCCUCUAGGAUCUGUAAUUUACAAUGUAUGUUAAAUGACCAAAAAAAAAAGUAACUCUUCCCACCAAUUUCAGAUAUCAGAUAGCAUACAGUUAUUAUGAGUUCAAGAAUUAAAUAGAUGAAUCUACCUUCAAUAAGCCAAGUAGAAUUGAAACCCGAGUUGCAUCAGAUGCUGCAGAAAACCCUGCACUCUGCCAAACCAUAUUGGGUUCGUGUGAAGACUUAGAACAGACACUAUUAUAUUGUUAACCAUCUAGUAACCUAUUUUUAAGUAAAUGAAUACCUGAAAGAUUGAUGCGGCAUAAUAGAGUACACUAGGUUGUCCUGUUAUCUGUCAUAAAAGUAGAUCGUUCACAAGGAGAAGUGUUCAAAACUUUGCGUUUUACAUCAUAUCAUUUCUGAUAAUAAAGAUACCUGUUGAAAAAGAACUAAUCCUGCACCAAUGAUAAGUGCUUUCAAGCAUUUUCCUCGAAACAUUUCCCCCAAUGAAGCUUCUUUUUCUUCACCAACAAAACUUAGUUCAGUAAGAAUCUCUUCUACUUGGGCAGGUGCAGUGUCACCUAUAGCUUCCCCCCUGAGUCGGCACAAGCAAAAUAUUGCAGUUUCUUUUAAAUCUUGCAUAUUGCCUUUCCCCUGUAUGGCGCAUAAUAGUAGCCAUCUAGGUGAUGAUGGUAGCCAGCACAUCCCAACUCCCAUUAUCAAUGCCAGAGGAGUACUUGCUACAUACAUAUAACGCCAACCAUCUAUGGUAUCAACCAGAAGACUACCAAUUACAUAACCUGCCUGCACAACUUUAAAUAUUCAGUUUUUGCAAGCAUUAUAAAAAUCAAUAACUACUGAGCACCAUAGCAUGUAAAGCCUAGAAUUACUCAAAGUCCUCAGACAUAAAUGCAGAACUUACAACCAUCCCAAGGACAAUAAAGAACUCUUUGAGAGAGAUUAGUCGACCACGUAUCUGACUCGGAGCUGUCUCAGCAAUGUACAUAGGUGCAGCAUGCAUUGCCUAAAAAUAGUAAACUAGCAUUUAAUACUCCACAUAAAGAUAAACAAGUGCACACAAUAAACUGCAAAUUAUCAAAACCAAUGAAUGAGUUGGCACUUUAAAUCAUCUUUUUUUAAAAAAAAAGCAGCAAGCACAGUUUUCUUGCUCUACAGUAUGCAUGGGGAAACAGAAGUUACAGGAAUAUGAAUAAUCAUGCAUAAAAUUUCAGGGCAUAUUAUAUAACAGAAAUAGAUGUUUUACCAAUCCUAUUCCAAUUCCAAAUACAAAACGCCCAAUCACCAUGAUAACCAAAUCUGGUGCUAGUGCUGUAGCAAGUGCUCCAACAAGAUAUAAUAAAGCAGCAACAAUCAACUCCCUUCUUCUUCCUUCAAUUCAGAUUCAUCAUUUCAACUUCAUCAAGAAAAGGACAUUUACAAUAAUCUUUACCUUUGUAACUUAAAACGUACAAUAACUAACCUAGAAAAUCAGCAAUAUUAAAGGCCAAGACAGAACCAAUCAAGGCGCCAUAUAACGAGCCACUGGUCUGCAAAAGAUAACAGUCACUAAGUUCAAAAAGAACAAGCAUCUGACUUAAACUAAUGGAGCAUUUAAGCAAUUUAUGUUGAUAAUAGGCUUUUCCCUUGUAGUGCAAAUAAUAAGUCAAAUCAAUGUGGAAAUAGAGGAAGGAAGAGAUAUAAAGAAAGGUGCCACUCAUGAAUUAUGAGAGAACAGUUAAAAGAAGCAAUUGUCACUAGAAACUCACAAUGAGCCCAAUUUCCACAGAGUUCAAGUUAUACCAUGAAAUUCCGCUAAAUGUGGAUGACUGCAGGAGAAGAGAAAAGAUUAAUAAGCUCAGGUAAUAGAAGAAUUACAAUUUCAACUAUAGGCGUAAAUGAUCUACAAUUUUUGCAUGCAUGCUUGCACAAAAAUUCACUCUCUCACACGCGCAUGCAGGCAGGCAGGCAGAAAAAUGUGAAAAGUUGUUAAUCUGUCCUCCAUGUAAGUACCUAUCUCUAUUUAGUAUUUAGGUUAUUUGAAAAUUUUGCAAAGAAUUUAAACAUUUAGAAGCAUGAGCGCUAGAUCAAAAUAUUAUUAGCUUUAAUCUAUUAUUAAUGUCUCAUUUCUGCAAGAGUUUAAGCAACAAGCCCGCUAAAGUAUUUGUCAUCAGAUCAAGCAUUAAGCAAAAUUUCUUGUAGGUGAUGAUGUUGCACUGCUCAAUAGGGAAAAAUUCUAAAGGACACAUUUAUUGCUACUUGAGACCACAAAUCAUACUGAAUAGGCAUAUAGAAGAAGUCCUAACAGAAAGAAAAAUAAUAAGUGUAAGCAAAUUCUAAUAAUCCGUCUACAGUCCAUAACUGCAUCAAAAGCACACCUCUAUAUUUAUUGUAGCACAAGAUGUGGAACCAAUAUCAUAACCAUAUAAUAGUCCUCCAAGAGCUGGAAAUAGAAAUCUGAAAUAAAAUAAACUUCUUAAACGUCAACAAGAAUUUUUAACAAAUUAGGAAGCGUGAAGAAGCAACUUUACUUGGCAAAGAUGUGCGUGACAAUUAGUAAAGGAACGAAAAAUAGUAUCAAAACACAGUGAAAUGAACCUGAACUUAGAAGAAGUAUUUAGAACAUAAUAGGCUGGCAAGGUUAGAAUGCAUUAAUUCAUUUCUUUAUACAAAAGAUGCAUAAACUUUAGCAUAAUUCACUUGUAUUGACUCUAAAAUCUCGUGUUUUGAGAACAGACGAACUUACCCUCUACUUACUUUAAUUCAAGAUACUUCAAAUUCAAAAUUGAUAAUAAAACUCAAUCAACUCAAACUAAUAAAAUGAAGAAUAAACGACUACUUAAUUCUACAGCCAAAAUUUUCCUCAUUUACGAAACCUUUACAUAGUUCAUGUUCAAGUGUAGCAAAAAUGAAACAGACAUGGAUAACCAGUCAUCAGAUAUCCCAACAAUGGUAACCGAUCAUCUUUGACAACAUGUCCUAGCGAACAUAUAGACAUAUAUUCCUUCAAAAAUGAAAAUAAUUUGGAAUACAAAAACCAACCAGAAAUAUAAUAAAAGUAAAAACUCACGGGAGAAUUGCAGCAGCAAUAGAAUAGUUCUCAGAGCUAUUUUCCCCAUUAAGCAGAGGCUCCUCAACACCAUCAAUUUCACCAGAAGACUUCCCUACCUAGUAAAAAUUGAUGCAUUUAACAAUAUACCCAACAUGACAGAAUUAAUGAUUAAAAAAAAAGAACUUUCUGUUUAUUUGCACAGAAAGAAAUGCAGAAACAUUUUGUAAAGAAGUCAUUCUCUUGUUUUCAUUCUACAUAAUCAGAAACCGUAGAUAUUUGAAUUAAUGCAACAAUUUUGUUUCUUCAGACUACCGAGAUUGAAAAUCCCGCAUUUAAAAUUUAUUUAAUUCGCUAAAAUUUUCUUAACAACGAAGAAGAUCAAUAUAGAUGCUCUCUCUCGAUCCCUUUGGUCCUCUCUCCUAACCCAAUCAAACAAAUUAAGAAUCGGAAAAAAAUUAAAAACCUUUCCAAAGGAAGAAAGAGAGGACUGCUCAGGAUCAGUCGCCAUAUUUCCCACCUAAGAAACACACAAAGAAAUGUAAGCAAAAAAGAAUAAUUUCACAAUGAGUAAUUCAAAUAGAAUAGAACUAGUUCUUUACUUGUUCUUCUACCAAUUAAUCUAAUAUUCAAAACCAAAAACCAGGGCUUUAAGAUUUCAACUGAAAGAAAGAAGGUGUGAUAAAUAAAAGAGAAAAAAGAUGAUGACGACAGUUGAUUGUUACUUGUUACUUUUUUAGGUAUUUACAGACAAUUAAUAAAGACUGGAAGGUUAGACUUUAAAGAAAGGCGAGCAAGGGAAGGAAGGACGUUAGUUACUCACUUGGUUAGUUUGUUGAGAGUGAAAAUGAAGUAAAUAAAUGGGCAAGACAAUGUGAGAGAGAGGCAGAGACAAAGAGAUCUAUUUUUGAAAGCUUUUCGUCACUUUGGACACGGGAAAAAGCUAGAUCGCGAGCUUACUAGUUACCCCCAUUUUAAUAGAGAAAAAACAGCUGCAACGACAGACGGGUUGACGGAAGAAAGUUGAAAUUUUGUGUCGUUUUGAUAGCCACCUCAAUAUAGAAAGGAAAGUCACAUGUGCCUCGUCAGCCUGUAAUAGGUAGAGUUGACUUUAUAUGAUUUGUAGGACAUGAGGAUUUUUUAAAACAAGAUUCCAGUAAAAUGUUCGGCAACAAAUAUUCAAUUGCAAAUUUAUUUAACGAAAUACUGUAAUAACCGUUUUAUUGAAACAUUAAAAUGUUUAAGUCCUCGCUAAGAAUAUGUGACUACUUGUAUUAAAUUAUAAAGCCUGGAUGCUACUAGAAUAAAAGCUGCGUCUAAGAAUUACAAAUCCCAUACUUGUCUUCUGCCCGUUCACUCGUUUGCUAGUCCUUUCAAUUUCAUUAUCCAUUGCCUGUGCUACUACUAGUACUUUCUUGGCCAUGGUUGGACCAAGUAGAAAUAACUUUAUACACGACCCAAAUUCAGACAACAAAAACUUCCAGGGGGUUCUCAAUGAAAAAAGAAAAAAAAAAAAAAAGCCUCCAACAGUAAACUCGGCUUGUCCGGUCACAAGAGAUGCUUAACAAACAACAUUGUUAACUGCAAGUCAACUCAAUAUUAAUCCAUCUCCUAGAUCUUUCAUUUUGCUUUGGUAGUUGUUCUAUUUACUUUGGUGAUGCAAAUUCAAACGGAAGUUUAAUAUAGAAGGCAUUUCUCUACAUUUCAAUUCCACCACAUGGACCAGGACCAGGGCCUCCAAAUACCCAAGUAAAGAAAGAACAAUAAUGUAACUAGUAUUCUAGCAAAUAAAACCAGUAUCUUUUUGCAAUACAAGACAAACCAUCGAAGACUGCUGCUGAAACAUCUAUUAGCUUGCCUUGUAAAAUUGGAUUAUGAAGUUCACAUUCAAAGUUUUCUUAAUGAAAGCAAAUGCAAACUCUUAUGGCUUCCAAUAAGCACACACAACUUAUUCAUGGAAAUCGGGUUUCAAAGCAAUAAUUUCCAAGUUUACGGGAAGUUUGGUGGACCCAAAGGGUUACUCUGGCUUGGCUGGCUGCCAAGGUUGGUAUCUGGUCCAGUCCUUCUGACCGGGAUUAAGGGCAUGGCCUUUUGAAUGGUAUAUGAACUGCUCACCUUCUCCAGAGAGAUUCUCCCGGUGCUCAACCCCAUACCUCCUAGGUUUCAGCAUUAGAAGCUGCAACAAAUAUGAUGACAUCAUCAUUCAGUAUGAACCUUCCAAUUAUAUUUUCAUUAAAGUAAAUUGUAGCUUACCUCAUCACCAGUGUGAUCAGUUAUGAAAUGAAGCCAGCCAUGCCAUUCUGGUGGCACUUGAGAAGCAUUAUACCGAUCCUUUAAAGCAUAUUCAACCCAUCGAUGUCUUCCUACAAAACACCACAUCAAGUCAAAAGGAGUUAAAACACACCAAGCAUUAAUUAUAGGUGAUAAAAACAUUAAUCAAGACAUUUUUCUGAUACUUCACAAAUAGACACUAAGGGCAUUUUACAUUUUUAAUUCAACACUCAACGAUUGUCAUAGCUCUCCAUACAUGCAUAUGAUGAUAAAUAAAAACGAAUACCAAUCAUGUUUAAAAUACCUAAUGAAUCCUGUGACUGGAGACAUGUUCUUAUUGGUUUAUCAAUACAAGUCAUAGCAUUGCAUAUCUCAUGAAAUCAACAAGUAUUGGGAAUGAGUUUAUCUGUACCAAUGCUUUCAGUUCAAACUGGAAAAGAAAACACAUCACAGUUAUUUGAAGAUCUGUGGUUAAUCAAAAAAUCCUUGACAAGAGGGGGGAAGUGUUAAUGUCCAAGAUAUGCAACUAUAACUGAUUUUGUUAUGCAAUCUACCAAUUUACUUCAUUGAUUAAUGAAAAUAACACUACUUUUUUCAUUUAAAAAAAUCCUUAGGAACUGUUAGGAUUUUUCAGUUUAAUUCAUUUCUGGUACUAAGAAUUUAACGGUUUUAUAAUGGGUGCAAAGAAAAGAUUGACAGAAACUGUAGGGUAAGGAUAGAAUUUAUAGCUCAGAGGAAGAUAAGUUCUUAGCCAAAGUACUAAACAUUUUCCAAACUCGACUUAAAAAUGCCUUAAUUUUAUGCUUUGUCAGAAAUGACUGCCAGGGGGAGAGGAGCAACUUUGUAUGAAAAUUUCUCUUAAGUAUUUUGGUAGGGACAGUGACAAACAGACUUUUUGAGCAGAGCAGAGCAGGACCGUUCAAUAAGCGGGGAACAGGGUACUUUCCUCUAUAUGAGAUGGUAUGCUGCUGAUCCAGAGUAGCUAGGCUUGCUCAUGCAGAAAGAAAGUAACAAAGAAAUGCAUUAACUAAUCUUCUAAUCCAGCUCAAGAAAUGGAGGUAGAUUCCUUAUAACUUCUUUGGGGAGGGGGAGUGCAGUUCUAGCAGUAUAACACCUCAAGCUUCAAAUUUUUUUUUCACAGUAAUUUUGAUCAUGCAAACGACACCACUCACAUGCAAUGUAUGGUCUCAAAUAACAUGGAUACUAAGAGGAAAAUCCAAAUUAUUGCUCAUGAGAAGUAGAGAUGAAAGAUUCCUCCUAACAUACAUAAAUUCAACACAACAUAUUACUAAUGUGUCAGACAUGGGUCUUCUCCUUGCAUUUGAUCUUGUGUCAGUAGAUCAUUGAAGAAAUGAAGUAGAAACGUGGCAGUGUCAUGAACCAAAAAAAGGCCACUUAUAAAUUACACACGUAGGAGCCAACCUCAAUGCGAAAAGCAGCAACAGCCACAAUUAUACAGGAAAGAAAAACGCAUUUUCAUCAUUGCCAAUAGCUACCGAUAGUGCAAUUAGGAAGAAUAUAUCACAUGAAAACGAGGGGGUAAAAAAGUACUAACCAAACUGCGUGUCUUCAAGUCUCUCAUAAUACUUAUUGCCAAACUUGUCAACCCCCACGAGUGUGGCCCCUAUGUUGUGGAUUUUGGUUUGCCUAAAUCAAUUAAAUAAAUUUUAAUUAGAGAAACUUACGAGAAUUCACCUAAAUCUAAGAAAAGCACGAGAAGAAAGAUGUUGGCUUAAAAGUUAAAGGCUGACAAAAAUCCAAAUAAUAUAUCUGAAGUCAAGAAAAUAAACUAAACCAACAAAAAAUAUACAAAACAGAACGCCAGCUCAGACUUCAUAUGUCUGAAGUAUUAAAAUAGAAAAACAAAAAAAAAAAACAUGAAAGAAAUUACCAAAUUCAAAUGGUAUUCUGUAAGAGAACAUAUAGAUAAGCCUAUUUAGUAAGAACACUGUUUUAUAAUUCCAAAAUGACCAACAAAAACAUCAAAGGCAUAGCUUCCAGACCUUAUAAAUGAAAGGGCACAAAUCCAUUGAAUCAAGAAACACAAGCACUCUCAUUUACAAGUCUCCAAUCAGAAAACCUUUAACAAGAAUCAGUAAAGAAAUUUUAACUUACAACAAAUUUCCAUCCAAAAGGCACUUCCUGAAAAAAAUUCAGCAAAACAGAAGGAAGCAAAAUGAGUAAAGAAGUCUGUAAAAUUCAUAAAAAAAAAUAAAAUAAUAGAAAAAAUAAAUGAAUGCAUCGGUAAGAAAAAGAAGAAAUACGAUUGUUAAUGAAAAGGAAGCAUUCAAGAAAAACUCGAAGUUUAAUCCACUGUCUGCUUCAAUAUUUUUUAAUUUUUACUGGUGGAAAUUAAUUCACAAAGGAGUGCCUAUUUAUGCAUCCCGCUCAGGUAUCCAUAUUUAUACACAACCCUCCAUUUGUUAGAGCUUACUACUUAUUAUGAGACACAAACCAGUGAAAAUUUCAGAUUUUUCCCCACUUGCAAACAGCCCAAAAAACCUAAGUUUUCCAAUCUCAAAUUCAUUCAGGUUCCCAAAUUUCAUGAACCUAGUCCAUAUUUUAAUUGCAUUAUUUCUGGAAAACAAUUAAGUUCAUAUUUUUCUAGCAGCACCAUCACCCACAAAAAAGGUUUCCCUUUUCUUCCCCAUUUUUUCUGAGUUACUCAGGUUCAGUUCAUUUCUCGUUUAAAUUAUUUCUUCUGAAUUCAGUGUAUUCCCAGCUAACAAAAGAAAAACCAGAAACCAACCUUACAAAAAAAAUUACUACUUUCACCACUUUGGGAUUUAAUUUAAUUAAAAAAGAAAACUACUGAAAUUAAUAUCUUUGCUCAUAUUCGGGUCAAAACUGAGCAAAAAUGACAUCUCUGGCAUACCCAUUAACACCAAAAAUCAAUAAUAGAUUCGCAAUGUAGCGUUUCUAAAUUCCUUUUGAUUCUACACUCAUCGGGUUGAGAUGAAUCAAUUGAAAAUUUUUUAAAAUAAACAUAUAAACAAAAAUAAGAGAAGAAAGGAAGAAGAAGAUAAAAGGAAAUGAACGACUGACGUGUAGCCUUCUUCCCUGAGCUCUCGUAGGAAGGUGCCUAGCCCUUUCUCUCUGAUGGCCUUCAAGGCUCCCUUCACCACCGUUGAUACCAUCGCUCUCACUCCGUUCUUCUCUCUGUUUAUUCUUUUCUUAUUUUAGGCCUUUUUUUUUUCUUUUAUUUCUCAUUGCGAAAGUUGGCACAUGCAUCGCACGUGUGAUUUUGUAGAAGCAUGUGAGAUAAUUUUACACUGAAAAUAUAUAAAGGGUCAUUUGUUUGGUCUUACCCCCAAUCUGAAUUAAUAGGUUAUUGAACUAAAAGAUUUAUGAAUGUAUAAAAUAUAAAUAAUGUGAAUUGCAUAUCAAGACAUAGUUCAUUGGUAAAUACAUGUAUGACUUGUCAACAAAUCUAGAUUUGAAUCUUUUUCCUCCAAUAUUCAAAAAAAAAAAAAAUGUGAAUUUAUUCUCCUUUCUCUCUUUUUUCUUUACUCAUUAAACCCUAAUUUCAAUUUGGGGCUAGUGGCGGCCUCUAUCUUCUACUAUUUUUUACAACAUUUUUUUAUUAUUAUUGUUAUUUGUCUCUGUAUUUAGAGUUUUUUUUUUUUUUCUCUUAUUUGUGAGAGUGUAAUUUUAUUGAUUAGCAGGUGUAGAUAUUCGAUCAAUAGAACCGGAUAAUAUGGUAUGUGUAAUGCGCAACGGUGAAAACUCAUAUGUGUUCAUCAUAUAUUGUAAAUCCUUAGAAAAGCAUCCAAAUAUAGAAGAUUCAAAAGGACUAAUUGCUUUUGUUAUCCAAAUACGGAUUGAACUAAUUGCUUUUGUUAUCAAAAUAUGGACUAGUUUCUGUAAUAAAAAUUUAUAUUUCUUAUCAAGAUCAACUCUAAACGGAAAUAUUUAAUAUUAUAUUUUUAAAUUUUAAUUUUAUUAUUCAAGAGAAUAUGAAUUAUUUUUAUAUCUGAUUCAUAUGAUCAUUUGCAUUCUUGAUACUAUUAUUAAUUAAUUAUGUGUAUAUUAUUUGAUGUAAAAAAAAAUGAAUGAUUUAUGGAGCAAUACUGAGAGCUUAUUGCUAUUAAGAUUGUUUGAUAAAUUAAAUGUCUUAAUAACUUGAAUAAAUAUAAUUUUACAUAGUUGACCUUUUAUAUUUUUAUUAAUAAAAAUUAUAUUAUAUCACUUAGGUUAAAGCCAAAUAUAUAAAUUUAACUUAUUAUUUAAGUAUUAGCAUAAUGUGAUUGUAAAUAAUAUAAAUAUAUAUUAUUCAUAUAUAAUAUAAAUUUAAUUUUAAUGAUGAAUGUUAUAUAAAUUAAUUAUGUAAAGUUAAAAGUAAUAACUUAAAUAACUCACUACAAAAUAUAAUAUUAAAGUACAUCAUCUUCAAUUAUGAUAAAAUAUAAAAUUAAAUUAUAUCCACUUCUUCCAGAAGUAUACAGCCCAAUAUUUUAAACAUUAUGUGGGAUAUUUUUAUCUUCUAAUAAAAAAAAAGUUACACACUUAAAAAGAAAUUUUAACUUUUGUAAUAAGUUAAUUUUUUGCCAUUUCUGAUAAAUUAUUUAUCUGAAAAGAUAAAAUAAAUAAAUUUAUUUUCUUUUUAUCUCAAUCAAUAAUAUAGGUGUACGAUAAAUUAUAAUGAGUAAGGCAUAUAAGGAAAACCGCUUACAACGUUUUGUAUUAGUUCAAAUCCAUUUUCUACCAAAAUGGCAUAGCCGAUUUUAAUUUCGGUUGAACCCGAAUACAAGACCUAUUUUCUACCCGAAUGACUUUAGGGCAUUUUGAUUUCGUUUUUAACGGGACCCGGAACACAGCUCCGAUCCAAAUCGGGUCCAGUACUUGUACACGUGGUUGAUUUUUAUUGGUAGCACUGACGCGAAACUCAUAUGCCGACUACAGAGUAGAGAAUUACGUACGUAUCAGAAGUCCACUUUAAUCUAUUUUUUAAAAGGAAACACAGAUAGGGAUCGAAACAUUGUGAAGGAAUAGGGAAAUUCUUCCAGGUAUUGUUAAUGUCUCUAUAAGGUUUUAUUUUUUUGAUUAUGAAGCUUUUAUUCACUUGAUUUGAAGGUUUUUCAGGUUAUGUUAGGGCUGAUUUUAAUAUUCUUGUAAUUGGAUGUGUAUUGAAUAUGUUUUUUGUAAAUGACUUCUUUUGAUUGCUCAAAAAUGGAAUACAUGUUUUUAUUCAGAUGAUACUAUAAUCUGAAAUGCUUGAUUGCUAUUGAAUUAUUUUGAAAUGAUAGUUUUUGUUAUGCUUUAUUAUUUAUUUUAAUUUUUGACUCCCUCCCAAUUUGUUGGUUUAUUUGAGUUUGGAAUUGUCUGCCGUUUGAGAAAUUGGGGGGAAGUAUUAUACCUUUCAUCCGAGAGAGAAUCAUCUUUUUCUUACCCAAUUUGAAUUUUCUCAGGUUUUCUCAGAUAAAAGGAACAGUAGGUUCAUCUUGUAUCGGCUUCUAUUAACUAAAUGUGCUGAACCUUUUUAAGUCUGAUAAUAUUCAUUAAAAAAGCAUUUCUUUAUGUUUAUAUCCAUUGAUGACUGAUUUGGUGCAACAGCAGACUCAGAGAAAAUGAUGCGACUGCGCACAUAUGCGAGCCUAAGUUUAUUUGCAACUUUGGCAGUUAUAUAUCAUGCAUUCAACAGUAGAGGCCAGUUUUAUCCAGCUAUGGUUUAUUUAUCAACCUCUAAGAUCAAUUUGGUGCUUCUUCUUAACAUGGGUCUAGUCAUUAUGUGCAUUUUAUGGCAAUUAACUAAACGGCUAUUCCUUGGUUCCCUACGGGAAGCUGAGGUUGAAAGGUUGAAUGAGCAAUCAUGGAGAGAGGUUAUGGAAAUCCUCUUUGCCAUCACUAUUUUCAGGCAGGACUUCUCAGUGACAUUUCUUACAAUGGUUACAGCUUUAUUAUUAAUCAAGGCAUUACAUUGGUUAGCUCAAAAGAGGGUUGAGUACAUUGAGACAACUCCAUCAGUUCCCAUGCUGUCUCACAUACGGAUAGUUUCAUUUCUGGGGUUCCUUCUUCUUCUGGAUAGUCUGUUCUUGUACAGUUCUGUUAAGUAUUUGAUAGAAACACGUCAGGCUUCAGUCUCUCUCUUCUUCUCCUUUGAGUAAGUUAUUUAAUUUUUGUAUUAUUAUUUUUCUUAUCAUUUACAUUGAGUUAACAUGAGUUUUUCUGAUGUCAAUCUGCUACAGUUAUGAGCCAUAUUUUACCUGGCCUUUUGUUUUAAAUUAUUAGGUUUUCUUUACACUUUCCUUUAAUAACAUCGAGGCAACUCCAUCAAUCCCCCAUGUUGUCUCACAUAAUAGUUUCAUUUUUGGGGUUCCUUCUUCUGGACAAUCUGAUGUUUGUCAUUGCUCUAAUAUUUAAUAUUUUGUAUCUUAGGUAUAUGAUACUAGCAACAACUACCGUCUCCACUUUUGUAAAAUAUGUUUUCUAUGUGAGUGACAUGCUUAUGGAAGGACAAUGGGAAAGGAAGGCUGUCUAUACCUUUUAUUUGGAACUUAUUCGCGACUUGCUUCACUUAUCAAUGUAUCUCUGCUUCUUCCUUGUGAUUUUCAUGUAAGUUCAAGUUUGAACUUAGUUCUACACUGUUACAACUCACAAUAUACAUAAAAUUGUUAUAGCCUAUCAUGUCUGACAAAGAUAUAAUCGGAUAAAAUGCAUGAACAGAUGCAGAUCUAUUUGAUCUGGCAAAGAGCCAUGCAUUCAUGAAUAAUGCUAUGUGAUAUUGACUUGUAAAGUUCUGUUUUGGCAUUGAUAAGUUGAAUUUUACUGCAUUGUUAAUAUCUUCUCGCUGAUAUUUGAAUCCCAAUGCUGCUAUCUGGCUUAUGGUGCUUUCUUAUGGGUGGGGAUGUAUUGCAAGUUAGUAGGAUGGAUUUCCAGGGAAAACAACGGUGCUGAUCCUCUUGACCUCAAUCAAGGGCUCUGUACAUGUUUGAUUGAUUGUUGAACUAGUGAAUAUUAAUCUGCGGUAGAGGAUUUGAGUUUUAAUUUACUCUGUUGUUGGAGGCUGUUCUAUAGAGAAUAUAUUGACUCAGUUUUAAACUCAGUUUGUGAUAAAAUAAUUUCUUUUAUAGAUAUCAUGUGAGAAUAAGAAAGAGUGGAGACAUAACGUGUGGCCGGAUGCUUGGGUUCUUCCUUUCUUUUUUGGCCAAAGGAAGUAGCAUUAGGAUCAUUAUUAGACUCUCUUGGGCGUCAUAUUUAGGACCUAUUUAACUUUUGAGGUGUUAUGACUCUUUAUCAUGCAUAUAGGUCACCAUUUGUAAAAAUGCAGAUAUACAUGAGGUCAAAUGGUAAAAGUCAUCUAUUUUUUAAAAAAAUUUGCGCGAUAAGUUAAAAAAUGGUCUUAUAUGAAGUUACCAAGGUUGCUAAGAAUUCUACUUGUUUUCUAUGUACUUGACUACGGAAAUUUUGUCUAAUUCUGCACACUAUCCUAUAGCAGUUCAAUUAAUCGUUUUUGCACAUAUUUAUUGCCCAUUCAGCUUCUAAUUUUUAUCUAAUGAAUUUGCGUUUGUCUUCAUAGGAAUUAUGGUGUACCUUUGCACUUAAUACGAGAGCUUUAUGAGACAUUCAGGAACUUCAAAAUUCGUGUUGCUGAUUACCUUCGUUACCGGAAGAUCACUUCAAAUAUGAAUGAUCGGUUUCCUGAUGCAACACCUGAAGAGCUCAAUGCGUAAGAUCCCUAUGUUGUCCGUCAUUUUUGUUAAUCAUAGUUCAGCACUUAUUCAUUUAGAUCAGCAUUCUUAAUAAUUUUCUUUAAAUAUGCAGAAGUGAUGCAACCUGCAUCAUUUGUCGUGAAGAGAUGACUACAGCCAAGAAAUUAAUCUGUGGGCAUCUUUUUCAUGUUCACUGUCUCCGUUCAUGGUUGGAGCGACAACAUACUUGUCCUACAUGCAGAGCCCUAGUUGUACCCCCUGAUAAUGGUGCGAGUACAGCUGGAGGGCAACAUGGAGCACGGUCAGAUACUCAUAGGCACGGUAAUGUACCAUUACCAGGUUCUGUUGUUCCUGAUAAACGUAUUCGUCCUGUGAAAAAUCAAAUCGGUUAGAUUUUGUAUGCACAUUUUUGUAAAGAUGAUAAAAUUGUGAAAUCCCCACAUUUUCUAAUAAAGAAAUAUGGCAAUUUGCUUAUAUAACUUAUAUAUUAGAGUGUCAGAUUGCUGAACAACAUAAUAUCUGCAUGACAUGAUUUCCUUUGAUCAAAUUGAUGGGGUUUUACUGAAAAAUAAUAAAAAUAGCAACUAUUGAGGAUUUAUUUUGUUUCCGUACCAGAUUUCUUGAACAUGUUGACCAUCUUUCCUCUUGCACAUGAUGCAUUCUCUUGUGACUAUGGACUUCUUUGACUAGCUUCAUCCAAAUGCCAACUAGCAAUUAAGAUGACUCAUGAUGUUGAAACUUUUUCAUUUGCAUCAUUUUAUAUCAAUAGAAUCAUUAUUCUAUUUAAAGCGAAAAAUCAAUAGGAAUUUUUUCUGAGUUCUUUAUCCCCUUCAGCUUUUUCUAAUUUCCUGGUUUGAGAUGUUUCAGUUAGCAUGCCUCGUUGGUUUUAUAAUCAUUCAGUGUUUCGCUGUAAUUGGGAACAGGAACAGGCACCGCAAGUACAGGAGCCCAGGGCUCAGUUGGCAAUGGGCAGGAUGACAAUUUGAGCCAGCAUCAGGCCAGGCUUCAAGCUGCUGCUGCUGCUGCCGCUGUAUAUGAGAAAUCUUUUGUUUAUCCUUCUCCAAACACACUAGUGUGGUAUGUGGUUGUAUGCUGCAAAAGACAGAACAUUUUUAUUUUAACAGCACACAUGCUGUGCUUCCCUUUUUUUGCCAUUAUCUGGCCCUGUAUUUGGUCAGUUUAUCAGUGGAUGCAUACUCUUGAUGAUACAGUCAUACAGAUGCACUAAACAUUUGGCCUAGUUUCCCAGUCCACAAUCUAUCUCAAAGAGUUUGAAAUGCAUUCUUCUAAAGGGGAAUGGAUAUUUAUUUCUACAAGUUUUCCCCCUUUAUUUCUACUUCACAUAAAGCACUGAAAGAGAUGUGUUUUGAGUUAAAUAGUGUAUAUAGUAUUUGGUCAACUUCAUGGCCUGAUAUGAUAAACAUUUUGAUGCAUUUAUGCUUAAAUUUGCAGCUUCCUCUGUUCCUAACUUUGUGUAUAUUUAUUUGAGAUGACAUGGGCCAGGUGUCCCUGUUGAAUGUUUUUGGCCUGUUCUUAAAUUGAACUUCAAAAAAUCUUGAAAAAACAAUUGAUCUUUAAAAUUAAUUUCUAGGUCUCCUGGAUAUGCCUUGCUCCCUCAAGCUCAAAGACCUUUGGCUGAUGGUACUAAUAGGGAAUCUAGUGGAGAACAAGCUUUCAUGGGACAAUCACAUCCUCAUUCUGCAAUCCAUGCUGGGCCAUCAAACUUGCCCCAGCCACAAUUUUCCAACUAUGUCUUUGUACCCUUUCGGGUUCCUGGUGCAAAUGCAACUCAUGGAGAGAGAUUGGACACUAUACCGAACUCUGAGUUGGAAGCUCAGAAAAAGCUUCUCCAACGCCAAAUUGAGGUACCAUCUAUUCAAUGAUCCCAUGAACUUACAUGUUUUAAUAUAUAUGUAUAUAUUUGUAAACUUCUCAUGCAUGUAGUUCUCUAUGUCAUUUCAAAUUCUGAAUGACGCUGCCAAUCUUAUUUCUUGGCUUUUUACUAAGUCUCAUAUGCGAUCGAGGUGUAUACCAAGGUCAUGCAUGUUAAAUUACAGAUCAAAUUGGAAGCUAGUGCUGGCAAUAUUAGACAUGCGAUGUCAGGUGAAAUUAAAUUAGAGUUAGAUUCGUCUUAAUUGUGUCCACAUCGGGUUGAGUUGCAAAUUAAUGCACAUUUGACAUUAGCAAUCAACUGUGAAAGCAAACAUAUUAUUUUUAGUUCUUCUCUUUAUACAUAUUUAUUUCCUUAUACAGUUCAUAUUUUGGACUUUUAUCCUUGAUAGUUGAUUGUCUAUGCUAUAUUGUUUUUACCCUUCUUUCUUUUCUUUUUUCUUCGGCUUGCUUCCUCACCAUUUUUCUUUAUUCCAUAGGUAUUAAUGCACAUUUGACAUUAGCAAUCAACUGUGAAAGCAAACAUAUUGUGUUUAAUUCUUCUCUUUAUACAUAUUUAUUUACUUAUACAGUUCAUAUUUUGGACUUUUAUCCUUAAUAGUUGAUUGUCUAUGCUAUAUUGUUUUUACCCUUCUUUCUUUUCUUUUUCCUUCGGCUUGCUUCCUCACCAUUUUUCUUUAUUCCAUAGGUCCUGCAGAGGCAGCUCCAACUACUACAUCAGCCAAAGGCUGAGGAUAAAGUGCAUAUCGAUCCAACACCUUCAACAGAAAGCAAAGGAAAGACAGUUGUAUCAUCUCCAUCGCUGUCAGACUCCAGUCAUCAUGGAGAGAGUGAUGCAAAUAGUCUUUGAAAAAUUGUAGUUGUAUCAUGAGACCAAAGAGCAUCGAGUAUGUAUAGGGCAAAAGAAGAAUUAGAGAAGAUCCUAGCAAUCUUUACAACUGUAGUUCCCUCGACAGCGAGUUGCGUUUUUUUCUUCUUCUUUUCUUUUUUCUGUGAUGUUUUUUAAGUGUUCUUAAAAAAUUGCAUAGUAUUUUUUUUUUCUGUCUCCAAUAUUGAUUUAUCUCCGGAUAGGCUUGGCAACUGCGUUGACCCCUCACCAGAUUUAACUGAAGUUGUAGCUUCACGGUAAGGCAUCAAUUUAAGAUGUACCUCUGGGGUUCUCUACCCUGGUCUUCUGUUUGCAUUUAACUUGUAUAAAUUUUUAGUGCUACGAGUUCAUUGUCCAAUAAACAUUCGGUAUUCGAUUCUGGUCUUAUUUGGCAUUCGAAUGUUUUCAGACAUCAACCAAUUUCAAAGAAGCUUUCCGUUAUUUGCUUUGGUUUUUAUUUUAGAACAUUUCAAGGCAGUCUCAUAAUCUGAGCUCAGAUUGAAACAUUUCUGAUAUAUUUUAGAUACCUGAACCUGGACUCCAUUUGCCUCAAUAGUCUCAAUCGAUACCCGCAUGGAUUUUCACAUCAAUUACAAACGAGUAGAACUUCACCAUUGUUAGAAUUUGAUCAUGCUAAUAGUUCACUUGGAUCGACUGGGUAUAUGUAUCUAACAAAAGGGUUUAUAAUAUACUCUUUUGAAAUAGAUAAACCCUCUAUUCAAACUAGAAACUCUGUAUCUUUAACCCCCUACCAUUACUGGAGCUUUUAUUCCUUUUCUUUUUCUUUUGGUACGCCAGAAACCUUCUUAAGUGAAAAAGGUGUCAAUAUUUAACCAUUGCCCACCUAUGCCCAGUACUCCGCUUCUAUCAGUUAAACUUAAGUUGGUUGUUAAGCUUCAAUUCACCCAGGGAGCUUAAGCUGCUUGACAUUCUUCCAACUGCAGGCAAAAAAGAAAAAGGCAAAGUUUAGACUUGGUGGCUACCGGUUGGUGCAGGUGAAAAGAAAAAUAACUGAAUGUUCAUGCUCCUAGGGGUAACCCUUAAGAGAAACUGCCAUUCAACAUGUGUGAAAGGGAAGUACUGUAUCAGAAUUGCUGCCAUCCAAUCCAACAUCUUUACCAACCUAGGAAUGAAUGAAAGGAUGUGAUAGAAACAAGCAGAACAUGGAGAAGUUACAGAGUAAAAGAAAAGGAAAAUAGGAAACCUACCUUUUAAUAUAGUAGUAGAAAAAGUCAGCAUAAAGAGCAGUCUGAACAAGGCCUGAAAUCCAAGCUGUUUUGGCAAAGUUGGACAAAAAGCUACCGUUAAUAACAUUACCUAAAUGAGACGAUGCAACCAAUAGGGAAAGCAACUUACGUAUCCAGCGUACUUUAACUCCCCCUAUGAAGAAGCGGUAAACCCAAUUGAGGAUAUACAAAGCUCGGUAAGCUCUAAAGAUAAAAUAAAAAGAAAAGUAUAAAUGUCAAAAGAAUCAAAUGAACAAAAGUUGAGUAAAUAUAAGUUCUCCUCCAGCUUUCAUUUCAUCUAUGUGACUCAAAAGAGUUAUCAAAAUAAUAGAUUAAGGUAAACAGCUGUAUAGGUUAAAAAAGUAUCUCAUCAUUAUGCAGUCAUACUUCUAUCAUUCUGUUUACCAACAAUUCCUUUUCAAAGUAAAGACACUUUCGGUAUAUCAGAAAUUGCACAAUGUCUUCCAAGGUCAAGACAUUGUAGAGAAUGUAGAGGUGAGUCUGCUAAGACCAAAAGGCUUACAGAGGAUUCUUAGCAAUAUAUGUAUACAUCAGUCAUCUCAGCUACAAUUAACCUCCAUUUGUCAUAUUUCAUUACCAAAUUAUGGAUUGGUAAGUGGUAACUCCAUGCAUCCACUUCAGACUACCCAAUACCAAACAUCACCUCAUAUACAUUACAGAUUCAAAUUUUAUAUCACAAUUCUUUACCAAACAUCACUUCAUUUUACCAGGACUAUUGAUCCAAACAUAGAAUAUUAACACACCAAUGCAAAGAAAUUACAAAGUAAAACUCCUUGGCAUGUUUGCAAUGCCAUUUAAAUCUCGUACAGAUUAUGAAGUGUUGGUACCAAAAGACACCAUAUUUUUGAAAAGCCUGUAUCAAUCUAACUUCAUCACUUUCCAAAUCUUUAUCCAACAUUCUGUAGAAUUAUAUUAUGACCUAUACUUACAGUUCCAAAUUUCAAUUAGUGCUACACCCAUUUAAGUUUCUUUUACGCAUGCCUAAAUCAAGCUAUACAUUCUGGGUGUGACUUGGGGUACAAUACGAAUAAGAUCCUCCGCAUGUGUACAUUCACACCAAGUCACAUACAUUCAAACAAGGGGGAAAUUUCAAGGAAAAGUAAAAGUCAUAAAAGCACAAUAAUUGAGAGAGAAUUAUAUGGUCAAUGGAGAAAACAAGGAACUACGAAGCUGCAGGAGUACUGGCACAUACCCGAGAAGGAAAACAUAGUUUACAGUCAAGUUGUCAAUGUGCCUUGACCUUUGUAGUAAUACCAAUUGGGGUAAGAUAGCCACUGCUUCAAGAUAAAUUGAAAAUGCCCACAAAACCUAUUACAAAAUAUCAGCUUUGUGUCAGAGAUUAAAUAAAAAGUGAAAAGCGACAGUUCUUCAGGUAUCCCACUGUCAGUGUCAAGAAAGAAACACCAUUAGAUCAUUAGAAUUUCAGGAAGGGUGUUAUUGCUUAUAAAUGAGAAUUUCAACAAAAAUGGAAAACUGAAGGGCAAAGAUGCUAGUGGAUUACGAAGAAAUCAUUUUUAGUUGCUGCCAAUUAGAGUGAUGAGCACAAUUCUAUAAACAGCUAGCUUCAAAAAACUUGGUAGGAUAUUAAAUUUAAACAGAUCCUGAGAGUUACCUUCUCUCCUUUAAUAAGCUGGAAUCAAGAGAUUUUUGCCUCUACUAGCACAAAUGUCAAAACACUUCAUGUAUAAAUAGUUCUCUGCCUAAGUUCAUAAUAGCACUAGAACCUAAAUGUUUGUUAUCUGACAUCUCUCAUUAUUGUCAUACUUAUAUAACUAAAUAGUUCAUAAGUUUGUGUCAAUUAUAUCUCCAAAAGCUCCAUUUAACAUUAAGCAAACAAGAUAUGUUAUUUGUAUAGCUAUAAAACAUAAGGCUUAUAAACACAAACCUCAAUAACAUUAAAGGAACGGUGGAUUAGAAGCGCAAGGACAAGGGAAGGGACAGCUAAAAGAUAAUGUCUAAAAGAAUCUUCAUCUUUGCUGUAUGUUUGCUUGACAACUUUAUGGUAUCGCAUGUACCAGACAAUUCCAAUUGAAGUCCCGAUGAAUACUACCUUCAUUACAGUAUUGUAGAAAGAGUAGUCCUUUACAAACAAAUCAAGGUACCGAGUGAGGAAAACUAUAGCAUACAGUUCUUGAGUCUUCAGUGAAAUUCCUGAGGGGAAAAGUACAAACAAUGGUAGAAUUGAUAAAUAUUCAGAAAUAUAUGACACAAUGUUCUGGAAAAAUAAGAAAUAAAAAACAUGAGUUUUUGAUAUCUCCUUAUCAGAUUUCUGUUGAAUUGAAAUGACUGUGCAAGAAUUAUUGCAGGUUCUAAACAAAUUUCAGAUUGCUCUCCCAAAGAAAAUCUAAAAGCACUAGAACUUUGAAGUUCAAUAUCAAUGUCCCAACAUGUUGAGGUAACUACAAUUCUGUGAUUUUACUAAUGAGACGAGUAAAAUUCUAAUUCAAAUGAAAUGCAUUGCACUUGUGCACUAGUGUCAAUUAAAAAAUUUUAUUAAGUACCAUGAAAGGGAAUGAAAGGAAAUACAUAGAGCAUGUCUAGUAGCCUUGUGAGUCUUCCAUCAAAUCACUAAAAAGCCAAUAAGGUUUCAAAAAAAAGAUUUUUGUAAAUAGUAACAAAGGUAGCUUAACCACACAAGCACCCAUCAAAAGCAAAUGGAAUAAAAAGAAGGGACUAAAAAAUAAAAUAAAAUCAAAGUUAAUAAUACAUGAGGUUAUGGGUCCUUGGAGUUCUUUUGACAAAAUAAAAGUUCGAACAGUCAUAGGCAAAAAAAAGGAAAAUUGGAGUUAUAUGCCACAACUACAAAUUCUCAUACGAAAAGAAGUAUAAUAAUUAAGAAUCUUCAAUGGGGAUAAACAGAAAUUGGUAAAUCGUGCAAUCUUCAAGAAAAAAGAAGAAAAAGAGAAAACAAAAGAAGAGAGCCAUAGCUACCUGAAAUGGGAAAAGCAAAAGUGAAAAAAGCAGAGACAUGCAUAAAUUGGCAUACCAGCACAAGAUUUCGUUUUACGGAUCUUGAGGAGCAGGACCACUAUACUGAGAAGGUGGGUCAUGUCCCCAGCUAGCCGAAACAAGUUCAUGGCGUUGAUUUCCUAUUUCUCUUCUUGUUCUGUUUUGGGCUGUGUGUUUUGGGUCUUCUUCUUUUCUCUUCUCUUCUUCAGUUAAUUCUUUAUUUCAUUUUCCUCUCGUUUGGAAAACGCGCUGUCUGUAUCGAUGGCUUUGCCGUUAUUUUGGGGUUUAAGUUAAGGUUGUCUAUAACCGUAGUGCAAGCUCCUUUAUGGCGCGUGAUCAUUGACGUCAUCCGGUACUACAGUCUACCCGUAGUCGCUUUCGACACACACUGCUGUUCCAGUACUGGAGGUGUUAAUUAAUUAAUUAAUUAAUUAAUACUGUUUGGUUACGGUUAAUUUUCACAACUUUGUUACAAGUAUUAAGCAAGUAAUUUAACCACCUCAUUCUUAUAAAAAAUAAUAAUAAUUAACUAAAUUAAUCCCUCCCUCCCAUAAUUUUAUUUUAAUUUGAAUAUAUAUAAAUUGAAAAAAUUUAAUUAAUUGUAUAAUCAAAUUGUAAUUUUUAUUUAAUUUUUUUAAUAUCUAUUAAAAUUAAAUGAUUUAUAUCAAAUUGUACUUGAAUUAUAAAAUUAUAAUCAAAUGAAUGUGCAAUGCACAUUAAAUAAGUAUUUUUUUUAAUCCUUGGCUCUCCCACUAAAGUAUGCUAUCAGUGAUCAAAUUUGUAUUCACCGACAUUGAGCUAGCUAGGUUGAGCAUUUAAUUCCACCAAUUCAGCCAAUUCGUUUUGUUGAAUAAAUGUUCGGUUAAAGAAAAUUAAAUUUUUUAUGAUUAAUUCGUUUUUAAAUAUUGCAUUUUUAGUGAUUGAUUAAAGGUUAAUCAAAUUGAUCGACUCUCAAAAUUAAAUCAUUUUCAUUAAAUAGAUAAUUAAAUUAAAAAAUAAAAUAUUUCAGUUUUUAUUUGAUUAAGUAGUUAUAGUAAUUCCAUUUAAUUUUUAUUUCAGUUAAAGUAGAUUAAUUAUAAAUUUCAGUUAAAUUCGAUCGAUUGAUGAGUUUUCAUUUUCUUUAACUUUGACGUGAUUCAAUUCGACUAAAUCUGUCACGACCCGUUUCCAUGGACCGGACCGGCACUAGGGCCCAGGUAAGCUUAAGGCCCCCGAGGCCCGUAGUAAGCCUGAAACACUAAAAUUUACUAUUCCAAUAUAAAUUUCAAGUAUUCAGCCCAUAUUACUAAAUAAAUAAAUCUCAAGAUUUUAUUACAUCUCGGCUCAAAUUUAUCUUCUACAAAAUUCCACAGUUCGGCCCUAAUUAACAAUACAUCACAUCUUAAUAUGGGCUCACAUAAUUAUAUCGUCUAUGUUAAUACACGACUAAUUGUACACAAAUUCUACAACUGCGGAGUCACUAACUAUUUUGUAUACAUAGCUUUUUAUACAUAUAAUUACAUAGUAAAAUAAUUAUGGAACUAGGAAAACUUCUUAAUAGCCCUGUGGCGAAGAAAUAUAGCUUAAACCGUAUUAAAGAGAAACUUACUUCCUGAAAAAUUCAAACAAGACAAGUGAGUUUUCUAAGGAGUAAUAAUUAUUGCACAACACACGCAGUCACACAAAUGUGUAAACAUAUCAAUCUAGUCAUCCGACUAGUUAUAUGCUCACGCAGCCAGUCACACAAAUGGCANNNNNNNNNNNNNNNNNNNNNNNNNNNNNNNNNNNNNNNNNNNNNNNNNNNNNNNNNNNNNNNNNNNNNNNNNNNNNNNNNNNNNNNNNNNNNNNNNNNNNNNNNNNNNNNNNNNNNNNNNNNNNNNNNNNNNNNNNNNNNNNNNNNNNNNNNNNNNNNNNNNNNNNNNNNNNNNNNNNNNNNNNNNNNNNNNNNNNNNNNNNNNNNNNNNNNNNNNNNNNNNNNNNNNNNNNNNNNNNNNNNNNNNNNNNNNNNNNNNNNNNNNNNNNNNNNNNNNNNNNNNNNNNNNNNNNNNNNNNNNNNNNNNNNNNNNNNNNNNNNNNNNNNNNNNNNNNNNNNNNNNNNNNNNNNNNNNNNNNNNNNNNNNNNNNNNNNNNNNNNNNNNNNNNNNNNNNNNNNNNNNNNNNNNNNNNNNNNNNNNNNNNNNNNNNNNNNNNNNNNNNNNNNNNNNNNNNNNNNNNNNNNNNNNNNNNNNNNNNNNNNNNNNNNNNNNNNNNNNNNNNNNNNNNNNNNNNNNNNNNNNNNNNNNNNNNNNNNNNNNNNNNNNNNNNNNNNNNNNNNNNNNNNNNNNNNNNNNNNNNNNNNNNNNNNNNNNNNNNNNNNNNNNNNNNNNNNNNNNNNNNNNNNNNNNNNNNNNNNNNNNNNNNNNNNNNNNNNNNNNNNNNNNNNNNNNNNNNNNNNNNNNNNNNNNNNNNNNNNNNNNNNNNNNNNNNNNNNNNNNNNNNNNNNNNNNNNNNNNNNNNNNNNNNNNNNNNNNNNNNNNNNNNNNNNNNNNNNNNNNNNNNNNNNNNNNNNNNNNNNNNNNNNNNNNNNNNNNNNNNNNNNNNNNNNNNNNNNNNNNNNNNNNNNNNNNNNNNNNNNNNNNNNNNNNNNNNNNNNNNNNNNNNNNNNNNNNNNNNNNNNNNNNNNNNNNNNNNNNNNNNNNNNNNNNNNNNNNNNNNNNNNNNNNNNNNNNNNNNNNNNNNNNNNNNNNNNNNNNNNNNNNNNNNNNNNNNNNNNNNNNNNNNNNNNNNNNNNNNNNNNNNNNNNNNNNNNNNNNNNNNNNNNNNNNNNNNNNNNNNNNNNNNNNNNNNNNNNNNNNNNNNNNNNNNNNNNNNNNNNNNNNNNNNNNNNNNNNNNNNNNNNNNNNNNNNNNNNNNNNNNNNNNNNNNNNNNNNNNNNNNNNNNNNNNNNNNNNNNNNNNNNNNNNNNNNNNNNNNNNNNNNNNNNNNNNNNNNNNNNNNNNNNNNNNNNNNNNNNNNNNNNNNNNNNNNNNNNNNNNNNNNNNNNNNNNNNNNNNNNNNNNNNNNNNNNNNNNNNNNNNNNNNNNNNNNNNNNNNNNNNNNNNNNNNNNNNNNNNNNNNNNNNNNNNNNNNNNNNNNNNNNNNNNNNNNNNNNNNNNNNNNNNNNNNNNNNNNNNNNNNNNNNNNNNNNNNNNNNNNNNNNNNNNNNNNNNNNNNNNNNNNNNNNNNNNNNNNNNNNNNNNNNNNNNNNNNNNNNNNNNNNNNNNNNNNNNNNNNNNNNNNNNNNNNNNNNNNNNNNNNNNNNNNNNNNNNNNNNNNNNNNNNNNNNNNNNNNNNNNNNNNNNNNNNNNNNNNNNNNNNNNNNNNNNNNNNNNNNNNNNNNNNNNNNNNNNNNNNNNNNNNNNNNNNNNNNNNNNNNNNNNNNNNNNNNNNNNNNNNNNNNNNNNNNNNNNNNNNNNNNNNNNNNNNNNNNNNNNNNNNNNNNNNNNNNNNNNNNNNNNNNNNNNNNNNNNNNNNNNNNNNNNNNNNNNNNNNNNNNNNNNNNNNNNNNNNNNNNNNNNNNNNNNNNNNNNNNNNNNNNNNNNNNNNNNNNNNNNNNNNNNNNNNNNNNNNNNNNNNNNNNNNNNNNNNNNNNNNNNNNNNNNNNNNNNNNNNNNNNNNNNNNNNNNNNNNNNNNNNNNNNNNNNNNNNNNNNNNNNNNNNNNNNNNNNNNNNNNNNNNNNNNNNNNNNNNNNNNNNNNNNNNNNNNNNNNNNNNNNNNNNNNNNNNNNNNNNNNNNNNNNNNNNNNNNNNNNNNNNNNNNNNNNNNNNNNNNNNNNNNNNNNNNNNNNNNNNNNNNNNNNNNNNNNNNNNNNNNNNNNNNNNNNNNNNNNNNNNNNNNNNNNNNNNNNNNNNNNNNNNNNNNNNNNNNNNNNNNNNNNNNNNNNNNNNNNNNNNNNNNNNNNNNNNNNNNNNNNNNNNNNNNNNNNNNNNNNNNNNNNNNNNNNNNNNNNNNNNNNNNNNNNNNNNNNNNNNNNNNNNNNNNNNNNNNNNNNNNNNNNNNNNNNNNNNNNNNNNNNNNNNNNNNNNNNNNNNNNNNNNNNNNNNNNNNNNNNNNNNNNNNNNNNNNNNNNNNNNNNNNNNNNNNNNNNNNNNNNNNNNNNNNNNNNNNNNNNNNNNNNNNNNNNNNNNNNNNNNNNNNNNNNNNNNNNNNNNNNNNNNNNNNNNNNNNNNNNNNNNNNNNNNNNNNNNNNNNNNNNNNNNNNNNNNNNNNNNNNNNNNNNNNNNNNNNNNNNNNNNNNNNNNNNNNNNNNNNNNNNNNNNNNNNNNNNNNNNNNNNNNNNNNNNNNNNNNNNNNNNNNNNNNNNNNNNNNNNNNNNNNNNNNNNNNNNNNNNNNNNNNNNNNNNNNNNNNNNNNNNNNNNNNNNNNNNNNNNNNNNNNNNNNNNNNNNNNNNNNNNNNNNNNNNNNNNNNNNNNNNNNNNNNNNNNNNNNNNNNNNNNNNNNNNNNNNNNNNNNNNNNNNNNNNNNNNNNNNNNNNNNNNNNNNNNNNNNNNNNNNNNNNNNNNNNNNNNNNNNNNNNNNNNNNNNNNNNNNNNNNNNNNNNNNNNNNNNNNNNNNNNNNNNNNNNNNNNNNNNNNNNNNNNNNNNNNNNNNNNNNNNNNNNNNNNNNNNNNNNNNNNNNNNNNNNNNNNNNNNNNNNNNNNNNNNNNNNNNNNNNNNNNNNNNNNNNNNNNNNNNNNNNNNNNNNNNNNNNNNNNNNNNNNNNNNNNNNNNNNNNNNNNNNNNNNNNNNNNNNNNNNNNNNNNNNNNNNNNNNNNNNNNNNNNNNNNNNNNNNNNNNNNNNNNNNNNNNNNNNNNNNNNNNNNNNNNNNNNNNNNNNNNNNNNNNNNNNNNNNNNNNNNNNNNNNNNNNNNNNNNNNNNNNNNNNNNNNNNNNNNNNNNNNNNNNNNNNNNNNNNNNNNNNNNNNNNNNNNNNNNNNNNNNNNNNNNNNNNNNNNNNNNNNNNNNNNNNNNNNNNNNNNNNNNNNNNNNNNNNNNNNNNNNNNNNNNNNNNNNNNNNNNNNNNNNNNNNNNNNNNNNNNNNNNNNNNNNNNNNNNNNNNNNNNNNNNNNNNNNNNNNNNNNNNNNNNNNNNNNNNNNNNNNNNNNNNNNNNNNNNNNNNNNNNNNNNNNNNNNNNNNNNNNNNNNNNNNNNNNNNNNNNNNNNNNNNNNNNNNNNNNNNNNNNNNNNNNNNNNNNNNNNNNNNNNNNNNNNNNNNNNNNNNNNNNNNNNNNNNNNNNNNNNNNNNNNNNNNNNNNNNNNNNNNNNNNNNNNNNNNNNNNNNNNNNNNNNNNNNNNNNNNNNNNNNNNNNNNNNNNNNNNNNNNNNNNNNNNNNNNNNNNNNNNNNNNNNNNNNNNNNNNNNNNNNNNNNNNNNNNNNNNNNNNNNNNNNNNNNNNNNNNNNNNNNNNNNNNNNNNNNNNNNNNNNNNNNNNNNNNNNNNNNNNNNNNNNNNNNNNNNNNNNNNNNNNNNNNNNNNNNNNNNNNNNNNNNNNNNNNNNNNNNNNNNNNNNNNNNNNNNNNNNNNNNNNNNNNNNNNNNNNNNNNNNNNNNNNNNNNNNNNNNNNNNNNNNNNNNNNNNNNNNNNNNNNNNNNNNNNNNNNNNNNNNNNNNNNNNNNNNNNNNNNNNNNNNNNNNNNNNNNNNNNNNNNNNNNNNNNNNNNNNNNNNNNNNNNNNNNNNNNNNNNNNNNNNNNNNNNNNNNNNNNNNNNNNNNNNNNNNNNNNNNNNNNNNNNNNNNNNNNNNNNNNNNNNNNNNNNNNNNNNNNNNNNNNNNNNNNNNNNNNNNNNNNNNNNNNNNNNNNNNNNNNNNNNNNNNNNNNNNNNNNNNNNNNNNNNNNNNNNNNNNNNNNNNNNNNNNNNNNNNNNNNNNNNNNNNNNNNNNNNNNNNNNNNNNNNNNNNNNNNNNNNNNNNNNNNNNNNNNNNNNNNNNNNNNNNNNNNNNNNNNNNNNNNNNNNNNNNNNNNNNNNNNNNNNNNNNNNNNNNNNNNNNNNNNNNNNNNNNNNNNNNNNNNNNNNNNNNNNNNNNNNNNNNNNNNNNNNNNNNNNNNNNNNNNNNNNNNNNNNNNNNNNNNNNNNNNNNNNNNNNNNNNNNNNNNNNNNNNNNNNNNNNNNNNNNNNNNNNNNNNNNNNNNNNNNNNNNNNNNNNNNNNNNNNNNNNNNNNNNNNNNNNNNNNNNNNNNNNNNNNNNNNNNNNNNNNNNNNNNNNNNNNNNNNNNNNNNNNNNNNNNNNNNNNNNNNNNNNNNNNNNNNNNNNNNNNNNNNNNNNNNNNNNNNNNNNNNNNNNNNNNNNNNNNNNNNNNNNNNNNNNNNNNNNNNNNNNNNNNNNNNNNNNNNNNNNNNNNNNNNNNNNNNNNNNNNNNNNNNNNNNNNNNNNNNNNNNNNNNNNNNNNNNNNNNNNNNNNNNNNNNNNNNNNNNNNNNNNNNNNNNNNNNNNNNNNNNNNNNNNNNNNNNNNNNNNNNNNNNNNNNNNNNNNNNNNNNNNNNNNNNNNNNNNNNNNNNNNNNNNNNNNNNNNNNNNNNNNNNNNNNNNNNNNNNNNNNNNNNNNNNNNNNNNNNNNNNNNNNNNNNNNNNNNNNNNNNNNNNNNNNNNNNNNNNNNNNNNNNNNNNNNNNNNNNNNNNNNNNNNNNNNNNNNNNNNNNNNNNNNNNNNNNNNNNNNNNNNNNNNNNNNNNNNNNNNNNNNNNNNNNNNNNNNNNNNNNNNNNNNNNNNNNNNNNNNNNNNNNNNNNNNNNNNNNNNNNNNNNNNNNNNNNNNNNNNNNNNNNNNNNNNNNNNNNNNNNNNNNNNNNNNNNNNNNNNNNNNNNNNNNNNNNNNNNNNNNNNNNNNNNNNNNNNNNNNNNNNNNNNNNNNNNNNNNNNNNNNNNNNNNNNNNNNNNNNNNNNNNNNNNNNNNNNNNNNNNNNNNNNNNNNNNNNNNNNNNNNNNNNNNNNNNNNNNNNNNNNNNNNNNNNNNNNNNNNNNNNNNNNNNNNNNNNNNNNNNNNNNNNNNNNNNNNNNNNNNNNNNNNNNNNNNNNNNNNNNNNNNNNNNNNNNNNNNNNNNNNNNNNNNNNNNNNNNNNNNNNNNNNNNNNNNNNNNNNNNNNNNNNNNNNNNNNNNNNNNNNNNNNNNNNNNNNNNNNNNNNNNNNNNNNNNNNNNNNNNNNNNNNNNNNNNNNNNNNNNNNNNNNNNNNNNNNNNNNNNNNNNNNNNNNNNNNNNNNNNNNNNNNNNNNNNNNNNNNNNNNNNNNNNNNNNNNNNNNNNNNNNNNNNNNNNNNNNNNNNNNNNNNNNNNNNNNNNNNNNNNNNNNNNNNNNNNNNNNNNNNNNNNNNNNNNNNNNNNNNNNNNNNNNNNNNNNNNNNNNNNNNNNNNNNNNNNNNNNNNNNNNNNNNNNNNNNNNNNNNNNNNNNNNNNNNNNNNNNNNNNNNNNNNNNNNNNNNNNNNNNNNNNNNNNNNNNNNNNNNNNNNNNNNNNNNNNNNNNNNNNNNNNNNNNNNNNNNNNNNNNNNNNNNNNNNNNNNNNNNNNNNNNNNNNNNNNNNNNNNNNNNNNNNNNNNNNNNNNNNNNNNNNNNNNNNNNNNNNNNNNNNNNNNNNNNNNNNNNNNNNNNNNNNNNNNNNNNNNNNNNNNNNNNNNNNNNNNNNNNNNNNNNNNNNNNNNNNNNNNNNNNNNNNNNNNNNNNNNNNNNNNNNNNNNNNNNNNNNNNNNNNNNNNNNNNNNNNNNNNNNNNNNNNNNNNNNNNNNNNNNNNNNNNNNNNNNNNNNNNNNNNNNNNNNNNNNNNNNNNNNNNNNNNNNNNNNNNNNNNNNNNNNNNNNNNNNNNNNNNNNNNNNNNNNNNNNNNNNNNNNNNNNNNNNNNNNNNNNNNNNNNNNNNNNNNNNNNNNNNNNNNNNNNNNNNNNNNNNNNNNNNNNNNNNNNNNNNNNNNNNNNNNNNNNNNNNNNNNNNNNNNNNNNNNNNNNNNNNNNNNNNNNNNNNNNNNNNNNNNNNNNNNNNNNNNNNNNNNNNNNNNNNNNNNNNNNNNNNNNNNNNNNNNNNNNNNNNNNNNNNNNNNNNNNNNNNNNNNNNNNNNNNNNNNNNNNNNNNNNNNNNNNNNNNNNNNNNNNGGUGGAGUCGCUGCGACGUGGAGCGGCUGGAUGUGGCGCGCGGAGGAGUCCGAUUGAGCUGGAGGUGUCGCGCGGCGCUGCUACAGCUCUGUCUCGCCAAGGACGCAGAUGCAGUGAAGGGAAAAGGAAAGAAAGAAUGGAAGAAGAAGAAGAAAAAGAAAGGAGAAGAAGAAGAAGAAGAGAGGAGAGGAUGGCGGUGGCACUGGUGGUGCUACGCGGUGGUCGAAGGCGUAGGAAAAAUAUGGGUGAGGAAAGUGAGGCAUACGCUGGAAAUAGAGGAAGAAGAGAAUUCUAGAUGGUCUGGGUCAAACCGGUUCGAUUUGAUUCGGUUCGGCCCAAAUCUUUGAUUUUCAACUGGUUUACGGCUUUUUCAAUCGAUUUUCGGUUUGGUUUCUCACAAUGUUCGCACUAAAAUACUAAUAUAAAUUUCUAGGCUGUCGGUUCAUUAAAUUUAAUUGGAAAAUGUUUUGAAAAUAAAAAUUCGGGUUGUUUCAGUCAAUUAGGUUAAAUUUAAUUAAAAAAUUAGUUCAGUAAAAAAAAUUCGAGUAAUUUACUUUGAUUAAAAAUAUUACUCAAAGUGGUCGAGUGCUCACUCCUAGAAGUCGAUUACAAUCUAAUAAUAUUUUAUUGGUUAAAAGAAAAUAGUAUUUGUAGAUCAAGAAAAUAUAAUAGUGCAUAACUAAUAAUUUGUAGCACGCUAAUGGAUUAUUUGGAUGAAAGUUAUUUAGUGGAUUUUGAGAGUAAAGUAAGGUAAAAGAAGAUUAUUUAGUCAUUUGAGAGAAUGGUUUGAGGGAGAUGAUGUUUUUUUUUUUUUUUUGAAAGUUAUUUGAUGGGUUAAAAACACAUCUAAAUACUUCAAUCUUCAACCUGCUGAACUGAGUUAUAAAAAAUUUGAUUUCAAAAAUUAUUUAUAACUAUACUUAUAGAUUUUUUGUGACAAUAAUAUUUUGAUAAUCUUUAUAUUUAACGAUAUUUUUAUCUACUGUCAAACCAAACAAAAUAACGUUAUUAAAUCUUCAUUUUAACAUACAUUUUUCAUAAAUACAAAAAAGACAUUUAGUAUACUUUAUCUUACCAUACUUUACUGUACCUUAUUUUAAUUCAAAUAAAGUAUAAGAUAUAACCAUAAAAUAAAUCCAGCUUGGAAUCUCUCCCAACACGACACUUAAAAAAUAAAAACUUAUUUGUAAAAAUGAAAAAAGGCUUAUUGACACGGGCUAGACACGAACAUGUGGGCCAUGUCUGAUCUAGCCCAUGUCUUGCUAGACGGAUUCGCGCAAGUCCGGCCCAGGUCUCAUUUCCACCGACGGGUUAGCCUUAACACCCAAACGACGCCCCCUUGCUCUCGCCCGGGUCAUCCCUUCUUUCUAUAUAUUAGAGCGCCCCAAAAUCUAACUUCCUAAAAUCAAAAACACCCUUUUUUGUAUAUUAAAAGUUUAAAACCCUAUAAUUUGAAAUUUAUUAUUAUUUUUUUAAUAAAGUCUAUUAAAGUCUUUUUUUUUUUUCUCUCCAUCUCUGCUUAAUUGCUUAUAUUUCAAGCAGAGAUUAACUCUCUCGUGAAAAAUAUAUAUGCGUGUCCUUUCUCUCCCCGUCUCUCUCUACCCCUUACACUGUUUGCAAUUCAACAAUAACAUAAACCCUCACUCCCCCUCUUUCUCUCUCUCUCUCUCUAGAAAUUUCGGUUUUUUCCUUUUUCUUUCUCUCUCUUAGGGUUUGGGUCCUGUUAAGGUGCUAGGGUUUAUUAGCUGCCCUUGAGAGUGUGCUUGUGUUUGGUGAUUAAUGGCGUCUCUGGCUAUGGCCGCUGAGAAACUUAGAGAUUUAAGCCAGCCGAUUGAUGUCCCUUUACUCGAUGCAACUGUCGCGGCCUUCUAUGGCACUGGAUCUAAGGAAGAGGUGACGUUUACUUUCUCUAUUUCUCCUGUUUGGUCCAUUAGAUAGUGACGGAGACAAUGAUGUAAAAAUUCAACUUUCCAGUAUUUAGGAGGUUCUCAAUUGCUUAAGCUGUUUCUCUCCAUUUCUGUUUUGUUUGUUAAUUCGUUGUCUUCUGUCUCCUCGUGCUGUUUGGUUCUUCAUACAGUGAUGGAAAAUUAUGUAGUGGUAGGCUUUUCAGUCUUAGGGUUUUUGAAACUUAUGCACCUUGGAACUUUUUGGUCGUCGUCAUAGUGCGUGGAGAAGGAAAAUCCUUGAAUUGUUUUAGUGUGUAAGGCUCUUGAAACGUUUAACGAAGGCUUUAAUUUUUUUCCCCAUUCCAUUUGUUUGGUUCCCAAGUGCGAGGAAUGCCCAAGGGGCUCAAUCAUACUGUCCGGAAGAAACUUUUGCUCAUAGAUUGAGAACAUUAUUGAGCAUUUUUUGAAAUUCCUGUCAAUCUAAACUUCCCUGGGUUAUUGUGAUCUCGGACCUUCACUAUCUUGGUUUCUGACAUGGUAUCUUGCCUUUUUGUUUAUUGUGAUGCAGUGCCUUGCUGAAUCAGAGAUUCUGGCUCUGCUUAUCAAACUAAAAUCUUAAUGCCGAGUUCUUUCUUAAAAUUUUUAGUCCCAGUUAUACUUCUGCUUUGCAUUUGCUCUUUUUCAAUGCCUAUCUGCAAAUUAUUAUUACUUACUGAAAGUGGCACCUCGUUAAAUUGCAAGUUUAGCUCGUGGCAUUUGUAUGCGGCUAAUUUUGUUCCUGUUCUCUUAUCUUGUACCUUCAUUUGUUUACAGAGGGCUGCUGCAGACAGGAUAUUACAGGAGUUGCAAAGCAAUCCGGAUAUGUGGCUCCAAGUUGUGCAUAUUUUACAAAAUACAAAGAACCUAAACACCAAAUUCUUUGCCUUGCAGGUCGGUUGCAGUGUCAUGUUGCGUUCUUAAAUGAUAUUUGAAUAAAAAGAUUUCUCUCAUAAUUGACAUCGCAAUACUAAUAAACAAUGUUGGAGCUGGUUGUGAGAUCUCUAUUGAAAAACCUGACUCUUGAUUUGCUGUUGCUGAUAAUUAAUUACAACUUGGGUACUUACUGAGUUAAGCUUAGCUUAGUUAACUUACAAAAGCUCUAAGCUAUACUACUGUUAAAACCUUAGAAUGCAUGGCGCAGGUAAUCAAGAACCUAUAGUGAAGAGGUCGAAAUUAUUAAUUUCUUCUAAUUACUGUGACAAUAUUAUCUUUUGGUAACUUUGUGCUUGAUAUGAUUCACGUUUGCACCAGAAGCAAACAAUGUAGUAGAUAGCUUCUAUGGUGUUUAAAUUAAUUUUCAAGCCCAAUCGAGUAUCUGUAAUUUUAGUGGCAUUGAACUGCAUUGAAUUUUUUUUUUUUUUUUUGAUUAGUUUGUUGUGUAUGAAAAAUUUAUUUUAGGAUUUGUAGCCAUUUGAAUGCAGCUGAAAGUCUGGAUUUGGAGCAUGGAUAUAUAUUGCAUUGCACCCUCAGAUAUGAAAUGACUUCAACUAGGCCCUGGAUGGUCUUGCUUUUCCUUUGGCAUAUGGCCAUUGAAGUAUGUCUAGAUGGGACUUACUAGUCUUAUAAGGUAUCAGAGCCGUUAUAGGGGUUUUAAAGUCCUUGCAUCACCCUGCCAGAUGCUGGAUGGACUUUGCAGAGCCAAGAUGGAGUUGAUAUUCUGUGAUAGGAGCCUGUAUUGCCCAUGCAAGGACCACAUUAUAGAUGCAUGUCAAGCUAACAUAUGUUUAUUACUCAAACAUGUUUUCUAACUAGAGGCUUUUUUAAAGAAGGAACUUUCUUGAUUGUAUUAAAUGAAGAAACACAAGUGUAUAGGCAUGUGAUAAGUUUGAGGCCUGUGAGGCCCAUAUCAUGGAUGUUGUCCAGUAUAUCUGGUUAAUGCUCAAGCCAAUAGGGAGGGUCAAUAUAUGGUUUUAAUGAGGUCACAUUUUUGGCUCAGAAGCUUUUUGUGGAUACUGCACAUUGUAAAUUAUGUAUAAUCUAAAAUGGGCUAUUGUGGUUUAGAUUCUUUUAUAAUUUUUUACUCUUAUCUUGGAGAAUAAUCUUUUCAUUUAAUUGUUGUCACUUUUCAUUGGAGUCUCUUUUAAAAUAAUAAAUUUACUAUUGGUGCUCAUAUAUAUGGCUGAUUAAUGCUUAGUGCAUUGGACAAUUAAUGAAUGAGGUACUAAUUUUGUGGCAGGUCCUUGAAGGUGUUAUAAAGUAUAGAUGGAAUGCAUUGCCUGUUGAGCAACGAGAUGGAAUGAAAAACUACAUUUCUGAAGUCAUUGUGCAGGUAUUUACUUGAAAGAGCAAAUAUUUUGAUUUGAAAGGAGUUAGAACAUUUUUCCUUGUUUCUUAAAUUCAUCUUGUGUGCUGUUAUUGACACUUCUUCUCUCAUGUACACUCGAUUGUGUAGCUUUCCAGUAAUGAGGCUUCUUUUCGAUUGGAAAGGCUGUAUGUCAACAAGCUCAACAUAAUCUUAGUUCAGGUACAUCUGGUCUGCUUGCCAACAUAGAAUUUAUUGGCAAACUGAUGUUUAUUGCCUUUGGGAUUUCUACUUCAUUGUAUAUGCAAUAUGUUUAUGCCAAUGGAAGAUGCAACUGACGUGAUUAACUUUCUAUUUCCAAUAUGUGUGUGAAUUAUUCCUUUUCUUUCAUAAAUUUGUUCUUCAUCUGUACUUUUCUAUGGAACUGCAGUAUGUAUGUUUUGUGCAAAUCAAUGGCUCAGUUUUUCAGUUUAUUUUUAUAUUUCAUACCUGAAAUACAUUGUUAACCGUUGACCAUAUUAUAGUGAGAGUUAUUUGUUCUCGAGUUUUACAGAUACUGAAGCAUGAGUGGCCAGCUAGAUGGAGAAGCUUUAUUCCUGAUCUUGUUACUGCUGCAAAAACCAGUGAAACUAUAUGCGAGAAUUGCAUGGCUAUAUUGAAAGUAAGUGUGCUUAUCAUGUUUCUGAACAAGCUUGGUUGUGUCAUACCUGAGUAACACAAGCUGUCAUAUGUCAGCUUCUAAGCGAAGAAGUUUUUGAUUUUUCGCGUGGGGAAAUGACUCAACUGAAGAUCAAAGAGCUUAAACAAUCACUUAACAGGUAAAUUUAUGGGCUGUUGUUUCUUUAGCUUUUUGGAUAGGUCUGUUCUCCUUUUGAAAAGUAAAUUAUGACCUGGGCUUCUGGCUUUAUAUGACAGUCAGAUGUGGAUAGGAUACUUUAAAUUACUAUCAUUAAAUUUCGUACUGCAUGCAAAUAAGUGGAAUUUGUUGUCUACUGUUUCUAGUUUAAGUUGCUCCAUUGUGACUGGUUGUGCUGAUUGAGAAAUAUUAAGUUCCAUGUCGAGGGUGAUCCCUCUUGUACCAAUCUGGGAUUUCUUCUUGUGACCAAACAAAAUUUUCUUUGCUAUUUACAGACUUUUUAAUAUUUUAUUAUUAUUAUUUUUUUAAUUAACUUGGUUUCAUCUUUGAGUCCAACAAGCUGUUCAGUGUUCUUUGUUUCUUUAUUUUUUUUAAUCAUUUCAAGCCCUUCCUUUUCUGUUAUGAACAACUUCUCCUUUAAUUUUAUAUUUUAUGUUUGUUUAUUCUAUUAUACUAAGUAUUGUGUUUGGGUGUCAACAGUGAAUUUCAACUCAUCCAUGAGUUAUGCUUAUAUGUACUAUCAGCAUCCCAAAGAACUGAGCUUAUUCGGGCAACACUGUCCACCUUGCAUGCAUUUCUUUCCUGGAUUCCAUUGGGCUAUAUUUUUGAAUCCCCCCUGGUAUGUCAACUAUUAAUAUCAAUUGUUGGGCUAGAAGGAAGACUUCAGCCGUCCUUAAUACUUGCUUUUAUCAUUGAAGAUGACUGUCCUGAUAUCAUCUCUGACAUUUCAUAUAGCUGGAAACACUCCUGAAGUUUUUUCCUAUGCCAUCAUAUCGAAAUCUCACCCUUCAGUGUUUGACAGAGGUACAUCUUACCAUUAUGGAAGAUAUAACAUAGUUUCUUCUCUGAUGAGUUGUCAGGUAUUAAUUGUUCUCAUAUCUGAUAUUCGCAGGUUGCAGCUCUAAGUUUUGGAGACUUCUAUAAUCUGCAGUAUGUCAAGAUGUAUAAUUUCUUCAUGGUCCAAUUACAGGUGUGCUGGGCAUUUUAUUCCAAAAACGGGAAUCCUCCUUUCUACAUUUGAUUAUGGAUUAUCUAGUACCAAGAGAUAUAUGGCAUUGUUGUGCUGAUUAAAUUCUGGUGAAAUUUUUCAGGCCAUUCUCCCUCCAACAACAAACAUUCCUGAGGCAUACGCACAUGGAUCUGGUGAGGAACAGGUCAGUGUUUCCAAUUUGUACCAUUUAGUUCCAAUCUCUUUAAGACUGGCAACACAAUUCUGAUUUCAACUCUCCUCUUUUGCUUCUUCAGGCAUUUAUUCAGAACUUGGCGUUGUUUUUCACUUCAUUUUACAAGGUAAGUUACUUUCCCAAGUCGAGUUGAGAUGCCUUUUUAGAUACUGAAAGGCUCAGGCAGGGGGAUGCCACUGUAGUAUAUUGAAAUUUUGUGUAAAUUGGCAGUUAUUAUCUUUCAUUAUUGAUUAGUUUUAACUUCCAGUUUGAUAAUAAUUGUUACUCAGUGUCUGGCAUUCACCAAUUACAUAACAAGUCUUUUAAAAUAUACUAUGGGAUUUAAUAUACGGUUGUAAUUUAAGGCACCUCUUGAGACAACAUGACAUGCUGUGUCAAGGUGCUGCAGCUUGAACUGUGACAGUUUGGCAGGCUGUUGGGUGCAAGUCUCUGUGGUCUUUUCCUGGAGCAGAAAAAUGAAAAAUAUCCCUGUAUUAUCCAUGAUGCGAUGCAUAGAUGUGUAUUUAUGGAUGCUCUCAGGUCAUACCUUCUUGUUGCUCAUUGCUUGGAACAAACUGGGCUUGCUCUUCAUUAAUUCACUAAAUUUUUGCUUCUGCUAGGAUAUGCUUGUGGGUCCAUUUAUGGGAUCUUGUUCCUUGCAUCUUAUGGGAAAGUUCUAUACUUUUCUCUGUGCCUUCAAUUUAGUGUCUACCUAAGCCUCUAUUUUACCAUGUUGAGACGGUAUGGCAGAGAACAGUGCGCAUGUUUAUAGGUGUGCCUGCCAAUGAUCCUGGGAUGCUACAUCUUGUUAUUUUAUGAGUUUAAACCAUGGAAAUUGAAAUUUGUAAAUUGUGAUUCGCAAGAUGCUCUUGUGCCUUGCACCUUGCCCUCUUUGGUAUGGGCACAUGAAUUAUGGCUCUUAGGAAUUUGAACAGGCAUUUCUGAUGACUUGCUUACUUUUGCAGGCUCAUAUUCGGGUUUUGGAAACUACACCAGAGAACAUAUCUGCGUUACUGAUGGGUCUUGAAUAUUUAAUUAAUAUCUCAUAUGUUGAUGACACAGAGGUUUUUAAGGUAUAAUGUUCUGUCCUAACUAACAACCCCUCUCCUUUUUCCUUCUUAUUGACUCUCUCUGAAAUCAGAUUUACAUCAUUAUGUUGCGAUUCUUAUUGCUGCAUAAAAUUAUUUACAGGUUUGCUUGGACUACUGGAACUCCUUGGUUUUGGAGCUGUUUGAGGCACAUCAUAAUUUGGAUAAUCCUGCAGUAACUGCAAACAUGAUGGGACUGCAGGUAUGGCAUUUUCAUUAUUGUCAUGUAAUGAUUUGACAACAAUUAUUAAAGGGACGCCUAACUUAGGGCUCAAGGGCUUGUGACUCAAAUGCCCAGGUGGGUGGCCUCACUGAGGUCCUUGCCUCUGGACAUAGUUUGCGGCCUUUUGCGCCUUUCCUUUUUUUUUUUUUUUCCUGAACAGUCACCUAGGUUUUCCUUUCAAUAUAGUGUGUCCAGCUAGCAGCUGUUUACAUAAAAAAAAAAAAAAAUAAAUAAAAGAAACAGAACGCAACAUAAGCCAGUGUUGUGCUAUGCAAUCCAGCCUCCAGUCAUCCAGAUAUGUCUCUCUCUCAAUUUUUCCUGCGGGUGGAGCAAUAUCUUAUAUAUCAUAGCUGAAACUGUCCUUUAUCUUUGUUAGUGGUCCUCCUACAGAUUCUUGGCCAAACUUCAUUGGAUUUCCAUUAACUAAAUUGUUUCCCAAAUUAACCUAUAUGCAUGCUUUUCUUACAUAUAAAUGAGAAGUGCAUGUUGUAGGUUUUGAAUUUCUGAUUCUUUGUUUUGGAGUACAUGCCUGCUAUUUAUUGAAGUUACUUACCUCAGGCUGUGUCUAUCUAUUGAAUCAGAUGCCUUUGCUCCACGGUAUGGUAGAUGGCAUAGGUUCACAAAUAUUGCAGCGGAGGCAACUUUAUGCUAAUCCAAUGUCAAAGUUGAGAUUGCUUAUGAUUUGUCGUAUGGCUAAGCCCGAAGAGGUUCUGAUAGUUGAAGAUGAAAAUGGCAAUAUUGUUCGGGAAACCAUGAAGGACAAUGAUGUCCUUGUUCAAUAUAAGGUGAGAAAUCUUUAUCUCUUGUGCAAAUAUAAUCUAUGAUUCUGUCUCAAUUAUCAAGUGACGGGGUGUAUAUAUCAUGAUUGUUGAUUUUCAAGCAGUGAAAAUCAAUUUCUCAAUUUUGACAUGUAUAUUUAUUCAUGGGUAUUUAAAUAUAUGAAGUUGAUAUUAAAAAUUUUGCAAUUGAUUGUUAGUUAUAUUAUUACUUCCACAAUGUCUGGGGCAAGACUAAUAAAAUCUGUUUCAGUCCCUAGAGGUCAAAUUCAAACUGUCGCCCAAGAAUAAUUUUGUAUUUUCUUUUCAAAAGUUAACAUCUAGAAAUCAAAAGGUUCUUUUGAUUUUAUUAUUGAGUUUUCUAUUUUUUUUCCUUUUUCUGGGUCUCUUAACUAAAGUUACUGGUUGCUAUGGCUGAUCAACAUUUAUUAUGCAGAUCAUGAGGGAAACUUUGAUCUACUUGUCCCAUCUUGAUCACGAGGACACUGAAAAGCAGGUAUGCUUUUUGGCACACUUGGAGAUGAUUUCUGUGAAGCAGCAUAAAAGUUGUCUUUUAUGGCUUUCUUUAGUUCAUAUAUGUGAACACCAAUAUUUUAAGGAACCUUUUUCCUUAUUAUUGUUAUUAUUAUCAUUAAUUGUAACUGAUGAACACAGAUCUAUUCUUGUUUUUACCCUCUUUUCUUAUUUAUGCAAGGUCAAUGUUUAAUAUUAAUUUUGUUGCUUAAGCAUUUAAUUGCGGGAGCUGCUCGGAUCAUGUAGUCAUUAUCAGACAAGUUGAAAUUAAAUGUUUGAGUAUCAUAGAGAAUAGUUAUAUUGUAAUAUUUAUUCAUUUGCUCUUCAAUCUUUAAUAAGGUUGACGAGUUGUUUUUCUGUCAUGCAUACUAUGUACAGGUAAUUAUUAUGCACAGAAAAGAAAGAUAGUUUAACUGAAUGUACUGGUGCUAACUUUACCUUGAACUGCAUGAGGAUUGAAAAUUGGCUUUUCAGUAGUUUUGUCUAACAUCUUAAAGUGGUCCUUUCUGCUUCCCCUCUUGUACAUCACAGAUGCUGAAGAAAUUAAGCAAACAGCUAAGUGGGGAGGAUUGGAGUUGGAACAAUCUGAACACUCUUUGCUGGGCAAUUGGAUCUAUCUCAGGUUCCAUGAUGGAAGAGCAGGUAUCUGGUCUAUGUUUUCUAAUUCUCCUUUUUGGUAAUGUUGCAAUAACAUUUUUGACUUGAUAGUCUGUGUUUUAUUGACCUCCUGUCUUGUGUAAUCCUUUAAGUGAUAUAUUCUGUUUGCAUUUUGACAUUCCAUUAACUGUCUAUGGAGUGCUUAUUGCCUUGAUUGUUUCCAAUUUGUAUGAAGCAAGUCUUGAUGUGUCUCUGAUCUUGGCUUCUUUGCAGGAGAACAGAUUUCUGGUGAUGGUGAUUCGUGAUUUAUUGAAUUUGUGUGAAAUCACAAAGGGAAAAGAUAACAAAGCUGUUAUUGCUAGUAACAUCAUGUAAGAAUUAAUAUUGUGAUGAUGUUUGGUAGUGUUUACCAUUGGGCACACUGAUACAUGUAUUUUAAUUGGAAUUUGUUAAGUAACCUGAUUGGGUAAGUUGGCUUAUCUUGAUUUUUUUUUUCUUUUGAUUUGCAGGUAUGUUGUUGGGCAGUAUCCACGAUUUCUUAGAGCCCAUUGGAAGUUUUUGAAAACUGUUGUCAAUAAGUUGUUUGAGUUCAUGCAUGAAACACAUCCUGGAGUUCAGGUUGUUUUUGUGUCUGUGGUCCUUUGCAAUGCUGUAUUGACAUGCUGCAUAUUGGAGAAAUUUAUUAUCUUGCAUGACACUUGGUCUCUAUUAAUUGAAUAGCCUGUAAUCAUUGAUUAUGACGUUUGUUAAUGUCUUCUAGGAUAUGGCCUGUGACACAUUCUUGAAAAUCGUUCAGAAAUGCAAGCGGAAAUUUGUUAUUGUACAGGUAACUUCUAUUUCUUGUGUUGCAAUUGUUUCUAUUUUGCUAGAAUUGCACUUCAAUUCUCUUCAUUGGAUCUAUUGCAUCAAAGAAGAUAAUUGGGAAUCUGCUUAUCUUGCUCACAGGUUGGAGAAAGCGAACCAUUUGUGUCUGAACUUCUGACGGGUCUUCCAACUACUGUUGCUGAUCUCGAGCCUCACCAGAUACAUACGUUCUAUGAAUCUGUAUGUUGGGUGUCUUGAUGGUGAAAUUGUGCACCCUAUAAAUUUGUGUUAUUAUAAAUUCCUAAUGUUUGCUUUUGCUUUUCUAAUUCAGGUAGGGCAUAUGAUUCAAGCAGAAUCUGAUCCACAGAAGCGAGAUGAAUACUUGCAGAGGUUGAUGGAUCUCCCAAACCAGGUCUGUUUCAUUAUGAACUGCCAACCCCUUCUANNNNNNNNNNNNNNNNNNNNNNNNNNNNNNNNNNNNNNNCCCCAAAAAAAAAAAAAAAAAAAAAACCCUCCUUCUCUCAUUCCAUGUGCUUCUAAAUUUUGAAGAUUUGAUAAAUAAGGUGGAAAUUGAGGAGGCAUUUGAUAGCCAAUUCUUAUAAAAUGAUAUGCAAUUAUUGUUUUAAACUGUCUGCUCUUUGUGAAAAGAUACCAUGGAUUCUGAUUUUGUUUGAUAUCAUUUUCACCCCUUCUUGUCAACCUUUUUCAAUUUUUCGAAGUUCUUUGCUGGUAGUGUUGGCUGCUGAUGAUAUCUAACUCCCUCUACAGAAAUGGGCUGAAAUUAUAGGGCAAGCACGGCAAAGUGUUGAUUUUCUAAAAGAUCAAGAAGUGAUUCGGACUGUUCUCAAUAUACUGCAGGUGUUGAUCUUAUUCAAUUUUGGCUUCCUAUGAUCUAUCAAGGCAUUUGUUGAAAGAGAUUUGCUUUUGAUUGCUCUUUUGAUUGAUCUGGCAUUAAGGCUUUGUUUGGGGGGGUUGAAAAUGGGAGUAUCGGAAGUGGGAGGGAAAUGUAUUUUGUCAAUAAAAGUUGACUAUAUACAUUGAGAAAAUGAAUCUAUCCUGUCAUAAACAUCGACUGUUUUCUUUCAUUCCAAUUUAUAGUCUCCCAAACCAAAGACUAAAUGCAUCACAACAGGGCUUGAUGCCUUAUAUUCGGUAUUUCUUUGUCAUGAUUUGUCGGUUUACUCUGUGUCCUUUUAUUUGUGCAAAAUUUCAGUGAGGGUUAAAUCCUCUAUUUUGAUUCAUGAUGAUAUAGCAGUGAAACUAAAUUCUGCUUAGUGUAAUUGCUCUGUAAUAAUCAUACAAUUUAUUCAAGCUAUUCUUUCUUUGCAGACGAAUACAAGUGUUGCUACUUCUCUGGGAACUUACUUCUUGUCCCAAAUCUCGCUAAUUUUUUUGGAUAUGCUUAAUGUGUAUAGGUAUGUUAACGGAUUUUAUUAUUUAUUCAGUUGCUUUGAACUUUUCAUACUGGAAAAUUUUAUUGGUUUAUUGAUAGCUAAUACACGUUGGUCACGAAUUCGAUUUUUUGGCAGAAUGUAUAGUGAGCUUAUAUCAAGUAGCAUUGCAGAAGGAGGUCCUUAUGCAUCUAAAACAUCCUAUGUGAAACUUCUAAGGUCAGUUAGUCAUUUGAAUUUAUAUGUCUAGUGAACCCACAAACCUUUUUACAAUUUAGUGCGUUUUGUGGAACAGAUCUGUUAAGAGAGAGACGCUUAAGCUGAUUGAGACAUUUUUGGACAAGGCUGAAGACCAACCACAGAUUGGGAAGCAAUUUGUUCCCCCAAUGAUGGAUCCUGUUCUUGGUGACUACGCUAGGAAUUUGCCUGAUGCUAGAGAAUCAGAAGUUCUUUCACUUUUUGCAACAAUUAUAAACAAGUAUGCUAUCCUUUUUAAUAUAUGUAUAUAUCCUGUUACAUUUUUCUUCCCCCUUUCAGUGUGUACCUCUUUUUUUAGUUAGAACAGUGGAUUUUUUUUCCUGAAUUGUUGUUAAAGUCGAUAUUUGAACCUGUAACCUCUAAAGUAGACCUUGAGGGGCUUAAUUUUCUGUAGAAUCCCCUUUAAUUGCCUGUUGAGCUCAAACAGUCUUCAUAGAAUGAAAUUUGAAGAUGCAAUACAUUGCUAGAUAAAAUUUGGGAUAUCUUGUUGCUCAUUGGUGAGCGUUGGUAAACUUUGGGAUACUUGUAUUGUUCAAUAGUACCUUUUUCAUUCUGCUGUAUUUGCAUGAUCAUUUACGGUUGAGAUUGAAAGGGGAACUAGUUUCUUUCACUAUUAUGUUGGUUUGUUGCUUCAUAGCGGUGCUUCCAUUUUUUUUUGUUUUUUUUUUCAAAGGGGUGUUUUCAUUUUUUUUUUUUUUUUUAAGAGGACAAAAUUCUCUUUUUUUUUUUUUUUUAAGAGGACAAAAUUCUCUUUUUUUUUUUUUUUUAAGAGGACAAAAUUCUCUUUUUUUUUUUUUUUUAAGAGGACAAAAUUCUCUUUUUUUUUUUUUUUUAGAAGUCCAAAUGUCCUUUUUUUUUUUUAUUUCCUAGUUUUCCUUUUUCCUCUUCAGGUAUAAAGCUGCAAUGAUAGAUGAUGUGCCUCGUAUAUUUGAAGCAGUGUUCCAGUGUACCCUUGAGGUGAGGAUAUUCGCUUAUAAGCUAUAAUUUUUUUGUUGCACACUUAUGUAGACAAACCUUUAUUGUGCUUUGUUAGUCCUGUAUUGAAAUUUUUAUAUUGACCUUGAUAUUGCAACUAAUGUUUAAGUGUAUCUACUGCAUCAAUUUUUAUGUAAAUAAGUGGUAAGAUGGUCCAACUGGUCGGAAAUAAGAAGUGCCGUUUAGAAUAGUGGCUGAAGCUUUUAUUGUUUGAAAAAAAGCACUAAAUGAAUAAAACAAUCUGGAAUAUGAAUGCUCUUCUUGAGGAUAUAGGCUUAUAAGCUGCAAGUUUUUUGUUGCACACCUGUGUUAUGCUUUUGAUGUGCUUUGUUAGUCCUGCUAUGAAAUUCUUUAUUCACCCUGAUAUUGCAACUAAUGUUCGAGACUAUCUACUAUAUUGGUUUUUAUGUAAGUGGUGAAAUGGUCCAAAUGGUCAGAAGUAAUAAUAAGUCUGGUUAGAAUAAUGGCUUAAACUUGUUUGUAUUGUUUGCACAAAUGUUGUACUGAUCUUGAAUAUGGAUGCUUCAUCUUGAAUACCAGUUUGUAAGGCCAAGAAAUGAUGUAUUUAUACAUUAUUUAGAUCUUGCCUGGGAGCUGAUUUUAUACUAUUGAUGAUCUUUGUCUUAUGCAUUUAAUAUAUAUCAAGGCUUUGCACAUCUUUUUUGAAAAUUAAUUGUUUCAGAAAUUUGCACAAUCAUAUUAUGGACGGCUAUAGUGGUUGCUUUAGGGGUCUCAUGUUGAUUUACAAAUUAGAUGCUAGAUUAGAUCCACUUGAUAUUUGGUGCAUAAUCUUGCCUGGGAGCUGAUCUUUAGGUUAUUCAUGAUGUGUUCCUCUCUUUCCAAGUCUUGGUGAUUACUCGGAAUUUUUUGUAUCUUUUCGUUCAAAUUUAGCGAAGCGUUUCUUAUUUAAUUUUACUUGGGGGAAAGGGGUAUGGAUGGUUAAUUUUAUUUAAAGGAUGUACUGUGUUCUCCAAGUCCUGAUGUCUUAUGAGAGAACUUUCAUUGUUGCUUGUGCACUGGUUAAUUGAAAAUGCGAAAUUAUUUAGGGCGAAUAUCAAAUUCAACAUGAGCAGAUGUAACCUAAGUUGAAAUGUCUCUACUUUCUGUACACCUUGUUUUGCUGACGCCUCUGGUUAUUGCACGAUAAAUUUCUUGAACUUCAUGUAUACUUUCCUUGGCUGAUUUUCUGGUUAAUGCACAACGCAGAUGAUAACCAAAAAUUUUGAAGAUUACCCAGAGCAUCGAUUGAAGUUCUUUUCAUUGCUUAGAGCCAUUGCAACCCAUUGUUUUCCUGCUUUAAUUCGGUUGUCAAGUCAGGUUUGUAUUUGAAUUUAUUUCAUUCAAUAUAUAUUGGUUUUAUACAAACACACCAUUUUUUAAAUUCACUUAUUCAUUAUAUUGAAUCUGGCCCCUAUUUAACUCUUGAAGAAAGGUGCAGCUUACUUUCUGUAUCCUGCAUCUUGUCAUAAUUUUCUGGUAGUGUUAUAUGGCAUUUUUUUUACGAGUAUAUAUUGAUAUAAUUUGUUGGAUUUAGUUGUACAUUCUUGUUAUAAUGAACACUUCUUCCUGCUCCUGGUGUUACACUUUUAUCUUUGUUAUAACUAUUGUUGAUGUAUUUAAUAUUCUUUUCGUUUGCUCUUCUCUGCAUCAGCAACUAAAGCUUGUAAUGGAUUCAAUCAUAUGGGCGUUCAGGCAUACAGAAAGAAACAUCGCUGAAACAGGGCUGAAUCUUCUUUUGGAGAUGCUGAAGAACUUUCAGGCAUGUAUUUUGCUUUAUCCUUCAGUUUCUUUCCUACUCGUCAAAGUCAUUUCAUUUAUGUGCUAACUUCUUUGUAUAAUUUAACAGGCUUCGGAGUUCUGUAAUCAGUUCUACCGGACGUACUUUACGACUAUUGAGCAGGAAAUAUUUGCAGUCUUGACGGACACAUUUCACAAACCUGGCUUCAAGUUGCAUGUCUUGGUGUUACAACACUUGUUUUGUCUGGUUUGUGCCUUGCUGUCUUUUGUCUUUGAUUAGCGUGAGGCAAGAGCUGUUGUAAUUUGUAUAUGCAAUUUCAGGUUGAGAGUGGUGCUUUGACAGAGCCUUUAUGGGAUGCUACAGCAGUUCCUUAUCCAUAUCACAGUAAUGCCAUGUUUGUUCGCGAAUUCACUAUUAAACUUUUGAGUGCAUCUUUCCCUAACAUGACCGCAUCAGAGGUGAAAAUAAAAAGACGUUUCAUUUCCAUUGCUUUGUUUCUGCCACUGCUGUUCAUUGGAUGUGGCUAAUUUGAUCAUUUUUCAGGUCGCGCAAUUUGUUAAUGGACUCUUUGAGUCAAGAAAUGACCUCUCUAUAUUUAAGAAUCACAUUCGUGAUUUCCUUGUGCAAUCGAAGGAGUUUUCGGCUCAGGUAACACUUUGUGCCAAUUAUUGCAUGCUUGGGAAAAAAAAAAAAACGUGAAGACAAAAUGAAUAUGGAUGGCAAAAAUGUUACUGAACGCUGUGCAAAUGGAAAGGUUAUUAACACCUAUGUAAUGCUUGGGUUUUCUUUGCAGGACAAUAAAGAUCUAUAUGCCGAAGAAGCUGCUGCUCAGAGAGAAAGAGAGAGACAAAGAAUGCUUUCUAUUCCAGGGCUUAUUGCUCCUAAUGAGAUCCAGGAUGAGAUGUUGGACUCGUAGAUAUAGAAAUCAAUUUUUGCGGUGGAAGCUAACUUCAUGAGUUUUAAACCAGGAGUUGCUGUUGCCUAGAAGUUGAUGGAUUUCAACAGGUGCAGCAGUCUUUUCCUCCAUUGUCUGAAAUUUUUAUUUGGUAGAUGACAGAGGUGCCUUGGCAUGAAGGUUUGACUGCUGCAAAGUAGUGGAUGUAUAUCCAUUGGCUGGGUGUAGAUUAUUUAGGUGCUAAUGUAGGAAUAUAUUUGGAGUCAUUGUGCGGUUUCUGGGAUCCUGCUUGGCCCUUUGUAUUCAUCGUGAUGAUGGUAGGGAUCAAACUGUUUAGAUGACUCGUUUUGGAUUGUUGAUUCAUUCAUCAUAGGUGUAAUGCAUACUAACGCUGUCGGGUUGUGCAGAUAGUUCAAUUUUCUUUCACAAUGCCGUGUUCUAAUGUUUGGUUAGGGGCUCUUUUGAUUUUCGCCCUCCGUGAAAAUGUACCUAUGUGUUUUAAUAUAUAUUAUUCUUUACGUCCCUUGUUUUACUCAUUUAUCUUUUCUUUUCCACCUCGAGAAUCCUUAGCAGGAAUAUAUUUGUUUGUUGGCAAAAGUGUUUGUUCGUUAAUCAUGGGGGUUAUGAAAGUCAUUGUACUUGUAUGGAAAUGGGUAUGCUGCAAGCAUUUGAUCGUAGACCGGAAAUGAGAAUUUUUCUUGAGUUGAGACUAAAUUGCAAGCAGUACAAGAUCAACACUACCUUUUUACAGUUCACAAGCGGGGAUAGUUCUCUUGACGUAGGUAAAAGAUUUAUUAACCCCAAGAUUGGAAGCCUUAUAGUACUAGCCUACUAAUGGUUGAAAUUUUCCACGACGAGUUACUAAUUCUGCCAAUGCAGUGAAAUUCUUGAAAGAGCUCCCAUUUGGUCCGGUUGCACUUUUCGCGAGUUCUUUAAGUGCUUUAACAUUUUCCCUCAUUUUCUUUCCUUUUUCAUGCGAGAAAAUCUUGUUUAAACAUUCAAUUACUCCAGUUUUUGAGAGAAUUCCACUCUCAACUUUGACACCAAUUUCCCAAACAUCUUCAACCAUCCUUCCAUUUAACAUUUGAUCACCAAAAAAAGGCCUACAAAUCAUAGGCACCCCUCCUACUAUACUUUCCAUCACUGAAUUCCAACCACAAUGUGUAAUAAAAACCCCAAUUGCACUAUUUGCUAACACCUCCAUUUGUGGAGUCCAUGCCACCACAAUUCCAUUUAAUUUUGUUCUUUCCAGAAACCCAUUUGGCAAAUUAACCUUUAAAUGCUCCUUAAGUGACCAUAUGAAAUGUAUCUUACUUGACUCUAAUGCUUCAGCUAGUGCAACUAAUUCAUGUGGAGGCGGUGUUGCCACUGAGCCAAAACUGAUAUAGGCCACUGAUUCAGGUCUUUGCUUCUGAAGCCAAUCCAGGCAGCCAUACGAGUCUGGUGUUGGUUUUGGCGGUGAAAUCAAAUUGAAGGGUCCAAUACUGAGGAAUUUGUUGAAUUUGGAAUUCAGGUCACUUGUUAUUACAGGCUCUAGCUCUUCAAAUGAAUUUAAGAAGACUGUAUCUGCUUUGACUAACGUGAUUCCCAUCUUGUGUGACAUUUGGGAGAAGACUGAUUCUAAAUUUCCAAAGGUUAUUCCUUCUGGUAAAUCUCUAAUUUGAACUUUAGACAUUCCUGGAAUUAAAUUGAGGGUUUCAUUUUCCCCCGCUUUACCUGUAAUUUGCACAAGUAGAAAAAAAUGUCAUUAUUCUGUUUGUCAUUUUCUCAAUUAUAAUUAAAUAUCAAGUGCUGAGAAUUUACCUUCAACUCCAAAAGUCUCUCUUAUGGAAUCAGUAUAAAAAUGAACAGAGAUUGAUACAGGCGAACUUGUCCAAAACGCCAUCCAAGCCACCUUCAUCUCCUCCGCCAUCUCCGCCCCGAACCAAAAGAAUGCAUCAGUAACCAAACACGUGACUUCCUUUCCUGUCUCUGCCACCGCUUUCAUGAUUCCUUUCUUGAAGCUUUCAGGAGCUGCUUUCAUGAAUAGCUCUAUAUCCUCCUGUGGUUUCCCUAGAAAUUGGUAGCCGUCAGGGACGCCAUCCCACACGUCAUAGACUUUAAUGCUCGGUUCCAGAAUAUUAUUACUGUUGGUGGAGAAGAUGGAUUUGUUGGAUUUUGAGAUGUUGAGGAAGGAGAAGAGUGUGUUUGGAGAUAAAAUGGCUAGCUGGUUGGUGAUGGAGAAGAGUGGAGCUGCGUGAGUGCCGAAAGGGAAGGCUAGCACCACAACAUGGCGGCCAGCGGCGGUGCCGGUGUCGGUUUCUGGCAUGGUUAAGCUAAAGUUAUGGAAGUGGAAAUGAAGCUGAAGAUCUGUAAGUUUAGCUUAGUUAUAUGCACAGCAAAUGGUUUCUUUAAUUCUUUAUAUAAUGUGAUUAUAUUUAUAUAUCUAUAUAUAUUAGGAGCUAAGAUCAAUUAGCUAUGCUGAGUGAAACUCUCUGCUUCAUCUAACUGGUGGUUAGGUCCAGCAUACGAAUGGCAACCCCCGUGAAACAGAUUUUUCAUUUUUUCUAAGCAUUUUCCCCGAUUUUUUGGUAUAAGGUUAGCCUCCUGAUAAAUAUUUUUUCCAUAAAUAUAUAACUAAUAAAGAAUGUUGGUUACAUUAUUUAAAUGUUACUUACUACUACUUAGAACACUCUUUAUGAAUUUUGAAUUAAACUUUUAUAUAUAUAUAUAUAUAUAUAUAUAUAUAUAUAUAUAUAUAUCAAAUCAAAGAAAAUAAGUUUUUUUUUUUAAUUCUUGAUAAUUAGUUUUUAUUUUUUUCCCGAGUGAAUAGUCUAAAAUAUUCGUCAAUAAGAAAAAUAAUUCUUAAAAAAGAAAGUCAUUUUUUAUUGCUUUCUCUGUCUUGGACAAAUAUUAAAGAGGAAUUAAUUUUACUAAAUUAUUACAAAAUCAAAGGGAAAUUUUUACUAAAUUACAUUUAUCUCAAAAUUAAUAAUAAUUUAUGAGGGUAGUUAUUAUAUUUAAUGUAAAUAAGAGUGAUAUUAAAAAAUAUUAUUUAUUAUUUUUUAAAAUAUUUAAAACAAUUUAUAUUUAGGAUAAAAUAAUUAUAAAAAGAACUUAUUUUUUAGGAUGUUGGGGGUUGUUUGGUGUAUGAAUGGAUUGGUAGAGCUGCACGUCAAUCCCAUAAAGUUUUCAUCGUUUAUUGCACUCAUCAAUGCUUAGACUGUAACUGCCAUGAGCCAAAAACAAAAAAAUGUCAGAAAACAUAAAUACAGUAUGAUUCAAUCAAUUAAUAAAAAAGAAUAAUGUUUUUGUUAUUAUUUUAUUAUUAUUUAAAGUCGAUUUAAACGAAAUAUUACAGCAAAUGGCGACUAAUCAUGCCGGGCCGAACUUAUGUCGAAACAAAUAGUUGCGGCCCAGCUUUAACUCGGUCCAAACUGAGUUUUAGAAUAAAAUAUUUUAUAAAAUAGAAAAAAAAAAUAUAUUCCACGCCUGUAAAGACUUGCGCUGAACAAAAGCAAACGCAUUUUCUCUUUCUUCUCACUCGUUAUGCCUCUGAAUAAAAAUAUAUAAAACUCAAAAAAAUUUAAAAAAAAAAAAAAGAAAAAAACACUGUCAAAUCGAUUUCGCUCUGAAUCUCUGAAUGUAAACUUCCAUCGGAAAAUCAUAGCAUAGCGUAGAAGGAGAUCAAAGCCCAAAUUGAAAGAAGGUAAAAUUAAAAAAACCUUCAUAUUCAGCAUCAAAGGGGCGGCUACGCAAUGGGUCAAGCCUUUCGCAAGCUCUUCGAUACCUUCUUUGGCAACACUGAGAUGCGGGUACACUCUCUCUGUUUCUUAAUAGUAUAUGUGCAUAAAUACAUAUAUGUUUACGCGGUUGCUUUCUCUUAACGCGAUAAUACUUUACCAUCUAGGGUGUGUUAGGAGUUAACACUGGGGUUAUCUAAAAAUUUCCUCUAUCGCUCUGCUGCUGCUGUUGCUUUAGUUGUUAAUUUCCUUGGAAGUUAAUGGGUUUUGGAGAUUAGCGUGUUUGACGGAUUGUUAUUGGACUUGUGUUUUUAGAACUAAUGACAGCACAGUAGUGAAUUUUGUUUGUUUAUUUAAUGGGUCAUAAUGCUUUCUACUAAUGCUAACAUCCAUGAGUAUAAUAUUAUUAUUUUGGGUGCAUCAGAAUAUAUAUCCCAUCUAAUGAGAAUUAUAGGGAGGAAACCAAUUGCCAGUGAUUUAUCAGGAUUUUAAAUUUAGAAGGUAUAAAUAUUUAUCCUAUUUUCUAGCUUCUUUUUUGUUAAUGAAUCAUUUUUCAUGUAUAUUCUGCGUUUUCAUUUUUAAUGAAUCAACAGUUUUAUUAAUCAUGGAAAAACAAGUUUAGGCUUUCACUGUUGUAGUUUUUGAUAGCUUGAUGACACUGCACUUGAUUUUGCAUUGUGUAUAAUACUAUUUACAACCUUCAAUUUGUUCAAGUACUUUGACUAUCUGGUUAGUUUAACUUCUAUUCUUGUCUGUGUUUUCAAUACUGCUGAUGGGUACCUUAUAUGUUAAGAAGUUCCAGUGUUGAGUAUAUGAGGAUUUUUCUUCCAUCAAAGAGUUAGAAGUUUCUUGCAACACUUGCGUAAAGUAAUGUGAAUUUAUAAAGAAUAGAUCAUGAAAAGGAAUAUAGUAAAUUUGUUACUUAAAAUGAUACUUCAAAUUGGACCAUUUAGUUCCUUCCUGGUGGCAUGUAUAAUUCGACUCUGUUUUUCCAUAGUAGCCGUCAAUUGAAUUAGUGACCAUAAUUGAAUAUAUCUAGACUUUAAAAUUAUGGUGAUUAUGGAAGGAAUGGCAAAGAAAUGGGGUUAUUAGAUUCUGAUGCAUCUUUGCUCAACGGGCAUGUUUGGGAAGUUAAAAUAUCUAUGGCAUAACUGAAUGUUUCUAUGACCAUUUGAUGUCAAAUAUGACUACAUUGGGGAUUUAAUGCUUGGUGUUGGUGUAAUGUAAGGUUGCUCUUUUAUUGGCUGAAAGGCUGUUUUCUUCUCUCCCUUCAAUGCGAUAAACUUAGCUUUUGAAUAUAUAAGUAUGAAUAGAUAUUUAUAUUUUUAUAAAUAUAGAUAUAAAUAUUCAAUAUGGUCAACUUAGCUUGUAAUAAAUAGGGAAGCAACGAUUUUGGGAAAAAUAUUAGACCGGUAUAACUUAAUUACAUAAGAUGUAGUUGAGCUAUUGCAAAUAUGUGGAGGGUAUACUACCUUUAGCUUCCAGCUUGUUUAUAACUGGAAUAAUUAAUUGUUGGCAGUGUUCUGCAUUGAUAUUUAUUGAAUUUUGACCAUCUUUCAUAUUCUGGAAUUCGGGCUUUACUUAUAUGCAACAUACCUUUGAUUCUUUUUUCUUAUUUGUUACUUUCAUUUUUGCUGGCAUAGGUGGUGAUGCUAGGGCUGGAUGCAGCUGGUAAAACAACCAUACUUUACAAGCUACAUAUUGGAGAAGUCUUAUCUACUGUUCCAACAAUUGGUAGGUUUCUUUUUUCAUGAUUACUCACUUUAAUUAUGACGGUGCAAGGCUUAAAUCUGAAACAAUCUGCUAUUUAUCUAUAUCUAAUCACUAACAUCAUGCAAUAGUGGAAAUAGAUGCAUGGUAGGGAACUGUUACAACUUUUUGUAUAGGAUCAAGUACAGGUCUUGUAAAUGGAAGUGCUAGGGUAGGGCCAACAGAAAUAUGCUGUUUGGAGUUUUUCUGCCUUUUAUAUCUGUUUAAUGGGAAGAAAUAAGAAGUUGUUACAGAGAGAACCUUUCAAUCUUUGGGUUUAAGAAUUGACCUUCGAAUAAAAUACUGUCUGCCUUCAUUUCAUUCUCUUCUCUUCUAAAUAUAAGCAAGUAAAAUCAAAGAAACAAUUUCAACACACAGUAACUACCUACCACAUCUAAGGGAAAUUGCUAGCCACAAUUAAAAGAAAUUAUCUAUGUUAUAGGAACACGUGGAAAUCCUAGAACUGUACAAUAAAAGAAAUAGAACUGAACAACAAAGUAAAUAUUCUUGCACCAGAUUUAAUAAACUACUCAGGCCUAAAAUAAAUAGUUUGAUAAGAAAGAGAAAAGAAAAGAAAUUGGUGACUUUGUGCAGCUGUGACUGUACCUGUCUCUGUACCCUAGGUACCGUAGCAGUAUUGGGAAAGAAGGGAAAAAAGAGGAAAACUAAAGGAGAAAAACCAGGGGUGCAGGUCUUCCUACUCAGAUGAACGUGUUCAUUAUUCAUUGUCAAAAUCUAAGAAAAUAACAUGUUGUAAAGGUAUCCAAAAGACAAAUAACCAAUUCUGGAAAUCCUAAAUAAAUACUAAAUAGGAAGCAAACAGUUUCAAACAGGUUCUAACAAAAAAUUUCUGAAUCACAGUGAUCCUAUAUUUUCUAGAUAAGAAUAUAGGAAAUUACAAAAUUUUCGUAUGGAGAAAAUUCACAUAAGAAAUUAGAGUUCUCAUACAUAAUUAAAGAUGAAAUCAAAAUAAUUGCUAAAUCUGUUUUUCCUUGACUGCACCACUGAUUUUCCUUGACUGCACCUUGAUUUUCCUCAAUUGAAUGACCAUAAAAAGCACUAGAAAGAAGAGUGAACGUGCAUGUGCAUUAAAAAUGAAAAGGAUAAGUUAAGGCUAGUACACAAAUAAAUGGUCAAUCUUUCACAUCUUUUUUCUCAUGUUAUUUUCAAUGAGAAUAUUUGCCAAAAAUAUUUUGAAUGAUAACUAACACAUAAAGCCUGUGGUAAAAAAAAAGAAAAUGAAAAAAAAAAAAAAAAAAAAAAAAAAAAACAGUGAUGAUGAGUCUCAUGUCAUUUAGAUUAAAGACUGUAAGUGUCAUGGCAAUUACUGAAUGGACCUCUCAUGAUUAUAUAUUCUGAAAUCUUCUCUCUGUCUGAAGCUUAAAUCUGUUCUAUUGUCCAAUGUUUCUACCCCACAUGGUGGCACUGCUAUUCUCAAUUACCAUUUUAUCGGCUUCUUGUAGUUUUCACCAAGUAAGUAGCCACUGUCAGCUCCUUACCAAGCAUAUAAGUGACGUGCUAAUCUCCAUACAAAACCUCACACCAAUGUUGCUGCAGAUGUGACAGCUGAAGACCCACAGUAUAUUCCACUUCUGCCUCAAGACAUUUGAGACCAUAAUCAAUAAAUUAGUCAUUUAUAAUCAUUUUGAGUUUAAACUGUGAAAACUUUCAACUAUCACAGCUGUGGUGGUGGGUCCUAGCUCUUCAUAAACCUAUCUAUUGAUGUUGGAGAUAUAUUAAUUCUCCUUAUCUGCUGUAGGGUUCAAUGUGGAGAAAGUUCAGUAUAAGAAUGUGAUGUUCACUGUUUGGGAUGUUGGUGGGCAAGAGAAAUUACGGCCACUUUGGAGGCAUUAUUUUAAUAAUACAGAUGGAUUGGUAAUAAUUAUUUUCUGUUAGUCUUCUUUUGCUAAUUAAGCUCUUGCAACACUUGUUUUUUUCUUCCAAAAUAAGGUUUUCUGUUUGCUUUAUUGCGUGCAUCCUACAUGUUAGCUUUUGAACUUUGUGUCAAAGCUGAUAGGUAAAUUUGGAUUUUUUUUUUUUUCCUUCCCGUUGUCCAUACAGAUCUAUGUUGUUGAUUCCUUGGACCGUGAAAGAAUUGGCAAAGCAAGAGCAGAGUUUCAGGUUGUAUGUCAGAAAGGUAUGCUGACCGUACUGCAAUUUACCUAAACACAGUUUCUAAAUUAAGUGCGUAUUUCCUUUCAGGCCAUCAUCAAAGAUCCUUUUAUGCUCAACAGUGUCAUCUUGGUGUUUGCCAACAAACAGGACAUGGUAUGUUAUCAAUCUUUUUGCAUAUGAAUGAUAAAAUAUAGUUAAGUAGGCUUCUAUAAUGAGACCUAGGAUGUUUAUAUACUUGACUUGAGAUAGUAAUGUACACAUUAUUGUACAAGUACCUGGUGCAGAAACAAUGUGUCUGACCCAAUGAUCUUCCAGAAAUGGAUCAGUAAAAUGAAUGAGACUGUCGCCUUUUUGACAUAGAGAAACCAAGACAAGGGACAUUGUAGAAAUCCUAUCCAAUUGUAUAAAUGCAAAACAUCAAAGACGGAGACAAGCAUGCCCAACUCUGUAUCUUACAAAAUGACAAUUAAGUACUGUCUCAAAUCAUUUAUAUCUGUCUUUCUAGCAUGCUUUCAUGCUAUAGCCUAUUCUUUUCAUUGCAUGUGGCGUGGCCUAACUACAUCUGCCAUUUAUUUAGUAAGACCUGAACAGUCCAUUAAGUUAUUUAACUGCCAGAUUGGCUUUCUUUUUUACAUACAUAAAAAUUCCACAUAAAUGCAAAAAUGGAAUUAUUAUGUCAUCUCAAACUUGCUUAUUAGGCUUUGAUCUUGAUGUCCUUACAUUGAGUCCUUUUUGUUGGAAUGCUAUACUUUAGAGGUUAAUCCUAAUAGCAUAUUUAAAUUUUCUAAAGUUCUAGAAGAUUGUGAGGCUAAAAGAGCUGAUUGAUCCUGCUAACCUUUUCAUCUUUGAUCAAGAUUUUGCCAUAUCUUGUGUGGCCUUCAGAUGUUACUUAGAAAUGAAGGAUAGGCUGGGUAUUCAGAAGGAAACCCAUGUUUCUGCCUGAAAUAGUUGAUGCUUAGGGCCUGUUUUAUGGAUUCCAACUCCCCUCCCUUUUCUCUCUGUUUCCAGGUUAAAGCUUACUGCAAAUAGGAAGUUAUUUCAUAAAUUCUUUUGAGAGGAAAGCUUGAUAAUUUUUUGCAUCUGACCUUAAUAAAUUUAUAAGGACACUUUUUCUGGGUACUGUAAUGUAGCCAAAAAGACACAGGCAUUGGAGGACUUGGAGAUUGUAAUGGUGGUGUUCUGGACACUUUCCUGUGUGUGGUGGAAGUAGAAGUAAUUGUCUGGUGUAAAUAGUUGUGGCGGUGGUCCGAAUUAUGGUAGUCUGGAUGGUUGAUUGAUCUUUGUGAUUCUGUGCCAGUCUGUGGCAAUAGUGAUGAUAAUGGUAGUGGCAUGGGUAUUGUGUAUCUCUGUUGAAACUCUCCUGGAUUUGAGUCAUUCUUUGGAAGUUUUACUUUGUGUAUUGUUCUUUAUCUUUUUGGCCAUUAAUCUAAAUUGUUUUGAGCAUGUCAAGAACUUCCAUGCAUCGUUAUCAUUGAUGUUACUAAAAUUCGGAAAUAUGCUGAAGGCAUCCAAAAAUUGCUUGAAUUUCGCUUUCAUAGAUUUAUCUAGUGUGUAUAAUUAUCAUUAGUUGUAAAUGAAAUUUGGAGGGCUUGGCUGCUGACGUGUUUAGGCUUCUAGCUGGUCCACAUCAACAAUAUCUAAAUUACAUAAAGCAUAGAUGAAAUGAAGAACAUAUGAAAAAGAUAAUGUAAAAAACUUACAAAAGAAAAGGAAGAAGACUAACGUAGGAGCAGAGAUUAGAAGGAUUAGAUGGACACCUGUGGCUUUUAUAUUUCGGUGUCUAUUUGUGUGCCUGUUUCUAUUGCCUCCACAUGGCUGGGAGAAACAAACCCCAAAUACUAUUUCUUAUCUUUGAGAGAUCGACAGCUUUGUCUUUGCUGCCUGCAUAGACCAAAGAUGUUUGGUUAAUGUGAUGUAGGAUUUCUAAGCUUGAAUCUGUUUCUGUUGUUAAGAAAGGAGCAAUGACACCAAUGGAAGUAUGUGAAGGAUUAGGUCUCUUUGAACUUAAGAACAGAAAAUGGCACAUCCAAGGGACUUGUGCACUCAGAGGAGAUGGUCUGUAUGAAGGUUUAGACUGGUUAGCUUCAACUCUGAAAGAAAUGAGAGCUGCUGGAUACUCUUCUGUGGGCACCUCAUCAUUCUAAUACACCAGGUAACUUGAUUUUGCCUGUUUUUUGCCAGUUCAAAGUAAUAAACUUGAUUUUGUUGCUUAGUUUUUGUGAACUUGUUUCUGCAGAUUCACUUGAAAACUUGAGGUUCGUGCAGAUUAAGCCACAAGCAUCAAGGAAGUCCUAAAAUGUAAUCAAAUUUUUGUGGGUUGUCUGAAGUGAACAGAGUUUAUGAGGGUUCUUACAUUUUGUCCCACUGGGUACUAUCUGACUUCCAACAAUGUAAAUUGAAAUUCUAAUGAGACCCUGUAAUUGAAAGUUAAAUUGGAAACUGGGAAUAUAUUAAUAUACAUAUAUAUGCUUAGAUGUCCCUUUAUAUGUAUGGUAAAUUAAUGUUUUUUUUUUUCUGUUUUGAGAAUAAUAUGGUAAAAUAUUGCUAAUCACUUAAUCAUGUCUUUAGAUGUCUCUUGGUCAGAAAUGGUUUGCAAAUUGAAAAUGCUUUCAGCUAGUAAAUUUGUUGCAUGCAAAUUACACAAAUUCUUCAUUAUUGGCAUUUAACAUGUAGGCCUAUAAUUGACCCAUAAAGUUGAAUAAUUUCAGACCACCGGGGAUAUUUUUUACUUUCAUAUAAAACAACGCAUAUAGCAAAGCAAAAUCAUAACGGCUUCUAACUGUCACCACAAAAUUUUUAACUGUCACUCUCUCACUCCUUCCAACCUCAAUAACUCUCCCACCAAUCAAAAUUAAAAAUCCCAACCAUACACACAAUCUCUCUCCAUAAUAAAAUAAUAUUUGCUAGAUUUUUAUUUUUUAUUUUUCUUCAUAAAAAAACCAAAUCCAACCAACUGCAAACCAAACAACUAAAAAUCAUUUCCCAAAUUUCAAUGCCUUCCUCUUCCUCGUCCUUUUCUCUUCCAGAAAUGUUUGCCAGAAAAACAUCUCCUUUUCUCCAGAAGUUCCAAUUUCACCCCUUUUACUUUCGCCAUACUAAUCACAAUUCCUUCAAAUUCCGUUGCCUUCUCGACGAAAUUGCCCCCAAAUUUGUCGUCUCCUCCUCCCUCGCUUCCGUUUUCCCUACCGGCAACAUCAUCGCUGCUGCUACCGCCGCUUCCUCUGGUACUACCUCCGUCCAUGGCGCAGUGUCGUCUGCUAUUACUCAAGUUGCUGUCACCGCAGUCGCUAUUGCUUCCGGUGCUUGCCUCUCCACUAAGGUUGAUUUUUUGUGGCCUAAAGUGGAAGAACAACCAGGUAAUUACUUUUUCUGUAACACCCACGGACCAAUACGGCUACCGCCUAAAUAUGCUCAAAAAAUAGUAAAUAAAAUAUUAAAUAGGUAUAAUAAUUUUUUCGGACUAAAAUAAUACCGAGUUUAAAAUAAUACCGAGUCCCGAACCGACUAAAAUAAUACCAAUGCUCCAAAAAUAGUAUUAUUCACGGACAGGGAAAUCACUGUUACCGAAAAGAAAAUCAGACUGUUACAUUUUCUCCUCAAAAGCAAAAAACAAAUAGUCUAACUAUUUAUUUUUUAAGUAAAUUUAUGCUUGUUAAUUUGGCGCGCAGGUUCUUUUAUAGUAGACGGAGUGGAUGUGACUGGUUGUAGUAUAUUUAGUGAUGCAGAGGUUUACCAUCUCUACUUGUAUUUUGAUUUUUUUGCGUAAUAUUCACAUGCUUCCACUGAAUAGUUUUAAUCUGUGAUGUGAAGGCAGGUGCAAAAGGCUAUUGCUUUUGCUAAGAAGGCUCAUCAUGGGCAGUUCAGGAAAACAGGAGAGCCUUAUUUGACUCAUUGUAUACAUACUGGAAGAAUCCUGGCAAUGCUGGUUCCCUCAACUGGCAAAAGGGUAAUGCUGUUUUACUAUCAAUUGUUAUGAUUUGAUCUUUUUAUAUUCUUUCACUGUUACUAGUUUAGCUCCAGUUUUCUAACUAGCGUGAGCCGUUUUUCUAACUAGCAAAUUAAUGUCAUUUGCUUGUUUUCCUAGGCCUUCUAGAUUCUAUAAUGGCAUCUAGUUUUGCAUGUUCAGUUAAUAUUAGUUUUCUUUUAGUGUUUGUAACACUGGCAAACACAUCUUUCAAGCAUUUUGCUUUCACUAUACCCUCAAAUGAUAUAAAAUCUAUUGUAGGCUGUGGAUACAGUUGUGGCUGGGAUUCUUCAUGAUGUGGUGGACGAUACUCAUGAAAAUUUACAGAGUAUAGAAAAGGAGUUUGGUGAACAUGUUGUGAAAUUGGUAGCUGGUGUUUCCAGAUUGAGUUAUAUAAAUCAGGUAAUAAGCUUGUUAUGCCUGUGUCUCUCAGUCACUUUCCCUCCUUUCCCUUUUCUUCUCUUUUGACAUUGCAUUUCUUUCAUCAGGGAUUAUGGUGACUUUUGUUUUGUUAGACAUCUUUUGGGAAGGGAAUGGGUGGAGUUUUGGAAAGUGGAAAUACCCUGUUGUUUAACCCAAUGUUGAUGUCUGACUUGAAAAGUAAAAAGAGUGGUGUAUGUGGUAGUCUUAACUCUUACACAUUCACAUUUUAAGAUAUGAAUUUUUUUGAAAAGUUUAAGGAACAUAGAAGUCAUUGAAGUCACUUUAACUCUUACAUAUUCACAUUUUAAGAUAUGUUUAUUGCUUUUUUUCACUUUUGUUGUGGUCAUCAUGAGAUUGUAAUUUAUAGAUAUGCUUUCUCUGGUCCUAUGGUAUUCCAUACUUUUUUGCUGCUGUUCUUUCUUAAUUUAAUAUUUUAAUUUUGCAGUUGCUACGGAGACAUCGAAGGAUAAAUGUGAACCAGAGCACCCUUGGUCAGGAAGAGGUAUGCAAAUUAAAAUUUCUCUAAAACCCUUGGUCAGGAAGAGGACGGAACUUAAAAUUUCUCCUAAUGAUUGCGUAAAACUGUUACCAUAGAAAUCAGGAUAUGUAUUUUGUUCUAUUCAUCAUUUGCUACAACUAGCUGUUUAUGCUAAUAAUAAUAGUACCCAUAAAAGAAGAGUUGAUAUUUGACAGAAAACUGAAUGAGGUUGAUUUGAUCUCUACCAACGGGUCUGUGGCGCUUUCCAAAGCAUUUGGUCAAUGUAUAAAGCUUUCAUUUUCAAAUUUCUUUACUUUAUAAAUGAUGAUCAGAAAUUAAUUACCAUCCAAAGUUUGGGUUAGAUGGUUCAACUAACUAUAGCAUAAGUGUUACAAAAUGCAUAACUGCUAGAUUUUUCUGCUCUAAAAGACUAGCAUAGAAGCAAUAGUUAACUUCAGUAGUUUAUUAACUCUCAUUUUAGAUUAUUGACUCUUGUAAAUUUUAUUGCUACCUUUCAAGGCAAAUAAUUUACGAGUUAUGCUCUUGGGCAUGGUUGAUGAUCCACGGGUGGUGCUGAUCAAGCUUGCAGACCGCCUUCACAACAUGAGGACCAUGUAUUGACUUCAAACUCCAUUUACACCAACAUUUUACUCCUGUUUGAGAGGGUUGUCUCUCUGUUUAAUUAGUUCCAUGUUCUGGAAAUACUUUUUUCUUAUUUAGGAUUUCUUUUAUCUGAAUCUUUCUUCCUUUCUUUAUGUUUUUUCAACAUGAUGGCUUCGAUGUUUUGUAAAGGUUUGAAAAGCUUUCAUUCACAAACACAGAUGUUUACUUGAGAUAGCAAUUAUUUGCAGGCCAGAGUUUCUUGCUUAGAGACUUAAUUUUUUGGAUCACAAUCCUGGAUAACGAUUUAUUUUCUUUUAGUUUAAAGAAUUACAUUGUGGUUUACAGUCUUGAAUAAUGACUUGUUAUUUAUAAUGUUGCAGUUAUGCUUUGCCACCACAGAAGGCUCAAGCUGUUGCGCAGGAGACCUUACUUAUUUGGUGCUCACUUGCUUCAAGAUUGGGUUUAUGGGCUUUGAAGGCUGAAUUAGAAGAUUUAUGCUUUGCAGUACUUCAGGUGUGACUUAUAAUUUUGAUUGUGCAAAAUAUGUUAAUCUAUAAUAAGCUGAAUGCAUUUGUAGACUGAUUUGGUUAGAAAUUGGUAGUUCUCUAAGAACAUGGCAUAAUUUAUUGAUCAUGUUAGUUAAUCAGUCCAAGUAAAACUAUGCUGUUGCAUCUAUUUUGCAUUUUUCUCUCCAUUGAAUCUGUUAAUUUUUUUUAAGCCAAGUAAAUAUGGAAAAUAAUAUGUUUUACAGAGUGAUGACUAUAAAUCUAAUUCACAUAGUGUGAACACUCCAGAACUGGACCUUUUGCAUUCUCAUUAAUGAAAUUUUGAAAAAUGCGAAUGAACAAAGUAAAGGAAUCCAGCAUCUAUGUUUUGUAUGAUCCUAGUUGCAAGGUGUGGGACAUAGAUCCCACAUUGAUAGUAUGAGAUGUUUAGUGGGAUUUAUAUAAAGUUGGACUCUCCAAGCUCAACGGCUAGCUUUUGAGGUGUAGUUUUCCAAGGUUCGUAUCAUGAUCUUGCAACCCUGAAUUCUUAAGGAUGUGUUGUAGCAUAGCAUUAAACAAAUACGAGGUUUCAUCAAAAGUUCAUCAGAAAUGAAUUGAAUAACUUGUCCUUAGCUAGUAUCGACCUGUCCAAAUCCAGAACAAUUGUUUUGCAAGAAUUGAGUUCAAUUUGGAGCCUUCUGAAAUUGUUGCAGCAGUUGGCCUUUUGGAUGGCAAAUUUGUGAACAACGGUAGUCAGAGAGAAUGGAGCAGCUAAUUCAGAUCUUUUUAGGAAAAUUUAAUCCAUUUCGUUCUUUAUUUAGUGUACUUAAUCAUAAAUGAUAUGCAGCCUCAAUUGUUUCGGAAGAUGCGAGCUGAUCUGGCUUCCAUGUGGAGCACUAGCAACAGAGCUGGAUAUCCAAGAAAAAUGUCUAACAAAUAUGGCUUGAUACCUCUAGAUGAGAAAAAUUUGACUCCUGAUGGCGGAGAUACUUUAGCUUUUGAUGAAGACGUCUCAACAAUGAAGGUAUUCUUCAUAUUCCCCCUCCCCAACCCCCCAAUAAGAACACACAAACAUGCACCACAAACCAUGGAGCAAAAGAAGAAAGAAAGACAAGGCUAAGAAAAGUUGUUGAAAAAAUAUAUCUAUAAAAUAAUGGUGCAAUGAACUGUUUAUUUAACCACAAUAAAUUUGUUCCAGAGGUUUUCUAGCAAAUUCAUGGAUUCCAAAUUUCUCUCUUAAUUCCAUGGUCUUUUGGCCUGCUAGAAUGAUAUUUAUUCUAGCUGCAUUUUCAUUUUGAGUGCACACCAAAAACAAUUAGAGUUUUUUGAGAGCUGAAUAAAACAUCCAUAUUUUAAGUCAUGUUGUUGAUCUUUUCUAUAUGUACAGGAUCUCCUGGAAGCUGUAGUGCCUUUUGAUGUCUUGUUAGAUCGGAAAAAAGGGGCUAUAUUUAUUAAUAUUCUUGGUAAAACAUCAGAGACUCAAAGAGUAUCAAAGGUUGUUCAAGAUGCUGGAAUCGCUCUAGCUUCUCUAAUUGCUUGUGAGGAAGCACUUGAGAAGGAGCUAUUUAUAUCUACUUCGUAAGUUUUACCUUUCACCAUUGAUAUUUACUUCUUGUAGUUCUGGGAAGAAAACAUAUAAAUAAUACCAUUUAUCAAUGAUUCAUCAAUUCUCACAUCUUGUCUAUUGAAUGACUAUCGCCAUUUUGCCCGUCUCAUGGAUGUUCUCUCUCUCUCUCUCUCUCAUGCUUGCAGUUAUGUUCCAGGGAUGGAAGUGACUUUAUCUAGUCGACUUAAAAGCUUGUAUAGUAUCUACAGCAAGGUAUCACAAAUGUUUUUUAUUUGAUUUAAUUUGUAAAGCAUGCAUUAAACUUUAUUUAUAAAUUCAUUUGUUGAUAGGAAUGUGCCUAGAGGCCUUGUUAUUUUUAAUCUGCAGUUUAAAAAUAAUGCUAUUAUUUUUUAAUUUUUGUAGAUGAAACGGAAAGAUGUGGAUAUCAAUAAAGUAUAUGAUGCCCGUGCAUUGAGGGUAGUUGUUGGAGACAAGAAUGGUACUUUACAUGGACCUGCAAUUCAGUGUUGUUACAGUCUUCUCAACAUAGUGCAUAGGUAUACUCAAUUACUUGUAAUAUUUAGAUUAGAUUAAUUCUCUUAGUUGUCAUAAUAUCCGAUCUAUAACCAGCUGCAUUUUGCCACUUUCUUUUAAACCAUUUCCCUGCAGCUAUUAUAGCUAAUGAUUUUCAGACAUUUGAUCCAAAUAGGUUUUUGCAAAUUUUCUUUCAUUAGCUUUGUGAGUGUUAUUGUUUUAGUUCCAUGCAUCAUUAGAAGAUACUUGACAAUAUCAUGGUGCCUAUUUCAAUAUUAUACGAUGUUUUCUGUGCUUUCUCAACCAUACUGGUCAUUUCCAGAUAACAUGUCAUGCUAUUACCUUCCUGUGCAGGCUGUGGACCCCCAUUGAUGGUGAAUUUGAUGAUUACAUUGUUAACCCAAAGCCCAGUGGAUAUCAGGUGAUGUAUCAAUUAAAUGUCUCUCUAUUAAGUGAAAGUCCAAUGUAGUCAACUUAUUUACAUUUAAAUGCUUAGGCAGAUAAGUGGUGCACCAUUAACAUUUAAUCAUGCUAUGUUCUUGCAAAAAGUAAUAUGAUAUGAUAGAGUUUCUUAUCUUUGUGAAUCCUAUAAGAUCUUGAGAAGGAAUAAAAAGAUAGUGUCACCUAUCUCUCACGAUAGAGCCUCAACUGCUAACUUGGGGAGAGGGGAAGGAUGCCUGUUGUAGAGUUCUAGUGGUUCAUUGUAUUUCUGAACAUAGAUAGAUGUAAUGAGAAAAUACUGAAACCUAGUAGUUGUGGUAUCUUAUCUUAUGGAUAGUUUGGAUGCCUCAUGGCUGCUAGAAGUAAAUUAAUUUAUUUGUCAGAUCUUCCUUGAACCUUUGUUUUAAGACGUGCUAAAUGGUCAGGUUUCCAAAUAUUAGUUUCAUACAUUUUCUUUUGACCUGAAAUCAUUCUCCUUUUUUUCAACUUUGUGGAUUUGAUUUUGCAUGUUGAUAUUCUUAGAAUUUUGCUAAUUCACAUACCUAGUGUUAUGUUGAGUGACAUUUUCAACCGAAGCUUCCUUUUGCCUAUUGCAGUCUCUGCACACAGCAGUACAAGGUCCUGAUAGUGCGCCGUUGGAAGUCCAGAUAAGAACACAGGUGCCAAACUUCUCUAUUUUUGUUUUAUCCAAAAGUUAGUUGCAUGGAUUUUUAUUAGCUCAUACAACUACAUUGUCACUUCAACCUUUCAAGAAAAUGCAUGAAUACGCUGAGCAUGGACUUGCUGCACACUGGCUUUAUAAAGAAACUGGAAACGAGUUGCCUCCUGUAAACAGCAUGGAUGAAUCUGAAACAGAAGCAUCUUCCUGUCUCUCCAAAGACAUUGAAGAUCAUAAUUCCUUAGAACGAGAUCAAUUUCAGAAAUACAGAUACCUGAAAGUGGGACAUCCGGUCCUUAGAGUUGAAGGAAGUCACUUACUUGCUGCUGUUGUAAUCAGGUAUGCUAUAACUUCUUGUUUAUAGUGUAUGCUAAUCACUAUAAGCUUUGGAUUCACAUGAUUGUGCAUGAAAGUUGGAUUUCAGAGUAGACAAGGGUGGAAGAGAAUUGUUAGUGGCUGUGAGCUUUGGAUUGGCAGCUUCUGAAGCAGUAGCUGACAGAAGAUCUCCUUUCCAAAUAAAGCGGUGGGAAGCUUAUGCAAGAUUGUAUAAAAAGGUUAAGUUUCUUUCUGUUCCAUUUGGAUUAUUUGGUCUAGUAAGUUGAAGCAAAGUUCAAGGGUGUGCUUAAAUAUCUGAGCAGAUGUGAAGAUUUUGUAUUUCUUGACAUCAACUUGCUGUGAUUUAUGGUGAAAAAGAAAACGUUUGAUGGGAAAUAAAUGAAAUGAGUUAGACAGUGAAGAGAAAAAGGCAAUCACACUAAAUAUGCAUACUCAGAAUGCAUGGAUAUUUAUGGACUCUUGAACUCUGUUACAUCUUACAAGGAUAAAAUUCAUGGAAACUACUUUUAGUUACGCCAAAAGACAACUUAAUUGGAAACAAAACAAACCUAAAACUCUUUGAAACUCCAAAGGGUGUGCUUUAAAUAUCUGAGCAGAUGUGAGGAUUUUGUAUUCUUUGAUGUCCAACUUGCUGUCAUUUAUGGUAAAAAAGAAAAUGUUUGGUGGGAAAUAAAUGACAUGAGUUAAACGGUGAAGAUAAAAAGGAAAUCAUGCUAAAUAUGCAUACUCAGAAUGCAUGGAUAUAUAUGGACUCGUGAACAUCUGCUUCAUCUUAAAAGGGUGGAAAUUCAUGAUGGAAACUACUUUUAAGUACACCAAAAGGCAACUUAAUUGGAAAGAAAAUAAACAUAAAACUCUUUGAAAAUAAACCUAGACUCAAGUCAAAGGAACCAAAUACCCAAAUAGGACUAUAUUGAAACAACAAUGUCUACAGGGACAAAAAUAUCAUGACGCUCAUGUAAUGAACUCCAAAAUCCGAAACUAAUAUAAUCCUAAUAACUAAUAAUUAAAUGUAUUGGAUCAAAAAAGUUGUAAUAUCCUUGUUUUCCUACAGGUUUCAGAUGAAUGGUGGUUUGAGCCGGGACAUGGGGAUUGGUGUACUUGUCUUGAGAAGUAUACGCUAUGUCGAGAUGGAAUGUAUCAUAAGGUAUGUCUGAUGCAAACAUGAUGAGAAGAUGUAAAGAUGGAGUUAAACUUUGUGAUCAUGUUUACUAUGCAUUUCCAUCCCUUCAAAGAUGCAGUGCUUGUGUUUUGCUACAAAGGAUAUAUAAUGAAAAGUUAUCAUGAGCUGGGGAUAUGGCAGUGUCUAAGUAAAACCUUCCCAUAAAUUCCAAUGUUGGAUGAAGAAAAUACAUAUGGAUAUUUAUGUAAGUAAAAAACCAAGUCAAUGGAAUUUUCUUUUCUGGUAAAGGGAAAAGAAUGAAAGAAUAGGACAUAGAUGCUAGGUGCAACAUUGUACAAUCAUUUAACUUGAUGGAUGCAAUAGUUCAAAAAAACCACAAUUGGUGAUGCGCAUUCCUCAUUGCUUAAUUAUAGUUGAUUAUAGCUUUACUGGAGAGCUCAACAGAUAGUGGACUCCUCUCAAUUAUUUUCUCCUGACUUUAUUAGAGGUUUUGUUUCCAAUUCUCCCACUAGUUGUGCUAGUUAAUAUGUAAAGAUUUCCAAUUUUGUUCUUCAAAUUAUUGACAAUGGGCUACCAGCUGUCAGUAUAUAAGAAAAAACUUCUGAAACUAUGCUAGUAUUCUAUUGUAAAAGUUUAUAAAAUAAUCUGGAAAAUUGUUUUUUAUGAACAUAAUAUGAGAUGAGUUCUAAUAUUAUCCUUUAUUUAUCAGUAUCAAGCAUGAAUACAUUUCUCAGUUUCUAAUUUUUACGAACUGAUGAUGGGCUUAUCUAAAUGUAAUACCUAUUAGAACUAUCAGGUUUGAAAUUCAUAGGAAAAAAGGGUGGUCAUGUGCAGCCUCUGGAGGGGUUGCAGAAUGACAGGAUACUCAUCUUGUGCGGUGAUUACUUUUGUUUCCGUUUGCCAGUCUUUAGCAUUCUCAUCACUUUUCUCAUUUUAUUAUUGACCACUCACCUCACAUAAAAAUAUCAAAUAUAAUUAAUUAUGAAUUACCGAGCAUGCAUAAGACUGAUAAACAUAAUACUUAAGUUUGCUUUAUACAUGAUGGUAUUGUUGUUAAAAUUUCACUUCUAUCUCUAUAACACUGUUCUUGGUCAGAGCCAAAUUUUGCUUCUUUGGCAUUUUACAGUUCAAGACUUGCUGUGAUACUACUAUACAUCAAUUCCACAUUUUGUAUUUGUUUAGGAAAUAAUGCUCUUAGAGACUUAUACUGGACUUCCUCAAGAAAUUCAUUAAUGUAUAUGUUGCAGCAAGAUCAAUUUGAGCGCCUGUUGCCAACCUUCAUUCAGGUUAUCGACCUAACGAAGCAAGAAGAAUCUGAAUAUUGGGCUGUUGUAGCUGCUGUUUUUGAGGGCAAAUCUAUUGAUUCUGUUACAUCCAGGUCGAACAUAGAUUCUGUUGCUUCCAAUUCUAUUGAAGCUAGCAUCAACAAUAAGGUCAGUGUGCAAUCAUCUGGUUGUUUUGAACUCAUUCACUUGAUUGGUAGCUGGUAGAAUCUUGUAACAAUUUUCUAAGUUUUCCUGACACUGGCUUCCUGCCUGCCAGGAAGCAUUCUAGUGUAAUGAUUUUGACUAGUUAUCGCAACCUGAGCAAGGUCUACCACAUUCAUUUUUCCUUCUCAUGAUAUAUGUUGGCCAAUUUGUAUGUAACUGUGCACACUCAUUGGUUAUUUUUUGCACGACUCCGACUUGUAUCAUCAGUUGCCUACUUCUAUUUGUGUAUGAGGCUUCUACACUCCCCUGAUCAUGCCAAAACAUAAAGCAUUGGUAGUGAUAAUUCCAGCAUAAAAUGGUCACUUUUCCUUGUUAAUUUGGGAAUCUCAAGGCUUCUACCUAUUUGUUACUAGUUCCAUUUUGAACCAGAUGCAGGUUCAGACAGCUUAAUCAUAUUCUGCACUUUUAGUAACAGCUGAUGAAAGUUAAACUCCCGUGCACUUAACCAAUGCAGACACAACAUGCACAGGCCGCAGUUGCAUGCAUUCAUGUACACACAGGAUAGGAUAGUUCUAUAUGAACUUGCUUGUUGUAUUAAUGACUAAUUUCUAAGUUCAUAUUUUAGGUCCGACUAUUAAGGACAAUGCUUAGGUGGGAGGAACAACUACUCUCUGAAGCGAAUCUUGGACAACAAAAGUAUGAUAGAAAAUCUAAUAGCAGCCCUGAUUCUGUUGUUCUUGGUGAAGUGGUAAUCAUUUGUUGGCCUUGUGGCGAAAUAAUGAGAUUAAGGACUGGUAGCACUGCUGCUGAUGCUGCUAGAAGAGUAGGACUUGACGGCAGGCUGGUUUUGGUGAAUGGUCAGCUUGUAUUACCAAAUACCGAGCUCAAAGACGGUGAUGUGGUCGAAGUUAGAGUGUAAAUACACUCCUCAAAGCGCAAUCGAUUAGCAUAGAUAACAGGUACUUUACAGUUCAUUGCCAUUUUAAUUACCACAUCUGAUAGAAGGGUCUUUAACAUGCAUAGUCCAAUUGAAGAACUUAGGCCUUCCAUUCAGUUUGAUGUUGUAAAUUUUCUUUGAACAUUGCAUUGAUGUAAAUAUUAGCAAAUUUUAUAGCAAUUAGAUGGAAAUUUUGUGAUUUAUCUAUUUGUUUCUGAUUUUGACUCCAAAUGCCAAAUCAAUUUAGCGUACAUUUAGCAAGACGUAAUAUAAUAUAAUUUAAUGUGAUCAAAUGCGUUUCUGUUGUAAAACAAAUUAUGCUGCUUUUGUUUUUUUCAUUUUCAUUCAAAUAGAAAUAUACUUGCAUCUAUGCAACACAUACGCAACAAGACAAGAAUUAAUAAAUUUAAAGAGAGAAUCUAAGCCAAAUUCCUGUGAGGUCAGUUAUGAAUGAAGCCCCAAAUUCAAUAUAGAUUUGUGAAUUAAUAUACAUAUAUAAAUAUAUAUUUUUGAUUUAGAAAGGAUUAAAUAGUUUAGCGGGGCUAAAUUUUAAGGACUUUGUUGUAAUUCGUCUAAGUAAGGAUAUAAAUGAGACAAGCCGCUUGUGAGCUAAUCAAGACUCGAUUUGGUAAAAGCUCGCUUGAACUCAUUUGAUAAGCUUAUCGAGUCGAGCUAUUGAGCUCAUUUAAUAGAGCCAAGCUCGAACUCGAGUCAUUAGUUCGCGAGCGAGUUCUAUCAAGCCGAACUCUCGAACUAGUCUUACUGAGCCGAGCUCAACUCACGAGUUAGCUCAAUAAGUCAAAAUUAAUUAAAAUCUACGUUAAAAAUGAUGUUUUUGUUUAAUAAAUUUCGAGCUAGAGCCGCACUUGAGCUUGGCUCAGCUUAAGCUCAGAUUUUCGAACUCAAAAUGACUUGAACUUGAAUAUAUCCUUAACGAGCCGAGCUCGAGUUUACCAAAGUUCAGCUCGGUUUGUUUACAAUCCUACGGUGGCCCAGAAGUUUGUAGAUGAAAUUGGCAUUUUCUACAAUCGUCUAUAUAUUGUCGUUUUAGAUUUUUUUUUUUUUUUUUUUUUUUCUUCUGAAACAGAUUAGUGGUUUUGCUGUAACAAGUUGUGGUGGGACAAGUUAGUUACUGGUUGGUUAAUUAAUUAACUAAUGGUACUCUUUUAGUUGGUUUUAUCAAUAAUGGAGUUUAGAUUUCAGACUGUUCGAAAGAGUUCCCCAUGAUAAUGAAAGGAUUGAUAAUUAGGUAAUUGUGAUAUCAAGGCAGGGAGGACGGAACCUUUAUAAUUUUUUUAAAAAAAAAUAUAUAUAUAUAUAUAUAUAUGAAUUAUUUAUUUUGAUUGAUUAAAACAAUUUAUUUUAAGAAUAAGAUGGAAUAUCUUAAAUCGUAAUUCAGACAUUUAGUGGAGCACAAGUUGCCGUGCGUACAAAAUAAACAUCACAAAAAAGAAAAAAAUAAAAAAUUAUCUUUUGGCCCUCAGCCUCUUGACUCUUUGUUGCCUGUCACCUUACAAGAUAUUUUUCUCUAUUUGCUUCCUUCACACAAUUAAAUUUUACAUUACUACAUUUUGUUUGGAAAGAAAAUAAAAAUGUGAAAUAGUAAUAAGAAUUUAUUUCAUUUAUUAUUUUUUUUCUUUUUUGGAUGGAAAGAAAAUAUCAAUACUUUCUCUUAUUUUCAGAGCUUUGAAUUUUAUAUCUUUAACUUUAUUUUUGUAUAUUUUUAGAUGGUCUAAUGAAAACCAAAAGGUCUAAACUUUAAUAUCUUUAUCAAUUUUAACCAAAAUUUUUAAUUUUAUUAAUCAAUACUUUAAAUAUAUUUUUUUCAUGUGAAAUCUAACUUCCAUUUAUAUUCUGUCAAAUUGAUACUGAUAUGGCAAUUAAAAAUAAUAUGUGAGUCCUGUGAGAUGUCAAGUCAGUGUUAAAACAUCAUUUCAUAUGAAAUAACAAAUUAUUUGAUUUUUUAUUUAAUAUCAAAAAAUAUUUUAAAAAUAUUUAAUUUAAAAAAUUAUUCAAUUUUCUAUACCUUAAAAAUGAAAAUUUAAAUUAUUAUUAUUAUUUAAUUUUAAAAAUUAAAAAAUUAUAAUUUAUAUAUUUAUUAUAUGAAUUUAACCAAUAAUAAACAUGAAAUAUUUUAAUUAUUUUUAGUUUUAGUUCAAAUCGAAUAUGGAGUAAUUAUUUAUAGAUUAUUAAUUUUACAAUCUCAAAUUUAAUUAAAAUAUAUAAAACUAAUUAUUUAUAAUUAAAUUUUUAAAUUUAAAAAACACAAAUUUUAUAUAACAUAAAAACCGAAAAGUUGAUUUAAGGUUUUGGGUCAAAAUUGCAAAAAUUAAAUUGAAUCAAAAUAAAAAUGUAACGUUGAAACUCUCAUGGUAAAAAAAAAAAAAAAUUAGAAUUUUAAUUUUUUUUUUUUUCAAAAUUGUUAGGUUAUUAAAUUUUUUAUUAGAAGGCAAAUUUACAUUUGUAAGGUUUUUAAAAUAAUAAUUUGUCAUUUUUCAUUUUAAAUUUUUAAGUAAAUAAAAUUAAUAAUUUUUUAUUUACAUGAACGAGUGAUUUAAUACUAAAUAGACAUUUUGUAGACCUACAAAUCAAAUUUAACGUGAGCACCAAUUUGACGGAAUGCUGACGGAAAUUAGAUGUGAUAAAAAAAAUAAAUUUAUAAUAUUGAUGAUAAAAUUAAAAGAAUUGACUAGAAUUGAUAAAAGAUUAAGGAUCGGGAUUCUUUGUAUCAUUUGUGAUCUAUAACGAGUAUUACUUAUAAUUGUAAAUAAAUAGCGCUUUUGCAGUGUAUUUCCUCUCUAAUUUAGAAAGAUGGGAAUAUUGUGAGUAUAAGAGAAAUUUUCUAUCUAUUUUUUUUCCUUCAAUAUUUUUUUUCUCUAUUUCCAAACACGACAAAAUUACUCUCUUUCAAUAUUUUUCUCAUUCAUUUUAUUUCUUCUAAUAUUUUCCCGCCAUUCAAAUAUAGAGUUGACCUUUUUGGAUAUGAAGAACAUUAAUUUGUUCUUAUCCGCACCCUUAAUUUUCUUACUCUGAAAUAUCUCUACUGGACAAAUGUCUUGUAAAUCCAAAUGGUCAAAGAAGUUUUCUUUUUUUGCUUUUUUCUUCAUCUAAAGAGAUUUUGUUUUUAGCUCAUAUUUGAGAUUUAAAAAUCUUAAUCUUUGGUUAUCCAGAAAUACUACUGAUAAACUUUCACCACCACACAGAAAAAAAGGCAAGAGGAGAGAAAAUGGAAGUCUGGUUCAUCAUCGUUGUCUCUCUUUCUCUCUGUUUUCUCUUCAACUCCCUUUUCUCUCUUCUUAAACCCGCUCAAAAACUCCCUCCUGGACCUACUACCAUUCCUAUCAUCGGCAAUCUUCUCUGGCUUCUCAAAUCCUUUUCUGAACUCGAAUCCAUUCUCCGCCACUUACGCCCCAAAUACGGCCCUAUCAUUACACUCUCCGUCGGCUCUCGCCCUGCCAUCUUCAUCUCCACUCAUUCUCUCGCCCACCAAACUCUAAUCCAAAACGGUGUUGUCUUUGCUGACCGUCCACCAGCCCUUCCUGUUAGUAAAAUCGUAACUUGUAAUCAGCAUAACGUCAGCUCUUCCUUUUACGGACCAACUUGGCGGCUUCUCCGCCGUAACCUCACUUCCGAAAUCCUCCACCCCUCCCGGAUAAAAUCGUACUCACAAGCUCGAAAAUGGGUUCUUGAUAUUCUAAUUAGCCGUCUUAAGCCUUGUUCAAAAACUGGUGAACCCUUUCUUGUUAAGCAACAUUUUCAGUACUCUAUGUUCUGUUUAUUAGUUCUUAUGUGUUUUGGUGAGAAGCUUGAAGAAGACAAAAUCAAACAGGUUGAACGAGUUCAACGUCGUGUGCUUCUAAGCUUUGAUCGUUUCAAUAUACUGAAUUUUUGGCCCAGUCUAACAAGGGUUCUGUUCUAUAAGCGGUGGAAUGAGUUAUUGAAGGUCAAACAAGAUCAAGAAAGUGUGCUGAUUCCCUUAAUUAGAGCAAGAAAAAAUUCAAAGGUUGAAACUCGUAGUAUAGAUAAAGAGGAUUAUAACAAGAAGGUGGAAAAAGAAGAGUUUAUAUUAUCAUAUGUUGAUACACUUUUCGAUUUGCAUCUCCCAGAGGAGAAUAGAAAGCUUAUAGAAAGUGAAAUUGCUAGUUUAUGCAGUGAGUUUCUUGAUGCAGGUACAGAUACUACAUCCACAGCUCUCCAAUGGAUUAUGGCUAAUUUAGUUAAAUACCCACAUAUUCAAGAAAAGCUAUUCCUGGAAAUUAAUGGGGUUGUUGGAGAUGAAGAAGUAGUUAAAGAAGAUUAUUUACAAAAAAUGUCAUAUCUAAAAGCAGUGAUUUUGGAAGGAUUAAGGCGUCACCCUCCAGGACAUUUUGUGUUGCCACAUGCAGUGACUCAAGAUACAGUUAUAGAUGGGUUUGUAGUUCCUAAAAAUGGUACAGUGAAUUUCAUGGUUGCAGAAAUGGGUCGGGAUCCUAAGGUGUGGGAAGAUCCUAUGGCGUUUAAGCCUGAAAGGUUCUUGAAUAAUGGAGACCAAGCGUUUGAUAUAACAGGAAGCAAAGAGAUAAAGAUGAUGCCUUUUGGCGCAGGGAGAAGAAUUUGUCCUGGUUAUGGUUUAGCGAUGCUUCAUUUGGAGUAUUUUGUAGCUAAUUUGGUUUGGAAUUUUAAGUGGAUGGCUGUUGAUGGAGAUGAUGUUGAUUUGUCUGAGAAGCAAGAAUUUACCGUUGUUAUGAAGAAUCCACUUAAAGCCCACAUAUCUCCAAGAAUCAGGUCAGAUGUCUGUUGAGGAGAUUUAAUUAAGGGAGAUUUAGUUGUUUCUAUGUAUAUGUAUAAUGUAUGGAAGGAAGUUUAGCAUUGGAAGUGCUUGUUAGUCUCUAGUGGGUUAAGCUCCUCUGCUAAUAUUAUUACAUAAUUGUCUUUUUGAGAAUCAAAAGAAUAAGAUUAAUUACUUGCAUAAUAAAUUUAUAUGCAUGAUUAAUUUUGUACGAGGUGUUAAUUAUCAUCUAAUGGAUGUUUUAGGGCUUAAAAAUGUUGAAGCUUGAUUCUAUAAUUUUAAUAAAAAAAAAAAUGGUUGGAGCUUGAUUUCAGUUCAUUGUAAAAUUACUUAUUUGUAUGAAUUUAUUAGCUCGGGUUUAAAAUUGACAAGGUAUCCAUUUAAAGUUUCCAUCAUUGGAUCACUUGUUUUCAAUUAUCUAGUAAUUCAAUAACAAAAAUACAAAUAAUUAAUAGCAAAAUAAUCUACAAGGAGGUGGUCAAGUAUAAGUUUACUUCUGGAAAAACAAUUAAUAACAAAAUAAAAAAAAAAUAGUAUAAAAAAAAAAAGGUUUACAAGCACGCUGCAGUACUGCAAAUCAUGAAUUAAUAUUAACUAGUUCCAUCAAACCGACUCAAAUUCUUGGACGCUUCUUACUUAAAUCUUCAAUUUUGAAGAGAGAAAUAUUCUUGUUUCUUCUAUCCAUGGUCCGUGCAACCUUCAAAAUGUGCCUUACUAAAAUAUCAAGAUUACCGGUAUUAAAGCAAUUUAUUACAAAAAAAAAAAAAAAAAAAAAANNNNNNNNNNNNNNNNNNNNNACCUUAAAAAUUUGCCUUACUAAAAAAAAAAAAUUACCGGUUUUAAAGAAAUUUUUUAAAAAAAAAAAAAAAAAAAAAAAAAGUAACAAAGUAUUAGGUUUAUUUUUAUCUAAAAAGAUUUGUUAGGUUAAAUUGCUUAUUAUAUAUAAAUAAAAUAAAUAAAUAAAUAAAAAUAAUCUCCAGCUCCAUAUAGUUCAGGUCAUAGCAAUGGCAACAAAAAAUGUUUCCACACGAGCCAUGUGUCAAUUACAAGGAGAAAAGUAUAAAUACAUCAUUCAAGUGAGAUACAUUAACCGGAAUGUUCUAAUUCCAUGUCACAUAGAUCUAAGCUUGUGGCUCACUGCUGCUAACCUAAGGAUAGGAACAUAAUGAGGCCAACCACAUCGUCCAACUUAUAGUCUCUCACUCUCACAGGUCACAGCAAAGCAGCUAAUGGAUCCAUGAACUAUUAAAAGAAGUUGAAGCCAAAAACAAUAACCCAAAUUUAUGAAUUUUCAGUUGGCGUAGGAUUUGGCUCUGAUGAUCCAACUAUUUCUUCAAAGGCUUCCAUGUCAAUGGUCAUAUCAUCAUCAAUGUCCGCCUCCUGUACCUCAGCCAUUAUUUCAUCCCCGUCUCCGACCAUAGGUUGAACUCCAUUUUGUGUUGAACUGGGUUGUAGCUGUGAUUCAUCACAUGCCUUAUCUACUUCAUCUGGCUUUUGCAUUGCUUGCGGAUAAGGAUCGGUGCAAACAGUUAAUGUAGAUGUCACCAAAAGAUUCUGCAAAUAGGUUCAGUGUUGGUAAAAAUUUGAGUCAGACAUCGAAUGAAAAUGCUAAUUCUGAAAAACUAUUGAACUUCUUUGACAUUGCAAACUUUUUUUGUUUUUGCUUUUCUUAGCGCUAUUAUAGACCACGCAUGCAAACUAGUCAAUGUUAGGACUUCACAAAUUUUAAUUUUUGUCAUCCUACUUCCAUAACUAACUAAUACUAAAGUUUUAGAUAAUGGGCCUAACACAAAAUAUUAGAAGCCAUCAAACUAGAAGUGAAAUCAUUAGAUAAAGAGACUAUAGUAAUGAGCUAACAUACUAAUAAUUUCAAAUUUUCAGCAUGAUAGACUUUUUACUCUUGCAAGUUGCAAGUUUCAUCUAUAAAUAUUCACACACUUGGGGACUCACCCAGCUCAAUCUUCAAAAACAGGGGCUUGGAAUGGUGGUUUUGUCCCUAGCACAAUCAAGGCUAUCUCCAAAUAAAACAGGCUUGAAAAAUGACCCAAGGCUAUUUUGCCAAAAUUACACUUCCUUUUUCUAUAUAUUUAAGCAGUUGGAACAGGCCAUUGAACGGGUCUAUUUUCAUCUAAUGGGCAUCAGAUAAAAGGUUGCUAGCUUUAAGCCUCAUAAAGCAUGGACACCAUGCAUUUAUAAUCACCAUGCAUCGUUCGAAAAGUUUAGCUAGUAAAAUCACAAUGCAUUGUCUCAAUAAACCAGGAAUCAAAUCCCACUCACAUCAACAACAGAAUAGACAUGUUAAGUAAGAGUAAGAAUACCUCCUCUAGAAAAUAGCCAUUGAAAAAACAAAUGCAAAGAUAUACAACAUACUGAACAUCCUAUUUAGCACAAUGGACAUGACAUUUCAUCUAACCAAUGGGACAGGCAAAAGUAGCAUAAGAAACAAUUUAUUUAGAGCAGAACUUGUUCAGAAACUUGAGAGAUUCAACCAAUCAAAUCCCAAUGUUCAACAAAGUGUAGACAAGGAUAAUGGCACAAAGAAUCCAUAAAUAAAAAUAUUCAAGACAAUCAAAACAGAGAUUCUACUGAUGACAGUGAAAAUGUUAGUACAAACUCCUAUAAUUUAUCAUGAAACAGAGUACUUGAUGCAUGACGCUGACUAUAAUGUCAAAUCAACAGAAGGUAAAUAAUUUAUUGAAGGGAACUUAAGAUAGCACACCUUUUCUAGUGCCAGGGCAGCUUUUGAGAGGUUGGGAUAGAUACUUCUAGCAGCCAAUAGGAUCUGUAAAAUAUAAAAUGAAUAUGAUAUCAUAUAAUGAUAUUUGAUGCCCGUUAAGCGACAAAGUAAAAGUGAAAGGAUAAAAUGGAUACAAAAAAAUUAAAAGAGAAGCAGAGUUGUCAAAUACAAUUACUGUAUUAUAUGCUUGUAAUAUUUGCUUACUUAUCAACAUAUCUUGAAGGAGAGAAAAAAAUAAAGGGAAAAGGCACUAGUAGUUGGAAUCAAAUAAAUAGCGUUAGCAGGUAAUUCAUGAUAGACAAGAAACUUAAAGUCAUAUAUUUUUGUGAACCCCUAAGGCUCUAACUCUUGAAAAAGGGCUUAGUUUAUAUAUUUAAUGUUAGGAGUCAAAGCAUUCCACAGCCCCAUAGAAACAAGCAUGCAAAGUACAGCCUUCGAUUCUUAAACUAGAAGAACACGACAACGAACGUAAGGACAAAUUACACACUGCAACAUAUAAUCACCCUUACACUCUUAAAGAGUUCAUAAUUCUGACAGUGUCCUAGUACUAAACAUUUCUCUAACUUUCAGACAAAGGGACUUUCUUAGGAUAAACAGUUUCAGUUUUCUCCCUAAAGCCAGGUACAGGAAUCAAAGUAUAAGCUGCCAUAUCAUUGUCCAAACUGAUAUAUCAUAGGUUUUGCAUGCAUCAUGAGAAUCAAUCAAACUGCAAUACUCCUGCUCAUUGCAAGUGUGGAAACUAGAAUGAAGAUCUUCACGAGUUUAGAUGAUGACCAAAAGUCACAACUCAAAAGUUGCAAAAGAUUUAUGAUUAAUCAAUGUGGAUAAGAACUCACUAUAUAGAGAAAUCGUUAACCUAGAGAGAGAGAGAGAGAGAGAGAGAACAUAAGAUAAAAAUAAUCACCUCACAAAGUCUCUGCAGGGUAAAUGGAGGUCCUUCAUCAAAACUAUGAAGAGCUGCAGAGGAGGAAAAAAAAAUAUUAAAAGUAGUUUCAAAAGAAAAAAAUAACCUAUAAUUUACAAAUUUUAUAUAACUUAUCAACUGGCCAAACCAUCUACAGGGAGUUUGCCAAAAGCUACUUUUGCUGGGGAGAACAACCCCAAAUGGAUCCAUGGCCCCAAGGAUAUUGCAAUAAUCAGAGAGCCAGCAAGGCUACUAGUUAAAUCAUAUAUAGCACUAUGGUUUUGUUGUUUGGUCAGAUUAAUCAAUUACUGGUUGCUUCAACUUGUAAAUGUCAAUUCUUACUCCAGUUUUCUAUUUGUCUUCCCUUGCUGAAAAUUUAUGGUAUUAAGGAAUUUUACCCAAAGGCUGAAUUGCAUGGAAGCAACCACUCAUAUUUUCACCAUGAAGGCUGAAGGAUCAUACCUCAGUCCUAAAGGAAAAUGGUUCCACAACACAACAGUAAGGUCAAGCCAUAAAACCUCACUGUUUCAUGUGCUGUCUAGAGAAUUACUUCAGGUUUUUAUCCAAGGGCAAUAACGUUUUCAAGAAAAAACUAAUAAUGCUUGGAUGCAUAAAGCCCCAAGCAUGCUGCAUGGCCAUGUGAUCAUGCAGAUUCAUCGAAGCCAAGUUCAGCACUCUAAUUGAGACUUGGAUUAUCAUGACGUUAUCCCACUUCUUGACAUUCAUAAUUUCAAAUUUCAUCAUGUUGCCUAAGUCCAUGAUUAUAGACAGCAAGAAGCAAUGUAUAUUAGAAUUACCUUCAUCCAACCUUUUCACUAGUUCUGGAUAAGUUUCUCCUAAUGAGGCAUUCUGCCCCUCACUAGUCAUUUUCGCCUCAGGAUACUCUGACAGAACCUUCAUGAAUUAAAAAGAUGAAAAGUGAGUAUGGUCAUCAACAAACCAAUAAUGGAGAUAAUGAUGCACACUGUAAAGAAAUAAGAGAACUACAUGCUAGCAUACCUCCCCAUACCUGCUUCAGAUAAAAGGAUAUCAUGCUCUUCAAUUUUUCCCAAUCAUGCCUAACAUACAAAUCAUGAAAUAAAUAAGCACCAGUCCAAGCUAAAUCUUAAUGGUCAGUACCUAACCUCUAAUUUCCUCAAAUCUGUGGUUGUAAAAUAAAAAACAAGAAUAACUGAGCAACUACCAUAGUAUAACAUGCCUAAAACUAAAAGCAUAAGUUAGAUAGCCGAAAAGGCUAUCAAUAUCUUAUAAAGAAUCCAAGAAAAGACCUUUUUUUGUAGCUUCAAAAGAACCUCUUCAGAAGCAUUGGCAGUUGGAACAUCAUCCAGAAGCAAAUAUUAUUUUCAAAAACUAAAUAAACACUAAAGAAUGAACUAAAAAUUUUCUUGCAUCCACCUAUAGGGAAAAUAUGGUAGGAAAAAUAGCGAACAGCAUUUUGAUGAUCGUUGUACAAGUUGAAAACAUUGCGAAGCUAUUGAGUUUGGCAAUGACAGAGAAGAUAUUUCCCUAAGAAAGGGUAUAGUUGCUAGAACGGAGAACCUAAGCAACUUGAUCUUAAAUCCUUGAUCCCACGAGUUCUCUUAUAAUUUCAGGAGAUAAGAAAACGAAGAACAAAAUGGACAUUAUUAAGCAAGUAAAGGUUCUCAUUAUUCAAAUGAUAGUUAUAUUAGUUGAUGUGUUUGCAUAAAUACUAAGAGCAUAACAAAAAGAAAAUCAUCUAUCAGGUAUUGAAAAAAUCAUAUAGAAUCUUCUCAUAUCAUUACAGGAUUUCUAAGAAUAAUGAUAUUUGUCUAAAAUUAUACCCAGAACUUGUCUAAACUUCGAAUUAGUAGUUGAUCUAGCCAUGAGAGGGAAUAUGCUAAAGCUGAUACUUUCGACAUUCACAUUUUAGGCAAUUGACAGGCUAUGCUGAAUGGAAUCAGAGUAAUCAACUACUGUUUCAAUAUCAAACCCAAUCGAUACAGCAGAAUACAAUGACAGAGCAAAGAUAAAAAUUAGUAUAUGCAUGCAGGAGUACUGGGGAAAAAAAAAAUACAGUUUUGGAAAAACAUCGGUCCUGCUGUAUCAGGGCAAUGUCAGAAAAAACUUGAGACAUUUUUAACACAUACAUAGACACAUGCAAGCAAGUAGAUGCAAAUCAAAAUGUACCAAUCUUCAUCCGCAAAUUGUUUGUGUUGUGUCUUAACUAGAGGGGAAAAAAAAAAAAAGCCAAACCUCAUCAUGCAAAUCAAUAAGGGCUAAAUUAAGCCAAAUGCAUACCAAAAUUUUCCAGUGGAUGCAAUUACUUCAAGAAUGCCUCUUAUUUCUUCUUCGGCAAUCCCUGGCUUGGGUUCUGCACCUCUAAAUUUCCAAGCAAAACACGACUUCAGUACACUAAAAGUUGUAAAAUCCCCAUGCGUUCACAAAAACUACUUCAUUUUACAAAAAUUUAACAAAAAGAGGAGAGUGGGGAAGCAGUAAGAGCAACAACCAACAAGAAGUUUUCAACAACAUUCCUCAAAACCUUUCACGUUUAUCUUAAUUGAAGUCCUACUAAAACAGGAAGCCAUCUUUUAGGAUGUUUUUUUCCAAACUGAUAAGGUUGUAUAAAAAUUUCAUCUCAUUAUAAUUUCCCAUUUCCCUUGCAUGAUUGGUUCUAAUUUCAUUACUAAAAAUCUUUUUGAUCUACAUCUUAGUCAGUGUAAAAAGAACAGUAAGCAUUCCACAGAAAGGCUCAACCAAAAUCCCAUCCUAACAGUAAGGUCAAAACUAGAGACAACUGAACCUACCAUUAAUAACACCCGACAUUGAUGCAAGAGUAGGUAUAAAGGGGAACAGUUUGAUUUCUAGCUAAAGAAGUGAAAUAAGAUCGUAGAAAAUAACCUAAACGCCUACUACUUCUAAAACCGAACGGUAUGAAGCAAGAAGCACUUACCCGUGAUUUAAGGAAUUAGAGGCCGUAUUAUCUUGAAGGUGGUCGGCAUCGUUGGGUAGCGGGACUGGUUGGUCGGAAUUUUCAGUUGACGGCAUCGCCAUUCGAAGCUUUUCACCUGCUACGGAUUACAGUAGAGAUAUUUUAACAAACCCGAUGGCCCAUCCGGCACUGCCUUCUUACCCUAAUGACCUGAUCUUUUCGCAAAGCGCAUUUGAAGGGUAUUUUCGAAAAAUGAUAAUCUGACUAUAUUUCAAUAAGUUUUUUUAAAGCGUCAAGAGAUUAAUUAAUUGUUGGCAUAGCUGACGGGCUCCAUUAGACAUCUUUCAAAUCUAAUUGAGUGGCUAAGAAUUUAAAAUAAAAUAUAAUUCACCUUUUUUUUAUUUUUGAAACUAACCUUUUUUUGAAUACUGUGGAUGACCAGAUAACUAUAUAUUUUACAUUCAUUGGGGAAGGAGAGUGGAAGUAAAAUAAGUAUAUAAAAUAAAACUAUUCAUUUUACCUUUUUUUCUGCAUUUUUGUUUAGAUUGAUGUAAAAUAAUUUUAUUUUUAUUAUUAUUCAUGAAUAGUAACUCUUUCACUAAAUUAUUUAUUAUUUUUACUCCAUUUUGGUAGAAAAAUUGUACAAUAUAAAAUAUAUUAUUUUAUACCUCCUUUUAUAUUUUUAUCCAAACCAAAUAGGUAAUUUAAAAAUCUCAAAAUAAUUUAUCCUCUAUUUUACAUCCGGUCAUGUUUUGCCGCCAUCCAAAAUAUUAAUCUCGGACAUUAACAUUGAAAAAUCCACUCCAUAUGUGCACAGUAAUAAUAAUUAUUUUUAAUAGUUGUUAGCAAAUAAGCAGUGACUAUUACUUGAUUAGUAACAAGUACUUGCUUCGAAUCAUAAUUUUGGUCUUAUUUUCUCUUUUCAUAUGUUAUGAAUUAUUGUCAUAUUUUUCAGUAAAAAAAUAUUGUCAUAUUUAUUAGAAAUAAACAAUAUUUAAAGUUUACUAUUUUAUUUUUAUUUAAUGUAUUUCUUUAUUAAGAAAUGUAAUAGUAUUUUCAUUAAUUAAAUCUUUAUAUAAAUAAAAUUGAAAUAUCAACCCUUAAUUUUCUAAAAAAAAUAUUUUUAAUUAUAGUUUGAUUAAUUUAAUAACACUUAAUUUUAGUAGAAUACCAAACAAGACUAUAUUAGCAAAUGGUAAAGUACAAAAUUAUUUAAAGUGGAAUAUUAACACAAUGGUAUAGAACUCAUUUAUUUUUUCUUGUAUAAUUGGAAGGUUUAAUCCCAGAGGUUUUUGGCCCUCCCAGCAGAAUGCGUUUAGUAUAAUCGAAAAGUUUAAUUCCGGAGAUUUUUGGCUUUCUCAGCAAAGUGCAUUUCGUAUAGCCGGGAGGUGGUAUAAUCGAGAAAUUUAAUUCCAGUGGUUUUUGGCCUAUCAGCAAAGUGCAUUUGGUAUAGUCGGGAGGUGGUAUGACCGACAGGUUUAAUCUCAGUGGUUUUUGACUUUAUUAGCAAAGUGAAUUUGGUAUAGCUGGAAGGUGGUGUGACCGAGAGGUUUAAUUCCGGUGGUUUUUUGCUAUCCCAACAAAGUGCAUUUGGUACUAGCCGGGACGUGGUAUAAUCGAGAUGUUUAAUCUCGAUGGUUUUUGGCUCUAUCAACAAAGUGCAUUUGGUAUAGUUUUUUGGCUUUAUCAGCAAAGUGCAUUUGGUAUAGCUGGAAAUGGUAUGACCGAAAGGUUUAAUCCCUGUGGUUUUUGGCUCUCUUAGCAAAGUACAUUUGGUAUAACCGGGAAGUAGUAUAACUAAGAGGUUUAACCCAAUGGUUUUUGGCUGCCCUAGCAAAGUGCAUUUUGGUAUAAUUGGAAAGUUUAAUUCAUGUGAUUUUUGGCUCUUUCAGCAAAAUGCAUUUGAUAUGGCCAGGAGAUAGUAUAACUGGAAGGUUUAAUCCUGGUAAUUUUUUGCUCUUCCAGUAAAGUGCAUUUGGUUUAAUUUUGGUGGUUUUUCGCUUUCGUAGCAAAGUGCGAGAGGUUUAAUCCCGGUGGUCUUUAGAUUCCCAACAAAGUGCAUUUGGUAUAACCUAGAGGUUUAAUUCUGGCGAUUUUUGGCUCUUCUAAUAAAAUGCAUUUGAUAUAGUCAAUAGGUGGUAUAAACGAGAGUUUAACCCCGAUAGUUUUUUGUUCUCCUAGCAAAAUGAGGCUUAAUCCUAAUGGUUUUUUUUGCUCUUUUCACUAAAAUGCGUUGAUUACCUCAAUUAACACCUUAUUGGUUUUAGAAUUCAAUUUUUAAUUUUAAUAAAUAGUAAUUGUCUAGAAUAAUACUCUAUGUAUAACUAAUAUAUACUCUUCAUUUCAAAAUUUUUAAUAUUUUAAAUACUACUAAUUAAUAACAAAAAUACACAUAAAAAUUUGAAAUAAAUUUCAAACUAAUACAUCAUUCUUAAAUACAAUAAAUGAAAAAUGAAUUUUUACAUAAAACUGAAUCGUAAAUUGAUGAAUUAUAUGUCUAUUUUUUAAAAUUAAUUAUAUGUAUAUUUAUUUCAAAUACUAAUACUAAUGCUAAUAUUAAAACUCUGUUUACUUUUGUAAAAUAAUUUGCACGAGCAUAUUUUACAUAAUUUUUUGUUGUUUGGGCAUUCAAGAAAAUAAGUCAACAGAAAAUAUUAUUCUAGUCAAAGGAAAACUAAAUCAUUUUUUAAGAAAAUAACUUUUCAUUUUCGAGUGAGUAAAGCAUUUUUAAGAUAUUGAUAAACCUUAUAAAUUCAUAUUUUUGUAAUUUAUUAAUCAUCGUAGUCACUAUUCCAAUCACCAUUUACUACUGAUUACCACCACCACUCACCGAUGACUUUCAUAAUUUACAUUUUUUCUUGCAUUAUUCUCAUAUUUAAUAAUAAAAUUUUUAAAUUAUAAAAUUUAUAUUAUUAUUAAUAUUUUUUAUGAUUGCAUAAGAUAAAAUUUUUAAUAUUUUUAACUAAUUUUCAAUAUUACAACUAAAUAACCGAAAAUAAGUCAUUUUAAGGAAAUAAAGUAUCAUAAUACUACUAAUUCAAUUUAAAACAAAGCAGUUCUAUAGUUUAAUUCUUUUUUAUGGUAAGAAAGAAACUACUGUAUCGUGUGAGGAAAAAUUGCAAACCAAGGACGUAACGGUACUGAAAUAAACAACGAGCAUUUUCAAAUAAAUAGGAGCGGGAAAAAUUCAUUUUCUCUCUCUCUCGGUACGCAUUUCAAAAUUCUGUCUCUCUCUAAACUCUUUUUCGCUACCUCUCCUCCUCUCUGUAAAUCCGCUUCUCCAGAUUUAUUUUUCGCUUUGCAACUCGACUGAGGUAUUCUCCUCGAUAUUGCCUCUCAAUGCUCUUUUGCUCUGUUUUCACUAGAUUUUACUUUAUUUUUUUAAAGCUCAGUAGCAUUUAAUAUCAGAAAUUAACUGCAAAAUGGUAUUAACUAUAUUUAGGGUUUCACCAGGGACAGUGUUCACAUUGCUUUCGCCGCUGGUAAAUCGAGAAUUGUUUACACAUUUUUUGUUUUAACUUGAAUUUGAUCGAGAUCUUAGACCUCAUUUAUUGAAUUGCUUUCUUGGUGAAAUUAUAGUUUCGGCAACAAUUUGCUUUAAUUAUGGUGUGAAUGUAAACAAAGCUGGUUUCUAAAAAUUGUUGCAGCUAAAUCUGAUAUUGUUGAGUUUUUCCUUUUUCCUGUUUUUGUGGAUGAACAGACAGAAUUUUUGUAGAUAAUAGAAAAUGGGAGUGGAAAACUACCACGUGAUAGAGCUAGUAGGUGAGGGCUCGUUUGGGAAAGUGUAUAAAGGCAGGCGCAAGUACACAGGCCAGGUAAAUUUUGUAUUUUACUUUUUUUAAAAAGGUAUGUUCUAUUAAUUUGUAUUUUUUUUUCUUUAAUCUUGGCGUUGUUGUUGUUGUUGAUAGACUGUUGCGAUGAAAUUCAUUAUGAAGCAUGGGAAAAGUGAGAAGGAUAUUCAUAAUUUGAGACAGGAAAUUGAGGUACUCAUAUUCUAGACUGAUAAACUUUGGCCAAUGGUCGUUCUCUCUUGGGAAGUUAUUCUUUUUGCUUGACAUUUUCUUUAAUAGUUUUAUAUUAAUUUUUAUUGCUGCUUUAUGCUUAAUAUCUCGAAUGUGGUAGAUUCUAAGAAAGCUGAAGCAUGAAAAUAUUAUUGAAAUGCUUGAUUCCUUUGAAAGCCCCCAGGAAUUCUGUGUUGUCACAGAAUUUGCGCAGGUAAUUACCUCCUUUCUUUUGACUAUCUUGGAAUGGCUUACAACCACAAAAGGAAAAAAAAAGGGAAAAAAGAUAGUAUUCUGGGACUAGCUGAUGGCAUUUGCCCAAUACGCAGGGUGAGCUAUUUGAGAUACUAGAGGAUGAUAAGUGCCUCCCCGAAGAACAGGUUCAAGCAAUUGCAAAGCAGUUGGUAUUUUUCCCUCCAAUUAGAAAAAAUUAUCGCCUAUUGAUUUGGUCUAGCUGGCUUUUUUUUUUUUUUUUUUUUUUUUUGAGUUUAUUAGCUAUAAUAUUCUGGACUCCAACUUUCUGCUGUUCAAUCUUACAGGUGAGAGCACUGCAUUAUUUGCAUUCUAACCGUAUCAUCCAUCGGGACAUGAAACCACAGAACAUACAGUUUAUUAGCUAUAAUAUUCUGGACUCCAACUUUCUGCUGUUCAAUCUUACAGGUGAGAGCACUGCAUUAUUUGCAUUCUAACCGUAUCAUCCAUCGGGACAUGAAACCACAGAACAUACUCAUUGGUGCUGGGUCAAUUGUUAAGGUUGGAACUUAGACGAGUUGCUGUAUUCAAGGGGCCCAGUUUAUUUGCUCGAGUACUCUCAUAUUAUUGUGUGCUGCCCAUGUAGUGAAUGCUACUACAACCUCUUGAUUAUAUAAUAUAUGCAGACAUUUUCUGUUUAUUUAUGAAGAUUAUUUCUCAUGUUUUAAUCUCUAAAUGAAUUCAUCAAGCAUUUUACAGUUUCUAGUAAAAUAUCCUAUUGUCCCGUUCUAUAAUUAAAGGCUAGGUUUUCAUCAAGUGUUGUGAUCUUGUGUAUACCCUUUUUUAUCUGCCACAGCUUUGUGAUUUUGGAUUUGCACGUGCCAUGUCCACAAACACUGUGGUUUUACAGUCCAUAAAAGGUUUGGCUGAUAUCUUUGUGAUGAACAUUCCACUUUGUAGACGUUACUACUCGGCUGAAUUUGCUUUUAUAUUUGGUUCCAGGAACUCCAUUGUACAUGGCUCCGGAGUUGGUAAGGGAGCAACCAUACAAUCACACUGCUGAUUUAUGGUCCCUUGGAGUGAUAUUGUAUGUGCAUGUUCUCUCUCUAUCCUGUAUAUAUGGGGAACUGGCGAAGUCUAUUUAAUCUAGACUUUGAUCGAGUUAAUUGUGAAACAAAAAUUUUCAUCAUAAUUACAUUUGUUUUGCAAAGGUUCCUAGUUAAAUUUUGGUUUGAAUAAACAACUUUCAGAUACAUUUCAAAUGACCAUAUAAAUGUGCACAGUCAAUCAUUUGAGUUAGGUUUUUAUCUUUCUUGUACCUUGAUUUACAUACAUAAUCAUACCUAAUGCGUCAUGGUUUUAACAGGUAUGAAUUAUUUGUUGGUCAGCCCCCAUUUUAUACAAAUUCAGUUUAUGCACUCAUCCGGCACAUUGUUAAGGUGCAUUUGCUUGAACUCUUUUGAGUUAACUUAAGCUUUAUGACCAGGUGUGUGAAAGUAGCAGCUAAUGUUAUGUGUGAUAUCCCAGGAUCCAGUAAAAUAUCCCGAUGAUAUGAGUCCCAAUUUCAAAAGCUUUUUGAAGGGAUUGCUCAGUAAGGUUGUUCUAUACCUCCCCUUGUGGAUGAUUACUAUCAAUUUGAAUUUUGAUAUUAAAAUUGGUCCUAGAUUUUAUUUAUUUAUUUAUUUUUUUGCAACACAGGUACCGCAAAAUCGAUUGACUUGGCCUGCUCUUCUUGAACACCCAUUUAUUAAGGAAACCUCGGAUGAAAUGGAAGCCAGGGUAAUGUUAUUCCAUACAUGCUCUUAGUUUCACAUUUUCAUUCAUCUUUUUCUUCAAUUUGUAAGUUUAGAAAGUACAAUCUUGCUAGUCUCACUCAUAAAAGUAGGAAACCUUAGUUUCACUCACACUUUCAUUCUACCUUUUUCUUCGAUUUUUAAAGGUUAGAAAGUAUAAUUUUACGGAUCUCACUCGUAAAAGCAUCACGCCUAUCAAGAAUGAUUUCGGAGCACAAUCAACAAUAAAUGACUCUUUUUCAGCUAUCUAUAACAUGAGCUUGCAUAUUUCAUAUCUAUCUAUCUACAUAUAUAUAUAUAUAUAUAUAUAUAUAUACACACACACAUAUACAUACAUUUCAAAAAUGCUUUGUUGUAGAUUAUAGAAUUAUAGUAUUCGGUGAAAUAUCUUCAGGAAAUGCGUGCUGCAACUGCUGCAGCCAGGGGAUGUGAUGCAGCAUGGAAGGGUGAAGUCCAAGCAUCAACUGUUUUGGCUGUCUCCAGUCCAGAGGGUAUGGCUUUCGCUAGAUGCUUAGUAGUUCUAAAUUUCAGUGGCUUAAAAUAUCAUCAAUUACCUUCUUGCAGGUAGAAAUAAUUCUGCUGCUGCUCUUGAGAAUUGUAAUGCUCCGAAGCCUCAUAAUGAUUCUAAACUGAAUAGUCCUAGUGUAGCCACAACCAAUUCUGCACCACAUGAAGAAUUCCCUGGAUUUGCAAGUCCUAAUGAUGCUAAACAGUCGGGUUGGUGAAGUAUUUCUAGCAAUAGUAUAAAUUACAUUCAUUUUUUUCAUUUGAAUUUUUGAAAAAGAAAUUUGCCUUUUUUAUUUUUGUAAGAGAACUCUGUAUGAUCUCUUUUUCUACCCAGUCUUGCAUUGAUCUCCUACAUCAUAAGUUGAUACCAGAUGGACAAUUUUAACUAUAAAUUUCAAGCCAAUUGAAAAGUCAUAAAUAUCUGAAUUUUGCAGUUUCUUGGUUUGUUCAGUUCUUUAUCAUAGCCGAUGUAUCCCUUUGGUUGUUUGGAUGUUGAAUCUGAUGUUAGCUAAGUUUGUAGUUGCUCAUAAAACAGUAGACUAGACCUGGUUUUGACUUAUAUUAAUGCAAACCCCUCUUUCUGGUAAUUUGUAUAUAGUCAUAUAUGUAAUUACAUAGAGUUAUAUCAAGUUAUCCUAUUCAAAAAGAGGAGAAGGGCUUGUAAUCUUUUUAAUGAUGUUUUGGUGGUUUCUCCCUUGCUUGAUGACACUACAUAGAUAUUUUUAACAUCAAAAGAGUAAACCUCUCGCAUUUAGGGAAUUAUGGUUGUGUGUGCACUUUUGUGCAUGACUUGUGCAGUGUAUUUUUAUUAAUUAUCAAACCUGGUAAUUAUUCCCUUCAUUAAUUCAGAUGUUGCAUUAAACCAUUUUGAUGUGGAAAUCGAAAGUGUAAUUACAUCUUGUUUCUCUUCAGGUAGCCAAGCAUUAGACAGAUUGGAAAACAACUCCCGCACUGUUAAAGGUGCACAAAUGAUUGGUCAAGAUAAUGAAGCAUUAGCACUUGUUUUGCUACCAUUAAAAAGAUGGUCAAAAGAAUCCCAACAUUCUUGCAGGUUAAAUUGUGUUACUUUCUCAUCAUCAUUUGAUUAUAUUUAAAAGUUGUUGGCCUUUUCUAUUUUUUAGCCUAGGCAAAAAAUAAGCUCUAAUUUGUGCCUUACUUUCUAGAAAAGUUAGUAAAAGGACCAUGUGCAUGCCCUACUUCCUACAUGAGGCCUUUUAAAUUAAAGGGAAAAAAAAAAUACACAACAGCAUUUGAAACAUUACAUGCUUUUGGAAACAUGCCAUUGGGUAAUAGGCAUGAUUGCACUCAAACAUUCUAUAUUUUAUUUUUGGAAGAAUGUGAAACAAUAAUAGCUAGAGUGAUUUUUUUAUUUAUAAAAAUUCACAAGAUGGAAUGGUUUUGAUAAUUUAUUCUCAGUUGUUAUAAUGGCUUAAGUCUUUUAAUAAUGGUCUGCCUCUAUGGUUUCUAAAUGAAACUGUGGAGUAUUACUUGGACAAGUAAAAAUGUGCAAUUCUAUGGUGAUGCCAUAUUUACCACAUCUAAAAACUUGCGUCAGUACAGUUGCACACUUAGACAACUUUCUUGAGUCUCAACCAGAAAGCCAUAUUCUUUACCCUAGGUGAAACUCAUCAAGAACACUUACAUUUGCACCUGCAUGAAAUAAAGCAAUAGCAUUUGUUUACAAGUUAACCCUAUGAAAAGUCAUAUACAUGUGCUAAGUUGGAGAUUAUUUUAUAACAAGUCCAAAAAAUUAGUCAAAGCAAAGAUUGGGAUAGUAGUCUAGCAAUGAGUACCUGAAUUAGAAAGCAGGCACUGGACAAUGGAAAUUGUAGUUUUGACCUUUGUGAUACUUCAUUACAUAUAUUCUGCCACCUCUCACUAAUCUUGUACGUGUAUUCUUGGUUUUAGUGUCUUAGUUAUUUGUAUGAUGGCUUGUAUUUAAAAAGUAGCCUAUUAAUUGAGACAUUAAAUUGCUUUUCAAACACAUUCAGGGAUCAGGAUCUUCCUACUUCAAACCAGUCACUGAAAAUUCUUUCAAACUUAGCUGCAGCUGGCGCAAUCCAGUCUAGCGGGUUACUUGAUGAAAUACUAUGUGAACUUCUUGACUUCACUGCUGUUAUAAUCAGCUUGAAAUCCGUGGAACUCAAUGAUUUAAUUGCAAAGGUAUUUUACAGCUGGAGUUCAUUUUGAAGCCCAAAGUCUUUUCCCUUUUUAAUAUACUCAUGCCUAUAUUUCAAUGAUAAUUAGUGUUGGAUUAUUGCAUAUUUCUUUUGGGUUGACAAAAUUAUCAUGAUUGUAAUUAGAUUAUAAGUUAUGAUCUAUGUUCUUUUACAUUAUGUACUUCAGUAUUUUUCAUAUUUUGUAUGCCAGUUGUAAAUACUGUAAGAGACAAUUUUGAAGUUCAGGCUUCUUUUCAGUAUUGCAUUCCCUUCUUUCACUUAGAUAUUUCUUCUCCUUUCCUCACAGGUUUGGAAUUACUAUUGUUUUCUACUAAUUUUUUCCAAAUUUUGACUGCAUAAAUUUGGAAAUGAUUAUCAUUAUUGAAAAAGCUGGAUGUCUUCAAUUGCCAUGCACUGUGAAUGGUUGAUUUUUCAUGUCUAAGGAUUAGCAGUGACCGACAUAAUUCUAAUUUCUUAAUUACGCAGAGUUUUGCUAUUAUGAAACAAUCAUUAGACAAAAGAGGUGGUGGUAUUGGAGCUUCAUAUUUCACCCAUUGGGUUGCCUUGAUUGAAAUUUUUGCACAGGUAUUAUGUCCUUAUACAUAAUGUUAUUUCUUCCACCUAUAAAUGCCCUUAUUCUCAGUUUUCUGAUGAUGACAAAUGCAUAGGUUGUUGGUUGCAAUGAGGACAACUCUGGAAGAGUACUGUAUGAGGCCACUGCUUGCGUUACAGUUGUGUUAUCAACAGUAGCCAAGGGUCUCAAAUUAACUUCAUGUUCUGAAGCAGUUUCUACUCCGGUUAUGAAUGAAACAAUGAAGCGAAUUUUGGAUCAUGCUAAGACAUGUGGAUUGGUCGAACAUUUAUGCCUUUGCUUGGUAACAACAGGCUCAAGCCUUAUUUCAGGUUCUUCAAACAUGUUGCGUGCUGCUUGUGAAGCUUGUAGAGCUAUCUGGUCAUUGAUAGAUGCGGUGGAAACUCUUUUUAUGAAAGCAAAUGUUUAUUUAUUUCCAUUAAAUUCUUUGCGGAGUCAUUCUUUAAUCCAACUUGACAUUCGAGAUCAAGAAAGAGGUUCAUUGACUGGGACAGAUUCAGCCAGAAUUACUGAUGCUGUGACAAGGGCAUUCCUAAAAUCAAAAGCGGUGCAGGUGGCUAUAUAUUAUUGCCUUCAUCAACGUCUAGAGGCUGUGCUGACUGCCAGUAUUCAGGUGUUUUUCUUGUAUCCUUAGUUUUUGAAAUUGUUAUUACACUAUAAUGAUUGAAGAAGCUACUUUAUUUUAAUUCAUUUUCUAAUUAUUUUUCUUAAUAUUUGUGCUUCAGUCUCUAUAUUGAUUUGUAAGUUUACUCUUUUUUAAAAUGUUUCAGCUUUUGACAAGGUGCUGCCUCCAUAAUGCAAUUGUUCCUGGUGUUCUGUGUGGUUUGCCCAGUUCUCUUCCUGUUACUACUGUUGUUAGUGGUGGAGGGGAUGGAACCAUUGUUUCAGAGAUCUUCUCUAUUUUAUCUUUAUGUGUUUCGUCUUCAAACAAAGAUCUUCAAGUGGGUGAAACAAAUAACUUCAAGAGCAAACUAUUGAAUCCUUCCGCUCUCAUAUUGCAUUCAUGCCUUAUACUUGCAACUAUUGCUCAGUGUUUGAAGUCAACUGGACGGAAUUCUGCAUUAUUUAUGCUCACAACCUCUCCAAAGAAACAGUCAUCCCGACUUUCAGUUCUUGCCCAUCAUUUUUCACAUGAUGAUAGAACCAAGAAUUCAUUGCAACCUCAUUGUGCAUCAGCCAUGCUGGCUGUUGCAUCCAUUCUAGCUCUUGAAAGUGGAGCUUCUGUGGAGUCUUCUAUCUCUGAAAUAGCAGUUCCUUUGAUUCCUCGCACUGGCACGAUCUGUGAACACCUCAAGAUAUCAAUAGGCAAUGAAGAUGAAAUGGGGCCUAAUAAAGCAAAUGGCAUUCUCUCAUAUUGGCAUGGCCUUAAGGACGGAUGUGUUGGCUUGCUAGAAUCCAGGUUGAAAUGGGGAGGGCCAUUAGCUGUGCAACAGUUAUGUGCAAGUGGUAUCCCUCUGCUUCUUAUUGAGUUAUUAACCAAAAACCAUCUGACUGCUUCUCCUAAAGGAAUGGAUAGCACAAAAGAUCGAGUCGGGUUAUCCCCUCUUGGGGCUGUUUGGACAAUCUCAUCAAUAUGCCACUGCCUUCCAGGCGGUGCCUCAACUUUCCGCCAGAUUUUAGUCAGAAGUCAACAUGUCAAGCUCAUAUCUGAGUUGAUAUCUGAUACACAUCUCAAGCUUUUGAAGGGCUGGGGUGGGCCUGGUGGAGGCAAGGAUGGUGUCAGAGACAUAAUAAAUGCAGUAAUUGAUCUCUUGGCCUUCCCUUUUGUUGCUGUACAGAAUGCUCCUAGUUUGCCAUCUGCUACUGCUUCUGUGAACAGUGGAUUCCUUCUCAACAUGGGUUCACCUGGUGGAAGAAUAUUCAUGGAAGAUAAAGACAUGGUUAAAGCAAUUGAGGAAGACAUGGGAAAGUAUCUUAAAAUCCUUCUGGAGGUUAGCCAACUUUCUUGCUUUCUUGUGUUCUUUUCUUUUUUCUGGAUCAGGGCAAGGAAGAUUAUUUUGCUACAUAUUUCAAUAGUUUUUGGAUAAAACUACACUCCGUGUACAGCUUUGUUUGACCAGCUAAUCUUCUAAACCUUUUAGAUGGAGAUUCUCAAUUUUAUUAAUAUGCAUUAUAAUUCUGCCCUAGAACUUGUGUAUGAUAUGCAAAUCUUCGUAAUCUUUUAUUUCAUUUGUAGCUUUCAUCAUGAGAACAGGAUAAAAUGCUGGUCACUGAAACCAUAUGUAAUUGAGAAACUUAUGAGUGUUGUUAUUCUAUUGCUGCCAAACUUCUUAGGUGGGAGUGCCAGGCAUCAUCCUCCGAUGCUUGGAACAUAUGGAGCUAAAGGAUUUGGGAAGGCCUGUUGCUUUUCUUGCCAAAAUGGUAGCACACCGACCUCUUGCAGUUCAACUUGUAGGCAAAGGUCUCUUGGAUCCAAAUAGAGUGAGAAGAUUGCUUGACAAUUCAAGUCCAAGAGAGGUCAUGCUAGAUGUUCUAAUGAUCAUUUCUGAUCUAGCUCGUAUGGACAAGGUCAGAUUUUCUGAUUUUUCUCAUAUUGGCAUAAUAACUUGGGCCCUAGUCCUGGAAGAUUUUGGCCAGACUAUGAGCUAGCUAGCCUAAUUUUUGUAACUUCGUCAAUAGAAAGUUGAUGACUUUCAACUGAUUUCAACCAUUCUAAAACUUUGCCCAAUCAAUAUAAAAAAACAUAUAAAAGUUUUCCAUAGUACUGUCUGAUAAUCUUGGAUAUUGUUGGUGUUCAGGGUUUUUAUGACCACAUUAAUGGGGCCUCUAUGUUGGACUUCUUGAAGGAGUUUCUUGCGCAUGAAGAUCCCAAUAUACGUGCAAAGGCAUGCAGUGCUCUCGGCAAUAUGUGUCGGCAUAGCUCCUACUUCUAUGGUUCACUAGUAAGUACAGAACAAUAAAUUGCUAGGCAGUAUGCUCAACCUUGUGGAUCAUUUAGUUCUACGGACAUCUAAAAAUGAAUUUAUUUCGUGUACAGUUAAAAGUUAUUGGAAAUAGAAUCACUUUCUUGGGGAUUCACACAAAAUGUUCUUGUUCUCACAGUUUAUUUUGAUUUCUAGGUAAGACAUCAUAUAAUUGGUCUUCUCAUUGAUCGAUGCGCUGAUCCAGAUAAACGCACACGGAAAUUUGCAUGUUUCGCUGUAAGAUCUGUUUUUUUAAAUAACAUUGCUUUUUGUUUUUAUUUUUUUCAGCUAUAUAGCAAUGAUUGUAAAAAGUGUGGUACGAUUGGUUGAAUUUAUUUCAAGAGAAACAAAACUUUGUAAAAAGUGCAUACUAUCUAAUUUAUCUUACUCUUCAGAUUGGAAAUGCUGCGUAUCAUAAUGACAUGUUGUAUGAGGAGCUCAGAAGAUCUAUACCUCAAUUAGCAAAUUUGUUACUCUCAACUGAAGAAGACAAAACUAAAGCAAAUGCUGCUGGAGCAUUAAGUAAUCUUGUCCGCAAUUCCAACAAACUUUGUGAAGAUAUCGUCUCUAAAGGAGCCAUGCAGGUUUGUUAAUUCACUGAUGUAGUUUUCAACAAAAAAUUCCUGCAAUAUUAGCCAAUUUAAAAAUCAAGAUCACAACGUGUAAAACAUUUUUAUGCAAGGACUAAAAAAUUAAAGGUUUACGAUUGCAACCAAUUUUAUCCUCAAAAUUUCACUAAUCUCUCCAUAAAAUAUGGCAAUUGGAACUAAGGUUCAAAAAAAUGCUCUUAAUGUUGGAAUUCUUAUCUCUGUUACAACUUGAGCUAAAACGUGUUAGAUAUUAGGAACUUAAUUGAAGUUGGCUUUGUACUACAGUUUUUUUCUUUUACGUUCCUUUAACGUUUCAUGAGUUAGCUUCGUUCUGAGAAAUUGAGGUUUUUAUGAGCUUGCAUUUGAAGGGAGUACAUAAAGCCUUUCAAAAUUACAAUACUAAAAAUUGGGAAAGCUAAAAAUAAAAAUGAACUGAAGGAACUCUUACUUGCCUGUCAAUCCAAAAGAAAUGACAUUUGCAUGUUGAUGGGUAUUAUAUGGUUUGCCAUAAUGAAAUGAAACGUGGUUGAAAUUUUUAAUGUUUCAGGCUUUGUUGAAGGUGGUAUCUGAUUGUUCAGCUCUAGCCCUCAAUCCAAGCAGGAGAGAUGCGGUAAAUGAAUCACCAUUAAGGAUAGCUCUUUUUUCAUUGGCAAAGAUGUGUGCACAUGCCCCUUGCAGACAGUUUCUCCGUUCAUCAGAGUUGUUUCCGGUGAUCGGAAGGCUUCGACAGUCUCCAGAAUCUACAAUUGCCAAUCACGCCUCGUUUAUAAUUAGCAAAGUUGCCGAGGCUUGAAGAAGCAAAGCUAGAGGUAGUCAAAAGGUAUGAUCUUUUUUAGCUUAGUUUCCACUGAGCAGCAUUGAAUUAGCUAAUGAAUAUAAAUUAAAAUUUUUGCCAUAUAGUGAGAUGCUGUAAACAUGUUUUAUACAUAUUAUGUAAAUGCAUUAAUUUUCUUUUUUUAAUUUGUCUGAAAUUUAAAUGUAUUUAAAUUAAAGGUGAAAAUACUUCUUGAGCCUUUUUGUUUUUUUACAAAAAGUACAUUUGGAUCCAUCAAUUAUUCUUCAAUAGAACACUUUCGUCCUCUUUUGAGAAAUUAUAAUGACAUCACUAGCAUUUUAAACUUUAAAUUUACUAUUGACUCCUGACCUAAUAGUCAAUAAUUAAAAAAAAAAAAAAGAAUUGUAAUAAUAUCAGGAGGGCAUAAGAGGAAGGGUAUUAAUUAGAAUAUAAUCGAAUACUACUUUUUAGUAAAAAGAACUUAUAAUUUAGGACAAAUGUUUUACUCCUUUUAUUUUAAAAUAUAAAUUGUAAUAUUUACACAUAGAUUAAAAAUAAUUAAUUCUCUUAAAUUAUAAUAAAAUUAAAAAUACUUUAAUUAAAUUAUAUUUUAUUUCAAAAUUAAAAAUAAUUUAUAAAGAUAAUCAUUGUAAACACGAAUAAAGGUAAUAUUGUAAAUGAUGUUUAUUACUGUUUAAAAUAAUUUGUAUUUUAAAAUAAAAUAAUCAUAUAUUUUUAAGAUAAAAUAAUCAUUCAAUAAUAAUUUAUAUUUUGGGGACUGAUGGUCUUUAUAAAAUAAAAAUUCCUUUUAGGGCCUUGAGCGGUGGGUUUUGCUGAAGUAACACGUCGUCAACAGAUGAUCAUAGCGAAUCUUUACACUUGGUUUGCCAUUCCGAGAAUCGACGGGUUCGGAUCGGUCAACCAAUCUCCGAGCGAUCCAGAACUUGACACGCGGCCCGACUCAAAGAAUGUAGUAGUUUACAAUUUUUUGACGUAAAAUUACUUUUACCUGUUGGCUCGUUACCCAACGCAGUCCUGAUCUCGUCUCAACCAAAACUAGCCAGUAGCUUAUAGAGCAUGACCCUAUAAACUAUAAUAAUUUGUACUUGUGUCAGAAAUGGGAUUUUCAUAUUACAGUGUAACACAGUAUACAGUAAAAAUACACAUGAUGGAAUAGUUAAAUUCUCAGAAUUUUUAAAAUUUUUUAUUUAAUUAUUAUAACUAUUUACUUUUUGACCUUGAGACUAUAUUCUUAACACAAUUAUUUUAUUUUUGAAUACAGUAUUAUUCAAUUUAUGAUUUUAAAUCAUAAAAAUUAAUAUAAAUUAAAUAAUAACUUUUCUUUCAUAAUAUUUUUACUAGAAAACCCUUGCCAAGGAUGAUAAUGUCUUUCAUAAUAUUCUCUUUGUUCCAUAAUUAUUAUUUUAUCUUCUCUAUUUAUUUAUCCAAAGUAUUACUUUAUUUUUUAGAAUAAAGUAAUAUUUGAAGUUUACCAUCUAAACUUUAAUUGAUGGUCUUUUUUUAUUUUAUUUUUUUGAACGUAAAAACGAAACGUUAGAUAUGAGCAGCACAUGCAAGGAUCUCCCAAUUUAUAUAUGUCAGAUAAGGUGAGGCACAAUUCGGAAACUGAUAGAUAAGCACUUCUACUUAUCGCUCUGUGCUGAGACAGCUACCGCGCACUGCGCAAUUAGACAAGGACGCCCUGAUUGCUAGAUUUAUUAAAUAAAAACAUUAUUAUUAAGAAAAUUAUUUUGAUUUAUAUUGGGAAGCACAUGCAUACUGGAAGGAUGACGUGGCUAAAGAGGAAUCAAACUUUUUAACCGGUAUGACAUUAAUACCCUUCGCAUUGAUUUGUCCUAUUACUAAUGUUAUCACGUAAUUAAUGGCAUGCAUGAUAAUGCGAGAUGUUGAUUCACGACGUGCACUAUUACUUGGCCCAGCACGUAAUUUGACAUCUAAAUUUCAAAAAAAAAAAAAAAGAAAAAAGAUAUUGUGGUUUUCGAAUUUUAAAAAUAUUUUACGGUGUCUAAAAUUUUUCUUUCUGAUUUUUGAUCUCUUAAAUUUCAUUUUUUAAAUAAUUUAAUACCUUGCAAAUUGAUAACUAAGCAUAAAAAAAUUAAGUUGGAGGACCAUAAAUCACUUUCAAAGUUCAUGGAAAAAUUCCAAAUUUUCCACUUUUUCAUCAACUCAAACCUUGUUGUUCAAUGUAUUUAGCUUUUUUAUUAUUAUUUUAUUUAGAAAUAAGUCAACAUCUAUAAGCCAGUCAUUUUUCAAACAGAUUAUCAUUUGAAAGUCAACUACUGAUUCUCUCCUUUUUUUUAUAUUAUAUAUAUAUAUAUAUAUAUAUAUAUAUAUAUAUUCAACGGUUCGUAACAUGAGAACAACCGGAAGGGCCACAAGGUGGGUCUCUUUUUUUGGGAGAGGGCAGACAGUAUCUCUUCCCAGGGCCGCAUUGAAACGGUGGUUUUUUGGGAUCAGCUGCUACUGGCCGUGUUAUUCCUGCAUCUGAUAUUAAUUCAGCAAGCCAAAUUUAAAUUCUAAUAACAUAAUUAUUUGCAGUAUAUGUUAAAAAAAUAUAUAAAGCCAAAGACUUAAUUACUACUUGACUCCAUAGAUUUUUCCAAGCAAUUGUAUGGCUAUUAUAAUAAAUUAAUAAUUAUAGCAAGCCAGGAAAAUAGACUUACGAAAUUGACUCCAAGUCAAUGCAAGACAUAGCCAACUUCUGUAAGGGAAAAAAAUAAAAUAAUAGAACGUUGAGUUGAUUUAUUAUGGACCGCUAGUUUGGCAGGCGACGAGAUGAGACUUGACAUAGCAAGCUAAUUCUAUCAUUUGAUGCAGCCCACCAUAGUUUUCAAAAAACCUCUCGAAAUUUCAAUUUUAAGUAAUAACUUGAACAAUUUGCUAUUAUUGAAGACGCUAACACUUAUCUGUAUCGUUUCUGUACCAAAUCAAUUAAAAUAAAUUUUUAAUGUAAUAAAUAUUUUUCAUCAUUCAUUGAAAAUAUAAAAUAUAUUAUUUAAAAAAUUUUAUAAAUUAGUUUUGUUUAUUGGAUUGUCUAUGUAUCAUGUGUGAAUAAAUCUUAUUCAAUUUCUGCAAUUUUGUCCAUAAAAAAGUUGACCAAAUAUUACAUCCAUCCACCUAAAUAAAAUAUUUUCCAAAAAACUACUUUCAUGAAAAGACAGCAAGGUAAGUAAUAUGACAUAGCCCAAGUGCCCUUUUUUUAGUAGUAAAAAUUAUUAAAUAUAAAAAAAUUAUGCGAAUCAUAUUUUAUAUUUAAAAGCCAUCUAAUUCAGAUAUUAGAUAAAUGAAUCAGUUGAAUUAAAUAUAUCUUUAUGAAAUAUAAUUUUCAUGUUUUUAAUAAUCGACUUAAUAAUAUUUUUUGGCAAGUUAUUAUUUUGUACAAGUUUAAUCAUAUUUUUAUAUAAGAAGCAACACAUUAUUUUGUGUAUAAUAAAUUUUUUUUAUGUACUAAAAUAGUAUUUUGAUAUAUUCCUGGUGUAAAAAAAUAAUUUUGUGUAUUGUUGCUAAAAAAUGAAAAAAAAAAAAGGUGGAUUUUUCAUGGAUAUAUUUGUUGGGACUUGUGAAGAAGCAACUCUUUAUCACAUGAAAGUGACUUUCCAUCUUUAUCCAAUUCCACCUAAUCUGCAAAGACACAAGACACAGGAGCUAACAUCAUUGUAAGUGGAAUUCCAGAAUAAUUUUAAUAUUUAUUGAGAAGAAAAAAUAAAAAAAUAAUAUAUUUUUUAAAUAAUUUAGUAUAUAUGUGAUCUCGUACAUCAAUAUAAGCAAAACUUAUAUGAAAAUUUUAUUUUUAUGAGAUUUUAUCGAAUUUAACUUGUUUCAAAAUUAAUAAUUACAAAGUUAUAAUUUUUUUUUAAUACUGAGAAGAGGGAUUCUAUUCAUUCGAUCUUGGAUCUGUUAUCAAAUCAUACAGGAUCAUACUAUUAUGCUAUGACUUGAUGUGUAGAUCUAUUUACUCUUAUUUUUCCAUUAUUCACAUUUUUUUUUUAUCUAUGUGCUUAAUUUUAUCUUAUAUGAAUUCCAACAUGAUAAAUACGAAACUUAAUUGUGAAGUAUGCAUUUGGUUUGGAAAAUUGUUGUUCUUCUAGCAAAUGGUAAUUAUUUUGAAAUGCAAUAAAAUUAGAAUUAAUGGAAUAAUUUUGAAGUACAAGUUAAUGAUAGUGAUACCCUCUCUUUGUCAUUGCUUAAACUAAAUGGAUAAAAACUCUAAUUAUAAAAAUAAAUGGAGGAUUCAAAAAGUAUAUUCAAUAAUUCAAACAUGAAAUAUUUGUUUCUCACAUUCUAAAUACACAACCUAAAUUAAGUUAAAAUGCCUCAUCAUUUAAUCUAUAAAUAGCCAAAUGCUAUGGUUAGCAAGCUUUAAUGGAAUAAUAUACAAUAUAAUUAAAUAUAUUUCUAAUACAAAUAAUAUAUUAUAAAUGAAUGGGUAUGUGUUGGGAGGAAGCUACAUGUGGAGGUGCCAUGCAAGACUCUAAUCACCAGAGCAAUUGUCUAUUUUGGAUCAAGCCGAGCUUUGGAUCAAGCCAAAUCCAUUCUAUACUGGAUUGAGAGGAUCCGCACAAUUUUAUUCCACAGGUGAAAUGAAAAACUUCUCAGGUGGUCACUCAUUUAGGGAUUUCCCCUAAGCGAACAAGCUUAACCUUGAAGUUCUUCCAAUUCUCUAAAUCAUUUCACCAAAAGGCGUCUCUGCUAAUUAGUUUCAUCUUUUUCUAUAUAUGAACUCCAUUUUCGAUAUAUGAUUCGAUUUAUUAAUAUGUCCUACAGUCGGAAUAUUACAGGAGGAGAGGGACAAUUUCUUCCUCCUAUUUUUUUUUUUUUUUUUAAAUUCCCUUCACAUCUCUGUUAUUUGAACUUUGACCUAAAGAAAAUUUUAAAUUACUUUUAAUCAUUUUACCCCUUUUUUUUCAUAAUAUUCUUUUAAUAAAUUUUUAUAAUAGUUUGCCCCUUUUUUAUAAAUUUUAUCUUCGGAACUGGAUAUGUGUAAGAGCAUGUGAUCUUACUAUAUAUAUAUAGAUGAUUUUUAGACGACGGUAUGUGUAAACCUCUUAUUAUAACAUGUGAUUUUAAUUAAAUUUUUAAUAAUUCCCACAAGUUUCUCAAUCAAGUUACUUUAUAUAUUAUUAUAAUAAUAACAGAAUAGACAAAAAAAAAAAAACAAUAAAAUAAAGAUUUAUUUAUUUAUUUAUUUUAUAACCACACAAAAGAAUUACUUUGAAGAACAAAUAAUGCUGCCAUUUAAAUAUGCAAUCAGUUGGAAUAAUUAUUUAUUAAACUAGUAUUAUUUUAGUACAUCAUUCUUAGAUUGUAGUCUAAACUAGAAAAAAAGAUUAAUAAUUAAUUAAUUAAAGGUCAUUUUCUAAUUACCCACCAAGCAAGUUGUAGUUUUACUUUAGAAGUGUAAGUGGAACUAUCAUGAUGGUCCAUCACUAAUCACUAAUUUAGUAAUGGCAACAAAAAAUUAAUUAGGGAUGGUGUGUCCUAAACACUUUAAUUUCAUUCUAAUGUUUUGGAUUACUCUCUGUUCAAUCUUUUCAUAGUGCCAUAAAUAGUUUAAUUAGAUAUUAUUUAUUUUUUUAUUUGUAAUGUGACAAAAAAAAAAGAAGAUUAAUUUAUGAUUCUUUAUUCUUUAUUUUCCAAUCUAAGAAGACAAGAUGCUAGUGUUUGUGUUCUUUCCCACUAUAUUUGCAUAUUUAGAAAGAUUUUAAUUAUAUUUACAUUGGAAAUAAUGUAAUAUGUGGUAUUUUUAUUGCAUUUCAAUAUGUUUUUAUUAGAAAUAUUUUAUUUUUUCCGUUUUGAUUUUAAUUUUAAACUUGAAUUUCGAGUGAAAACUACUCAUUCUAAUACUUUUAAAUUUCCUGCUAACAAGAGUCUUAAAACAUAUCUUCAAACUUAGUCUGAAUAUUAAUUUUAUAUAAAUAUAUUUAUAAAUAAGUUGAUAUUUAAAACAUAAAAUGUAAAUUCACAUUUUUAUUUAAAAUGUUGAUGACAUAAAUAUUCAUAUGAACCUCAAUUAUUCAGACUAUUGAAGUAAUGUGCUGGAUAAGCAAACAAGCAUAAAGCACUAUUGACUAAAUAAGGUUAUCCAUGUGCAAUGUGUCUGCAAACAAUGCUAGCUGGCAUGGCAUUUACAAAAUGGGAAAACUAUAUAAACAGAGAAGCCAAUAUACAAAAAUAUCAAAGGGGGAAAAAGUACUCUCUCCAAUCAAGAAAAAAAAAUUACUCUUUUUGCUUCUUCAAUUAUUUUAAAUUAUUUUAAAAAAAUAGCUAAAACUAUCGUAUUCAGAAUUCGUUGGAUGGAUUUAUUAUACUUUGAACCGAAUAAAUUUAUAAAAAAAAUAAUUUGACUCUAUUCGAUAAAAAUUUAAAAUAUAAUUUUUUAUUAAUUUUGAAAUAUUUAUAAUUCGAGAAAAAGAUUAUGAAAUACUAUUUUCUUAACAUUUAAUUAAAAGCUAACUUAAACAUGACUAAAGUUAUGAAAAAUAAGCUUAAACAUCUUGCCUUCGCUGUCGGGAUGUUGAAGGUUUGAGGGGCAAAAUGGAAAUUGUGAAGAGGUACUGAACUGACUGCCGACCUAAUGGGGCUCUUUUUCCCAUGAAAGUCUCUCUCACUCUCUGCAAUUGACAGGGAAUGGUGUUUUAAGCCAAACCCUUCUCUCUGAGAUUUGCUUCUAUGAGGCCUAUCUCAUGCUAACUUGGUGACUCCACGCACCACACACGUAUGACCUUUCAACUUUGAUGAAAAAAAAAAAAAAAUCUCUCGUGGCAUCCUACAUUUUAACAUCAAUCUUAUAACAUCAUGCACCUUUUAGUAAAUAUUUCACGAUUAUUUACAUUAAAUAUAAUAAUUUUUAAGAUUUUUAAUUUUUAUAUUUAGAAUAUCAGUUUGAUAUUUAGAUAAUGCAAUUUUAGAGUAAUAAUUUUUACAUGUUUAAAUUAUUAAAUAAAUAGUGAAAUAUUUCAAAUUUAAAUUAUUUUAUUUAUAAAAAAAUAAAUAUUUAAGUAAUUUAAUUUUACAAAUUAAUUUAUGUAAUAGAUAAAUUGAAAAUUUUUCGUGAAAAAUAUAUAAUAAAUUCAUGCAUUUAAUCAAUGCCAAACAGUAAAAAUCAUCAACGUGAAAGCACUCACACAUGUCCCUUUCUUGUUGGGAUCCACAAACCAAAAAGGUAAAAAAACAGGUAAACAUAGAAAAAGAAAAGAACAUAAUGGUUAAACCAUAUCUAUCUACUCUUAUGCUUGUACAUAUGUAGAUUGCAUAAUAAAUGAUAUUUGGUGUACUAAAAAAAUUGUUGGGAUUAAAUUAUUUUCAACUAUUCAUUCAAUCACUAUUUUUUUUUCCAAGUUAAACAAUAAUGAGGAGAUUAUUUAUUUAAUUUUUAUUCUCCUAUAUAUUUUAUAAAAAUGAAAAUGAAAAAUUAUAAUUUUUUUUUUAUUUUCAUGCAUAGAAUUUUGUUAUUGGACAAGCAACAAUUAAUAUAAAUCUCAAGUUUAUUAUUUCUUGCCAAAAUUAUUUGUUUAGUGCAUAAGACAAUAUUAAUCUCAAAAGACCUUGAUUAUCAAGAAUGGGAGUGUUAAAUAUAGUUUGAUUUUGAGGAUUUGCAUAAAUCAAAUAACAAUAGCAGUUUAUAAAAAUUUAAAUCAAAUCAAAUUAUAAAGUAGUCACUUUUAUAAAAGAUAAUUAAAAAAUGGCUUAUCAUUAAUAAACUCUCUACGAGAUAUAUUUAAAUUUUUGAUUGUGAAAAAUUAGGUCAUUUAACAUAAUACGUGAAUUAUUAAAAGGAAAGUAAUUCAACUAACCCAAAUAUACACGAAAAGAUAAUACAUAUAUAAUGUUUGGUUUGGUUCAAUUCAAAUAAUUUUAACAUCAUAGUUAAAAUUAUUUGAAUUGAACCAACAUUUUGGUUUUCAUAUAUUGUAAAUCAAACCAAAUUACAAAUUUUUGAAAAGCUAUGAUUUCAGAUAAGUUUAGGCAAUUUGAGGUAAUUUAUGAAUAACCUUAAUUUAGAAAUUUUACAUUUCAACUACCACUACAGUCACAUGAUUCAUAUCUUUUAUAUUAACAGCUCGUUUGGAAUAAAUGAAUCAUUGUUAUAGAAUUCAUUUGUAAAUGAAUUUCAAAAAGAAUUUAUUUGCAAAUGAAUAUGUUAUGUUUGGUAUGCUACAACUUUAAAAUAAAAAAUUUAAUUGAAUUCCACAAAAUUAUAUUUGAAAUAGAUUUUUAAAUGAAAUUUAUUUAUCUUUAUUUCUUAUCACACCCUUGACAUAGUAAUUUAACAAAAAUAAAUAACAAACACCAAUUAUAUUUAUUGUGUACAAUAUAAUAACUUGUCAUUUUUUAUUAAAAUAUAAAUAAUAAAUUUCAUAUAAUUAAGUACACUAAUUUUCAUGCUAAUUAAUUAAUUAUAUAAAUAGUAACAUUCAUCAUAAUAAUUAUUUUAAUUGAUGUAAAAAAUUUUAUUGAUUUAAGUAAUUAAUUUGAGUAUUAAAAAAUAUUAAGAAUGUUAUUAUUAUUUUUAAUUGCAUAUGAUGAUAUUCAGUUUUUAUAAUUUCUCUGAAAUAAUAACUAACAUUAUUACUAGUUUGAAAUUUUAUAAAAAAAAGAAAAAAAAUAUAAACUAACAUCAUUAUUGGAUUUAAAAAAAUAACGUUGUUAUAAUUUGGAAUUUUUCAAAGAAAAUAAACAAGAAGGAAAAAAAAAGUAAAAAUAGUUGAGUUUAUAGUGGAUGGGUAAUUUUAUCAAUAAACAUUUCAAUCGUUAAUUUUGUGAAAUUCAUUUACAAAUCCAAUCAAUUUUAGUAGAAUUUGUUAGAUAUACCUAAUUCCAUAGAAUUCAAAUAUGUAUGUUUUUUCAUUCCAAUACAAUAUUAUGGAUUUCCAAAUGAAUUUCAUAAAAUUUUGUGGAAUUUAUUUAUUUCAAACGGGCUCUAAAAAAUAUUUUUGGCAGAUAAUUAUUUAAAAAAAUACUAUCAAUUCUGAAAGAAAAAAAAAAAAAACACUCAUGCCUGCAGUUAACAUAAUGGUUUUAAUUUAUUUAACAAUUUGUCUUUUAGGUUUAUUCUUUAACAAGAUAAGAAUAUUCAUUGAGAUUUAUAAAUAUACAAAUUACUAGUUUUAUUAUCUUAGGAAAGUCACUUGUAUUACUAUGAAAAGAGAAUACAUAUAUAUUUACAAAACUAUUAGAUAUAUAUAUAUAUAAAAUAUUGCUUUUGUGAAUGAGAACAAAAGUUGUAAAUUCACAAUAAUUAUACAAAAAAUAAAAAAUUUAAGAAUAUUAUAUUUGAGUAAAAAAAUUAUUAUUGAAUAAAUUUAAAUAAUAUACCAUGCAAGGAAUAUCAACCGAGAAAUUAUAUUCAUUGAUGUGAUUUAUUUUUUCACUCUUGUAGGGACCUGUUACAAAUUAUCUUUGAAAUUAAAAGAUAGUUAAUUUAUAUGCCUUAUAAUAAACCUGAAAAUAUAUUUUAAAAUUUUAAAUUUUACACUUAAAUCAAAAUAAAAAUAUUUAAUUAAAUAAUUAUCUAUACAAACCAUCCUUAAUAUUAUUUAAAUAAUACUAUUUUCUUUUUUUCUUUUAAAAAACAACUUUGAAUUUGACUGUUAAGAAAAAAGAACAGUGGAAGAGUUCACGGAUAAGAAAGGAGAUGUUCACAAAAAAUUAAUUCCCGUGUCCUCUAGGUUUGAUUUGAAAAUGGCAUCAACAAUUAAUGGACUAUAAAAAGUAAAGUGAGAAAAUCAGGUAGAGAGAGAGACUUUACAUAUACAUACAGAGAGAGAAAGGGAGAAAGUGAAAGCUCAAAGUUAGGGAAGAGAGAGAGGAUAUAUAUACACAUAUGAAUUAUAUAAACAUAUUUAUAUGCAAACAGUACAAACUUUGUGGCUUUGUCCAAGUCCUAGAGAGAGAAAAAGUAUGCAUAUAAAAGAUUAGAGGGACUGAGGGAGAGAGGCAAAAACAAGAAAACAAAACAAAGUAUAUAUCAAGAGUUAAGAGAGAGAGAGAGAGAGAGAGAGAGAGAGAGAGAGAGGGUUGUUGCCGAGUUAGCUGCAAGUAGCUUAAAGAAAACAAGAAAGAACGAAGAAAAAACCCUAACCCUAAAGAAAUGGUUCAUUUUGCUGCUCUGUGCUGUGAUGACCUGUAAGGCUUGUAUUUUUCAUCUUUAUCUUCACAAGUGAAACUAAUGCAAGUGAAGUUCACAUUUUUGUAGUAAUUUGUUGUGAAAUCAAGCCCUUUAUAAGCUGCUUUCUGGUGAUUGAUGUUUUGUUGCAUAGCUUGAGCUCUUUUACUUUGCUGGAAUUUUUGGUACCAGAAGCUAAGAAUUAGGGUUUAAUUGGGGGUUUUAUUUGAAGUGGGUUGCUCAGAUAGAGGUUGUGGCGUUUCUUUUUUGUCCCUUUUUUUGAGUCUCCUCCACUUGUUUGGCUUUUUGGUAAACCGGGUCUGUUUUAUUUUGGUGAAGAAAUUAAUUUUCUUAAGGUGAAAUUCGUAUAUGUACUUGGUGUUUGAUGUGCGAUCAAAAGGAACUUUUAUUAGCAGAAUUGGUCUAUAGAGAAGGCAGUUUCUGUGUUCUUUAUUGCUCAUCGAAUUGUGGAGUGUUUGGGGCUUGAAAAAGCUUUCAAAGGAAACUUGUGUUGGCUACCGAGAAUUGAGUGUCUCUGCUGUAAUUUUGGACUGUUGCACUGGAGCGUUUAGGGGUACCGGGGACAAUGUCUUCGUUGAGUAGGGAGUUGGUGUUUUUAAUAUUACAGUUCUUGGAUGAGGAGAAGUUCAAGGAAACAGUUCACAAGUAAGUUUCCUUCGCCUUUUGUUGUUUCAAUUCUCUUUGUGGUUCCAUUUGGAUGCUGAGAAAACUUGGCUCAACUGAGGAUAUGGGAAGCUGAUAUUUACAAGGAGAGUGCAGAACUCGUUGAAAUUUGCCAAAUUUUGUAUUAGGCUUGGUUGGCAUAGAGUUUGGUUGCUUCGAUUUUACUUUACUGCAAAAUUCCUUCUUUUUGAAACUAAAUUUGGAUUAUUUUUAGCUAUUCAAAGCUAGAUAAACAAUCCAGUAAACAGUACUGCAAUUUUGGUCCGAUGUACCAAGUUUUCUCAGCGCUUUCAAAUGGAGCACUAGGAAGUUGAAGUUAGAUUACUAAUACCCUGUUUUUUCUUUUCUGUGUUUUUAUCUUAUUUUUAUUUUUGUUUACUGUAUUUAAAGGUUAGAGCAAGAGUCUGGUUUUUUCUUCAAUAUGAAACAUUUUGAGGAUCAAGUCCAGGCCGGCGAAUGGGACGAGGUUGAGCGAUAUUUGUGCGGGUUCACAAAGGUUGAAGAUAAUCGCUACUCUAUGAAGAUUUUCUUUGAAAUUAGGAAGCAGAAAUAUUUGGAAGCUCUUGACAAGUGAGUUUGAAAACUUAGAUAUUUAAAUACCAUAAUGAUAGAAUUCUGGUAUUUGAACUGAAAUACUUUCCUUCUGUCUGUUUAUUUUGGGAUUCAUUUUCUAAAUAGAUGUAUAAUCAAUGGUAGUAGUUUAUGAGAAUAUAAAAGGAGAAAUGCUGAUGUGUCAUGUGGUAUAGCAUUUAAGUGUUGGUUUGUUAUGACAUAUUCGGCCCGGAAUAUUAUGUUGGAUCUUCAUUCAUGUUUUAAUUAUGUUCUUAUUCUGGUUUCUUUCAUCAGACAGGAUCGGGCUAAGGCUGUUGAGAUUCUCGUUAAGGACCUUAAGGUUUUUGCUUCCUUCAAUGAAGACCUAUUCAAGGAGAUAACUCAGUUGCUUACUCUUGACAAUUUUAGGUAGUUUCCUCCUUCCUAUAGUAUUUGCGAUGAUCAAACACAUGAAUUGGUUUCGAUUGAGAAUUCCAUAUUGUGCUCUUUGAUCAGGCAAAAUGAGCAGCUUUCAAAAUAUGGGGACACAAAAUCAGCUCGUAACAUCAUGCUUGUGGAACUUAAGAAGCUUAUUGAAGCAAACCCAUUGUUUCGAGACAAGCUUACAUUCCCCGCCUUCAAAAGCUCACGACUUCGAACUUUAAUAAACCAGAGGUUAUUAUUGCCUAUUUUUCUAUAAGCCUGUUGUGAAUAAGAUUGGUUUUGCAAAUUUAUAACUUUCAAAUUGGUUUGCCUUUGUAAUUAUUAGUUAUUGUUUCAAUUAAAAUCUGGAAGCUGAUCUUAACUAGCAUGAAACCUGUUUUUUAAGUGCUCAUUUUUUUUAUUUUUUAUUUUUGCAGUCUAAAUUGGCAGCAUCAGCUUUGCAAGAAUCCUCGCCCAAAUCCUGAUAUUAAAACACUCUUCACAGAUCAUGCUUGUACUCCUACUACUGCUAAUGGAGCUCGCCCUCCUCCUCCCACAAAUAGUCCCAUUGUUGGACCAAUUCCCAAGGCUGGUGUAUUUCCUCCCAUUGGUGCCCACGGUGUAUGUAUUCUUAAUCUGUUCUUCCCUUAGUCACACUUGAGAGCUUCUCAUACAAUAUCUGCAAUAUCUCCUGCUGUACAGCCAUUUCAGCCAGUUGUUUCCCCUUCUUCUGGUGCUAUUGCUGGAUGGAUGUCGAGCAAUAAUCCUUCUUUGCCUCACCCUGCUGUGGCAGCAGGGCCUCCUGGUCUCAUGCAGCCUUCUAGUGCAGGUGGAGCUGGUUAUACUUAUGCCAUUUGUAGUGCCAUUGGUUCUUUGGUAGUUUGACAUUCUUAGUGAACCUACAUAAUCAUUUUUGGAUUUGCACAGCUGCCUUCUUGAAACAUCCAAGAACGCCCACAGGCAUGACUGGGAUUGAUUAUCAGUCAGCUGACUCAGAGCACUUGAUGAAGCGUAUGCGCACUGGUCAAUCUGAUGAGGUCUGCACCCAGUUCGUAUCUUUUGCUUGGUGGUGACUGUUAGAAGUCUGGUUGCUAUAUUUGUUCUGUGGUCUGUUGUUGUAGGUGUCAUUUUCUGGUGUAGCACAUACUCCCAAUGUCUAUUCACAGGAUGAUCUUCCCAAAACUGUCGUACGAUCCCUUAAUCAAGGAUCUAAUGUUAUGAGCAUGGACUUCCAUCCGCAGCAGCAAACAAUCUUGCUAGGUUGAUACUUGAAGAUAUGUUGCUUAACAGCACUUCAAAAGAAGAUAUAAAAAUGUUCUCUUAAUGGUAAUUGUGUUUAUCAAGUUCUAUAAUUAUUCUUUUUGCAGUUGGGACAAAUGUUGGUGACAUUAGCCUUUGGGAAGUUGGCUCCCGGGAUAGGUUGGCACAUAAACCCUUCAAAGUGUGGGACCUCUCAGCUGCUUCAAUGCCACUGCAGGUAUCAUUUAUAUCAGUUAGGCUUGAUAUUUACACUGUCUAUUUUUUUAUGAAGUUGACACCUAGAGAUUCCCUCAUCACCACCCCUCCCCCUGGAAAAAACUAUUCUCUCUCUUCCUUAUACUGUAAUUCAAUCUUGGGCCUUUUGGUGAAAUCACUAGAGGACUUAAUUAGUUUGCGAGUGAGGAUGUUAUUGAUUGAGAUAGAGUUGGGAAUUUGAAAUGCUAGUUUAUCAUUAUUCUCAAAAUGAUAAAUUAUUAUAUUGCUAGCAGACAGCUUUAUUGAAUGAUGCUGCAAUAUCAGUGAAUCGAUGUGUCUGGGGGCCAGAUGGACUUAUGCUUGGUAUGUAUGUGAAUGUUACUUUUUCUGCAAUAUGAAUUUCAUCUUGUUUUUUAACUUUUGCAUUUGUAUCUGUAUAUGGCUUCUUGUAGGGGUUGCAUUUUCAAAACAUAUUGUGCAGAUCUAUACUUACAAUCCAACUGGAGAACUAAGACAGCAUUUGGAGGUAAGUGUGGCAUCCUUGAAUAUUAUAUAAUGCAUUGUAGAAGUAAGUUCCUUUGCAAUUAACUGCUUCCUUCAUCUUUUAGAUUGAUGCCCAUACCGGCGGUGUUAAUGACAUUGCCUUUGCUCAUCCCAACAAGCAACUAUGCAUUGUCACAUGUGGCGAUGACAAGACGAUUAAGGUAUAGGCUUUAUGCUUAGUUGGCUUACAUGAGAAGGGAAAUUGGGUCUACAUAUGAUAUUCUCCUACUUAACAGGUUUGGGAAGCUGUAGCUGGACAUAAACAAUAUACAUUUGAAGGUCAUGAAGCUCCUGUAUAUUCUGUUUGCCCUCAUUAUAAAGAAAGUAUCCAGGUACUUGUUCUUUUAUGAUGCUGGUGAUCAAGGUUUUACUAUUUGUUAGGUUCUUUGUUGUCUGAACUAUGCUUAAAAUUCUGCAUCUUUAUGAAUUUAAGAAAUACCUGGAAGCUCCUGUCAUUCUGAAUUGCCACAUACUAGAACUCAUUUUAUCUAUAUGUGCAGUUUAUCUUUUCUACAGCAAUUGAUGGGAAGAUUAAAGCUUGGCUAUAUGAUUCUUUGGGAUCUAGAGUGGACUAUGAUGCUCCUGGACUUUGGUGCACCAUGAUGGCAUAUAGUGCGGAUGGUACUAGGUAAGACUCAGCAGUUACGGAGGUGGUCUCCAUUUUUCCCUUUCCUUUUAUUAUUUUGUUGCUAACUAUUAUUGGAAUAUCCCAUGGCAAUAGCUGCACAGGGGACUUUUAUGUUGAUCAUGAUCAUGAUUUUAUUUUACAGGCUACAUUUUUUCCUACUCUGCUGCUCUAAAUUUUCUUAACACAUUUUUCCUUUGGAAUAGUCUGUGGCUUUUGCUAGUUUCUUGUAGGAUUUUAAUUUGGGUUGGGCAAAUCUUCGGUGAUGUUCUAUCAUCUGGCAGUUAAAAAUAAGUGGAGGUCAUCUAAUGUGGUUGCUAUUAGCAACAUCAUUGAUAGACAGGAUAUGGGUAUCUGUUCGUUUUGGUCAAGUGAGGGUGUCAAUCAGGGAUAAUGAGAACUAUGGUAAUUAGAAAGCUAUUAUAAGAGGAAGCUCCAAUGGGAUGAACAUGCAUUAGAAAUCUCACAGAUCAAGGUAGAGCCUCCUUGAGGUCGACUUAAUGAUGAAAGCUUGAUUAAUGUGUAACUCUGAACUCUGCUUCCACCCUGGUAGCUACUAGCACUUUUUUUUUUGAUUUCUCAUUAUGUAUGGCAAUCUUAGGUUCUUCACUUCAACUUGUACGUUAGGUGCAUGCCGAUAUAGCAUCCUGGUUUGUGGAGUACUUGUAAGCUUACAUGUUGGCGCAUUAAACAAUGCAUCAAGCCCUAUCUUUUAAUUUCAUUCCACUUAUUUUAUAAUUACAUGCAUAGGGUAAGAAAAAGUUUUUAUUGUGUAGGCUUUUUUCAUGUGGAACAAGUAAAGAAGGUGAAUCUCAUCUGGUCGAGUGGAAUGAGAGUGAAGGAACCAUCAAAAGGACGUAUUCUGGCUUCAGGAAGCGUUCUUCAGGUGUUGUUCAGUUUGACACAACAAGGAGCCGCUUCCUAGCUGCUGGUGAUGAAUUUCAGAUUAAGUUUUGGGAUAUGGAUAAUACGAACAUGUUGACAGCAGUUGAUGCGGAUGGAGGCUUGCCUGUUAGUGUUGCUCUACCUCCUCUUUUUCUAGCAUUGAAGUUUAAAUAUAAGCUUUUGCAGUUUUCAUUCAAGUAUAUUAUUUGCCGCAGGCAAGUCCUAGACUGAGAUUCAACAGGGAAGGUUCCUUAUUGGCAGUCACAACUAGUGAUAAUGGUAUCAAAGUUUUAGCUAAUAGUGAUGGAUUGCGCAUGAUAAGGAUGUUGGAGAGCAGGGCUAUUGAUAAAAACCGAAGCCCAUCUGAACCCAUCAACUCUAAGGUAAUUUAGUGCUAAGAUUUUCUAUGCAUUAAUUUUGUCUUUCUGAUCAAUGCCAUGAGCCUGGGAAGGAAAUAAUAAUUAAUAGAACUCCUUUUACAUUAACACAAAAUCUAACCUGCUUAAAGACAUUUGACUGGAAAAGGAACUUGAGAAGCCAAAGGCAUUAAUCUCGGGCCUCAAUCGAUGUCACCAUUGUUUAUCUGUCUCUGUGUUCCUAAAACCAAUAAACUGCCAGCAAUUUUGCUAUGCUUUUGAGAAUCUCUCUCUCUCUCUCUCUCUCUCUCUCUCUCUCUCUCUCUCUUUCUCUCGUAUGGGUAUUCCUGAACGAGAAUGACUUGCCUAGACUCGAUUUAUGGCUCCACCCGUGGACCAAAUUAAUGAACAGUAUAUAUUUUUGAAAACAAGAAUAUUUCUGACCAUUCAUCGGGUAAAGUGGGAACAAUUUUUAAAAAAUCUCUUUUUGCAUCGGUUUGAUCCAUGGGUGGACUCAACGAGCGGGUCUAGGCAAGUAUCAUUUCUGAACAUUGGUUAAUGGAGUAUACUAAACUCUCCAUCAACCUUUGCAGUUGCUCAUAUAUUCUUAUCUUUCAAUAAAACUCACUAGUUGUCUUCCACCUAUGUAUUGUGUGACAUGUUUUUAUAUGGAUUCCUGAAUUCCUGAAGUUAAUAUUUUUCUCAACAAUAUUUUGCUGUGACAUCUCAAUGUCCAAAGGAUCAAUUCUAGUUCUUUAUGCCUGUGACACAUUCAAUAGAUCUAGAAAAGCAAUUUCCAAUGGAAAAUUUCAAUCUUCAUCAAAAGGAAAACAGGAUUCAAGGCAAAAAAAAAAAAAAAAAAAAAAAGAACCAUAUGAGGAGAUAACUAUGGAUAUCAUAAUCAAAGUCCUUUUGUGGAUGACACUGGCUAAUCAUUACAUUGGGAGGAAAUGGUUUCAACCUAUCUUGUGAAUUGCUGGGAUCUUAAAUGGAAUUAGAGUCCUGAAGAAAAAGUGUUACAAUUUGGGUUUUGAUGUUAUUGCUAUUUGACAAAUUGGAUUUGCUGAAUGAUAGGCUUGUCUUUCUUUUUAGGAAAUGAUAGUUGGAGAGUUUUGGAGUAGAAAGUUCCUUGAUGCUAUGUGUUUUAUUUGAUGUUUUCUGUAGCUUUUCAAGUUGAGGUUUGAAUAUGUAAAGUAAGUAUGUGUCAAUUACUUUCUGUUGGCAAUCAAUGUGGCAUUCAGUUCUCAUUCGGUUUUGGCAACACUACGGGUGAAGAAGUAGAAACAGAGGUGUGAAUAUUGCAGCUAAAAACUUUGAAUUUGUGAAAAGCACAAUUAAUUGUCGAUUCCUGUUGCAGGUCUGUCGCUCUGAUGAUAAACAUGACCUUUUUGUUGUCUCUCUUAUUGGUAAAGAAGCCAAAAUGUAAAAUUUGAACACUCCCUAAUGCAACCUUAGUAAUCAUGAUUUCUAGUCAUAAUUGAUAUGGAUUUCGGUAUGCUUGUUAUGUUUUGUACCUAAGCCCUAACAGAUUUGUUGGUUUCCUGAGAUGCUGAACUGUUUGAGUCUUUGCAAUUCAGCAUUCCUUACCAUUUAAUGGAUUAGGCUCAGAAGAGAUUGGGGAGCUGGACUAAAAAUAAAAAAAAGAAGAAAAAUGAUAUUGUUUUAACGGGUUGCUGUUUGAACAAUGCGUUCUGUAUGGUGGAGGAAAGUGAAAGAGAAAUCAAUAAUUUCAUAAUGACAAGUCUCCUUAUCUCCUAAACUAGAAAGCUAUUAUAUUCUUAUAUAUGAAAAAUAGGAGAAAACUAUGAGUCUUCAGUUCACUUCGUCCGUAGUGUAUGACUCUUCUAAAAAAAUAGAUAAAAAUAUUUUUCCUAUGUGAAACAUUUUUUUCCAUGCUAAACAAUGGAAUCCACUUGAAAAAGCCAAGUGCAAAAAAAAAAAAAAAAAAAAAACUUUAUAUUGUUUCUAAUUAUGGGUUCUCUAUGACUGAAAAAAGGAUUGAGAAUUAGAUCCUGAAUCCUUAAUUGAGAGUUAGGAUCAAAUAGCUUUCAACAUGUAUUUUCUGGACUGCACUAAUAUUCUGCUAUUUGAUCAUUUUUCUAAUGUAUUAAACUUUAGUAAGGUAAGAUAGCGUCCUAUGUUAUCCCGUUGUUUUAACUAGAACCUAUCCUAUCAACCUUGCAAAGGAGUCAUGGGAGUGUUGGCCUCUUGGAAAUAGGGUAGGCUAGCUAUGAGAUCUGGUCCCCUACUCUCUGAGAUUCGAUGGACCUUUUGAUGGGUGCCAAGUAGAUGCAUAGAGAGGUGGGUUGGGGAAAGAUGUGCAUGGUGCUUAUGGAAAACCUGAGAACCACAAGGAUUGAAGAAGUAGAAUGUGGAAGUCUGAUGAUGGUGAAAAUGAAAAGUUCUAUUUUAAAAGAAAUUGAGGGGUUUGUAUAAGUUACAGAAGAGUGGGCUCUUUCCCUUUCCAGGUGGCAGCUAAGUUGGAGAGCUUAUCUCAAGAAUUAAUUUCAGAAGUUCAUUUUAAAAGAAUAGUUUUCUUAGAACUUGGGAGUAGAAACUGGAUUGGCAAUAGUGUGCUGCAUGUGGAGGGUCCAUGACUCGAGAUAUUUUUAUUCUUGGGUAAAUACAACAGGCCUUCCUGGUUGUCUAGCUUUUUAUCACUUGACUUGCACCAUUUUUUUAAAAAAUAAUUGUCUCUAGGAUAUAUGAAGAUAAUUUAGUGAAUAAUCUAUUACUUUUGAUGCAUGCCUGUGUCAUGUUUCCUUUUUCCUCGUAUUAUAAUAUCAUACCCCAUAAGUUCUUUGUAAUUUUACUCAUAUGCUUUUCUGGUGGUUUCUCAAAACUGAUCUGUUCUUUGCAACCUUCAUUGCAGCCUCUGAUCGUUAAUCCACUAGGGCCUGUGGCAAAUGUUUCUUCUGGCAUUGCUCCUGCACUGGAACGUUCAGAUAGAAUCCCCCCUGCUGUGUCCAUUGGCAGUCUUGUAUAUUGCUUUCUCCACUUGUGUGCUUUGGUUUAUUUGUUGUCUUAAUCUUAUGGUGGGCAAAAUUGCAGGGUACAAUGGACAGCAGUAGGCUUGUUGAUGUUAAACCACGGAUUUCAGAUGAAUUAGAAAAGAUUAAAAGCUGGAAAAUUCCUGAUAUCGUUGAUUCAUCUCAAUUGAAAGCUCUGCGUUUGCCCGACACUAUUGCAAAUGGCAAGGUAGGCAGUUCAACAGUACAAUUAUUGCUAAUUCCAUGUUGCAUGGGAAAGAAAGCCUUUGCACCUGUGACAGUAUUUUAUCUCUUUAAGAAUUUUUUGGUUUCUGUGGAUAAUCUUUUUGUUCUUUGGAUUUUUAUCUUUAUCCUUUUGGAAUGAUACUUCUCAUGUGAGAUAUUAUUUUGGAUGUAACUCGUAUUAUUUUGAUGAGUCGAAUCUAGUUCUUUGGAUCUCACAGCUGUUGGUUUCAAACGUUGUUUGUGCAUGUGCAUGUGUUUAAGUUUGUGUAUUAGCAAUUUAUUGAUUUUUCAUGACUAUUUACAAUGUUGAAUGUGAUGGAUUAAUGGUAAGAACCAUUCUGAAAGGUUAAAGUAAGGGAGCACCACCUAUUUGAUAUGUUUCUACCAAUUGCGUAAUUCCUAUGCAAAGCAUGUAGGUCUUCUUGCUUCAGUGUGAGGAGAUUUGUUUGGGCAUGAUUAAAAACCAGUUAUAGUUCCAACUCUUGGGAAUAUCAAACUAUAGAGGUAGUUAUUAAUUAUUUCUGUGAUUACUUUUGGUAAGUUAGUAACGCGGUCCACUUUAAGUCCCUAGCAAUAGCAGAUAUUGCCUUUUCUUCUAGGAUGUUCAGCAAGCAUGAUUCUCUCUCUCUCUUUGCUUACACAUGCAUGCAAGCACUUGUAGUUGAUGCAUAUAUUUUGUUGUAGCCUUCCAUAUAUUUUUCAACAAAUCUUUAUGUCAUGUGUGCGCAAUUAUAUGGAGAUUCAAGGUGUGAACUUGCCAAAAUUGAGGAUGAUAUAAUGAUUGUAGGUUGUGCGGCUGAUUUACACCAAUUCUGGCCUAGCUCUGUUGGCACUUGCUUCCAAUGCUGUUCACAAACUCUGGAAAUGGCAACGCAGUGAAAGGAAUCAAUCAGGAAAGGUCUAGAAAAAGUCUUUCAAUGUCGAAGCAUCUGUUCUAUAAAUUUUGGAUGUGUUUCUGAUACUAAACAUCAAACUUUUGUAGGCUACCGCAUAUGUUGCACCGCAGUUGUGGCAGCCUCCUAGUGGAACUCCCAUGACUAAUGACAUAAGUGAUAAUAAACCACCUGAAGAAUCUGCUGCAUGCAUUGCUUUAUCCAAAAAUGAUUCAUAUGUCAUGUCUGCUUCUGGUGGGAAGGUAUCUUUGUUCAACAUGAUGACCUUUAAGGUGAGUUUUUGCCAUUUUAAUUCAUUCUUCAUCUCAAUGUGUAAUAUUGUUUGUGCCGAUAAUUUUUAGCAUUCUUUGCACUUUACUUAUUGAAGUUGGUAACUUCUUAGGUCAUGACGACAUUUAUGUCCCCUCCUCCUGCUGCCACAUUUUUAGCGUUCCAUCCUCAGGAUAAUAAUAUUAUUGCCAUUGGCAUGGAGGAUUCUUCUGUGCAAAUUUAUAAUGUCAGAGUUGAUGAGGUGAAGCAUUUUUCUAAUAUUCUGUGUGCGUUUUCCAUGUAUGGUUUUAUCCCCCUGCAAAUGCUUACUUUUAUCUAAUACAACAUCAAAUAAGCUUUAUCCCAAACUAGUUGGGUUUGACUAAACGAAUCCUUUUUUUCUAUUCUGCUUAUUUUUAUUAAAAAAUAAUGCAUGACCUUUUAUACUAGUAAUAGUCUUCUUAUUUUAAAGUGCAAUCGUUUCUUGAAAUUGUUGCCAAUUUUGAUUCUUGGUACUCUACAUUUGCAUAGUUAAAAAUUUAAAAAUUAGUUUUUUAAAAAAACUUUUUUUUUUAUUCACGUGCUGGAAACAUGAUUAUUGCAACCAUUAUCUUUACACAUAUAUAACAUUGAAUUUUUCUUGUCACUUAUUAAUAAUAGUGAAUGAAAUUUGGAUCAUUUUGAAAAACAAACGUUUUGAAUAUGAUGUUGGCUGUUGAAAUUGUUGCAUCAUCUAUUGGCUAAUGACCUUAAGUUUUUGUUUGAGGUGUCUUAUGGAAGAAAACUUACCUUGGAUAUUGUUUGCACUUGGCAGGUUAAAACCAAACUUAAGGGCCACCAAAGUCGAAUAACAGGACUUGCAUUUUCCCAAAGUUUAAAUGUCCUGGUGUCUUCUGGGGCUGAUGCACAGGUUAGUGAUUGAUAGAAUCGAUGAUCAACAUUAAAUUGUUUAUAGCUAGAUUUAUUUGAUGUUAUCCUUAAGAGAAAGGCUGUAGAUAUGAUUAUCUUAUUUAAUUCUGUGACUGAUUUGAUUUUGCCCGCCCAAUUCUGACUAUAAACUAAUAAUUCUUUUUCCUGUUUUUUUCUUUGAUUUCAUUUUUAUUGUCUGUUUUCUCGCACUGAUUUGGAUUUAGCAUCACCAUUACAAUGGAACUUCCAAAAGUUGUUGAGAUUUCCUGUUCAGUAAAUGCUCAAGUUUCUAUUUUGUCCCUUGUGCCCAAAGAUGUUGCUUUCAAUUUCCUUCUUUAAAAUGUUAUCAAAUUGCUUUAAGAUCUGAGCUAUUCUUUCAAAUGCCACUAAGGUACUCUAUCCCCCACAAAGAGAGGGACUUUAUCUCUUAAAAAAUCCUGAUUGUUCGUACAAUUGUACUAACUUCUAUAGUAUUAAGCUGCAAGGUGGUGAAGAAAGCAUAUGCUUUCAGAGCUUACUUUAUUAAUAUUUUUGAUGUGAACUCUUUGAAAUCUAGGAUGAGCUUCAGGUUUAUUGUCAGUAGUUCUUACAUAUUGAUGUCUCAAGGUGUUGAGCAGUUUUUAAAUUGAUGUGAGGAUAGUACAAUGGUCUCAAAAUAUGUUGAAGUGACAGUGUUGAUAUGAGCUAAAGCAAUGCUUUGAGUCAAAGAAAACUUCUAAGACUUUGUGCUCACAUGAAAGCCUUGUGAUCUGAGUUUGUCCAAUUGUGCAUACCAGCAGCCAUUCAAUAUGCUAUCUGAAUGGUCUUCUUCUGAUGUAUCUUUCAAGCCUUUCAAAGUUUAAUGAUUAGGAGGCCAAGAAUCCUAGCUAUCGGUUACUUCUGCUGGAUGUUUAUUGGGCUUGACCUUGCUGAAUUCAUAAUUUGUCGUGAAUAAGAAAUAAAUGCUCCUAUGCAACGCUACUACCAUCAGUUCACAUCAUUUAUUGCCCAGGGAAUGCACUCAUUAGAUCUGCUUUCUACCCUCUGCAUUUGCCCUUCCAGCAUUGGAAUCAACUUUUUGUAUUCGAUAUUAUUAGUGUUUGAGUAAUAAGCAAAAAAUAUUGCUGGAUAGUUCUUAAUGCUGUCAUUGAUCCACUUCAAGUUAUUUUAAAUCUCUUGAAUUUUUAUUUGGUAUGAGAUACCAGCUAUUGAUGUUGAUUUGGUGGACCAUAUGUAUUUUUUUAUAAAUUUCUUCUUGCGAUACUGCUGCUUUUAGAAGGCAUGAGCUUUGCAAUAUGAACGUGUCUGUUCACAGUUACCCACUAUUGGAUUUAAGCAUCUGCUUUUGUUGUAGAAUUACUCGUAUUGAUAUUAAUGGGAUCAUUGAUGAAUCGGCAGUUAUGUGUGUGGAGCAUUGAUGGAUGGGAGAAAAGGAAAUCGAGGUUUAUACAGCCACCUCCAGGUCGGCAAUCUCCAUUGGCAGGUGAAACUAAAGUGCAGUUUCACAAUGAUCAAACACAUCUGUUGGUUGUCCAUGAAAGCCAAAUUGCCAUUUAUGAUAGCAAACUUGAAUGUCUGCGAUCGGUAAGUUCUGUAACCUAAAUUUGUGUUUUAUUUUAUUUUUUUAAGUUUAAGAAAAGAUUUUUUUUUUAAGGAGAGAAUAAAGAUUUACAGAGUUAAGAUUAUGCCCUGUAACCCCAUGAUUGUCAAACUUACAAAGAAAUGAGGAAAGCCACUUUGAUCUAUGGCACAAAUUAAAAUACCUAAUUUUCCUUAAAAUGUUGCAGGAUGUCCAUCCAAAGUUCUGCUGCUCUACACAUGUUACAGUGUUCCACCUUUUUUUCCUUUGUAAUAAUAUAUAUGUGCUUGGCAUUCAUGCAUUUAGCAAAUCAAUUUGAUUUUGAAGUUUCUUGCAUUGAGCUGGAUAAAUUAUUCAAUUUGCAACUGCUAUUUUUUUUUUUUCAUUAUUUUGGACUGUGGCAACUACUAUAAAUCUAAUAUGUUAAGUGUGUCUCACUUUUUCAAAACCUUCUUAGUGCUUUGACCAUGACUAUAUGAUAUAGCUAAUGAUUAAAACUGAGAGGACUAUUGCUUAAGUGAACAUUAAGAGAAGCCCUGAAAAAAAAGUAAUACUAUUCUAAACAUAUGUAUGACCUACUUUAUUUGCAUUUUGGUAUCCAUUUUAUGUUAAUUCAAAGAGGGGGAGGGAGAUAAUAUUGGAGGUUCAGAUGUAUUCAUAUAGACACUUUUAGGAAGGAACCGAACAGGAGGAUUUAGAAGGAAAGAUGGGAUAACUAUCAAUGUUAAGUUUACAGAGGAAAAUCAACUUGACUUUGACAAUCCUGCAGCUGAGCAAAGUCUAGACUUCGUAAUGUGGUAGCUGACAUGAGACCCAUUAGGUGUUUAUGUAGAAAUUGCUGCCCUUUGGUUGGAAAUUCAUUUAAGUUGCACCUCGAAUAUGUUGGCCUACAUAAUUGGCCACCAUCACUAAAUAUCAUAGGCAAUAUUGCAGUAAAAUUGAUUAAUAUGCUGUAGCUCUUCUUGAUUUUUUUUUUUUAAUUUUUUAUUUUAAUAAAGGAAUGGCUUAGAUCUUAGUUAAUGAAAUUAUUUCUAUUUGUUCAUUUACGUCGGUCAAUUGUGAUCUUGCAGUGGUACCCAAAGGACAGGCUUGCUGCUCCCAUUGCUAGUGCAAUAUAUUCAAGUGAUGGUUUGCUGGUUUAUACGGGUUUUUGUGAUGGUGCUGUUGGAGUUUUUGAUGCAGAUGGCUUGAGGAUCAGGUGCCGAAUAGCCCCUUCUGCUUAUAUUCCUUCUUUUGUGGCAGGGUAAGCUUCAACUAACUUGCAAGAUACUGGUCCAGUAUUUCAUUUCACAAUAUCUUAUAUUGGAAGCGGUAUGGUUUCCAUAUUCACUGAUGAGGGUGCGUGUUUGCAGCAAUUCUGCGUAUCCUUUGGUUGUAGCAGCUCAUCCAUCUGAGCCUAAUCAGAUCGCACUUGGCAUGAGUGAUGGUGCAGUACAUGUGGUUGAGCCGUCUGAUGUGGAGCUCAAGUGGGGUGGGCCAUCCUCCCAAGAUAAUGGGUCCCUCCCUUCUAAUUCAUCGAAUCCUUCUCUGAGUGGUCAACAAUCAGAGCUUCCCUCCAGGUGAUGGUGGCAAACUUAAUCAGCUCCUGCCACAGUCGUUAGCACUUACACAAGAGGUUUACUGAUUAUCCUUACUUUUUUGCCUUGAUUGGUUCCGUUAAGCUAUUCCCUGUUAUUCAUAUUCUUUGUAAAUCUCUCUCCAUCUCAUCCUCUCUUGUUGGGGCCAUUUCGCUCCUUUGGAUGUUUGAGAAAUUGUAUAAUUUUGUUUGUCACUAAAAUUGUGCAAGAAUAGAGGCUAAUGUUGCGAAUUUGUUUACUUUUUACGUAUAUAUAAAUACAUGUUUUCCUUGAAACGGUUGACUUUGAAACAAUCGAGAUAUGGGAGUAUGAAAGAUGAACUUUCAGACUGAAAAACUGAUCGGAUUUAGUGGAAUGUUAUUUGGUAUGUGAAGAAAUGACGGCUUCUUCUUUGUAAUUUUAAAGGAACCAAACUUGCUUUUCUUGGCUGUCUUUCACUCAAUGGAUAUGGUCUGCUUUUCAUCUGUUGUUACGGCUUUCUAUUCUCCGCUAUAGUUAGUUUUCCAUGUUUAUUUCUCCUUCCUGAUAAGUCUUCUGUCUUCUUCUUCUGGCAUUGUUUCUAGAGAAGAGAGAGAGAAAACUAAGCCUUUUGAAUCGCUUUUUCAUGUUAUUAUUCAUAAGAUUGGCUAUAUAUAUAAAAAUAACCAAAAGAUUGGCAGUGGCUGCUUAGCUUUUCUACAAUUUUCUAUUUUGACGUCUGAACAGUAAAUGUGACUAAACAUGAUUCUAAAUUUUGUCUAACAACUAGAAUUUACGUGAAGGCAGUUGGACCCACAUUUUCAUUGUUAUUUUUUUUGGUGAUUAGGCUCACCGCGUCAGAUGCCAACGCUGAAGCUACUCUCCUCUCCUUUCUCAUUGCUUACAAUCGGCCUGUCCAACUUAAAGAAAUUUAAUAUCAUGUACUCUGCUUCUCCUAGACAGCAUAUCGUCUAAUGUGGCAAGCCUAGUCAGCCAAAAAAUCUAGCUGUCUUAAGAGCAUCAUCUUCAAUGCCAUUGAUAGUUGCGUUAAUUUAUUAGCCACGUCCGAAAAAUUGAAAGUUAAGGACAAAAAUUUUCUCCUCCAACCUUAUUCUGUUUAGUCUGUGAAUUGGUGUGUCAAAAAGAAAAAGUGAUAUUGUUUAUCACAAUAUUUUCAGAGGAUCUGUUGAACAGUGUGACUCAGUUUUUUUGUUCAUUUUUUUCUAUUUAUUUAUUUUUCUUUAUACUUUUCUCUUUUAUUUGAACUGAAAUUAAUUUCUUUUUUCGUGCAUUGAAGAAUCAUUUUUAAAAUCUAACAUUUAUAAAAUACACAUUCAUCACAUCAUUAUUCAAAACUUUUAUUUAUUAAAAUACAUCAGUUAUAAUCAAUGGUUGUAUUGAAGAUGCUCUAACGUUAAUUUCGGCCGGACUACGCAAAGUUCAGCUGAUAGCAAAUAUCUUUUAUUCAUACAUCAAAUUUGCAGAUUACUACGGUAGAAAAUCAAUAUAAUUAAUUAAAUUAAAUAUGCAACAAAAUUUUCAUAAAAAGGACAAUAUAUUAUUAACAAACCAAUAUUAUAGUAUUGUAGAGUUUAAUAUUAAUGUGAAAAACAAAAUUGACAUAAAAUAAAAAAUUAAUAAUAAAAUAUCAUUUCGUUUAGUAUUAACGUGAGAAGCAUAUUAAAAUUAAAGGUUUUGAGUUUAACAUUAAUGUGAAAAACAAAAUAGAACCAUACAAGUUAAUAUUACGAAACCAAAACAUAAUAUUUCGUAAAAAACUAUAACAUCAUUGAGUUUAUUGGUUUAAAAAUAAAUGUGAAAUGCAAAUUUUAAUAUUAACAUGAACAAAAUGUAAUAUUAUUGAUAUUUGUUAUUAUCUUGGGAUAUUAAGAAUUUAUUGAUGAGUUUAGCAACUUAUUCAUAGUUUUCAAAAGUAAAAUAAAUAUUUUUCUUGUUAAUUAUUUAAUUUUCUCUUGAAAAGAAUAUUUAAAUAGAAAAAAUAAUUUUAAAUUUUAUGUUCAAGUAAUAUCUUGCAUGUGCCCGAUAUAAAUUUUUUUAAAAAAAAAAAUUAGAAUCCACAUGAAAAUUUUAAUUUAUAAGUAUUGAAUUUCAUAAAUCCAAGGUUUAGAUGUAUUGUUUUCUACUUGUUUUCAAUUUUACUACUAAAAAUGAGAUAUUUCAUCUCUAAAAUUGUCAAAGUCAUUUUUUUUUUACUUAAUUGCAAUUAUAGCAUAAUUAAUAAGUUAAUAAAGUCCUGACCUAUAGCCAGGGCGAUGAUCCUUUAGGUAUGAGUUUGAACUUCAUCCUCAUCCUCCUUUAAUUUGUAAUCUUAUCGAAGAAAAUUUUUUACUAAAAAUAAUAAAAAAAAACGUAACCAAAUAAAAAAAAUCAAUUUGUUGAUUAAGGAGUAAUAAAUUUUUUUUAAAAGUAAUGGAUAAAUAUUGCAAUCAAAUAUAGAAAAAUCUACGUGUACUUGACAACUCCAAAUUAAAGAAUAACCAAUAUUAAUUAACUGUCAAUGGAUUUACCAUAAACAACAUAUUAUGUCUCAAUAUAGCAAAUUAUCUAUUAAAUAAUGACAUUCUUCCUUUCUUAAAGUGUAAAGCAAUAGUAAAUCUAAGAUUUUAUUUAUUAUAAAAAUUAAAAAUUAGUUUAAAAAUAUUAAAAUUUAUUUUUUAAAUAGAAAAAUAAAUAAUUUGAUUAGUAAUGCUAAGGCAAGAAGUCUUUAGUAUAUGUUCAAAAAUUGUUUGACGAAAUCCAAACAAAUUUUUGUGGUGAGUUUUCAUCCAGAUAAAAUAAACAUAUAAUGAUAUGAUAGGUCAAAAUUUCUACAAUAAGAUUUUAAUUUCUAAGUCACACUGAACAAAGUCGCAGUUAGAUAAUUUAAUAUUAAUGAAACAUAAUUUAAUCAUUUAAAUUGUAUUUGAUUUAUUAUAUGAUUUAUGUUUGUCCAAAUCUGUAUGUUAAUAAUAAUAAUAUUAAUAUAUAAUAUUUUAUUUAAUAAUUUUUAAUUAUAGUAACUUUCAUGCUACACACUCUACUUCCAAUUUUGUUAUAAUAAUUAUCUUAUUUUAUUUUAUUUUUAGCCAAUUGAAUAGGAAACUAAUAAAAUUAAAUUAAAUUUAUAGAUAAAUUAUAAAUUAUAGAUAGACAGAGGAUAGGGUCAAGGGGAGUAGCAAUGUCUACUGACAAUUCCAAAUCUGAAGGUAGCCAUAACACAUUUGGUGUUUUUUAUUAUUAUUUUAACAUAGUAUGUACUUACAGCUAAGAAUAUGCAAUAAUAAAAAAAAUAAUUUCUAUCAUACGUUGAAAACACAUACAUCAUUUGUCUCAAUAUUUGUUUAUUUUUCCAGGCCAGGAAAAUUCUUGUCUGAAAUUAUCAGGGUGUUUCGAAGCAAGAAAGGGCAAACAAGAAGAAAAUCCUCCUCAUCAACCACAAUCAUCCAUCUCCAACACCAGUAAUCCUUCUGGCCAAGAGAUCCAACGGCUGGAGACUCUCAUGGAAAAUGCUUUUCAGAGUGUUUGGGAACUCAAGAAAAAGUAGAAUUCAAAGUUUAGAGUAAGCUUGAAAACGUCCUUUUUUUUUUUUUUUUUUUUUUAAACCUACGAAUUGCAACCACAGUUUGGAGCCGACUUACUUAAAAAUAAAUUAUCUACGACUUCAAAUAUUUUUUUUUUCAUUACUAAAUUACUUUUAGUAAUAAAAUUUAUUUAUUUAUUUUAUUAUAAUAUAGUUAUUUUUAAGGAUUUAAUGGUAAAUUUACCUUAGACUUUCCACCAAAUUUUUAUUACAUUUCAUUUUUCUUAAAUAAUUAAGCGUUUAAUUAAUUGCAUAAUUCCGCGAUAAUAUAUUCUAAAAUAUUAAUAAGAAAUUUUGUCUAACUCGCUUAAGAAAUAGAUUUAUAUAUAUAUUAAGGUCAAAUAUUAGAAGCUAUUUUUCUUUUCUAAUUAAUAGAAUUUAUUAAUGGAAAAUAUAUAAUUUUCUCAUUUGAUGUUAGUGAUCAUCGUAAAAUAUACAAUAUUGGUGAUCAUCGUAAUAGUUGAGUUCAAAUAUUAGUCACUUGAUGUUAUAAUUUAAUUGUAAUAUUAAGAUUAUAAUUAUGUUCAUGAUAAUUAUUUUCAUCACAACAAUAAAAUAUUAAUCUUUAAAAUUUCUAAUUGAAUUGGUAAGUUUAAAUAUUAGUUUUUUAAUAAUUCUAUUAGUUAUGAGUAAGGUCUUUCCUAAAUCGAAAGAAUUUUUAAAUGGAAAAAAAUGAUUUCAAAUCUUAUUUUUAAAUCAUAUCUUGCACAUACUCAAUAUAAAAAUUAAAAAUAAAAUUUAAAAUCUACAUAAAAUUUUAAUUUAUAAUCAUUGAAUUUCAUAAAACCCAAUUUUCAAAUGUGUAAUUUUCUACUUUUGGCCCAUGUUCUAAAAUUGAGACAUUCAGUAUUUAAAAUAGCCAAUGUCUGUAUUUUUUUUUUUUUUUUUUACUCAAGUACAAUUAUAACAUAAUAUGAUAAGUCAAUGAAGCCUUGACUUAAUAGCCAUGGCGAUGAUCCUUUAUCUCUGAAUUUAAACCUCACCCUCAAUCUCCUUUAAUUUUUAAUAUCAUUAAAAAAAUACUUAAUUUCUUACAAAAUAAUAGAAAACAUUAACCAAAUAUAGAAAAUCAAUUUUCUGCUUCAAAAGUAUUAAAUUUUUUACAAAAGUAAUAGAUAAACGUUGUAAUCAAAUAUGAAAAAAUCAAAGUGUACUCAGACAACUGUGAAUUAAAAAAUAAGUAAUUAAUUAAUUCUUAAUUGAUUUACCAUAAGCAUCAUAUAUAAUCUAUAUGUGACAAAUUACUCAUCAAAUAGUAAAUCUAAGAUUUUGUUUAUUAUUUAAUUAAAAUAUUCAAAGUUUUUAUCAUUUAAAUAGCAAGAUAAAUAAUUGAUUAUUAAUAUUAAUUUUUGAUAACUAAAGAAAAUAAAGUGGCAAAAUAAAUAAAAUUUGUGGUGAUUUUUCAUCAGGAGAAAAUAAACAUAUAUGUGUAAUAUAUACUUAAUCUAAACAUACUUUAAUUUUGUAUCACGUUUAAUAAUAAUCAUAAUAUGUGUAAUGUCAAUGUCUAUCAUUUGAAUUGUAUUUGAUUAUUGAUAAUAUAGACUUAAUUUAAUAUCGAUGAAGCAUAAUUUAAUUUUAUAUCGCGUUUAAUAAUAAUCAUGAUAUGUGUAAUAUUAAUGUUCACCAUUUAAAUUAUAUUUGAUUUAUUAUAUCUUUUGUUUGUCAAAAUGUUUAGGUUACUAUUAGUAUAAGCAUAUAUAACAAAUUUUGAAUUAAAGUAAUUUUCUUACUACACAACCUUCUUAAAUUUAUAAUAUUUUGUAAUAAUAAUUUUUUUUAUUAGCCAUUUGAAUGGAAAAACAAUGUAACCAAUCAAAUCAAACCAUUUUUAUUUUAUUAAUCAAUGAAAUUAAAAGCUUUAAAAAUAUUUUUCUCAAUCAAUAAAUUUAAUAGGUAUUGUCUAUUUCAAUAUUUCUCUUUUAAAUUGCCACUUUUAUAUAUUUUAUAGAUUAUAAAUUAUAGAUAAAUAGAGGUUAGGAUCAUGGCUUUAGCUAAAUAUAAUCUAUUCCAAGUAACUAUAGAGAAAAGAACUUUUGACAAGAGGAGUAGAAAUGUCUAUUGACAAUUCCAAAUAUGAAAGGUACCGCAACACCUAUAACGUUACUUAUUCAAGCAGUGAAUCGUGUCUGAAUGAAAUAGAUUUUACCCAAUUAGAUUGAGUUCUUGUCCUGGGAUUUCACACAGAACACCUUUGAAACUAAGCAAUAAGCACAAUAGGGUAGGUAUUGAAAGAACCACAAAAUUGACAAUUGCAACAAGCAUAGUGUAGAAUUGAUGUCUUAUAUUCAAAAUCACCAGUAGCAAAAAUUCAGAAACAGGCAAGUAACAGAAGAAAACCAAAGAAUUUGGAUGCAAACCCCUUUUACAUAUAUAGGCUAUCUAAGAAAUAACCACAAUUUUUAAGGUGGGCAAUUCAUUCUUUUUCAUAUAUUCUGGCAAAUAUUCACUAUGCAUUUUCAGUUUUCGUUCUCAGCUUCAGCUCUAGCUGUACAGUUCUCUGGUAGUUUUUGCAAUGCCGGUCUAUUUCCCACCUGCCAUUCACAAAAGAUUAAUAAAAAGAAAUGGGAAAUGCUUUAUUUUGGCAAAUUCUUGAAAAAAAAAAAAAAAAAAGGAAGGAUUGGCGUCGUCACCUUUGAGACAUUUUUACUCUCAUUGUUCUUCUUACUGGUAAUCUCUAGUGUUUCUUUCAACAUCUUGCUUAGCUCUCUUAGGCUCUUUUCACGUAAUUCAUCAGCAGCCUCCUUUUUCUUCUUCAUUUUAUCCUUUUUAGGCUCUACUUUUCUGCCACUGCUGUCAAUGUUCUCCUUGUUAAUAAUGUCUGGAUGGAUUAUUUUCUGAUUUGUUGUCAGUUUCUUAGUUGAUGAUUUCCUUGGUGUUGACUCCGUUGGACGAGGAAACUGGCCCUGAAUUGUGUUGGCUGCAAAUGGCGAAGAGACCAUGCCAACUGUGACUUUGUCACAAAUUUGCUUUUCAGUGUCAGAAACAAGAGGACAGAAAGGGCUACUCUUUGCGGAUUUUGGAGUCUCGACUGGGUCUGAUUCUUCAGCUUCAACUACAUUGCCAUUGACAACAUCAGCUUUCUUGCAUUUUUCAUUCCCACUCUGUGACAUCUCACAAUCAGCUUCGAGAGUAAGUGGAGCCUUCUGGACUUCUUCUGUACUCUUAUUUUGUUGAACUUCACUUGUGAAACUGUCAUCAGAGACUUCGUCUGAUUCACUGUCGUCAGACGUUUCAUCCAAUUCAUCAGAAGAUUCAUCCAAUUCGCUGCCAUCAGAUGACGAAGCUUCAUCUGGUUCACUGCCGUCAGAUGACUCUUCCUCAAUGUCAUUCACAUCAGAAUCUUCCUCAGUGUCUGCGUUUGAAAGCAGAUCGUCAUCACGGUCAUCUUCCAUAGAAUCCAUUUCAGAUCCUUUGUCCACAACUUCAGGUAUCUUAGGGGUCAAUGAAUUCAUGACCUCAACUGAAGUAUCUUCUGUUUCCAUGAGACAUGCAGAAUUGUUAUCAGAUGCUUCUACAAUCAAAGAAUCUUGAUUUUCAUUCAAUUCCCCUUCAGUUUCUGGCUUCACAGAAGCAUUCAGCAUUUCAUAGUGUCCUAUAACGGCAACUAGUCCUGAAAGGUCAAUCAUACGUCAGGCACUUCACACAUGUGAGGAAAACCUUUAGAUAAAAAGUGUUACAAAAAUGGGGACAAGAUGUCUAUAAAAAUACAUACCGUUCUCAUUAAUGGACUCAUGAUUCACAUCUAUUAUCUUCUCUGAGCUUUCAUCUUUCGAAGAAAACAAUUCAUCUGAACUGUCAUUAUCAUCUUCAUCGUUUGCAUUUAAAUAAUUAUCUAAAUCAGUGCAUGGCUCAGAAGCCAUUUCCAGUUUUGCACUGCAAACAACCAAUUCAUGGUCGUUUCUAUUCUCAUCUUCUUGAAAUUCAAUUUUUGUUUCACUUCCAUUCUUUAGCAAAGGAUCUUUGUCUUGGAAAAGAACAUCUGAAUCCCCUUCACAAUCAACACUCUUUCUGUCCUCAUGAAGUUCAUCCUUCAUUUCACUUUCAGUCCCAAAUGGCUGAUCAAAAUUUUGUACAAGAACUCCUGAGUCAUCUUCCAUUUCAUGAUCAUUAGUCUUGUUGUCCUCUUGAACUUCAUCCUUUUUUUUGUUUUCGUUCUCUUGUGAUUCAUCCAAAUAUUGGCAUGAAAGAACAUCUGACUCUAGCUCAUUCACUUCACGGCCAUUACUCUUGUUGUCCUCUUGAACUUGAUGCUUCAGUUCACUCUCACCAAGUAUCUCAUUUAUGUCUUGGCAUGUAAGAACUUCUGACUCUGACUCAUUCACUUCAUGGCCAUUACUCAUGUUGUCCUCUUGAACUUCAUGCUUCAGUUCACUCUGAUCAAGUGUCUCAUUUAUGUCUUGGCAUGUAAGAACUUCUGACUCUGACUCAUUCACUUCAUGGCCAUUACUCUUGUCCUCUUGAACUUCAUGCUUCAAUUCACUCUCACCAAGUGUCUCAUUUAUGUCUUGGCAUGAAAUGACUUCAGAAUCACCUCCUGUAUUGCAUUACAACCAUUGUCAGAAUCCAAAGGAACAUAACUGAAUAGAAUAAUUAUAAUACUUUUCCUGUAUAUUUCAUGUAGUUCUAAUGAAGUUGAAAAAGAUAAAGCCAAUGUUAGUUAAUUAGUGAAGGUGUUUAACUUUAGUUAUUUCAUUCCCACCAUUUUUACCGCAAUCAAACAUUAUAUACCAGAAAAUUGAUACAGAAAGUUUCCACUCUUGGACAAUAACAUAACACAAACACAUACCAGGCACAUUCUUCUCCUGUUCAAUUUCCUCAGUUUCCUCACCCAACCCCUCAAUCUUCACAGCCUCAACUCUCCUUGUCUCCUUCAAGCUCAACCCUGCCAUGGUUUUCUCCAACAAUCUCACUGACUGCCUGGUACCAUACACUCUCUGAACCGACAGUUCGCUCUUCAGGGGCUCAAUUUUCUUCUUAGUUGAAACUGCUGGGGCCUUUCUUCUGGAGCUCUUCAAUGCUGGAGUCUCAAUUACCUCACUUUUCUCAUCUUCCACACUUUCCAUUAAUUGGGAAUCAAUUUUUUGGCGAGCUGAAGCAGCUGGUGCCCUUCUCCGGCUAGCCGGCAUUGCUGGAGUCUCUGGUAAAUUCACAUUCUUGUUUUCUUGUUCAGCCCCUUCAGCAACUGUUAUUCUUGUUGCGCGCCGAGUACGAGUCAGGGGUUGUGAACUUUCAGGCUCAACUUUAAUAGGCUUUCUCCUAGUUGAGGUUCUGCCUGCAGUUCUAGGCUCUGCAUUAGUAGUUUUCUCUGGGGAUUCGUGAGGAUCAGAUCUGGUUGCAUCAUUGAUUAGUUCAUCGAGUCCUUCAACCUGUAACAAACCAUUCGAUGAACAGCUCAGAAAAUGUGUUUGUUUAGAAAAUUGAAACUCUUGAGCACUGAAAGAUUCAUGAAGCAAUCAAACAAAUCAACAAAUUUAAGAAUUAGAGGAACUUUAUAGGGAAUGAGUUGAUAUUAGAAAAAUAUUAGUGCAUAAAAAACCAAUAUCCGAAAGAAACUUAACAAUCUUUUUACUGGUUCAACUAAUAAGGUAGAAACAUAAUCAAAGAAUGCUACAAACUCAGAUUUUGGUUGUUGGUUAACAAUGCUAGAAUCCAAACUUCUGGUUUUGGUUAUUUCUUCAAUUAACAAAUCAGUAGUGAUAAUAUCCAAUCUUGUAUAAAGGUAUUCAAGAAAUGCUACUCAUUGAUUCAAUAGUAAUUAAGAUCUGAAAAACCCUAAAAUCAAAAUCAUAAAACCCAAUAAAGAAACAACAAAAAGAACAAAAUUUCCUACAUGUGUCUUCUAUUUUCUUCUGAUUUCUCAAUAAUCAAACAAAAUAUGCUCAGAAAGAUGAAAUUGAUAAAUGAAGAUUAAAAUCGAAACUACCUUCUCAAGAGCUUUGAGAGCAUCAGCCAUGGCGACAUUGGUCAUAUUAGCAGGGAUCUUGUUCUUCUUGCAGAGAGCUUGGAGCUCUUUCCUUGCGAGGCUGUGAAAAUCCAUUUCCGAUCGGAAACAAGAAAAGGAAAAAUUAAAAAAAAAAAAUACAGAAACAAAGCGUUUGUGGUAUCGAAAGACUAUUGCUUUCUUGUUGUUGCUGAUUGAGAGGGAGAAGUGGUGAUAUAUAUAUGUAUCUGGUGAACGAUAUGAGGGGGAGAGAACCCUAGAAGAUAUGACCGUUGGAGCGUGAAUUUGAAAUUUGAAAUUAAUGAGUAUUUUAUUAGUUAAUGUAUCCCGCAAAUUUUCAGAAAAUUUGUUAAAUUUUAUGCUAUUAGGGAAAUGUGUUUAUUUAAGUACUUUUGUAUUUAAUAUCAUGCUUAAAAUGAAAUAAUUAUCUUUUUCAGUAGGGUUUUUCUUUUUUGAGAUGAAUUUUUUUUUAUUAAGUAACAUUAAUUGAGUUAAUUAUAAUUUUUUAAAAUGUGUAACAAAAAAUAAUUAUUUUUUGAAAUAAAAAGUUUAAUAAUUUAGUUAAUUUUUUUUAAAAUUAGUUUUUUAGAAAGGGAAAGUUUUGUUUAUAGCAUUGUAUUACUGAUGUAAAAUUUGUACAAAGGGGUCUUAACACUUUUUUUUAAUUACAUGUCACAGUGAUUUGAUUUUUAAAAAAUGUAAAAGGAAUUUAUAAUCAAUAUGGAAAAUGGAAUUGUAAUGAGAAAAAUAAUAGAAAGCAAAAAUAAAUGUCCUUUUUCCCUAAUGUUCUAUUUCUCAUCUAUGUCAUGUCAUUGUAAAUUGACCAUGGCCCUAGAAAGAUUUUGCAUGAUAUCAGAAAAUAUUGGGCCAAACCCUAUGAAUCCAUGCUUUUAUUUCUAAAUUUCCUUAUUUUUCAAUUUUAAAUAAAAAAAAAAAGUCCAAAUCAAGGUCAUUGCUUCAUUUUUUCUCAAUUUUUAUGAAGAAAUUAUAAGGUCCCUAUUAUCAUAGUUAUUUUGAAAUUUUAUCUCUAUGUUCUAAAAAAAAAAAAUUCUGACAUUCUGCCUCUAUUUAUUUUUAUAAAAUAACUUGCAAGAAAAUAUUUUUCAUAAUUUUUCGUUAUCCAGAGCGUUCAAGAAAAUAAGUUGAAGAAAAAUAGAGCCAUUUUUAAGAAAAAUGACUUCCCAUUUUCAAAAGAAAAAUAUUUUCUGGUAUUAAUAAAUUAAUAUAUUAUAAUCUUAUAAAUUCAUAUUGUUUUUUAAUUUAUUAACCAUUGGUAGCCACUGCCACCAAUUACCGUUUACUACCCGCUAUCACCACCACCUACCGACAACUUUUAUAAUUUACCAUUUUUUACAAUUUUUCUCAUAUUUAACAAUAAUGUAUGGACUAAGUAAUCGGAAUGUUUGAAAUUUAGUUGAACUAAAUAUUUUUAAUAAUCAAUUAAAAAAUGAAGAAACUAAAAUUUCAAGAAAUCAACUCAAGGGUUUGAUUCACACUAAACAUACCUGCAGAGAAGGGUGAAGAGCCUUAAACGUGACUAGACCCCAAAUUGAAUUUGGUCCACUAAACACAUCUACAAAGAGAAGCGAAGAGCCUUAACCGCGAUUAAACCCGAGCCGAAUUUAAUUAGUCCGUGAUAACAAGGGUCUGAAUAUUGAUGGUUUACACCGAAAAAAUCAGAUAAAACUAGAUUACUUAUGUAUAAUUCAAUUUUUCAAAGUAAUCAAUUUCUUUCUUUUUAAGAUUAAAUUAGAUAAAAUAAAUUGAACAAUGAGUGAAUUAAAGGUAAAUGAUGAUGGCAUAUUUGUCCCGAGAAACAUGUGUAUUAAAUUUUUUUUUUCUUUUUUUAAUAUAGCUGCUUAUAGAUUUACUUACUUUACCAACUCUAUUUCAUAUUCAUGCUUCAUAUAGAAAUACAAGUAUCUCAUGUUUCACAUAGAAAUAAGUAUCCAUGCCAUACAAAAUUAGCCCUUCGGUAUUUGUAUCUGCUUCUUAUCAGAACAAAAAUUGCUAAUCUCAAAACGCACUUCCAAGUUAAUAAAAUUGCCUCUUCAAACCAAAAAACAAAAAGACACAAACACCUAGUUGACAUCUCUUUUCUUCCCCUUCUAAGGGAUAGAGAGGCAAAAGUUCUUAGAAACUGUAUUUUCCACCCAAUUUUACACUAAGAACUGCUCAUCAUACAUUAAAAAAUUUACGUAGAUCCACCGCAACAACGACAGUUAUGAUAACAAACUCAUCUGCUCGAAAGAUAACUUGCUUUGCCAUUAGUCUCUUUACAAAAAAAGCAUAACAAAGACGCUCAAACUUUUAUUAGUCAGAUUCAAGAAGAGGAUAAAAGAUAGAUAUUACUCCACAGCAUCUGCCAAAAGGGGAAAACAUAGAUGGUGAACAGAACCAAAUGCAUAAAUAUGAACCAAAAGAUGUAUAUCGCCUGCCAGAAAAUGAUAGAUAAUCCAAUAAAAGCACCACAGACAUCACCCAUUCCAGAUGAAAAGAAUAACGCACAGUUGAAAAUUGUUCAUUUGAAACAUGUAUCUAUCUUUUUGGAAGUUUUGCACUUUGUGCAUCAUACAACAUAUUUGUCUAGCCUACAGAGUGUACUUAUUAUUUUACAGGAGCACAAUGGCCAAAGCACGAGGCCAUAGCUCUAACCAGUCCGUCCAGUGAUUGCUCAUGCAAACAAAACUAUAGAUACAAAAGGAAAGACUAACUCGAUCCCAACUGUACUAGGUUUCUCUAUAUUUUUCAAAUAAAUAAAUAUAAAAGAAAACCUGAAAAACAUCAGCUCAUAUGGAAAUAAAAUGUACAUAUAUCUAAACUGAAUUUCAAACUACCCGCUUCUAUCUGUAAUGACUAGUGAUUACCUUCUUUUCAGCCUACCAAAAGCUCUUUUCUGCAUCCCCGUCAUAACAUCGCUAUAACCUUGCGUUGAACACGUUCACUGUAUAUGGUUUCUUCCAUGCUAAAUCUAAUGGUCAAGAAACAGGUAACAGAACCCUCACGCAGAAAAUGCCAACAAUGUAUAACGGGUGCAGAAUACUUUUGCCAAAAAGAGGAAAUUAGCAAACAAUUAUUGCAUCUGCAGUAUUAGUGAGCACAUAUAGCAAUGUACAUGUCAUCUAUGAUGGCUGUCCCUCUGCAUCUCUAUUCGACAUAACCACUUUACAUGCUGCUUUUGAAGGAGGUCUAUUGAUCUUUUCAAGUAACCUACUGAAAACUAAUUUGACAGGUAUACAGGCAACAGUAGUUGGCCCAGAUGUUUCAGGUUUGAUAAGUCCAUCCAUUUGGCCACUGCUACUAAAAUGUAUGGGCUUAGUUCCGAAAUUUUGUUGAAUACCAAUUGACGAUAGGGUUCUUGUUUUUUGAUUAGAUGCUAAGCUUGCUUUCUUUGGCAGCUUUCUUGGAAAUUUUCUAUCCAUUGGAGGAGGACGGGAAAUGUGUGUAAGGCCCUUCCGUACCAGGCUUGCCUUCUGGCCGAAACUACCAACACUUGACUUCUUAAACGGAGAUCUUCCAUCCUGAUCUAUAAAAGGAGGAUCCUCAGCAGAAUCUUCAGCACCCAACACUGAAGACAAAUGAGGGCGUGGGACCCUAAAAUCGGUCCUUCUAGCAGUUCUCCAAGCUGGUGGAAGUGAUGAUGUAUUUCCAUCAUAGUCAACUGCUUCGGUGCUAUGAUAAUCAUCUGUAGGAAUGAGGUUUUCCGAUGAUCCAUCUUCUAGGGCUUCAAUUUGGAUUGGAUGCCCUAUUAUUGCCUUCCCAUCUAACUUGCUCCUAAGAGAAACAAGAGGAACAGGUUCUUUUUGAUAGCUAGCUUGGACCUUCAAAUCCACAUCUAUCAACAUGGAUCUUGCCCUUCCGCCAGAAUGAUAACGGCCAAAAAUUAUUGGAUUGAAACGCUCCAUCCCGUCCUCCCAAUGUCCUCUAAAAGCAGGACGAUCCUCCCAAGUCAUGCCCCUCCAAUCAAUAUUGUUAUGACCACUUCUAAUUUUGCCUUUGGAUGCCAAUCUAGAUGUAUAUGAAUAACGCCCAUUAUCUGGCCCAAACACUUGGGUCCCAAAAUAUUUUGUGUCGAAAUCAGCAUCAUGAACAGCAUAUGCCCUUUGGCCCAGAAUGCUACCCUUUAUCCCAUGAUAGGUUCCAUGAAGAAGACCAUUCAAAACUUUUCUGUCAGCUCUAUCUGCAGACUUUUUGGUAAGAUGUCGGAUAUUCCUUUUCCCUUUCAAUUGCCAUUUCGACACUGCCGCAUUAGCAAGAAAAGGGUCAUCAGGAUAAAGAUGAGUCAUUUCAGCAGGAAAAGCUAAUUCAUCCUGAUCCUCACUGCUUGUGCUUCCAGGUCCUCUAGGUGCUUCAGGCAGUCUCAGAGCAUUUUGUUCAACUUCUGUAGGUAUAGCAGCACCUGAAUAGACAAGCACAGAGGCUAAUAAGACUCCCCAAAAAAAAGAGAAUAUACUGAAAAAAUGAAAAUUAUACUGUUAAAACUUUACACAGCUCAAUACACAGCAAACCCAUGUAAUUACAGAAAACAGCAUUGAAGACUAUAAACCUGAAUACAAAUGCAGGAAUGCAAUAAUUGCACGUAGGUCCACAAAAUUGACAAGGACUAUAUUUUAAUCCAAUGUAACGCUUUUAGUCUAACUUCCCUAACAAAGGAUUUUUUAAUUGAUCUCAGUCCAUGCCAAGUUGAUAAUCAACUUAUUUGGAUUACUAUCAUUUUUACAUAUGCCUCUAUAGAAAUGCAGCCAUAAUACCAGAUGUUGGGCAUAGCAACUCACUCAAGCCAUAAAACUAUUACCCGAGGAAGAAAAUUUCAGGACUCAUAUCUAAAGACAAAAUAUGGUUCAAGGUGUUUUCUCAUCCAGAAGAUUAUGUGCAAGACUCCAGGCAUAGCUUAAGAAUUCUGACAUCAAGUUUUGUGAAACACAAGAACAAUUAUCCUAAAAUAAUUGCCACCAACGCUAUGGCUACUGUGUUUGAGUCAUCUACAUUAAACUUGUCAAAGCUAAGCAAAACCCAAACAUUUCUCACCCCCCUUGAUUUAAUAAUGCAGUUGUAAUGACAUUUUCACACUGCUUGUCUUGCAAAGUUCAGUGGCAAUACCCAUGGAGGCCGGCCACAUGUAUAAAACUCGUAAGCCUAUUUUUAUCCCACCACAGGUCUACAACUGUGUACAGCAUGCAAUAUUCCUAGUCAAUAACUAAGACAUCUAUCCACUCAUCCAUACUUGCACCAUGUAAUUUGCACAACAAAAUAUAAAUUCUAGGUCAGUAGAACCAAGCAGAGUUAUUAAAGGCACAAGGCGCACUAAAGUGCCAAAGGGUCCUGAAGCCUAGGUCCAAGCACCCGCCUAAGAAAUGUAAGCCGCAAAAAUAUAUAUUUCAAAGAAAAUUCAAAAGUAAUACUUGAUUUCUCCACAGAAAAUGUAAUAUAGAAAUUCAUAAACAAAUUCAAGCACUUGAAUUGGUUUAACAAAUUAACACUUGAUAUUUAUAACAAAUCCAAAAUAUUAACUUUGUUUAACCAAAUUAACAUUUAAUAAACAAAUUCAAGAAAUUAAUAACAUAGUGAAAAAAGUUAAUAACUCUCAAAUAAUCAAUGUAAAGUCAAGAUUUUAACAACUUCAAAAGGUUGUUUAGGAUAAGAACAGGGACAAUAGAGAAAGAAACAGUGAAAAGAUAAAACAGGAGCAAAGAGUAUUAUUAUUUAAGAAAAAACGUAAAUACAGGACAGUGGGGAAAAGAAAAGAAGUAGAGAAGAAUUAGAGUGAACACAGACAGGCACAAAGGAAACCAAAAUCAAGGCAGAAGGACAGAGACCCAAGAUCUUUGGAUGCCGGAAUGGAAUUACAGUGAGCAGGUGACUCAAGUAGUGGCAGUCCAGUCAGGAUCAGGCCACUCUCCAGCGACAGAGAUGACAUUUCUGGCAAUUUUUGGGUGCAUGGAUGCUGAUCCUUGUAGAUUAGCUAAUCCUGAGACCAGUGGUGGAAGCCAUUGGUGCUGGGAAAGCUUACUCUUUGCAGGAUCUGUAAGAGGUGCCUUGCAGCUGGGAAAAGGCGCUCCUAAGUGAGAAGGCAAGCACCCGGGAGAGAUCACCUGCCUCUCUCUAGCAGAGGACCAAGGCUGGAACCUGCUAUGCCUUGCACCUCAGGUGCCCUUAGUAACUAGGCAACCAAGAUUUAAAUUUGCUGAUUUCGACGAUCUAUAAUUUAUCAUUUCAAAGCAUCACUCUGAUAAAUCUUAACCCACAUUUUGUUGAGAGGGAAAACAAAUUUUCUUUUCUAUAUUAAUUAGAUAGAAAGUUUGGUCUAAAAUAUCCACAAUUGUCAUAUUAUUUGUGAAGUAAAGAAAAUUUUUUGUAUUAUGAAAUACAUGCACUCCCAUUUGCAUCAAUAUAUUAUGCAAUUCAGAAGGGCGGUUAGCCUAGUAAGAUUUUCCAUUAUUCAUUAGCAAUUUAAAAAAAAUCUGUAAUCAAGAACCCCCAACAAAAGGAACUGAAUUUUUGAAAUAGAACAGAUGUUAUCAGCAAUGGAGCAAGCAAUUGAUCUCUCAAACACACCCAACACUGAAAAUGCAUAAGCAAACUAUUUGACACUCAAUGGAGAGAAAUGAUGAUUGACAUGAAAUAUGAAUAGUAAAUACACUACCUGGAAAAAUAGUCAUUUCAUCAUCCACAUCCGGCUCAGUCUCAGAAGAAUCAGACUCAGAGUCAUUAGAAGAGUCAGUUUCGGACGAGUCAGAUUCGGCAUUUUCCAUAAAUCCAGAAGAAGAGUUCUGUUCAUUCAAUGAACUGUGAUGAGGAUGGCUAUCAUCAUCGUCAAACUGAGAAGGAAAUGCCUUAAUCCGAUUCAAAGGAAGCUCUUUAUCUUCCAAAGAGUCGCUAGACUCAGCUGGAAAGUAAGCACAUUUACUCCUCUUCAAUUGACAAAUAGCUCCCAUCUGCUCUGCUCCUGAAACAGAAAUAGAAACAGUUCCAGACUCAGAUUGUGACAAAUGAGGGACUUCUAACUUUGCAUUACUCUACAAUAUUCAACAGGAGAGUAGCUACUCAUGACCCUUGAUCAAACAUCUCCCAGUCAACCCUAAUGUGACCUACCCUUCUGAAUAAAAAAUGUUUACCAUUUGCAUUAUUUGUUCUUUCAAUGCUAGAGGCACCAACGGGAUGAGCUUGAAAUUGAUUAUCUUCCAUAGGUGUCACAGGACCAGCUGUAUCACCAGAUGGAAGCUUUCGCUUUAAUGGGGCAGUUCUAAGCCCAAAAUCUUGCAACCCUCUCAUCCGUGGUGUUGCAUCAGAAUGAUCAUCUUCCGAGAUUGGCUGAUUUACAUCUGUUGCUUUCUUAGGAUUGGCAGCAAUCUCAUCUUUGAUACUCGUAUCUACAUGGUUCAAAAUCUGAUUCAACUUGGCAUUCCCGGGUUUUCCACUAUUAUUUACCCAGAUUUCUGAAGCAAUGUCAGGCUCCUUCUUUGCAGAACUAGAUGAUUUACUUUUUUGUUGAUCAGUAGUGCUGCCUAAUUUCCCUUGCUUUUUCAACAGUUGUUUUUCAAGCUCAAGUGCAUGAAGAAUUGCAUCUUCUCGACGUGCAUAUUUCUCUCGCUUUUUGAUCGGCAUGCCCUGGGCUGAUUCUGCCCUUUCAAUGCAAUCAUCAAACUCACCACAUCGAAAUGCCUUCACACGCUUAGAUUUUUCUAAAUUGUACCAGUCCCUGAAGAAGUACCAUAAAUUUUUGUUAUAAAAAGCGUGCUCCAAAUGAAAUCAGAAUAAAGACAUAAUGUCUGCAAAAACUUUAAAAAAUUAUAAAACUUGAAAUAAAGAGGAACACUUUGCACCCAAAAUUUUAAAUAUCAAAUUUCAUGCAUUGGCAGCAUUGACAUUAAGCUUAUCUUCUAAAAUUACUCCUCUAUUCAAAAUGGUGAAGGACAUGACCCAUGGAGCAUCUUAGCAACUAAAAUAACUCUGUCCAUCUUUGUCAUCAAUGAGGUUGUAUAAGUUGGUUCCAAGGUCUAAAUUAUAUUACACCCAAUUUCUGCUUUCAAAAUCCCAAAUAUUGUGAGACAAAUAAUUUGACGUUAGUAAAAUCAGCAAAGACGAUAAAGGCAACAACAGCAAAGGAACUAACGCCCAGCCACAUUGUUAGAGACAAAACCAAUUGUGAAAUGAUCAUCAAUGCUCAUACCACUUCCCUUUCAAGCAAGAAAAUAACUCAGCAAGAAAAAAGAUGUAACCACAAACACCAGAAAAUCAAAUAACUUCCUAUCCAAAAACUAAUACAUAAAAAGUAAAUGGUCCAGAAAAGUAAAUAUUUCUUUGAAAAAUAUAAAUUAUAAGACGUACACACUAGCGUCUUCCCUGCCGAGGAGCUUGACCGGAGUCCCUGUCCUCGGAGAAGUGAGAUUACACUCGGCCAACUCGUCAGGCCCCAGUAUCUUUCCCGGCCACCACGACCCAUUCCUCCUUCUCACCCAUACAAUCGGUCCAAUACUACAAUCUGCCGCACCGGAUCCCGAACUGCCCAUCGCCACUUACGUAUCUCUUUAAUUAUCAACUAACAAACGCACACGCCCGCAAGCGAGCGCCUCUCUUUCUUCCUCUGUAGAAUCAAAUUCAACCUCCAGAGGAAAAGAGAGCGAAACGGAGAAACCUACAACAAGAAUGAACAAACGAUCCACGAAGAGAAAAUAGGGCUUCCAUUCAGAUUUGAGGAUUUUUCAUUGUCAUUUAUUAAAUUCUAGGGUUUUUGUUUCAGUUUGAAUUCAAUUGAUCCUUCACUCUCAAACACACACUCUUCAAGAAGCUUCAAGACUAUAAACGACACCGUCGCGGUGGUAGUGGUGGUGGUGGUGGUGGUGGUGGAGGUCUGUUGGGGUGUUUAUAUGGUUAGGGUCUUUUCUUUUUGUUUGGAAAUAGAGAAGAAGAGGGUUGGUUAUGGCUUUUGCUCGGUUUUGUUUUUUUGGUUUUGAAAGAGAAGACCCGAACAGAAGGAGGAGAAAAAAAAUAAAAAAAUAAAAAAACACAUUCCGCAAACUUAUAAUUUUUGGCAAUUUCAUUCUAUUUCGAUUUUUUUAUUAUUUUUUCAUUAAUUUCCAUAUUUUUAUCAUUUUUUUUCAUUAAUUUUGAUCUUUUAUGAUAAUAGUAUCCUCAAUUACGAUAAAUAUUUUAAUUAUAAAUAAAAAAUAAUUUUAAUUUUUUAAAAUAUAAUUCCUUAUUGUUGAAUAAAUAAAAAAUUAAAUUUUAAACACUGUUUAAAUAUUAAAUUAUAUUCCACUUACUGGGUGGUAUAUUUAUAGUUUUUUUUAAGAUAUAUUUAUAAUUUUUUUUUUCUUAUAGGUUUAAGAAUAUGAUAUUAAAAUGUAAAAUUACAAUAAUUAAAAGUUAUUUAUUUUUCAUUAAAUAAAAAAUUUUAAUUUUAUUAUUCACCCGAAAAAAUAUAAAAACUAAGACUUUUUAAUAUAAAAAAUAAAAUUUAUAAAUGUAAAAAUAAAUAUUUUAUUAAUAUAUUACACCAAUGCUUUAGAAUUUUUCAUAAGUAACAAAAACUUAUUUAUUAAAUUAUUGAUUAGUAUAUUUAUUUAAAAAUUAAAAUUUUAAUCUCAAUAUUAAUUUGAUAGACCAAUGGAGUUUUUCCAAAUUUUUAUUUUAAAAUUUUUAGUACUGUCACAUGAUAAUUUGAAAAUAGAUGAAAAUAUUUUUUUUAUUUGCAAUUCUACUCUUAAUUGCAAUUGAGAGUGAUAUUGCUAGAAAAAAAAGUCAAAAUUAGAGUAAAAUUAAUAAAAAUAUUACAAUAUGAUGAAAUUGGAAAAAAUAAUAAAAUUUGAAAUAUUUUAAAAUAUUAUAAUAGCUAAGUAUCGUUCUAAUUUAAUUUCAAUUGAUCAUAAUUUAUUGUCAAGUAAUAAAUAAGUGCUUAUCUUUAAAUUAUGCCAUGGUGUAUAUUGACUUUGUAUUUAUUUGAUACUAACUUAAAUUUUAUAUGUUUAAUACUGCAUUAAAUUAUAUUAAAUAUAAUUGAUUAACAAUAACCUUAGAGAAAUAAUAAUAUGUUAUUACAUGGGAAUUUAUAUAAUUUUUAACAAUAUGAAUAAAAAAUGAAGAGAGAUGUGGUGGCUCUGGCUCACUGAUUCCGCGCGCAUAACUCGUACGAGUCAUUCUUUCUCCUAUCUGUGUGUACCGUCCAAUGCCUAACGCGUGCUCCACAUGCCUUUUUGGCCCAACCUCUCUAUAUACUGCAAUUAGGGGAAAUUAGGAUUGUGACAAGAUUUUACUAUAAAAAAAAACAAGAUUUUUUAUGUUUUAAAUUAGGGGAAAUUCACUAUUUAAUCCUUAAAUUUCAAUAGAAAUUACUGUUAUAUUUUUAUUCUUCAGUAAAAUUACUUGUUUGUCACUAUAAUCUAAUUUCAUUAAAUUAUUUAAUCAUUUCAUCUAAAAAGAACUAUUUUCAUCCUUACAUAUCAUAUAAUAUUUAGUACAAUGCUUUUAUUAGUCACCAUUUUGACAAAAAUUCUGAUAUGUAAAAGGUUAGUGCAUUGACUUUUAAGCAUGUGUAAUAUUGAAAAAAAAUAUUAUAAUCAAAUAAUCUAUUUUAGGUUAAUAAUUCAAUUAUCAUAUCUGCUUUAUAAUGAAAGAAAAUACGAUUUCAAAAUGAAAGGUUACAAAUGUAGUCUCAAUUGAUUUGGUAGUUGAAAAGCACUUGCAUUAUACAAAUCUCUCUUCCAUGCCACAAAGUCCUCAUUUUACAGAUAUCAGAUUACUAGUAUUCAUUUAAUUUAUUUCUUUCUUUCGUUUUCCUUUUAAUUUCUUUCUUUUUUUCAGUUUCCUUUUCCUCAAGACUUCUUUCUUUGUGGAAGUCUUCAAUCCGAUUGAUUUGUGUGAACUGAACUUAUAACCCCAACUGUAGAUCAAACCAAUGAAAAUAAAAAAUUUUAUUGAAAUGAAAAUAUUUUUAAUCAUUCACUGAAAAAAAAAUAAAUAGAAAUAAUUUUUAAAACAUUUACUUUUCUUAAAUUUAAUCCAUAUGUAGAGCCACAAAUCCAAUUUAGACAAGUAUAAUCCUUGAUAGGAUUGACCCACAUUUAUUUAUCUGAACCACCAUUCAUACCUUGUGGAUUAACAGGAUACUCCUUAUCCUUAACUUCUAUUCAAACUAAAUAUUAUUAGUUGAAUAUUAAUUAUGCAAUUAUCAAACUUUUGUGAGUUCAACUAUAUAUCCAAAUCAAUUAUUCUGGUUUUUGUGAACAUUCCUAAUUAUUUUACACUUUUUUUUAAUUAAAUCCCUUUUUUUUCUUUUUCUUGUCUUUUUAGUUCCUGUGACAAAAUGAUACUCUCUCUGUCCCAAAAUAUAAAUCAUUUAAAGUUUUUGCAAAAAGACCAAUGAAGUAAUUAAUUCUCUUAAAUUAUAACAAAAUCAAAAGCAAUUUGAAUAAAUUAUCUCAUAUCUCAAACCAAGAGUUAUUUGUGAAGAAAGUGAUUGUAUUUAAAAUAAAUAAGAAUAAUGUUGAAAAAAAAAUCAUUUAUUACUUCUUCAAAUGCUAAAAACGACUUAGAUAAAGUCGGGGGAGUAUCACAGUUCACAGUUCACGGAGUCAAAAUACACAUCUUGUGUGAGGAGAAAGAAGCAGCAAUAGCAGGAUUAAAAACACCUUUGCUUUUGUAAACCAAAUUCUUGGUUCUUGCAACUUAAAGGCGUCCAAUAUCUACUCCUCAACAGCAACAAAAGGAAUUCCCCUGACAAGGCAAAGUAAAAUGUGCAAUCAAUUUAAGCUCAGAUUAAAGCCCAAAAAUAAAAAUUGUCUAUUGAAGCAGAAACUAAAGUAGCUAAUAAUAAAAUACAAUACCCCCAUCUUUGGGGCCUAUUGCAGUAUCACUCUAAACCCACCUUCAUUUCCUGGACACCCUGAUUCAAUAACUUAGAUAUAUUGUUACCCUAAUUGAAAAAUCAGCUAGGGUUUUGUAAUUUUUUACUAUUAAAGUGGGUCCCACCUAAACAAGCUUGGUUUGUUAAUUUAACCCAAGCCUCAAAAUUCACCAUUUUAAUUAACCUAAACCCACCCAAAAUCAUCAAAACUCACCGUUUUGGUUUAACCCUAAUUUCCCCCAUUCUCUCUUCUCCAUCCUCCAUCGCUCUCUUCUCCCUUUGCCGUCGCUCUUAUCUCCCUUCUCCAUCACUCUGUUGCAUUUUCAAUUUCGUAACUUUCACCCAUCUCGUUUUUCUUAACCCAAACCCAUCCAAAAUCAUCAAACCCAGUUCAAGUUACUCCCACGUAAGCAAAAGAAAACAAUAGACAGAGACAGAUGCAGCUAUCACAAAAAAGCACAAGCAAAGAAUCUUGGGUGGCCAAAGCUGGUAAAGGAUCCAACAUCCAGAAAUCUCACCUUCUUCUUCUUCUCCUCCUCCUCCUUCCUACUCUCUUCUUCAACUUCUCAAAGGAAAACAAGAUGCUGCAGCAAGAGACCCAAGCACCAAAACCCCACCACAACCACUUCCUCUCUCUACAGACAGAUCCUUGUGAUCCAAUCUAGAUCAGACAAACCCAAGAACAUGCAUUUUGGGGGGGGGGGGGGGGGGAAAUAAAAAGAAAUUAAAAAACAAAGAAUAUUUUUUAAAAAAGAAAAUAUUUACAGUAGAAAGAGCAGAGAUAGGGAAUCCAGUAAAGAAAUAGAAAAGAUACAAAAAGAAGAAAAGAAUACAGGAAAGCAACAAAACCCCAUCACCCAACCGAACCCAAAAAACGAAACAGUAAAAAAGAAACCCGAAACACUAAAAUUGCUUAUGUAUUGGAAAACGGUGAAAAUCCAACAGAAGAAUCUAAAGUUAAGCUAUCGUUAUAAGUAUUUCACAUACGAGAAAGCGAAGAUUAAAAUAACAAAAAGUGGGGGCUGGAGGGGUUAAAUGGCUUGAUCAUCAAAAUGGUGAGUUUUCAUGAUUUUGAGUGGAUUUGGGUUAAUUAUAACGGUGAGUUUUGAGGCUUGGGUUAAAUUGACCCAAGCUGGUUAGGUGAGACCCACUUUAAUAGUAAAAAUUUAAUAGUAAAAAAUUACAAAACCCUAGCUGAUUUUUCAAUUAGGGUGACAAUCUAUCUAAGUUACUGAGCCAGGGUGCCCGGGGGACGAAAGUGGGUUUAAAGUGAUACUGCAAUAGGUCGCAAAGGUGAGGGUAUUUUUGUAACUUAGGCCUAAGUUAUAAUCCGUUCGGUUGCUAUGUAGACCAUAGGAUACAAAUAAGUUCAAGCAAAAGUCAGUAAAUUUACUCACCAGCCACCACGCCUUGAAAAAUAGUCAUUAUCCAGAGAAAUGGCAAGAGCAAGAGUAACAGCUCUCUCUGAUAACGUCAAAGGACGGACAACUUCCAAAUCAUGAAUCUGCAACGUAACAGGAAGACAAUAAAGUGGGUUUAUCAACAAAAGAUAACAGAAUAUAAACGAAUAAGGUAGAAAUUGAAGAGAAUUUCACUUUUUGAUUCCAUAUUUUACCGCUGUAGCAGGACCAGUCUUGGACCUGGGAUCAGAACUACCAAAUCGUAUUACAUACUGACCAGCAUCAGUAAAUAUCUGCAAGGUAUUUGGGAAACCAAACAAAAUAUUGAUGUCAUCUUUCCAUGUUGCAAUCAAUGCAAUUAUAAUGUUCACAUGCAAUCAGAAGCCUUUCAAAGGCCUGUCAUUAAUAUCAUAUUUGUUUCCCUCCUCCUCCUCCCUGAUGUGAAGAAUAAAGAUCAGUAACCCAUUAAUUAUAAUGAAACAUCAAGAAAGUGACGAUCCUAAAGUUUAUUUCUCAGAAGCAAGUAAAAUUGACAGAAAAAAUUUGAAGGCAUUUACCUGUUAAGAAUGAACAAAUAAAGCACAAGAAUCAACAUUACAGUCAAUAACACUAUAUUACAAACAAAGGAAACAACCUCAAAUCCAAAACCCCUCCAGUCGCGAUCUAUUUGAGCAAGAACUUCCCCAUUAAUGUCCUUCAAUGUAAAUGUCCAAUUCCAAAGUCCAGGGUUUUCAACCACAGCGAAUUGCUUAUUUCUGCAAAUAACACUGUUAACUAAGAUACUGAACUCUAAAGCGAGCAAAACAAUGGCCUACUGAAAUUACCCAAUGUACAAAUCAUAUAUCCUCCUCCAAAGAUGCCAUCGUCUGUGAACCACACCAAUUUCCUAGAAACGAACAAUUACUUGACUCCGUCAGGAACCGGACUGAAGUUUACAUGCUCAAAGUUCUACUGCUAUUAAAGCCUUAAGUAUGUAAAAGUUACAUACUUUACCAUUAAUCUCUGCAUAAAUUGAGCUGGUUAUCCACCAAAAUGGCCUCCGAACCUAGAUAAAUUGAAACGGAGCCUUAGAGAUGAAUCAUCAAUUUAUAACUUGCUACACAGCUAAACAAGAAAUAUGCACAAAGUCCUCACCCUGAACAGCUCAUUACCCAUAGCAUCAGUUAUGUAAGCAACAAAAGGGCGCCUUAGACGAAGUAACUGCAGAAAAUACAAAAGGCAUCAGAAUACAGCUACUUCUAAAAUCAUACAUAUGCUUGCCGCUCACGCUUAUUUCCUUUAAGUAUACAAUAUCAAGUUGCUACCAGAAUAGUUAUAUAUGACCAAACGAAUGUCCGAGUUUCAUUAUGUAAACAGAUAUGUGAAUAAAAAAUCAACGCAUAAGAUUCGAGAAAUAUCAACUAUCCCAGUUCAACUUUGUAUCGGAAAAAUAGAAUUAAUUAAGCCUUCAUAUCUGCUCAUUCUUUAUCCAGAAAUAUUCUUCACUAGGCCAGUAAGCCUUGAUAAUUUUAUUGCAGCCCCAUCAUCUCUCUCUUUGGGCUUUCUUCUGUUAUCUCCAUGCCUUCUAAUUUACUGUUUCCAGACCAUGCAACAGUUUCUCCCUAACCUAGUUCUGAAUUGAAGCAAAAUUGACCUUUUCUAGAUGUCUUUUUCUUGUACUGUCAUUCAUGAACCGUAGUAUUCUACCCAUGUCGCCCUGACGUCUCUAUAUCACCCAAUCCCAAUCCCAAUCCCAUAAGACUCGGCUAGACUUGUAAACUAUUGUACGUAUUUUUCCUUCCCUAACCCAUUGGAUUGAGCAAGUGGCUCUUAUACUUUUGGGUUUCAUAAUUUGAAUUCUACCACUUCACUUGGCCAAAUAGGAAUUCAUCAUAGUAAUUCCCCAAUACGAAAACAUGUAUGACAGAGGGAAUAAAAAGGCUUGGAUAUUAGUCAGGCGAUCCAAAAGUCUCAGAUACCAUGAUAGGUGAAAAGAAAAUUCACUUGAUAGAAAUUCUAGAAAUACAUCAUAUCAAAUUUGACAUGGUUGAAAAAGUUAACCAAGUCCAAGCGACCGAUCAAGCCUUCUUAUCUAAAUGAAGACCAGGCAGAUGCAUACAGGUACCAUGCCUGAAGAAAGAAUAUGUAUUAUGAAAGGGUUUGGAAAGACAAUAGAACAGUUUACAAAAACAGGAAAUUGACGGCAACAGCUGCCUGUCUACAUUCCACAAUCCCAUUUGAUAAUGGCAACAAACAUGAUGCAAUAAAUAAUUGAUCAGAAAAAGUGUAAAGAAAGUUAAGCAAUUUUCAUCUAUUAAUAAUUGGUCAUUGAUAAAGCAGUGAUUCUCAUUUGACUCUUGCAAGGAAAUAAUAAUGCCUGGUUCUAGAUUUAUGGGAACUACUACUGGAUUGACAUAGUUGCUAAAUGUGCCACUGAGCACAGACAGCAAGUUGUCAUGUUGCAUUCCAAAAUAAUCAAACUUGAGUUGGUAAAAGAAAAACAAGCUGCAUAUAAGGAAUUAUUAUUGUAGAUUGGUAAUUCUAAGCAAACAGAAGUAAUCAACAAUCAAGGCAUAAAGAGAUCACAAUUUCAGUACACCAAGUAAAAGAGAAAAACGAGAGAGAGAGAGAGAGAGAUGCAUGCUUUAUUCAAGAAAUAACAAUCAAAAGUGGGGGAGGAGGUAGAAUUAGGAAAGAUGCAGACCUGCCUAGCAAUGACAUUACUCUGUUCCCGAAUAAAACCUGCAGGCUGCAAAGAAAUUGGACAAUUCAAGUACACCAAGAACCAAUCAUCUUGUUAAAACACAAUUUUCAUUUAUAGUAGAAUGAGAAUUAAAAAAAUUACUCACAGACUGGGGGUAGCACACAUCUACAAUUACAUAACGGUUUUCCUGCAAUAUUUUAACAAUAAAAUUUAAUAACGAACAUAAAGAAAACUUAAGAAAACACACCCUAAGAAAACAAGAAUAUGUGUUAACAAAUCUAAGAGUGUUAUGAGAAACAAAUACCACCAUGAGAACACACAUCAAAUCCAUAGGUAAUUAGACCCAACUGCAUGCUUUCCAAGAUGACAUUAAGUUUCUCAACCUUUUGCCAUAGGAUUUAUAAGUUCUCUAAGGCAUACGCCAAGCUUGUAAUGUUAGUCUGAAUGUGACAAUCAAAGAAAUGAAGAUAAGCAUGCAGAGAAACCACAUGCAAGUACAACUUCUACGUGAACGAGCCACAACCACAAGAUCAAGCAUUGGGCUCUUAACAUUACUGCUAAUAUUUUCAAUUAUGACUCGUGAAUAGUGCUUUAGAACCGAAAUAAAAGUCCCAGAAAUACCAAAACAAAAAUAUACAGAAAGUCAUUAAAUGGUUAUGGACACAAUGAAAAGAGGGGGAAAGAUGCCUAUUAUGCAAGGGUGUCCUUUUAUUCUGUUGCAAGGUUAUUUAUAAUUUUUGGUAGGGAUGCGGUUCUAAAUAUCUAAAAUUUUAAUGAGUUUGACUGGUAAACUUUCCAAUUUCUAAAAUGGUUUUUGCAGCAAGCUCAGUUAUGAGAUCUAAACCCCAAAAAAGUACUCUUUCUUCACUCUAGGAGUGAUUGGAAAAAACGUAACAAUUUUGCUUCUCAAAGCUAUCUUUUGCCUUCUAGUUACUAAUUCCAUGCAAUAAGUUAAUACAAUUGGCUACAACAACUCCUAUUCCAAAAAUCUUACAAACCUUAAAUCUAACUUAAAAUAACCCAAGAUAAUCCACAACCUCCAACAUAUAGAAAGAACACAAAAGGAAAAUAGAUGCAAGAUAACCCAACAUGGUGCAAACUCAAGUCAGGACUUUCCAGUGAAUACUCAAUCACAUGGUACUGGCAACGGUACAAUUGGAACAUGAGAAGGAGUGACAACAAGAUAUUUCAUGCAAUAUCAGCCAAAUAAAGCUUCACUUUGCUGUUCCUCAGCAAUAACUCAAAAGUUCAAGUGCAGUAACAAAACAAACAGCAAUUAACAGAUAACAGUUUCUUAAUUUUUGUUCCAAAUGGAGUCAAAUAUCCAUAUCUCGGAUGGUUCAAGACAAAAAGUGAAAAGAGAAAAAAAAUAAAAAAAUGAGUGCAUAAAUUAGCGCCUUAACAUUUAAGCUGAAUCCUUCACUGAAACAAAUAACAACUUUUUGCUGUCAAAUUGGGGCACAUAUGAGGAAACAAUCCACAGUAGAAAAUCACCUGCUCAAAACCAAGUACCAGAUUUGCCCAUUCUAUAUCCCUAGUAAUCAACAAAUUGGACCUAGCAAGAAGAAGUGCAACCUGGGCCUGUAAGAUUCAGGAAAUGGUGAGGAAGUCGGUUAGAUGUCAGUCUCUCAUAGACUUGAUGAAGGUUGGCUUGCUCAUUCAAUGCACUCGUGUCCAAGACCAAGACCAAAAAAGGAAUUGCACUAAGACAAGCACACAACAAAAGCAUAAUGAUGAAAAACAAAUAUCUAAAACUCACUUCCUCAGGAGAAGCUGGCUCUAAAUAACCAGAUACAGAUUGACUUGGAGGAGGUUGGUUCAGAACUGUUCUUCCAUGGCCAUUAGAUCUUUCUCCUGUCAUGAUUCAACCAGAAAGCUGUCCCACAAUUAGAUAUAGAAAGGAUUAAUGCUUAUUAUGUAUUUCACAUUACUAUAAUCAAUAUACUCACCAAUCUUGUGCUUUCUUUUCUCUCUAGAUUUUUCCAUUUUCCUAUCUGCAAUCCAAAACUGCGCAAGAAAAUUUCUACUCAAUUGAGAAUCAUUCUCAACGUCAUGUGCAUAUCCACGAGAGAAAAUCAUUCUCCACCAUUCCUCCCCAGCCCCAACGCACACCCAUCCUUUCUGAGGCUGCUGCAAGCAAUGAAGAUUCCGAGACCUUUCAACUCUAGGUAUACCAUGUUGAUGAUUAUUAAACAAUGGCACUGCAAAUUUCUUUGUCUGGGCAAGCAAACGACAACGCUUUGUCCAGUUCAUCUCAAAACAAAUGUGUUACUGCCUGCACAGAUUGAAUUGUAUCUUAAAUUUUCUCUUCAAUCUACCAUUGGAUUUCUAUUUCCUAUACGAUACAAGCCCGAUAAUACAUUUCCUUUUCACUUUUUACUCCGACUUUCCAACAACCAAACAGAAACUAUUGAAAAAAUCUUCCUAUAACUGUGGAAUUGUCUACACAAAUUAGACUGAAUAGCGUUCAAUUUUCUCAUCGAUGUUUCAUCGGGUUUCUAUUCCCACUCAAUGUAAGCAGUAAUACUACAUUUCCUUUCAUUUUUCCUCAGAUUUCCCAGCAAUCAAACAGAAAGUCUGAAAAAAAUUCCUAAAACCGAUCACAAUUACAAUUUCUAUACAGAAUCAAAAUAUAAUCAGAACCAAAAAGUGCUUUUAUAAGUGCAAACUUUCUUUUUUUUUUUUGCAGUCAAAGAAGGAAAGUGUGCUUACUGCUGCCUUCUUUGAGCUCUGCGCUUCUCCGUCUACGGUUUUUCAAAUUGAAACGUCUAUUUCUAGCUUCUUCCUCCUCCUAUGUCGACUUCUCGGCGAAUCUUUGAUGGGUAGGAAUCCAGUGUGGACUAAACCAGUAAACGUAUUUAGGGAAAAAUUAAAAUCUUGCCCAUGUAUUUUGCUAAAAUAACUAUUUUAUCUCCCUAUUUUAAAUAAUAAAUUAUUUUCUACCAUUAUACACCACUCUUAUUUUAUAAAAAAAUCCAAUUUAUACAGUUGAAUGCCUUUUAGAAACACAUAAAUAGUCUUAAACCCACACACCACACCUAAAUAACAUCUUCAUCAAGAAGUCCACCAUUGAUAUUCCAAAUUCAUCAUCGCAACAUUCAUUUCCGUUAAUGGCAACUUAUUAGAUUUUCAUGGAAACCAUUUUCAAGGAGAAAAAGGUUUAAGGGUAGAAAGAAAUUAAGGAUUUUUCUUUCUUUUUAUAGUGAAAUAUGGAUUUUUUUUUUUUUUUUUGCAGAAGGACAAUAGUGUAUAACAGGGACAAAAUAAAAUAAAAAUUUAUUUUCAAAAUAAUUAUUUUGAUAAAUUAUAGAGAUAAGAUUAUAAUUUUACGUGACUUUACAUUCAAAGCUCAUUGUUUUAGUUGAACUUAAUCCAAACGGACCCACGUUGAUUUGGAUAGGCCUGGCCCGGCCCAUGAUGAGGCCCUAAACUCUAGAAUCAUUUUGCUUUGUAGCUUGGCGUUAGACUUCAAUCAUAUGGGGUCAAAAUGUUAGGCAGCGUAGUGCAGUUGACAGUUGUACAAUCCCUUCGCUUCUCCUCAUUUGCUGGAUUCAGAAGCAGAAAUUAAUCCUAGUAAGCGAUGCUAAUCCCCUCAGUAUUUCAAAUUCAAGUUAUUUUUCCAUUUCUCUUCUAUUUCUGUUCAAUGUUCAAUCUCUGAAUGAUGCAUGUCAGUUCCCUAGUGCAGAAUUUUAAUUUCUUCCCUUCUAUUUCUACAAUUUGCAAAUUUUGCUGUUUUGUUCAUCUAUUUUGUUUUCAGUUUCAGUUUCUUAUUUCCAGUUGGUGGUUCCCUGUUCUUGAAUAUUGGUGAUCCAAUGUGUUUUCUGUGUGAUUAAUUGGGAUGGAGUUGUUGUGCGAAUUUAUGUUUUUUUAUAAAUUUGUGUAAAUUGACAUGUAAAGAAGUAAAUGGCAUUUUGAGUCAAAUCUGGACACUCAAUGUACAAGAGAAUUCAAAACUUAGUUGGUAAAACAACUUUGACGUGGUCGGAUUUGUUUAAUGACUUAUCGAUCGGAAUUCUUCUCAAUUUUUGUUUUAUGCAUGAACUCUUAAACAGCUUUCACUAGCGAUUAGUUGAUAAGGAGAUUUUGAUGAAUAAUCUUCUUCAAUUGAAAAGUGCAUGGUUUGUCUUGCAGCAAUUUGUUGCAGCAGCAUUCAUCCAAUCUCUGUAGAGAAAGGAUUAUCUUUUGAAGCUGCAUAUUUUUCUGACUCUGCUUCGUGGAUUUGUCUAAGCUGUGGAUCAAUUAUGGCUUUUGAUCUCAAAGGUAAGUUAUUUAUUUAUCUAAUUUUUAUUUUUGGGUUUGAAACAAAUUUCAUUUCAACUAGUUUCCUUUCCUUAUGCAAUACUCUUGAUUGCUGUAGCCACCCUUAACUUUCUAGUUCUUGAUUUUCAUUGCUUUCCAUUUCUUGGUUGUCAUUUUUAUUUGUAUUUGCUAUUUACAGGUAAAGCUAUUGUGAUUAUGGGAGUCAGUGGUGCUGGGAAAUCGUAAGUUUAGUCCCCUUGUUAGAUAUCAAAUAGCUUUUGAACCUGAUCUGUUUUAACUAAGGAGAAGAAAUUGCAAAAACUCAGUAUUCAUUUACCCUUUUCCCCUUUUUGCAUAGAGAUUGUUAUAUUGUGAUGGUACUUUUCUUUUCAAAUUAAUUAUGCGUGCUUGUUUGAAUCGAGCAAUGAUUCUAAUUACUGAAAUAGUCUUUCUUUCUGCUGCUUCAAAUAAUUCUUAAAAAUUAAGUGACAUAGGACAAGCGAUUAACUGUGAUUUUUUGUUGCUUUUACAUUCACUGCAUAUAUGUUUUAACCUUCUCGGUAAUGAAUGAUUUUAUACAUUGACCGUGUUCUUCAACAGUACAAUAGGCGAACUGCUGUCCAAGAUUUUGAACUGUAGUUUUCUUGAUGCUGAUGAUUUCCAUUCACAGUCAAACAAAGGUAUUGAUAUAUCUAUUAACUGUAACUUUAGUUCUUUCUCUAUUGAUAUAUUUAUUUCUUUUGAUCCCAGCGAAAUCUUUUCUUGCAUGAAAAGCUUUAUGCUUUUGGAAUUAUCAUAUUGUCAAAUGCAGAAAAGAUGCGUCAAGGCAUUCCUUUAUUGGAGGAGGAUCGGAUUCCAUGGCUUGGAAGUCUCCGUGAUGCUUUAAGGGAGAGGAUGACUAGUGGAAAAAAUGUUGUACUUGGUUGUUCUUCUCUGCAGAAGCGAUAUCGGGAAAUUCUUAGAUCUGCUGACCCCAAUUAUAAACUUGGAAGCUAUGUCAGUGCAGUUAAGUUUGUGUUGCUGGAUGCCAAGGUUGAGGUGCUUGUGGAUCGAUUAAAUAGAAGAGCUGCAGAAGGGAAACAUUUCAUGCCAGCUACCCUUUUGCAAUCACAGCUAGACUUACUGCAGACAGAUGAUUGUGAAGGAAUAUUUAAAGUGGAUGCUGCUCUAAGUCCUCAAGCAAUUGUAAAUGCCAUUAAAAGCUUUGAUUUUAUGAACAAGGUCUCUUAGACCAUAUUAUCUUACAAAGCAUCCUUUUUAAUCUUCUCAAGAUGAAUUACGGAAUAUCCAUUUUUACACAGAAAAAGAUGAUUCAGCUAAGUUUGUGUAAUCAAAGAAUUAUUGGAACCCACUGGGUCACAGUGGAUCAUUUUUAAUGCAAUGAAAAAUACAAAUAUUGUUAUUAUCGUCAUCUAAUUUUACUGAAUGACAAGCUGGUUUCUUUUACAACACCUUAGGUAUCUAACAUACAUCCCUUCUGCUCAUUAAAAUUGUAAAAUUAACUAAAAAUUCAUAGCAAUGAAAAGAAAGACUUGUCUGUGCUCUCUAUAAGCAACAUUUGAAUUUGACCUAUAUAGAGAGAAUUUAUGGAAAAACACCUUGUAAAUUAUUAAUUUGGCGUUCAUCUUGAAACAGUUAUUUUUCUUUUAGCUUCAUAUUUUCUCUUUUUUGUUAUUUUUUUUAAUUGUCUAAAAUUCAAGGUGCUUUGUUCUUCAUUUACUUACUGAACUGAUCUUUUUAUUUUUUAAACAAGAGGAAAACUAUUAAACAAGAAGAAAGAAGAGAAAGAAAAGACAAGAAAUUUACGUGGUUCAUCACAUGAGAUCAUGUGACUACAUCCACGGAGAAAGGAUCUGAAAGCUUUUACUAGUAUAUACUUUGAUAGUACAUCCGUUCUUCUCAAAAACCAAAUUGGGUUUUCAUGGGUUGUUCUUUGCUACUUUACACAUUCGCACAAUCAAAUUGGAAAAUGCACAUAUUUACACAUUUUUCCCCUGUCCAGAUGUGCACAGUCAAUUGACACCAAACUGCUAUUAAUUUUAGCCUGUCACCUGCAAGAAAAAUGCAACAACCUUUUUUAAGAUAUUUGAGGCAGCAAUUUUACACAAUGUAUGAAAAGAUUGACAUAUCUCAGAAUUGUUUUUUUCUUACAUUGGCAAUAUAUUUUGGUCUGAAAGCAAUUGAACAUGCUGCACUUAGUUCUUGUUCAAGUUCUGUCAACGAAUCCGGCUUCUAUUUUCAAGGGCCUUUCAGCGGAUGCGAGUCAAGUGGGAAAAUGGUUCAGGAUUUGAUUUUGGGGCAGCUUUAGCCACUUCUGGAACACCAAAAACAUUCCAGAAUCUAAGUGUUUCAUCACCUGCUGCUGUUGCAACUGUGCAACCAUCUGGACUCUGAAGAAAAAUCAUAAAAAACCAGUAAGUAUUUGAACAAUCAAGAAAUGGAAUUUUUUUUGUUGGGUUCAUUCAAUUCACAUAGUUACCUGAGUCAUGAAAAGCACUCUAGAUGUAUGGCCAGUGAGUUCUCCCAUUUUAACCAUUGAUGGGUAUUUCCAAAGAGUGAGCUGAUUCUGAGUAAACCCAUGAGAGCUAAGCAGUUCCCUCUCAUUUUUGUUCCACAGCAGAGAACAAACUUGAGAGCCAGUGUCUACUGAGUUCAAGCAAGCACCUGUGUGUGUAUUCCAAAACUUUAUGCACCGAUCGCCACCACCUCCUCCGGUGGCUAGCAAAUUUCCCUGGAAUGGACACCAAGCAAGGGCUUUUACUGCAGAAGUAUGAUCCUCAAGCCUGUGAAGCCAUUGUGUUGCUGAAUUUGAUGAUGCUACUGAUCUAUCCCAUAUGUGAACAAGAUUAUCAUUGCCUCCACUUGCUAAUUGCUGGCCUGAAGCAGACCAUUUAAGCCCACAAACCUCUUGUUGGUGCCCUCUGUAUGUCUCCACAAUGUGUGAUCUAAUUCUCACAUCAUUGUUGAAUAUUUGGCCAUCCAUUCCUCCAGUAGUAAGGAUAUGGUUGUUCCACGCCAGUGAUCCUACUCGGGAUCGGUGGCCACCUCUCAAUGUUCUUAGCUGUAAUGUUAUCAAAGAAAACAAAAUCCAAAGUUAGACCUUAUUUUUGUUAUUGUUAAAUCUUAAAUGAAAAAAACAGGUUGUAACAUCAUCUGAAAACUACAAAAAAGUUAUAUGUGCUCCUUUUUUCCAGCAAAAAUAACGUUGUGCUAUCAAUGGUAGAUAAUAACCUGUCUAUUAGAAGCAGAGUCCCAUAGCUGAACCUCAGAAUUGUUCAAGCCAAUGGCGAUGUGGCGUCCAUCAGGAGCCCAACUGACACUAGUAACAGGGCCAAUUUCAUCAUCGAUUGUAACAAGUUCUGAUGUAGAGCCAUCAGUUGCAUCCCACAAAUAUACUGUACUCCCAAGAGCUAUAGCUAGAACAUUGCUGCUUCCCCAAUCCAAUAAGUUGAGGUAAAAAUCAUCAACAAGGUCAGGAGCAUCCAAUGUCCUCUCAGAGGUCUAUACACAAUGAACAAAUCAAACAAUUAUUACCAAUUCAAUUACUGUUCUUAUGAAAGCAACAAGCAAGCAAAUGAAUACUGGAUAAUGUACCUGAGGAAUGUGUCUGCGCGGCUUAGUGGGUUUGGCCUGGAGGUGAGAUAAGGAAGUGUGCUCUUGUGGGAUCAAUUCAACAGGUGCAGGAGGCUUGUUCUUAAAAGCGAGAAUCCGAGUCCGGUUCAUGUUCAAUGUUUCAGCCAAUUGCUUCCUGUAGGCCUCUCUUGAGGGUGAGUUUGCUGCAGGGUUCUCUUUACCUUUCUUACCUUCUGUUAGCAUGUAAUGGGCAUAAUCCAGAUCCAUUGCUGAGCGGUUUGGAAUAAAUCUAUCCAACUGUUAAAUUCAUAAAUAGCAAACACAUAUGUUGAUUAAUAACCAAUGCCCGUUAAGCAAUAAUUUUGGACUACGAAAUUUUUAGUACAAGAAGUUCAAUUAUGAAACAUCAAAAUUGAUAAAUAGAUACCCACUUUAGCACUUUGACUAAUUCAAGAACCCCAAAUUACUAUCUAUAAAUGAAUAAAAGACUAAAAUCAUCUUACAUUUUCUUUAGAAGUCCUUCUUUGAAGAAGCUGUUCUUGAAGUGGGAAUCUUGAUUGUCCUUUCAUGUUUGAAGAAGAGUUUACUGAUCCUGCAUCCAUAUGUUAAUACCAAACAAAAAAAAUACAAAUGCAAACAAUAAUAGAAUAUAUGGAUAAAAGAAGAGAAAAAGUUCCUGCAAAACAGGAGGAUUAGUAACAAAAACAGAAAAUGAGUAUAAAAUGAAAAUAAGAGGGAGAGAGAGAGAGAGAGCGCGGAGGGAUUAGCGAGCUAGUUUUGUUGUAGAUUGUUCCGAGAGAAUGUGACUUUGAGUUAUCAAUUGAAUUGGUGGGUUUAUAUAGUGAUUGGAAUUGGAAAUUAGGGCUUUGGUUUGCUUGUUUUCUUCAAAGCUGUUUCGCCGUCAAGAUUUUUAAAUAUGUAAAUAAUAAUAAAGUAAAAGGAAAUAAGGAAUACUGGAGUUUUGAAGCAGCAACGGUUAUCUAUGUUUGAAAAAUAGCCGUUGUAUUUUACAUUGACUAAAAAGUCCCUCAUUUCCCUUCCCUCGGCUACUUCUUUUCCUCUUUGUUUCCAUGGGCCAAUUUCUGUUAUCACAAUUUGAAUUCCAUCGGAUAAUGGGCCUAGUUUACGCAAAUCUCGUGCUUUUUCUUUUUCUUUUUCUUUUUAUAUAUCAAGGAAAAUGAUAGGUCAAGUCAAUUGUCUAAGCAUCGGAAAUGAUUCAAACCUGAGUCAAUUGUCAGGCUAUGCUUUAGUGUCAAUUGUCAGGCUAUGCUUUAGUGUGCAUCUCUUGUCCUAUUAAUCCGCAUCAACGGCUGUAAAUCGUUUAAACUGUUAAAGUCCGACUAAAACUGUGAUUUUAAAAAAUUGGUGCUUAAUUUGCUUCAAAAAAAGAUAAAAAUUUGAAUCAUUAAUUCCGUUUAUUGUUUUGAAGUCAUACACAUGCACUAACCCAUAGCUUCAAAACCAAAGCUGACAAAACAUUUUGCUGUUGGAUUUUAGAUAUAUAGAAAUUAAAUAUGUACAGUACGUAGGUUAGUGUUGGUAUAUUCGAAAACAAUAUUAAUGGAAAACUCAAAUUAACUCGAUAUGGUAAUGUGCGUACGUUGAAUCAAAUUCAUUAAGAUAACUUUCAUGCAUUACACUAAAGUUGUAUAUAGUCUCAUUAAAAUUAAAAGUAACUAAACCAAUGAACUCAUAGGCUGUCCAAACUACCAAACGGCAAACUUGCAGUUGAAUUAAGAGUGUCGUUUUCUGCCAUUAUGAUCAACAUAACCAACAACUCGGCAUUUGCAACGCACAAAAUCCCAAUUAUAAUGGGCCUAGCACACAUAUAUGAUAUAUGUAUAUUUAUAUUUUGAAGUGAUUGCAGAAUAAUCCUCCAAGGAUGUAUAUACAAAUACAAUUUGUAAAUAUGUCUGCUCAUGCGAAGGAUUAAAUGGAGGAAUACACUAAAGCCAGCAAAGAAACUAGAAACACUACGGGCUACCCUGUAAAACCCCCUUCACAGUAGACUUCUGCUUCCAUUAACAAGCUUUGGAACCAAAAUAUGCAUAUUUCUCCAUCAAAUUUAACAUAGCAACUCAAUUGGUUCGUGAAAUUUACCGAUCAAGUGAACUGUCGUCUCAUAUAAGUAUCUUCGUGUACAAAAAUAGGAUCUUGAGUGCCACCUUGUGAUGUGUUUUGAGGUUGUCCCAUGGCUAUGCCAGUUGAACUAGAAACAGGAGGGUUGCCCCAUGUACUGUUAAUGCUCUUUGAUGAGUUUAAGGUUAGGUAGUAGAGAAUUCCCAGAGUGAUACUUGCAAAAGACAAGACAGCACCACCUGCGAAGACUCCUGGUUUUACAACAUAGCAGUAGUAGUUGCCAAAGUACAUGCUCUCUUCACCGUGUUGAUCAUUCAGUGCAGCACCGGUUAAUAACAGAAGAAAAGCUAUCACAAAUGUGAACCUGCAUGUAAUGUACUAUAUAUCAUUAUCACUACAAGUAGCAAUACAUUUACGCAUGCAAAUGCAUACAAACAUGAAAAUUCAUUAUUAGAUUCAAUUGCUAAAUAUUACUAUCAGAAAUAGGAUGUAUUACAGGUUCAAACAUUAAUAUAUCGUUUCAAAGAAAAGCAUGUGAUUUUCCUCCAUCUAAAUAAACCAAGUUUUACCUAAAUAAGAUUCUUUGCAAACAAAAAUGAGGAUGAGAAUUAAUGUUACAAUAUGUGAAGAUGUAGAAUGAAAGGACUGUGAUAAACAAAAACAAUAAUCCUACAACCUAUAUAUUUUUCUGUGAAAGGAAAAAGGAAAAAAAAAAAUGCAAGGUAGAAUUCUCAAAGAACAUAGUCCCCAGGUAAGUGGUACGCCAAAUCGCCAACUGCAAUAAUUGUCAAAGAAAUUACAUCACAAGUUAUUCCAGCAGACUCUUGAAGCCAGCUCAUAAUACUUCUUAACAUAAAUAAAGUGCAGUUAGAGAAUUUAUCUAAAAAAUUGUUUAUCUAUUUAUGGUAAUUUUAUCUUUCUAAAUUAACUUAAACAGUAUGAUUAGGUCUGGCACAUAGACUUCGAACAAUUUAAGAAAGUAAGAAUAAGAUGAACAUAUACAUAAAAAGGCCUCCAGUAGUGUGUGUGUUGGGGGGGGGGGGGGCAAUGUGGCAGUGAGAUAUGUGUUAAUAGCAAUUAGAUGAUGCACAAGACUGUCCAGCUAGCCAGAAAGUCUGUUAUAGUAGAAGAGUUAAUUGAAUUUAGUACAGAUAACAUGAGCUGUCAGGAACUCUUUAAGGCAUUGAUAGGGCAAGGAGCGAUUGUUAAACCAAAAACCUGCAACGUAUAAACCUGAAAUGAACUUCAUCAGCAAAUGAUCAAUGAGACGUACCAGGAAACAACAAAGCAAACUAAUGCUAUUGUCCAAUUUGAGUUUGAAGGUUGAGGGCUUCUUUUGCAACAAAUACACCCAGUUGCAACAUUAAUAAUCACUUGAGCUAUCAUCAGUGCUACAGCCGAUGUUAAACCAAGAGCCAUGGCAGGACUCCGAGGAUAUGUACAUUGAGUAGCAGAUGUGAACUGAACCUCAGAACCCUACAGGAGUAUAAAAGAUAAGAAGAUAACAAAUGCUAUUAGACAUGAAGUAUGCUGUUUUACAACCUCUAAGUUUCUGCAUCAUUUGACAGAAAAUGUUACUGUGGAUCAGAUAUAUAGACUAGAGAUCAGUAGCCAUAUAAAAAGAUCAAGUGAUAGCAAACUGAACCCUUCACUUUUUUAUGUAAACAUAGAGAUUAUCACUCGCUACAAAAUCUGUUGACUGCAGGAAGGCCUCAACUUAUAAAUACCACACUAUGUUCAUCAUAUGAGACAAAAUAUAUAUCUAGAUAACUUGAAGAAAUGAAUUGCACACAUGCACACUCAUACAUGCUUCUUCUUUAUUUGCACUAAUCUGGUGUACAAUAGCAAUCAUCAGGAUUGAUGAUUGCCAAUUCAAUUUGCAUGAUUCUAUCCACAUACUGGUGUAAAACCUAUAAAUACAGUAUCAAAAACAAGGAAUUCUUGAUAAUACUAAAAAUAGCUUAACAAUAAGGACACUGAUUGUGCUGAUGCUUUCUGAUGUGAAGCUGCUUGAUAACUAUGAUUUGAGCAUGCUACCUACAGAUUCCAAAAAGAAUGAAAUGUAACUUUUUUUAUUUCACCCCUAAUCUAACACAGUAAGAAUGCAAGAUCAAAAUUUUUUUGCAUUAGGGUCUACUGCAUUAGAGAGGCCUCUUUCCAAAAUAAAGAUCACACAUACAGGAACAAGUGGUGCAGUAACCGAACAAACAAAGCCAUUGGUCAUCAAUUAGACAAGUAUUAGAGGAUAUAAAAGUAUCUUCGAAUCAUGUGUAGCGAAUUAGACACUUAGAAUCAUCUCAUGAGCAAAUAGUUUAAAAAAUUACAGAACUACUUUUGCACCAGCUCUGCUUGAUUCUCAUUAUUAAGAGCGAUAUGUCGCUUUCCUUUUUUCACCCUUCUUACUUUCUUUGCUUGUAUUUGAUUCCUUAUCAUGAAAAUAGGCACUUAGAGUAACUUAUCAAAAAGGCCACAAAGGAGCAGACCAAUAACUAAGUCUAUCCUCAAAGAAACACAGGAGUGUUCCGUAUUCAUUUCAUUAGCUGCUUUAGAAGACAGUUGCAAACACUUGUUCUCUACACUAAGCAAAUCUCAUAAUCUUUAAAAACAGGAAAAACUAGCUUGCUAUUAUUUAAAUUUUGUUCACUCGAAAUAUUUUGGGAAUAUAUAGCAUCUAAUCAACCUAAAGCAGAACCAUAGAAGUCUUAGUUUUGUAGAGUUAUUUGCAGCAGGAACAGAACGAGGCAAAAAACUGAAUUCCCUAAUAACCGGUAAGCUCUUUACCAUAAAAAAUUGUGCCAGCCCCCAACAAAAUGACCCAAAAGUCUACACAUAUAAGAAUGCAAGUUAUGAUUUGCCAAAAAAUAUAAUUCAAGAGAAGGGGCAUCAAAGCAAAGAUGAAUUGUAUAAACCUAACCUUAAAACAAUUGCCAAACCUUUUACAGAACAGCCAAAACCAUACUGAUUCAUCCAUCUCUAAGGACAAAAAUUAGCAAAUUCACGAAAUAUCAUCCAAUAAAAACUUUAGUCCAGAUUUCCAUUUUAUUUGCAUAAUGCCCUAAGCCCCUAAUACACUUAUUCUACUAUCGGUUGCUCUUAAGAAAUAUGCAUAGAACAGAAACCAAAAUAUUAUAGAAAUAUUAAAAGUUAUUUAGCUUAGGGUUGCAAAACAACCCAAAACUAAAGAAAACACAUUUUUCCUGUGUCCAGUCACUGAGAAAGUGCAGAAACAUAUCCAAGAGGUGCGAUUUCUAAUUUUUAUCAUCAAGCUUUAUACAGUGUUUUAAUUGAUUCUCUAACGAGUAUAGAACACGAUAAACAAAUAAGUAAAAUCAAAUUAUUUUUUUUCUCUGUGAGUUCUCUUUAGCGCAGUUAGUCUUUAACAACCAAAACCAGAGGGUUAACCGGUUAAGUGCAUGUAGUAGCAAGACAAAGAUAAACCAAGCACCAAAAAGCAAUAUCAAAGAAACCCAUUUGAGGGUUGGAGAGAAAACGAAGAUUCAAUAGCAAAAACUUAAAAUAUAUAUUUAUAUCAAAAGAAAAAGUACCUUAAUCCUGGUACCCUCUGCAGCAAAACCUGUAGCAGCUGAUAGUAACCCCAAGAAACCCACAGCACUGCACAAGAAUAAGGCCCUUCUUUCCAUCUCUCCCUCACCACUAGAAACAGUCUUCCCCACAAUCUUUUCUCUUUCCCUCUGGAAUUGGGCUCUCUUCCUCUUUCUAAAGAUGUGCUUCUUUGUUUGAGGAAGAAACGUAAAGUUGAUGAUGUACUGUGGCUUCUGUCAGUGUAAAAUCAUGGUGUCCAAAAAUGAUGAGGGCAAAAUUGGAAUACAACAUUAAAAAGCAAUUGUGAAUACUGAUGAAUGACACGAGUGGGUCUUUUCUUUUCACAAAACUGCCUAUACCUCUUUUUGUGUUCUUCUAUUUUCAUCUUGUUUUUAUCCAUUGGGUGAUUUAAUUUAUUAAAAUCAUAUAAUAAAUUCUUUUUUAAUAAAUUAUAAUAUUCAAAAAAAAAAAAUAGUGCUUUUCUAGGUUUCUAUUUCGAUUGUAACUUUUUAAUUUAUCACUUCAAAAUUAUUAAUGUUUGAAAUGUUAGAUUCACAAUUAAGUAAUAAAAUUAAGUAAUGUAAAAAAAAAUAAAGUCGAGUGAUUAUUAAAUCACAUUCUCAAAUUAAAAAAGUAAGCGGUAUACGUAAUAACUGGAGAAUUAAAUAGUAAUUUUCCUUUUGUGCUUUUAUUUAUUAUUGACUAAUACAUACAUUUAAUGAAUAUCAAUAAUUAAAUAAACAAAAACUAAUGUUUAGUUUUACAACUCAUAACAUAAAUAAUUUGACAAUCAUUUAUAUCAUAUUUCUGAAGUAUAUCUCUUAGCAUCAUAUAUGUGAUGCCUUGAAUGAUUAUGAUUAAAUCUUUAUCAAUGGGAAUGAUGCGAUAUCUACACACUAUUGUUGCAAGUGAUUUGAUGAAUGAUUACUAUCAUCCGAUAAUUAUUGAUGUUAGGCAUUGACGUCCGAGGAGUUAAAGAUGUUUGGAUUAUUAAAAGUACACUGUGUGCUUUAUUUGAGAUGCUCAUGAUGUGUUAUGUUAUUUUAAAUAAUCAUCUAUGAUGAUUUUUAUUCAUCGAGUGACAUCUUAUAUAAAAUUCUAAUAUUUUUUUUUAAUUUUAGCACUAAAAGGCAUUAGUAGUUAGAAUUUCAUUUAUUCUGAAUGACAGAAAUGGAAAAAAAAGAUCGGGAUCAGUUAUAUAUAUAUAUAAGCUAGCACUCGAAAUAAGGAGAAUAGCGAAUUGGAGCGAUCGUUUAAAAAAAUUAAGUAGUAUAAAAAAAAUAAAAUUUUCGUAUUGUCAUUCUUUGACAACGUGAACCGCUCUAGUAAUUAUGAUUUAGGCAAUAGGUAAACAAGAGACUGAACUCGAAUCCUAUGAUGCGAAAUAAUUUCACGGCCUUUGGCUGUGUUUUUUAAUUUUCCAUUAUCAAGGACAGCUUUGCAAUAAGUCUCUUAAAAAUCAUAGGCUUUUUUCUUCUUUUUGUUUUUGGGUAAAUAAAUAUUUAGUCCCUUUAAUUUAAUUAUAAUUAUAACUUUUAAAUGAAAACGAGUAUGUUCGGUAAAAUUAAUCAUUUUGGUAGUUAUUUUUUAGUAUAUUUGGCUGACUUUUCAUAAACCAUUAAAAUUUAAACGUUCCAUGAAUUAACUUUUUAUAAAACAAUACUUUAAUAUUUAUUACCUCUCUUCCAUAAUAUUUGUCACAUUUGAGAAAUUAGUUUGUUUCAAAAUACUUGUCACAUUUGUAGUUUGAAAAAGUGAUAAUCUUUUUUUUUCCAUGUUCAUCUUUGACCAGUAAUUAUUACUUUAAUUUAGUGAUUUUCUUAAAAAAUUAAUAUUAAAUUAAAAAUGAUACAAUCAAUUUACUCAAUAAUUAUUAUAAUUUAGACAAAUUUAACGAUUUUCGUAAUAGACGUGAAAUUUAAAUAUGACAAAUGUCAAGUAUUAUGAAACAAAUAUCGUAAAAAUUAGUUUAAAUGCUAUGUUGGCCAACACGGCCUAAAUAAUUUAAUAUCAAUACAUUUACCAAAUAAGAGGGAUAAAAAUAUAAUUAUGAUUAAACUUAAGUGACCUAGUAGUUAUUUACUUUUUUUUCGGGUUGCAAUGGGUGUCUGAUGGAAACGACAUUGAAAAUGUUUCCCCCGAUUUCGAACGAGAAGGAGAAGUUUUCCUGUCGUUUACCAAUAUUAGAGGGAACCUAAUCAUUUAAACAUAGUUUUUGAGCUGCAUUAACAACAAAUAUCCAGAUUUACACUUCCAUUGACAUUAUGCAAUAUGUAGAUAUAUAUACGCCAGAGCAAAUAUGAACUCUGAAACAUAAAAUGUGUAAAACCAAAUAAAUUGGACUCUAAAAAUUGGAGAGGAAAAAGGAUAUAAAGGCUCUCAUUGAAGACCAUAAACAAGCAGAGCACCAACAGCACCAAUACCAGCCACCAGGCCAACAAUAACCCCAAUUGGAGGCAAACCACCGCCUAUUGCUUUUCCAGUAUUCACAUCAUAUUUUGCAAAUCUCUUUUUUGGUGCUAUACAUUGUGGGCACGCAUAUGUAUCCGGCUGCGCAGUAAAAUUUAUAAAAAUUAAUAAUUGAUCAUUCACCAAGACAAAAGAAAAACGCACUAAAAAUGAUAAAUAAAUGAGAGAAUUUGAUUAAUCUUACCAGCUCAUCAAAGGGUUUUUGUGCAGUGUAUAUGAAUCCACAGUCAAGACAUAUGUGAGUAGCUCUAGCCUGCAUAAUAUGCAUAAUUCACAUUGCAAGCAUGAGUAAAUAUUAGUUAUCUCAUCCAAAUCCAAAAGAUACUAAUAAAAGAUUGCCUUUUGAGCCUCUGUUAAUUUCCUUCCAAAGCGGGGCGGAGCAGGACGCUUUGGUAGUCUUUUAACAUCUACUUCUGCUCCUCUGCAUUGUAAAGAAAUUGGCAGAAGAUUAUUAUUUCUGUAUAUUUUAGAACAGGUAGAAAGAAUUUUGUUGCCUGUUGGUUUCACUUCUAUCUCUUAAUAAAAUGCUAAGACGUAGUAUACUGCUUUGGAUGUUCCCAAGAUCAUGUCUCUCUGUGUGUGUGUACUUUCAUUAACUUAAAACUAAGGCAAUUUUUUUGAGUAGAAUGAGUCCAAAAAGAAAGACAUAUAUAUGUAUAUGUAUAUGUAUGAACCAACAUAAAAUUGACAUGAGAAAAUAGUAGAAAUUGAGAAAGAGAACCUGCUAACAACAAAGUAGACAGAGUCUGGUUUUGCUUGAAUUGCAGUUUUAGUAAAACCCAACUUAUCAGCAGGCCAAAGUUCAUCACCAAAGAAGCUACUAGUGUAUAGCACUUGAUCCCCUGAUUUUAGCCCUGCCUUAGCCGCAUUUCCACCUCCUUCUACUGCCUAAACAUCUCAAAGCCACCACAAAAAAUUUCAAUAAACAGCCUCAAUUUCAUUGUAAAAAAUUUAAAGAACAUACCGAAAAAUUUAGGACUCACAGUUAUGACCACACCACCACCAGACUUUUGACCCAAAGUAAGGCCUAGUGGCUUGUCAACCUCAACUUCGAUAGUCUUUGAAGCACCAGCUGUUCUUGCAGUAACUUGAAGCCCUUUUCUUGAAUCAGUGAAAGUAGUUUUCUUUUCAGCUAUAAAUAUUUCUGAAGAAACCCUUUUGGCAUCUUGAAGUGAUAAGCCUUGAAAGGCAGUUUUCUGUAGACAAAUAAAGAAUAAAACACAAUUCUUUAAUCUAACAAUAACAAAUAAUAAUAACAGUAUAUAGAGCUUCAAUUAAAGAAAACAAAGGAAGAAGAAGAAGAACCUGUUGGCACUGAGAGUAUAUUGCUGGUUUUGCUGGGUUUAGAGAGGUUUUGAUGGAGUGGUUUCUGGUGAAAGUGGCAGAGCUUCCUGCAACCACAGCUGACGACAUUGUUGGUUAUACAAACAAAGAAGAGAAGAGUGUUGUUAAGAAUGGCUUUCAGUAUUGGAAUUUGCUCCUGUUGAAGUUUGUGGAUAGAAUUGCAUGGCUAGAUAAUCUUCUCGUGGCAUUGGUAGGGAGAGCCACACGCCUUAUUUUAACUUUACAGACCAUAAAUAAAUAAAAUAAGCGAUGUUCUUAUUUUAUUAAAUAAGUAAUUUAUAUGGAUCAAAAUAUGUUAGCCCAUAUGAAGGCCCAAUUUAGUUCAUGACUACCAACAAUCUUUAUGCCAAUUAUCAUACCAAAAAAUUGGCAGCCCAACCCAUUAUUAUGGUAAGUAUCACCAAAAUUAUUUUUUUAGCUUAUAAGUCAGUAUCUGAAGACGUGAGGCGGUGCGUCUAAUCAAAAUCCUCAGUCCGACUCUUCGAUCUUAUCCUCGUGUGUGUACUGUGAAUAAUUCUUUUUUUUUUUAGAUAAAUUGUUUUUCAAUAAUACUAUUUAUAAAUAUGAUAUUGUUCUUAUCAUUUUUUUUAGACCACUGGUAUACGGUUCAUAGUAUUAGAAAUCGUCUAAUUUGGUUCGAAAUUUAGUCACGAUUAAGAUUUUUCGCCUUUUUUCUAUAAAUAUUUAGUGAAAAUCGACCACUGGUAUACGGUUCAUAGUAUUAGAAACCGUCUAAUUUGAUUCGAAAUUUAGUCACAGUUAAGAUUUUUCGCCUUUUUCCUAUAAAUAUUUAGUGAAAAUCGUACUCAAAAAUUCUUUCCAUAUAUCUAACUUGCGUCGUGAACUUAAUCAGAAUAAAUUAUGUAAUAUUAUUUAUCAAUUUAAUAUACUCACUUGCUAAUGUCAUUUUACAGUUUAAAUAAUUAAAAAGGAAAAACUAAAAUACUUGUUUUUUUUUUUAAUUUGUUAGUCAACCCAUGAUGUAUACUGUAUUGCUUGUUAAAUAUUUUUAUUUUUUGGAGAAACUUGUUAAAUAAUGUUAGGCAUGCUAAAUUGUUACAUUAAAUAUUACUACAUUAUUUUCUAUAAAAAAAAGCGUCUGACACAUUAAUUUAUUGAUAUCAUAAAAUUAUUAAUAAAAAUACUCGUGUAUGUAUCUUCUUAUAUAAAUUUGUAAAAUAUAAAAUUAAAUUUUUUUAUUGAAAAGUCUUAUCGUCUAAAAUUAAAAUUCGAAAUUUUUCACUCCUACCAUUAGUGAAAAGAUUAGUAAAUCACACCUAAUUACUAAAUUAGAUUUUAACAAUACUAUUUAACACUUAAAAAUUUUAAAUAUUUAAUAAUAUAUAAACACAUAUUAUUUAAAUAUCUAAAUUUAGUUAAAAUUAACCUAGUUUGAUAAAUCAAAUAUUAACUGAAAUUUUAUGCUAAUACAGUAAAAUAAUGAAAUUUUAAAUAAUUUUGUGUUUUAAAAAUUUCAACACUGAUUUUAUUUAACAUUUAACAUUCAACUAUUAAAUUUGUAGUUUUGAAUAUUCAAUCUUAUAAAAUAUCAAUUAAAAUUUAAACAAAAAAAAUUAUAUUUUUGGUUACGACUCACCGUGCCAAAAAAAAAAAAAAAAAAAAAAUCUUUUUUCCUUUCUCUCUACCUUUAUUAUUACAGUUAAGUUCAUUGCACGGAGUCAUCUCAUCGACGGCCGGUGAUCGUAAUCUCCCAAUUGCCACAAUCGAAGUAUCGAUAUGUAUCCACUUGUAUGUGAAGUUUAAUGCCUCUCUACCCAAGAGGCCCAUUCUAUAAUGUAAAUAAUAUAUAUUUUAUUAUUAUUAUUUUUUGUAAGUAGAAAAUUAGGUGACGAGUGCAUUCAAUAUUUUAUACUUUUCAUGUGCGUCCACCAUAAUUAUAUAUAUAACUUAAAAUUUUAUUUUAUUCUAUAAAAUAAAUUAUUUAUGAAAUUUCAUUAUUUUUUCUUUGUAGUCCACGAAUUCUUUUAUAUUUUGUACGAAGGAUGAAUAAUUUAAAUACAUAAUAAUUGAUUUAUAUAAUAAUUAAUAUAAAAAUUAAUAAUUAUAGAUUGAUAUUUGAUGAUAAACAGUCUGGAAAAUAAUUUAUAUGUUUAUUAUUAUAAUAAGAAAUUCCGCUAAAAACAGAGUUGCUUCUGUUGAACUCAUCAAAUCGUUUGAACGUCUGGUUCAAUUUUUUUUAAAAAAAUAUUACUUAUUGGUCAUGACUGUUUGAUUGCAAUCAAAAAAUGUUUUUUUAUAAUUAAUUUUGCUAAAUAUUUCUAACGGCAAAAUAUUAAAAAAAAAAAGAUGAAACGUUUCUUUUUAGUGGACCCAUCGCUAUCCUAUUUUGUGCAAAUUCGAACAAGUGUCCUAUUUACACUAACUAUCAUCCACGUGUAUGCAAAUUGGAUUGGAAAGGGGUUCCACUCAAAUUUACGAAUCAAAGCAAAUAGUACUACUUGUUUUUGUUGGGCCGUCUAUUAAAAAUUUAAAAUUGUUUUCCUUUCAAAAUAAUUAACAACAGCAAUAUAGUAAAAUAAUAAUAAAUAAAGUAAAACAAUGAAUAAAUUCAUACCGAAUUAGGUGCCAGAAUAUACCCCACUAUUAAGUGAAGUUAUUUCUAGACCGUUGCUAAUUUCUGACCUUAAUUAAUGAUCAACUCAAAAUUAUUAUUUUUAUAAUUUCAUUUUUCUUGCAUUAAGACUAAUAAUAUUUUUUUUAUCAGCAGAAAAUUUUUUUAUUAUUAUAAUCCGUAAAAAAUUUAAUAUAACCAAAUAUCUAAUUCUAGGCCAUCAGGCGGCCUCAAUACACUUAUCUUAACUCGAAAAUGCUAAGAAAAAUUUGAUAUAGUAUACAUAAGAUAAAUAAUAAAUUAAUAAAUUGACUUUACUCUAAAAUUUAUGAAUUAUGAUAUUAAGUUUUUAUGGGAAUAUUUUAAUGAAAUAUAUUAAUUUAUGCAUUUUUAGCGUCCACACUCAAUAAACAUGUAAAAUUUCUAACAAAAAUCUAAAAUUAAAUUAUUUUCUUUUAAAUUUACACGCGUGAUUUUAUGUUUGGAAAAUAAUUUUUUUAAAAAAAUAAUUUUUUUAAAUUCAAAAAUUUUAACCUCACAGGUAAAAUUCACAUGUCUCCCCUUUUUCAAACUCAAACUAGAAUUCAAUUAUUCAUUUUAUCAGUUACUCGCCUUUAAACAAGUACACACAACCUCAAAUUUUUUAAUUCAACACAAAAACUCUAAUUAAUGAGGUAAUUACUAGAAUUUUCUUUAAUUAACCAAUAAAAAGAAAUUCUAGAGGGUCUUGAACGUCAUUUUGCAUUAGUCAUGCCUUUUGUAUGACCGAUUACUCACGGCAACUAACACUGUCGGUCACCACAUCAUCCAAUUCCAACGGAAACGAAAUAUUCCGUUUCGAUACAUACGAAAUCAACCAGCUAACCAACUUAGCACAAUAAAAAAUUCCGUCAGUUAAAAGCGAAGUCAAAUGUAACUUACCGUUUGGUACAGAGACAGGGUACGGGAAGGGAAAGAGGAAGGGGUAGGUGGGGGGCUGGGGACCAAGCCAAGAAGCGCAGUUGAGCGGGUAAAGGACAAAAAAGACAUUUUACAACAUUUCUUUUUUCUCUCUAAUCUCUUCAUAUCUGUCGCAGUCUAUAUAUACAGACUUGAUUUCAUAAAGAGAAAAAAGUCACCUACUACCCGUGUAGUGGAUUUUUCCGUCUCUUUCUCUGUCCUUGCUUUUGCUUUUUCACUUAAUUAGGUUCUUCUUUGAAGAAAGGUUUUAUUGUAUGGCCGCCAAUUCGAAGAGUACUCAAGGGAUCGCCAGCUUGGGAAAGCGAGUUAUCUCUCAGAUCUGGACCGCCAACUCGGCUCGCGCUGCUUCUGUUUCCACUGCCAGGUUUUAUGAGUUAAAAAAAAAAAAAGCUUUCUGUUCUUAAUUUGGUGUUUAAUUUUUGCUUAAUCAUGAUCUGAUGAGUUGAGAUUUCUAUUAUUGGCAUUGUUAAUCAAUUACUUUCUUAAUUAGUUGUUGGUGCUGGUUUGUAAUUUUGCUUAAUCCAAAAAUGAGUGCAGACUGCAAGAUGAUUUGCUGUCUGACGCUAUAAUGUUCAGAAUUUUUUUUUUUUUAAAUUGAGGUAAAUCAUUUAAUAAUAGGCUUUUCUUGUAUGAUGAAAAGAUCUUUUUAUUUUUUUUGCAGUAUAUAGGAUUUUUUUUUUGUUUUAAUUUUUCCUAAAUUUGAAUUUAUUUUAUCAUUUUCAUUGAAUAUUCUUUUUUUUUUUCAUUUUAUUAAAGCGGCGUUGUUAUUAUCAUUCAUUUUGAAGAAUAUUUUACCAUUUUUCGUACAAAAGGCACAUUGCCGUACUCGGUGGUGCCGUGUCGUUCGCGUGUGUGGAUGAGGACAAUCUGAAAAUUUCCGCACCGGAGAAUUCUCCACCGAGGGGCAUUUUUGUAAUUUGGCGUCAUUGAUUAUAUUAUUCAUGUCUUGAGAUACUUAUAAUUGGAUAUAAAAAAUAAUAGAUUGAUAGUGUUUUUCUUUCUUUUUGAAAAAAAAAAAUUUCCUUAUAGUGAUUUUAUCUCGCUAACUAUUUUUUUAUUUUGAUUCAAGGUUAGAGGUAAAUCAUUUCAUGAAAUAAAUUUAUAAUUUAAGAUUUAGUUAAAUUUACAUAUAAUAAUAAUUCAUUAUAAAUUUUUGAAUUUGUUUUUUUUUUUUUUUUUUUGAUACAUGGGAGAUAAAUUUUUGAAGUUAUGUUUUAUAUAAAAGAAAGAAUUUAUUGUAUAAAAUAAUGAUUGUAUUCCGUUAUUACCAUUUUAUUCAUUAACUAUAUGAGUUAAUAACUUUUAUUUCUAUUUAUAGCAACUGAAGGUCUGAAAUAUAGGAAUAGUCAGGCGAUGUAUGAUUACAGGAGAUAGUUCAUAGUUCUACUUGUGUCAAUUCAAAAGUGGAACUCUUUGUGUGGUAACCGGUAAGUAAUUGACUGAUAGUUUAACACAUGUACACUAGACAAUGGGUUGGGCUUUUUUUUUAUUUUUUUGGGUCAAAAUUCAAAAAGACAGAGGGUCAUAAGGCCUUCAAAAAUUUCCUCUGGUGCAUUGAGUUUGAACUGUUGUUGGUUUGGUGCAAAUUCAAAAGACGUAUCAUAUGCCUAUGCGGGAAUACAACAUUUUUCUUUGAUUUGGGUAUUCCUUUUGGCAACUUUGUGAUUUUAUGUCAAUUCUUGGUUUUGUCAUUUCCACUUUGAUUCCUUUAUUUUUCAUACAGUGAUGUAGUCUUGAUCUUGAGUUGUGGACUUUUGACAUUUGAUUCUUUUUAUAUUGCAAUUCUCAACUUAUUUUUCAUCUUGAGUACUAUAUUAAUUCUUUUAACAUUACAUAGGAAACUUCCCGGCAAGAGCAUGGCUUUUGCUCAAUAUUUUGUUUUUAUGAUUGUUAUUAUUAUUUUGGGAGGCUUGACUGUUGAAUAUGAUAUGACAAAAAAAGUUUUGAACACACAGAGUCGGUGGCCAAAUAGUUAAAUAAAAGGGAGUAUUUAUUUAUAAGUUCAAGUUGAAAAAUAUAUAAAUUACAUCAUUAUGACCAUCUGUUGUGUUUAUGUCUGUUUGAUGGAUAGAGUUGAAGUAAAAAUUACAUCAUUAGUGAAUGUCUCGUUCAAUGGUCCUACUCAAAAGAAAGGACCUUGCCUAGAAUAAAAUACCAGUCUGGAAGGUGGGAGAAAUAAAACACGGGGUCGGUUGCUGAUUGUUAUCUGGGUCGAGUCAUAUGUGGGUCACAUGAUCUCCAUCUGUCCGAUUAACUCUUGGGAGUCUAUUUGGAUCUGUGGAUAAAUUGAGAGGUCACAACUACAUAACCAAACUGGUGGGUGCUAUCUGUGUUCAAUUAUAAAAUUCCCGUUUUGUCGCUUGUAUCACCAUCAUGAUGAUCCUUGUUGCCUAUUCCAACAAAAUUAAGAAGGAAAAGGCUAAAAAGUGUAUCCUUUCAAUUGUAGGAAGUUUCUAUUCACAUUUUGUUAUAUUAGGAAGAGGUGGUAUGGUUAAGGGUUCUUGAUUAGCUGGAGUUUUUUUUUUUUUUUUUCCUUAAUAAUUAUUGUUAAAUUGAUGAAAAUUUUUAUAAAUAAAAGUAAUUCAUACUUACCUUUCAUUUUGCAUAUUCAUAAAGGAUAUUCGAAACUAAUCAAGUCACACCUAAACAUGCGUAUAGAGAUAAAAGUUCCAUAUAUCAUGCUAAAUUUGAUUGCAGGAGGACAGCACACACGUCAACAUACGACAGGAACUUUGAUGAUCAGGUUGCUGCGAGUGUGGUCCCGGACGAUGUGAUCCAGCCCCUAUCUGAUAAGUACUGGGCACCUCACCCACAAACUGGUGUUUUUGGGCCUGCCACCGAGCAAAACUCGGCGGCAGGCAAAGAUCGCAUCUCCAACACUGGUGAGAGCUCGGUGUUGGAAGAAACGGCUUGGUUCCGCCCCACCAGUCUGGAGGACCCCGAGAAGCCUAACCAAGCUUGAGAAAAGCACAAGUGUGUGCUCCCUAGUUUAUGGUAUUGCUAAUAAAUAAAUGGUCUAUUGUUGUAAUAAUAUAAUAUAAGCUGCUGGAUUCGAACUAGUUUUAUAUGCGCAGUUGCAAACUUAUACGAUGAGUUGCAACUUGAGUGAUGUACGGAUGCUUUAUUUUAUAAACUACUUGUUUGUGAUAUUGGCUUUUUCUAUAAAUUUUUUGUUUUAUGUUCUUGCCACGUUUAGAGCUUGGAUUUUUUUUUUUUUUUUUUUUUUUUUUGUAUUUUAUCACCUGGCACUUGUAAAGUGCAGUAGCUUUGGUCUAAUUCUUUGUGAAUAUAUGUUUAUGUAUAGUAUCUAAAUAAGCAUGGUCCAAUAGGAGUCAACCAUUUUGGAAUUAUGCUACUAAUCUUUGUUGUUAAUAUACUCUAAAGUGAACUUAUAACUCAAAUUGGCUAUUAUUAUAUGUGUAGCCAAUGAUUUCCUUCAAGUAAACAAAUAAAAUUUGAUUUAUUUUGGGCCGCUUGUUACAUUAUCUGAAAUCUAUAUCUAAAUAAAAUAAUUUUGAACAUACGGGUCCUUUUUUUUUUUUUUUUUUUUUUUUUUUUAAGAUAAUAUGAGUAGGGAUAGUGUCACGUGGGGCCAGAGAAAAAAAAAAUAAAAAAGAAAGAAGAAAACAAACGGCAGCCAUUAAGACACAGCCAAUGCAUUAUACAUAACCUUUAUCUAAUUAUCUUGAAUGUGGGUAUUCCAUCAGUGACCAAAAGAAAAGAGCAGCCAUAUCUCUCUAGUUAAAGUUUGAUUGCUCUCUAACAAGAUAAUUAAUCUUCUUAAGCAUGACACAAUUAUAAUUUAUGGACAUCCAAUGAUGCACAACAUAAUUGUUCCUUCCCCACCACCCCCCCCCCCCCAAAAAAAAAAAAAAAAAAAAAAGGAAGAAAAGAUAUAAACAUGACAAACAAAUAAUAAUAAUAGUAAUAAAGUUAAAAAGGGGAAUUAUGAAUGAAGUAGCGUGGCCUGCAAUUGCAAUUAGAGAAACAAAUGGGGACAAUUGCAAUUGAUGGGUAUUAUUGGAAUUUGACAGGUAGGUGCAUCUCUACUACUCCCAAAUCCAUUUAGGAAUUAGACACAAUCAUACAAAAGGGAAAGGGUAGAGAGAACACGAGUGCCAACAACAUCCUUUCUUCUUGUUAUUACAUGACCACGUGACCUUCUCCUUACAUUCAACAUUCUACAAGAAUAAUGUAAUGUAAGUUGCAAUCAUACAAUGUUUUAUUUGUUUUACUUGCUUUUUUUUUUUUUUUAUCAAUAAAAUAAAUAAUUUAAUGAAAAAUCCAGAAAAAAUUUAUCAAACUCCAGCACUAAUCCCAAGUCAAUAGACUCUUUCAAAACAUUCAACCUUAUUAGAAAAUGAUAAGUGAAAAAACUCGGUCCAUAUUACAUCUAAACGUAGAAAAACAAAUUACUUGCUUAUUAACCCAUCCAUCACAACAAAUUCAAAUAUGAGUAUGUACUAUUUCCAAUUAGAUUUUAUUAGAAAAGUUUCAGAUUUUUCAAAAUAAUUGAGCUUUUUUUUUAAUGAUUUUACAAGAUUUAACAAAGUUUUAUUAAUUUUCUACAGUUGAAAUCAAUUCAAUUAAAAAAUAUUCUGCAACUCCAAUAAUAGUCCUAGUUCUGGAAAGUCUUGAGUUGUAGAACCGGCAUUUGUCCCUCUUUAAGCAUCCAUUGGUUUUAGGACAUCUAAUGCUUCUCUUCUUUUUCCCCUUUUAUUUUUCUUUCUUUUUUGGUACCUUGUAUUGUAUUUAUUUUACUUCUCCAUUAUCUUCUUGGCCAGGUUAAAAACGUAAAUUCUACUCCAGCAAAAGAAAAAGAAUAACUUUGUUAAUUAACAAAAUAUAUGUAUAUAUGUGCGCGCGCUCUACAAGUUUUCCAAAAUACAGAAGUAUUGAAAUGAAAUCAAGAUUGACAUCCUCUUGAAAAUCCCUCAAUGAUGAAAGUUCAAUACCUCUUCUUUAUCUCAUAAUGGAGAUGGAAAUGAGGUGCAGCUAACUAAAAUUAUAUUGAAGUGAACAAGAGAUUUGAUCAAAGUGGUAAAGAAAAGCUUAAAUCCUCUCCCAAAUUCACUAGAAUGGCAUAAACCAAGUGCUGAUACAUUUGGAUUUUGGAUUUUUAAGCCAAGGAUUCUGCACAUCCAUAGAUAUGACAAUUUAGAAAGUUUCCUCAUCUUCUGACAGGCUGAGACAUGCAGACCAUUUGUAAAAGCUUGUGCAUAGAGACCUGUUCUGCAUUGUGAUACAAUUUCUUCACAGUGCAUUGCAAGCAUAUUAGCACUUCUCACUACUUAAUGAUUUGGUUGAAGUUGGAAGUUCAUACCUCCGUGCUAAUGUAGAAGAUUUGACAAUGAAAUGUACAUAAUGUUCGUCCAAUGGUACAAGUCUUUUGCUUUCUGGUUGGCAGAAACAUGCGCCAACUCUAAGUAUUUGAAGUUUGCAGCCCUGGAAUAUGCUGAAACUUAAAAUUGUAUUCAUAUCACCAGGUCAAGGAUCUUGGCAGGCCAACAGUGAGCUUACUUCAAUUCUCACAUACCUGCAGCCAAUGACUAGAGACAGAUGCUACUGGAGUCUCUUUACUGGCUCAUCUUGUAUCCCUCUGCGUGGACAAAUUUAUUGCGCGGAUGAGCUACUUCCCAUUGCAUGGUUCUACAAGAAACAUCCUGAUAACCAGCAUAAAUAUAUUUGAUGCUCCGUUUCCAACUUUUCUUUUUCCACUGAAACUGGUUUUACAGGUGAUAGGAAGCUUAUUUGACUUGUCAGGGAACUGGACAAACUUACUGCUCACAUAAGCUGCUUCGCGUUGCAUGGUUCUUUAACAAACAUUCUGAUAUUGAGCAGUAUAUUUGAUGCUCCGUUUCCAACAACAUUUUUUCCACUCAAACUGGUUUGACAGGUGAUGGGAUGCUUCUUUCACAGCGUUCAGGUAAUUUCAACAUCUUGCCUCAAGUUGGACUUAGAAUGGAAAGAGAAAUUUUGGAUCAGAAAAUUUUAUAAUUUGGGACAGACGAAUGUAGCAGAAGUUGCUGAGGCAGGGGAUGCUUUAGCCAUAAUGCUUUAUUUCUUGGUCGGAUGUAACAUUUGACAACCUCAUGGUUGCGUCAGAGACUGUGUCUCUACAACUGCAUAGAACACAAAAAAAUUUCAAAUUAGUAACAAUAGAGAGAUUUGUUCAGGCAACUUAUUUCAAACCAGGUGAAGGCCCUGUAUCUGAAAAUGAACAUACCAAAAGCAAGAUAUAUAUGAUAGUAAUAAAAUUAACAGGGUUUGUAACCACAUAGGUUAAACACUCUUGAGAAAAUAUAUGAUGCUAUAUUUAAGAGCUAAUAAAGUAUCUACAAAAUGAACAUAACGAAGAAAACGGUAAUAAUUUUCUGUAACAGUAUAUGUUGCAAUAUAAGAAGCCCUACACUUUCUUUCAUAUGGUGAUAAACAGAGAGCGCGUCUACAUGUCUCCCAGAAAUACCAAAAGCAUUGAUCAAUACGUUCAGCAUUAUAAGAUUUGGCUCAAUUCCUUCCGUUUCCAAGUCAUUAUAUCAGGCUUCAUACCCUAUUGUUGCAUAUUUGAAAACACUCCUAAUGCUUUAUCCAAUUCACCAUACUUCCAAAGGUAUCAAUAAUGCUGUUCUAGAUAUGCUUGUCAAGUGGCAUUCCCAUCUCCCUAAUCUCCUCAACGAUUCCCACUGCUUUCUUCCACAUCCCAUUAUGUCUAUAAAGCCCAAUAACCUUACUGUAGACAAAUGAAUUAAGCUGAGAAUCUUUCUGCUUCAUUUCAUUGAUUAUUGACCAAGUAUCUUCUGACCUCCCAGCAAUUACAUUGUAAUAUCUCAUAUGUUUCUUGAUUUCUAAGAAUACCCAUUUCAUCCAUUAUCAUUAAAACCCUUUCCGCUAGCCCCAAGAGGCCCUAAUCAUUAUAUUGAACACCCUAAUCAUUAUAUUGAACAAUCUUAGUCUUGGUUUCAACCCAAAACAUAUUGUCUCUUGAAAUAAAGCAUCAGCUGUCCUUCCAACACGUAAUAGAGCUUCAAUCAAAGAAGUGUACAACAAGGAAUUGGGUCGAGAACCUAGCGACUCCAUUCGAGCAAGAAGAGUCAUGGCCUCGUGAACUUCCCAAAGUUUGCAACAAUCACAAAUAUAGUGAUUGUAUGAUUCAAUAGAGAGUUCUUCUGCAUCUGUACACUCAUCUGGUGGCAUAGCAAUAGAUUCUUCAUUGCUAAGGCUCUAGUCUCCUUCACUUGAAUGUUUCGCAUGAAAUUACAUAGACUUCAUGUCCCAGUUAUACAGUCCAUGACGAAUAAACUAGAAAUCAACAAAUGGAUAGAGAAGUCCAAGUCAAAAUCAAAUAAGCUCUCUAUUAAGUGGGAACCAUAACAGGCGGUAAAACGAGGGUUUUUUUUUCCCCAAAACGUGUCACGAGAAAAACUAAUUUCCAAAAUGGUGUUGCGUGAAAAAUAUCUAUUAGAAUAGUGUUUUGUUUACAUUUCAAAUUGCAAUAAAAUCAAUAAAUUUUAAUUUAUUUUAAUACUGUUCAGCAGCUUUACAUACUAAUAUUCUCUCUCUUCUUUAUCUUUGAGUUGAAUAUUACGCAAUAAAUGAAACAAUAUUACAAUUGAAUAUAUUAUUUGGCGAGAUUCACACACAGACUCAAAGUUUCAAUUGUGACGUAUAUGAUGUAACAAUUUAUGGGUGAAAUACCCACCCAAAGAAAAUUGCUAUUGUGUUAUUGUUAGUGUAACAAUAUGAAAGAGAUGUUUACAGGAAAAGAAAUAUUCUUGUGUUAGGUGUAAGAGGUAUAAGAGGGGUAAGAAGUGUAGAUGUCUUUUUAACGUGAAAAUCUUAAUUUUACUUUGCAUACCUUAUGUACCUUUCCAAAGUUUAGAAUAUAUUUCGUUUGACACUGUGACAUUGUUUCAUUUAUAGUAUAACAUUCAAUCCAACAAGAGAGGAGAGAGAAUAUUAAUAUGUAAAACUGCUAAACAUCCUUAAAAUAAAUUAAAAUUUAUUGAAAAUGCUGGACAUCGUUAAAAUAAAUUAAAAUUUAUUGAUUUUGUUGCAGUUAUAGUGUAACAAUGCAUUUAUUAUACUAUAAUUGCAAGAAAAAAAACUUUAAAAUAUCAACAAACAUCAUUCUAAUAAAUAUUUUCCACACUGUUUAGAGAAUUAGUUUUUAGCAAAACACUCUUAUGGGAAUGCAAGAGUAAAAUUUUAAAAACUGGAUAUAGCUAGCUAAGCGUAGCUAAGAACAUGAAACGUGCGAAACCAACAGUAAACACGCUUAAGAAUCAACAAAGUAAAGAAACUAAAUUUCACUGGUUCGCAAUACCUGUAAUGGAUUUGGAGGGCAACUUAGCAAUUAGGGGAAUAAAUAGCCAUCCUCAAUUGUUUACAAACUCAAACAGAAGUAAAUUCAAAGCUCAAAUUUUCACUUCUCCAAUAACCAUUUCAUGGAAAAACAAAAUGAAGCGCAAAAGUUGAAAAAAAAAAAAUAGAACAGAUAAUUUUAGUUCACGUAGAAGUCUCAAGAAAUAAUGAAACUUACCAAUUCAAUUUUUUUUUUUCCAUUCUACUAUAGAGCUUCCGCGUUCAACUAACAAUGGCAUUUUCCUUCUUCAGGAAGGCUAGAUUUUCCAGAGAGGGAGAGGGAGAGGGAGGAGAGAGCGAGAGUGAAUAGAUAAGAGUUAUACGAUACUCCAUGAGUUUUAUUUAUGGCGAGGAAAAAGUCAUUUUUCCUUUUUUUUUUUCCUUUGCUCGGCGAGCAGGUUCCACUCAGAGCAACCUAUUGGUGAAAAAUUAUUUUUCUUUUAAGUUUAAAGAACCUAUAGGGGAGACGCUUUAACUGAUUUUUAUUUUACUCUAAUAAAAUUAAAAAGGAGUACAUUUUUGCUCAUCUCUAUUUCUAAACGGAUAACGAACAACCCGCCAAAACCAAAAAUAUCUUUUUUUUCUAUCUUCUGCAAAACCCACAAGACAAGAACCUUCAACUUCUAAAAUUAUCAAAAUCAAUCACAAGAACCAGGAACAGGAUAUGGUAUGGCUUGCACUGGAAUGCUAGCCUUUGUAUCAUCGCCUUGUAAGGUAUGCAAAACCACCUCUCUUAAUUGCUCUACACAUAACUCCCCUUCUACUGCUACUAUUACUGCAGCUACUGCUCCAAUCAAUGAACACCAAGUAAAUGAUACUGAACACAGUAGCAACACACCACAGAGAUUUAGCUAUAGCAGAGCUUCACCAUCAAUUCGAUGGCCUCACCUUAAACUUUCCGAAAUUUACCCUUCUGCCAAUACUCGGUUCAAUGUUGCUUCUCCUCCACCUACCCAUUUCAUUGACGAGUCGCCCGAUUCGGAUCCUGAAAAUGGGGCGCAAAAGUUGAGUUCUUUAGAGGUGAAUGAUGAGACCCAGGAGAAAUUGGGGAGGUUUAGUAGAACUAGGGUUAAGAAAAUGAACAAAGUGGCUCUUAUAAGGGCUAAGGACUGGAGGGAAAGAGUGAAAUUUUUAACUGAUAGGAUAUUAGCAUUGAAAUCAGAUCAGUUUGUUGCUGAUGUUUUGGAUGAUAGGAAAGUGCAAAUGACACCUACUGAUUUUUGCUUCGUGGUGAAGUGGGUGGGUCAGGAGAAUUGGCACCGUGCUUUGGAGGUGUAUGAGUGGUUGAAUUUGCGCCAUUGGUAUUCCCCUAAUGCACGGAUGCUUGCCACAAUUUUGGGCGUUUUGGGAAAGGCUAAUCAGGAGGCCUUAGCGGUGGAAAUAUUUACUAGAGCAGAGUCAUCAGUUGGUAAUACUGUGCAAGUUUAUAAUUCUAUGAUGGGUGUGUAUGCACGGGCUGGUAGGUUCAAUAAGGUUCAAGAACUGCUUGAUUUAAUGCGUGAGAGAGGAUGUGAGCCAGACCUUGUUAGUUUCAAUACUUUGAUAAAUGCUCGCUUAAAGGCAGGUGCCAGGAUGCCAAAUAUGGCCAUUGAGCUUUUAAAUGAGGUAAGGAGGUCGGGCCUCAGGCCGGAUACAAUCACUUAUAAUACUCUUAUUAGUGCUUGUUCUCGCACAUCAAAUUUGGAGGAGGCAAUGAAGGUUUUUGCUGAUAUGGAAGCACAUCGCUGUCAACCUGAUCUGUGGACUUACAAUGCCAUGAUUUCUGUUUAUGGAAGGUGUGGAUUGUCUGGCAAAGCAGAGCAGCUUUUCAAGGAAUUGGAGUCUAAAGGGUUUUUCCCAGAUGCAGUGACAUUUAAUUCUUUGUUGUAUGCUUUUGCAAGAGAAGGGAAUGUGGAUAAAGUAAAAGAAGUUAGUGAGGAAAUGGUGCAAAUGGGGUUUAGCAGAGAUGAGAUGACCUAUAAUACCAUCAUUCACAUGUAUGGAAAACAAGGUCAGCAUGGCCAAGCAUUACAGCUUUAUAGGGACAUGAAGUUGUCAGGUCGGACUCCUGAUGCGGUUACAUAUACUGUUUUAAUUGAUUCGCUUGGGAAAGCAAAUAGAAUGGUGGAGGCUGCUGGCGUGAUGUCAGAGAUGUUGGACAGAGGAGUUAAACCUACCUUGAGAACAUAUAGUGCUUUGAUAUGUGGGUAUUCCAAGGCUGGGAAAAGAGUGGAGGCUGAAGAGACUUUUGAUUGCAUGCUAAGGUCUGGAAUAAAACCUGAUCAACUAGCAUACUCAGUUAUGUUGGAUAUACUUCUGAGAUUUAACGAGGCAAAGAAGGCAGUGGUGUUGUACAGGGACAUGGUUCGUGAUGGCAUCACUCCAGAUCCAACAGUUUAUGGAGUGAUGCUUCAAAAUCUUGGAAGAGCAAACAAAGUGGAGGAUAUUGGAAGAGUAAUUAGAGACAUGGAUGAAAUAUGCGGCAUGGAUCCACAAACUAUUGCUUCUAUUCUCAUCAAGGGUGAAUGCUAUGAUGCUGCUGCAAAAAUGCUGAGGCUGGCUAUCAGUGGCAGCUAUGAAAUUGAUCCUGAGAAUCUGUUUUCUAUUUUGGGAUCAUAUAGUUCAUCUGGUAGACACUCUGAAGCACUUGAAUUGCUUGAAUUCUUAAAAGAACAUACUUCGGGAUCCGACCAAAUAGUGGCUGAAGCUUCAGUCAUUACCCUUUGCAAGGCUAAGCUGGUAGAUGCUGCUUUGAAGGAAUAUAGCAAUGCAGGCGAAUUUGGUUGGUUUACUGGGAGUUCUGCCAUGUAUAAAUCCUUGAUUGAGGGCUGUGAAGAAAGUGAACUCACUGCUGAAGCUUCUCAGGUUUUUUCUGACAUGAGGUUUAAUGGUGUAAAACCUUCCAAAUCUCUCUACCAAAGUAUGGUGCUCAUGUACUGUAAAAUGGGGUUCCCUGAAACGGCUCACUAUCUGAUUGAUUUGGCAGAAUCCGAAGGCAUACCAUUUGAUAAUACCCCCAUCUAUGUUGCUGUCAUUGAGACAUAUGGGAAGCUGAACAUGUGGCAGAGAGCAGAAAGCUUGGUGGGUAAUCUUAGACAAAGGUGUGCGACUGUGGAUCGGAAGGUGUGGAAUGCUUUAAUACAAGCUUAUGCAGAAAGUGGUUGUUAUGAACGAGCCAGGGCUGUUUUUAAUACAAUGAUGAGAGAUGGUCCUUCCCCAACUGUAGAUUCUGUUAAUGGCCUUUUGCAAGCUUUGAUUAAUGAUGGAAGAUUGGAAGAGCUUUAUGUGGUAAUCCAGGAAUUGCAAGAUAUGGGUUUUAGAAUCAGCAAAAGUUCUAUCCUUUUGAUGCUUGAUGCAUUUGCAAGGGCCGGCAACAUAUUUGAAGCAAAGAAAAUAUACAAUGGAAUGAAGGCUGCAGGUUAUUUUCCUACAAUGCAUCUUUACAGGAUAAUGAUUGGGCUGUUAUGCAAGGGAAAAUGUGUACGAGAUGUUGAAGCCAUGGUGUCUGAGAUGGAAGAAGCAGGAUUCAGGCCUGACCUUUCAAUAUGGAAUUCUAUGCUAAGGUUGUACUCAGGAAUUGAUGAUUUUAGGAAGACAACUCAAAUUUACCAGCGGAUUAAAGAAGAUGGCUUUGAACCUGACGAGGACACCUACAACACAUUGAUUAUAAUGUACUGCAAGGACCAUAGACCAGAGGAAGGUUUGUCACUGAUGCAUGAAAUGAGAAGGGUAGGGUUGAAACCCAAAUUAGAUACCUACAAAAGUUUGAUUGCAGCGUUUGGUAAGCAGCAGUUGGUGGCACAAGCAGAGGAACUUUUUGAAGAGCUGCUGUCAAAAGGAUCUAAAUUGGAUCGCUCUUUUUAUCAUCUUAUGAUGAAAAUAUUUAGAAAUUCAGGAAACCACUGCAAAGCUGAAAAGCUGUUGGGCAUGAUGAAAAAUUCAGGAGUAGAACCCACUAUUGCUACAAUGCAUUUACUUAUGGUAUCCUAUGGCAGCUCAGGACAGCCUCAGGAAGCUGAAAAAGUGCUUACUAAUUUGAAAGGUGCAGGUUUAAAUCUUAGCACAUUACCAUAUAGUUCAGUUAUUGAUGCUUACUUUAGAAAUAGAGAUUACAAUGUUGGAAUUCAGAAACUCGAGGAAAUGAAGAAAGAAGGUCUGGAGCCAGAUCAUAGAAUAUGGACAUGCUUUAUUAGAGCUGCUAGUUUGUCCCAGCACACACAUGAAGCCAUUAACCUUUUAAAUGCUCUGCAAGAUUCUGGGUUUGACCUUCCAAUCAGGUAGCCAUUUAGCCAUUAACUAUCAGAGAGGCUACAAUAUUCUAUAUAAAUCUAUCAUUAAGCUUCUAAUUGGUUACUCUUUUGUAGACUUCUAACAGAAAGAUCUGAGUCACUAGUUUCAGAGGUGGAUCAUUGUCUCGAGAUGCUUGAAACUGUGGAAGAUAAUGCAGCCUUCAACUUUGUUAAUGCCUUGGAGGAUUUAUUGUGGGCAUUUGAACUUCGAGCCACUGCUUCAUGGGUUUUCCAUUUGGCUGUGAAGAGAAGCAUCUAUCGCCAUGAUGUGUUCAGGUGGGUGCUAAUCGAUUAAAAAGUAAAAAGCUUUUUUCAUUUCUCAUGCCAAGAAAAUUGUGAAGCUUUGGAUAAGUGUCUGAAAGAGAAUAUUGAUGUACAGCCAAAUUAUACAAAAGUUUCUGACAUUAAGUUCUCACAUACAUAUAUAUUAUUUUCACUUCGUGUUAGCUCAUACUUUGAGGUCUUUGUCAUUCAGGGUGGCUGACCAAGACUGGGGAGCUGAUUUUAGGAAGUUGUCUGGUGGUGCAGCUCUUGUUGGUCUUACUCUAUGGCUGGACCACAUGCAGGCAAGUUCUCUUAUGCCCUUAUAAAUUUUGUUUUAUUGAUAUAUUUGAUUUUUUUUUUUUUUUUUUUUUUUUUUUUUUUUUUUUUUUUUUNNNNNNNNNNNNNNNNNNNNNNNNNNNNNNNNNNNNNNNNNNNNNNNNNNNNNNNNNNNNNNNNNNNNNNNNNNNNNNNNNNNNNNNNNNNNNNNNNNNNNNNNNNNNNNNNNNNNNNNNNNNNNNNNNNNNNNNNNNNNNNNNNNNNNNNNNNNNNNNNNNNNNNNNNNNNNNNNNNNNNNNNNNNNNNNNNNNNNNNNNNNNNNNNNNNNNNNNNNNNNNNNNNNNNNNNNNNNNNNNNNNNNNNNNNNNNNNNNNNNNNNNNNNNNNNNNNNNNNNNNNNNNNNNNNNNNNNNNNNNNNNNNNNNNNNNNNNNNNNNNNNNNNNNNNNNNNNNNNNNNNNNNNNNNNNNNNNNNNNNNNNNNNNNNNNNNNNNNNNNNNNNNNNNNNNNNNNNNNNNNNNNNNNNNNNNNNNNNNNNNNNNNNNNNNNNNNNNNNNNNNNNNNNNNNNNNNNNNNNNNNNNNNNNNNNNNNNNNNNNNNNNNNNNNNNNNNNNNNNNNNNNNNNNNNNNNNNNNNNNNNNNNNNNNNNNNNNNNNNNNNNNNNNNNNNNNNNNNNNNNNNNNNNNNNNNNNNNNNNNNNNNNNNNNNNNNNNNNNNNNNNNNNNNNNNNNNNNNNNNNNNNNNNNNNNNNNNNNNNNNNNNNNNNNNNNNNNNNNNNNNNNNNNNNNNNNNNNNNNNNNNNNNNNNNNNNNNNNNNNNNNNNNNNNNNNNNNNNNNNNNNNNNNNNNNNNNNNNNNNNNNNNNNNNNNNNNNNNNNNNNNNNNNNNNNNNNNNNNNNNNNNNNNNNNNNNNNNNNNNNNNNNNNNNNNNNNNNNNNNNNNNNNNNNNNNNNNNNNNNNNNNNNNNNNNNNNNNNNNNNNNNNNNNNNNNNNNNNNNNNNNNNNNNNNNNNNNNNNNNNNNNNNNNNNNNNNNNNNNNNNNNNNNNNNNNNNNNNNNNNNNNNNNNNNNNNNNNNNNNNNNNNNNNNNNNNNNNNNNNNNNNNNNNNNNNNNNNNNNNNNNNNNNNNNNNNNNNNNNNNNNNNNNNNNNNNNNNNNNNNNNNNNNNNNNNNNNNNNNNNNNNNNNNNNNNNNNNNNNNNNNNNNNNNNNNNNNNNNNNNNNNNNNNNNNNNNNNNNNNNNNNNNNNNNNNNNNNNNNNNNNNNNNNNNNNNNNNNNNNNNNNNNNNNNNNNNNNNNNNNNNNNNNNNNNNNNNNNNNNNNNNNNNNNNNNNNNNNNNNNNNNNNNNNNNNNNNNNNNNNNNNNNNNNNNNNNNNNNNNNNNNNNNNNNNNNNNNNNNNNNNNNNNNNNNNNNNNNNNNNNNNNNNNNNNNNNNNNNNNNNUUUUUUUUUUUUUUUUUUUUUUUUUUUUUUUUUUUUUUUUUUUUUUUUUUUUACAUAUUUCUUGUGGCUGUUAUUCUAUUCAUUCAUUUUACUUUUUUCUGUGACAGUAGAACAGUGGAAGCACUAUGCUAAUUUAUGAUAUUACUUGUCAUCACCUUCUUUGUUAUUGUUGGGGGUUGUUGAAUGAGAUACAGAACAAUCGCUGAUACCUAACUCCUGAGAUUUUGUCUAUUCUUAAGCUAUAGGCCAUUAUCCUUUUCUCGUUGGUAAAUCAUAGUUUUUUUAUCUUUCAUAAGUCUUGAAAUAAAUUGCCCCACAAAAGCGGUGACAGUUUAAGGUCAGACUUGCUGUAUAUACUUAAUAUUAUCUUUUUGUACUACUAGCUGUGGAUGUCAGAUGAUUUCAAACACAUAUUGAAAACAAACAUGUGCAUUGACCUCUAUGAAAGUUGGAGUAUGUAUUAGUUGUAUAUAUGAUGUAGGGUCAAAGGGACUUUGGAAAUCUGAGGUUAUCUAAAUGCACUCUUCAUAUGUAGUUUAAAGGAACCUUCUGAUGAGUUCAGUGGAAGCUGAAAGGGUAUCCAUAAGAUUCUCAUACAAUAAAGGAAGGGUGAGAUAUAAGGAAUCCUGGAUUUUCGAGACAAUGGGAACUAAGCGCUGAGCAUGUGUUUUAGUCAGACAAGGGAAAUAUCCUUGCAGAAUGUAGAAGAAAAUAGAGUAUCUUGGUGCUAUUCUCAACACUUUAAAGUUGCUCAUUGAGCAACCUUUUCUCUUUAGAAGAGAUCUUACUCUUUGAGAGCACUUCACCCUUGCAGAAUCUAGUUGCAAGAGAUGUGUGAGCUUUAAUUUUUCUGUCAGGCGCCUGCACUCAUAUUGUGCUUGCAGCCUUGAAGUCCUUUGGAAAGAUCUCCUAAGCUAAGUUUCAACUGAAUAUGUUACUAUUCUAUUAAUGCAUAUGCAUGUCUAUUCAUAUGCAAGCAUGCAUAAGCAUGUGUGUUUGUUGGGGGGUGUGCAAUGCAAUUUCGGUAUGUUUCUCAUAUAUAUGUCUCAACUGUGAAUGCUUAAUGUCACUCUUCUUGACAACAAUGACAACAACAGCUUUUGGCUCAAAUCAUUUUUGUGCACAUAUAUAUGAUGCAGGAUGCUUCCUUACAAGGUUAUCCAGUGUCUCCUAAGUCAGUUGUGCUGAUAACUGGGACAGCUGAAUACAACAUGGUUUCACUUAACAACACAUUGAAGGCAUGCCUUUGGGAGAUGGGGUCCCCGUUUCUUCCCUGUAAAACACGGAGCGGGCUUCUUGUAGCCAAGGCACACUCCCUCAGAAUGUGGUUGAAGGACUCCCCAUUCUGCUUGGACCUUGAGUUGAAAGAUGCUUCAUCUCUCCCUGAAUCGAACUCAAUGCAGCUUAUUGAGGGAUGUUUCAUAAGGCGGGGCCUUGCUCCAGCAUUUAAGGAGAUAACUGAGAAACUUGGAUUUGUGAGGCCAAAGAAAUUUGCAAAGUUGGCUUUACUAUCAGAUGACAUAAGAGAAAAGGUGAUUAAAGCUGAUAUAGAGGGUCGGAAAGAAAAGUCAAAAAAGAUUAAGAGUAAGGUGGGGCUUAGAGGAAAAACAAGGUUUAGCAGCUAAGAAAAAGAAAAUCCAUUCAGCAAGUCAUGUUGUCAAAGCCUGAGGAGAGUAAAUUAGACUGUCAAAUUCUGGAGUAGAAUUGCCAAAUAGAAACAUGGAUUAAUUGUGUUCAAUUUAUCCAGCAAUGCUCCUUUCAAAUCUCCUGUGCCUUGAAGCGUAUAGCAGCAAGCAAUUAUUGAAUCUGCCAGCAAUAAGCAAGAAAGUUUACCCUUUUCUGCCUAUGUCCAUGCAGCUAAUCGCAGAUUAAAGUAUGUAUCUCUUUGCUUUUCUCUAGAAGUGUGACACUGAAGUAUCUCGUUGCUUUUCUCUAGAAGUGUGACACUGAAUUAUGUUGAGCAUUUGUAGUUAUAUUAUACUUUUUCCCCGAGGGUAUUUUGGAAGAAAAAAAAUCACUUAUAUUAUCUUUUUUUUUUUUUUAGCUUACUAACACAGAAACUCAACAGUGACAUUGUUUAGUUCAACAGAUUCAAAGUAGAGACUUUUAUUUCAUUACAACAUGAAUACUAAACAAAAAUUCACCCUUUAUUUAGUUAUAUGAAGUGUAACUUUUCCAUGUAUGUAUUGUGUUGGUAUAAAAACCAUUCCCUUGAUAAAAUGGAAGAUAGAUGUCACAUGGACAGAGGUCCACUAGGUUUUUUCUUUUUGGUUUUUAAUCGUCUUCACCUUACUGUUCCUGUUUUUUAAUCGUUAUUGCAGAUUGGUUUCUUAAACUCGAAGGAACUGAGAGUAUCCGAGAUGUCCAAGUUGAGAAAUAUGUUGGACAGUCUACUGGCAGCUGAUUCAUUCCUCGUGCAAACUGAAAUCAUCAGAAAUCUGGAAUUGCCCAGGUUUAUUUAACAGUUUUUCCAUUGGAUGGCUUCCAAGGUUGCAGAACUUGAACAAGUUGAUUGUAGAAGGAUUGAAAAAGUGGAGGCACAUUCCCAAUUAUUUCAAGUUCUUCAGCUGUAUGAAAUGCAAAAUUACAUUUUCUUCCAGUUUAGUUGUAGUACUAAUCAGUUUAUAUACAAAUGUAAACAAGUAAAACUACUGAUUUUUCUUAGAAACACAAACUAUUGUUUAUUUGGAUUUGAUCCCAUUCAUAAAUCAUGAUAAAGAAAAAAGAAAAUAAAAUAAGUUGCUUGGAUAAGAUUCAAAAGAACUCUUUGAAAACCUUUAAUAUCAUGUUUAAUGUAUAUAUAUAUCAUUUUUUAUAUAAUGUGUCGUCCUAGGCAUGGGCAGCUCCCCCGGUGUGACGGGCGUUGCAAUAUGGUUAAUCGCGAUUACUAGAAUUUUAUAUUGUAUCUAUGAGAUCCAAUAUAGAAGCCUUGCGUGUUUUCUUUCAACAAAUCAGAAAAAAAAUAAAAGUUUUAUAGAAUUUAACGUCUAACUAAACCAAAUUCUUUCAUCAUUUAAAAAUAAUUUUAUAUUUUAAAUUAAUAUAUACUAAACAAAAGUAAAUUUCAAAUGUAUGAAAAAUAGUUGCCCGGGCAAAUUUCCAAACAAACCACUUAGGCCCUGCUUAAAACACAUGUAGAGGCCCAAGAUAAAGUAGAAACCAUUCCGUUAGAGUAGCCUAGUAAGAUCCAGGUCCGAAUAAGCCAAUGCAACCCGACCCGAAAGGAACCAAUAAUCUAGGGUUUUGUUUUCUGGUUCACCCAAAUUGAUAAAAAUUUCUGUAGUUGAGAAAAUUUAAAUCCAACGCUCCUCGUUAUCACAUAAUAACAGUCAAAUCAUCAAUUUUUUAAAACAGCGAUUUUAGAUCAGUUUGGAUUAAUUUAGACGAUUUGAUAAACAUCACAAGGUGAGAUAAAAAUGAAUAGCAAAAAAAUCAACGAAUAACUAUCUCUAUCUACAAACCUGAUAUAAAUAACAUUUUGUUCUUUUCAACAAUAACAGCAAACCUGUAAAAUUAUAAUUAUAUUAUUAUAUUAUAAUCAUAAAUAUUAAAUUUUUAGUUGAUUCAUAUUUGAAUUGAUAUAUCCAAAUAUAUUUAUAUGCAUGUAUAUUUUAAAAUAUGUGUAUAUUUAAAUUGAAAUGAAAUUGGUUAAAGUUUAGAUUCUAAUGUUUAACGUUUGAGGUUUGAGAUUUUUCAAUUGAUUUACAAAUAAAAAUUUUAAUUGCAUAAAUUAGGGUUAUAAAAUUUAAUCGUAUUAUAACUAAAAAAUUGACUAUUAAAAAUAAUCUGUCAAGAUAUAAAAUUAGCAAAAUAAGUACAAAAUAUACAUAAAUAUUUAUUAUUUUAUGUCUUUAUAUUAUUUAAUCAAUUUAGGGGACAAAGACUUUGGCUUUUAAUUUCAAUCUAAACAAUAAAAUUUUUUCAAAAUAAAAUAAUUAUGGUUAUUUUAUUAGAAGAAUUAUUUUUUUUAUUAAAAAUAGAAUAAUUUGUCAUUUGAUCCAAUACAAAACUAAAAUUAAAAUAGGGAUUUUUUUUAAUAUUUUUUUUCUUUGAUAUAAAGUGAGAGAAGGCUUUAAGUCUUCGAUACCUCAGCUGUGGGACCACCUCCGCAGACUACGCCAAUGGCGGCAGCCACAGCUCCUUACUCGGCUGCUCACGCGUCCAAUCCCUCGCUCGCGCGAAGAGCAGCGCAUACUGGAUUUUCUACAGUGUAGUAUCAUGCGUAAGUUCAUAUAGAUUUAUCACUUAUAAUCCUUCUUCUAUAUGGAAAUCCAAGUAACAUCAGGUUUGGAUUCCAAGUAGAGUAAGGAAAGAUGAGUGUGUCUAUAAAAUAACAUUCUAUAUUCAAUUGAACCACAUGUUUUCUGCCGCCGCCAUGAAUCCCAUCAUCCCUGUUUGGCGAUACAAUUUCUUUGACGAACUGAAAUGUAUCGACUCCCUUCUUCAUUUCCAUAGAGUUGUUUCUGUGGACACUGAAUUUCCAGGCUUUCUCAUCGAUACUCCAAGACAUGCCAAUGAGUUUCUAACCUACUCUAAUUUGAAGAAUAAUGUGGACGCAACAACACUUAUUCAAUUGGGCCUCACCUUAUCUGACGAGAACGGCAAUAUCGCCGGUUGCUGGGAAUUCAACUUCUCUUUUGAUGCUCAAACAGAGGUAUGUACGGAUGAUGCUUUGGAAUUUCUGAAAGACCAUGGUAUUGAUUUCGACAAGUUGAAGAACGAGGGAAUCGAUAUUCGUUUCUUUUCUGAUGCUUUUGGUCAUCUUUUAGCCAAACAUAGAAAUUUGAAAUGGAUUACUUUCCAUGGAUUGUAUGAUAUGGCUCACAUGCUUACAAUGGUUACCAAAAACUCACUGCCUCAUUCUUCUCUUGAGUUUACUGAGUUGAUUGCAAAUGUGUUUGGUGGCUAUGUUUUUGAUAUCAAGUAUAUUGCGACAUUCUGCGAUGGUUUAUGCAAAGGCGAGUUGGGAUUAGAGAAGUUAGCAAAGAUACUUAGAGUUAAACGAGUUGGUGGCGCUCAUCAAGCAGGAUCUGAUAGUUUAUUAAGUGCAACAGUAUUUUCUAAGUUGAAGACAGUUUAUGGAAUUGAUGAAUCGAGACAUGUGGGGUUAUUGUAUGGCAUUGGCAACCAAAUUCGCAAAUCAGUACGUCCAAGAGUGGUGUAUCCUUCAUUUACGCGCUACUGUCGGCCGAAGAUUUAUCCCAUGUUGGUUCCUCCACCGUUUUUUCAUGCUUUUGUUUUGCACCCUAUUUGUCGAAUGUGAUGUUUUCAUAAACACACAAUAUGUUAUCAAGUUAGUCAAUAGGUAAACUUUGUGCUUAAUGCAUAUUGGGUAAAGUGUAAACUUAGUAAAAUUCAGCUGUUAAGCUUUUCAUGAGAAAAGAAAGAGAGAAGUUUCCAAUAAAAAUUCAUUCCAUUUCUUAUUUUUCCUUCCACAUGAUAUGGAUGAAUAACCAUUACAGUAUAUAGUUUUAUCUGCUUGAUAUGUGCGUUUUUCUUUCUUCCUUAUCAUUGUCUCUGCAGCUAAUUAAUGGAUUUCUUGUAAGUGUUUUGAUAUGAAACUGAGAGAAGGCUUUUAGUCUUCAAUAUCUCAGUUUGUGACCACCUCUGCAAACUAAGCCAAUGGCGGCAGCCACUGCUUCUUACUCACCUGCUAACGCGUCCAAUCUUCUUACACACCACUGUUUUAUGAACUUUAUUCUUAAAAGAAGAUUUUUUGUGUUAAAACAUUCCUUGUAUGUGGUGGUGGAUUUAAUGUUAGCUGUUUCAUGUGCAUCAUUUCAAUUAUCAGUUUUUUGCAGUUUUAUUUUUACUUUAUUGGAUAUAAAUAUUUGAUAAAGUAAUUCUAAUCUAGAUUCUAAUUAGGCAUGGAACUGUUUUUUUUCCUUCUAGAGAAUGUUUAGUUUUACCUUAAUGAGCUCUUGGAAUACUGUUAUCCAUUAGCUGGUUUUCUGUUAAAAAUGGUCAGGUUUAGGGAAAAGAGGGAAAAUUUUCCUUUUGUUCAUUUGACACUAAUUAGUUGCUUGAUCUGAGAUUUUGUUUAUCAUUUGGAUUAUUUGAAAAUUUUCCUUUUGUUCACUUUUCCUUACAAUUCAACUUAAUUUGGCCUUCUUUGAUGUGGUCUGUUGUGCAGGCAGGGUGGAAACUUUGGCCAUUUGCACAUCUUGUUACAUAUGCUGUGAUACCAGUAGAACAAAGGCUUCUUUGGGUGGACUGUGUAGAACUCAUUUGGGUUACAAUACUCUGAGUAAAGGGCCAUUGUAAGAUGUAAGAUGGAAAGCAUAAACAACACAGUUUAAUUAAAUUUCUUUUGGGUUUAUCAAAUUUCUCUCAUUAGUUUACUUUUAUACUCUGCACUUAGGUGGAGAAGAAAUGUUAUUAGUCUGCAGAUCAACAAGUUGAAGCAGUGAAGAAAUGUUAUUAGUCUGAAGAAAUAUUUUUUUAAAAAAAUAUUUUUUAUUUGGAUUUGAUCCCAGAAAAAGGAAACAAAUAAGUUGCUUGGAUAAUAUUCAAAAGAACUCUUUCAAAAUCUUUAAUAUCAUGUUUAAUAUAUAUUAAUUUCAUUUUUAAUAUAAUGUGUCAUUUCCUGGGCAUGGUCAGCUCCCAUGUUGUGACCGGCGUUCUGUACAAAGCUCAGGAACGAAUUCACAGCCGUACGGUUAAUCGGAGAUUACCAGUAAUUUAUGUUUUUCGGCCAUAUAAUAUAGGAUGAAUAUUGAGAGAUAUGAAAAAUUAUUUUCAAACUGUAUAUAUGACUUUUAUCGAAUGCAACUCUAAACAAAAUUAAUGUAACUAAUCAGAAAAAAAAAUUAAAAUUUAUAGAAUUAACGUGGAACUAAACCAAAUUCUUGUAUCAUUUAAAAGUAAUUUUAUACUUUAACAAAUGAAAAUUUCAAAUGUUAAAAAAUAGGGGCAUGGCAAAUUUCCAAUCAAACUACUUAGGCCCUGCUUACAGGCCACAUAGAGGCCCAAGAUAAAGUAGAAACCAUUGGGUUAGAGUAGCCUAGUAAGAUCCAGGUCCGAUUAAGCCAGUCCGACCCGACCCAAAAGAACCAAUAAUCUAGGGUUUUGUUUUGCGGUUCUUUUAAAUCUCUGUACAAAGCUACAAAGCGAACUCUAUCGCAAGCCGCUUCCAGCUGAACGAGGGAGAGAAGUUCCUUGACUGUAAGUUUUCCUCACUUUCUUCUCCUUCUCUUUGCUUAUUAACCGAAAAAAAAUGUCGAAUCCAAAGAAAAGAAAACGAAAACGAAAGAAAAAAUUGUUUUAGUCGUCUUGUAGGUAUUAGGAGUUAUGCAGUCGAUUUCUAGGGUUUAACCUUUGUUUGUUUGUUUGUUGGAAAUAGUGAUGCUCUAAGAUCAGAGGUUCUGUUCAUUAGUUUUUUUCUUACAUAUUUCAAUUGACUGAAAUUGAUGACUCAUGGCUUUGCAACCAUCAACAGAAUAUGCAUAGAUAAAUAAUAAUCUUCGGAUUAUAACUCAGGUUUAAUGUUUGUCAUUUCUGGAAAUAAAUUUAUUUAGCUUGUCAUUUUUUAUGUAGGUUCUUUUUCCAGGUGAGUGAUGAAGCAUAACAAUGUUGUGCCUAAUGGGCACUUUAAAAAGCACUGGCAGAACUAUGUCAAGACAUGGUUUAACCAACCUGCUCGCAAGACUAGGAGACGAGUUGGUGGGUAGCUUUCUUUUUUUGUGUUUCUUUGUGAUAUUUAGAGUUAGGAUCUACUUUUAGUUUACAUUUCAUAUGUACAUUUGUAUGACAAUCAGACCAAUUGAAACUGAGAUUAAUGUUUGGUUGGCAUGAUCUUGGCUGACUCUUUAUGUGUGAUUUGUGAAACGGUUAUCAGCUCGCCAACAGAAAGCUGUGAAGAUCUUUCCUCGACCAACCGCUGGGCCUCUUCGUCCGAUUGUCCAUGGACAGACUUUGAAGUAUAAUAUGAAAGUGAGGGCUGGUAGAGGAUUCACCCUUGAAGAACUUAAGGUACGAUGGUUCUCUUUGUCAAAUAUCUUAAUUAUAAACAUUGUGUCAUGGCUUUAGUAAUUGGUUGACCUGCAUGAAACAUUAAAUUUAAGAUGUCAGCUUUAGGCAGAAUUGUAUAAUCGACUUUUCUAAUAUUUUUAUGGUUUGAAUUACAAGUAGCUAAAAAGUGGAUAUUUUUGAAUGCAUGUUUUUAUUUGCAUUUUUCUGGUAUUAGUUUAAGCACGAAUCUCAAUUUACUCCGUUAAACUGUUGUAAUUGAUACAAGUCUAUUUAUCUGUUCACUUGAUUUUUGUUGCUAGUACUUAUCGCCAUAUUACAUCCUUUUCACCUAUCAGGCUGCUGGUAUUCCAAAGAAACUAGCCCCUACAAUUGGAAUAGCUGUUGACCAUCGGAGAAAGAACCGUUCAUUGGAGGGCCUACAAACCAAUAUUCAGAGGCUGAAGACCUACAAGGCCAAAUUGGUUGUCUUCCCGAGACGUGCUCGCAAGUUCAAGGUAACUUUAAUCAGCUGAUGUUCAGUUGUUAGGUACACAUAUCUGCAUGCUCGAAAUCUCAAAAAUAAUAAUGUUGUCUUAGGCUGGGGAUUCUGCUCCUGAGGAGUUGGCAACAGCAACCCAAGUACAAGGACAAUACAUGCCUAUUGUGCGUGAGAAACCAUCCGUGGAUCUUGUUAAGGUCACGGAGGAGAUGAAAUCUUUCAAGGCAUAUGACAAGCUGCGUGUGGAGCGGAUGAAUGAGAGACACAUUGGUGCUAGAUUGAAGAAGGCAGCAGAGGCUGAGAAAGAAGACAAGAAGUAGGAGUUUUGACCUAUUCAAUCAGAAUCUGAAAGUGUUGAUGUUGGACUGCUUAUUUUGCAAGUUCUGCUUGAUUUUAUUCCCUGGAAUUGUCUCAAUCCAUUUUGAAUGUUGUUUGAGUAUUUGAUGUUACAUAUAAUGGUUAGACUUUUCUCCAAUUUUGUUUUGGGAUCGCUUGUUGAAUCAAGUAGAUUUUUGGCACUGCUUAGCUUCCUGAUGGCAACAGUUAAACUAAUACAAUCGUUAUUUAUUAUCUAGAUAUAAAUUGUCAAUAUUUCUAUUUUUAGGAGCCGUUGAUUUUCAGAUAUAAAUUAUGUAUAUCAUGUUAAUUUUACCUAACCAAUGAAAGGAAUUAAAAAAGGAAGGUUUGCAAGAGUAUAGUUCUCAUUAUUUUCUUUGAACCCUAUUUUGAUUUAUAUAAUUUUUGUUUUGACACAAUUUUCACACAUUGAAAUUAGGUUUACUACAAGGAUAAUUUUAAGAGCGCACUGCCUCGUAUCGGUUUGGUACGUUUAGAACUCACCACCUUGCCAGUCGGACUAAGUCUUCUUUUUGUAAAAGAGUUGAAACAAUAUGAUAGUAGAAAACUAUUUUUCCUUAUUUGAAAAAAGGAAAAACCAAGUGAUUCUCAAGGAAAAUUCAAUUUUUGUUUCUUAUUUUAAUUUGCUAAAAAACUAACGAAGUGAUUUUGUGAGAAUGAUUAAAAAAUUUUGACUCGGGUUUCGCUUUUGAUGUUCAGUUUGAAAACUCUUGGAGUCUUAUCUAAUUUAUAUAUAUAUAUAUAUAAUUAUACAUACAAUAUUUGUUUUAGACUUGUUCAAGCUGGUGUUUAACAAACUGAUUUUUGUAGUUUUGUAAGCAAAUUCCAGGUAGCGUUUAACAAACUGAUUUUUGGAUGAUAUGCAAUUUUUUUUUUCCUGUGUGUUUCUAUUCGCAUCGAAGAAGUUUACUGGACGUUUGCUUGAACAAAAGUUUAAUAUAUGUAUAUAUAAAUUGAUUAAUUUUAUUAAAAAUAAUAAUAUAAAUUAAAAUUGAUUGAAAUUAGUAAAAUUUGUUAAAAUUUAAAAAUAUUAUAAUAAAUAAAUUUUAGUACAGUAGUUGAAUAUCUUUAAUAUUAUAAUUUGCUCCAGGCAAGGCAGAUGCGUCAACCGUGGAACCUAGGCCAAGUAGGAUAUACUACAUAAAGAAAGACCCAAUGUAGACUUAAUUUUGCAAGUUAUGCCUAUAAAUUAUACUUAUCCCUGCAAGCACUAGCAUCAUCGUCAUCAUCGGAAAAAAUAAAUCGAUCGAUUUAAAAAUGGAUUCGUUGCCAUUGACGACCGAACAGAGGCUUGUACACAGCCACAUUUUAUCUAAAGCCCACGGAAGCGGAACCUUCACCUGCAGUGGUUGCAAUUUUACAGGAAGCGGCACAAGAUACAAGUGUAGCAGAGGAUGCGCAGCAGUUUCUCUCCAUCCAAAGUGUGCUCUAGGUCCCACUCCGAUCGAAUCCUACAAACACCCGAGAGGCUCAAAUCAUCAGCUUAAGCUUUUCAUGCACCGUCCAAACUCGUUACAGUUCCGUAUCGGCGGGGUCCCGUCACCGUCCUGCACUGUCUGCUCCCAAACGAUUCACGGACUCUACUACAAGUGCGUUGCACAUUCAUUUUCAUGUCAAUUUUUAGCGCAUCCACUUUGCGUUCCGCGGUGGCCUGAAUACGCCGGCCACCCAGAACAUCCAUCAUGCAGGUUAAAGCUGAAGAAGAUGCAGCUUAGUACACGGUGUUUUGCUUGAGGCGGCUUAUGUACUAGUUGGAGAUAUAGGUGUGACUCAUGCGGAGUGGAUGUACACCGCCACUGUACUUUAAGGCCAGCACCUCGUUUGGAUCCAUAUCCACCCCCUCAGUCUCAACAGCCAAGGCCAAUCAGACGCCGAGCUUGAUUAAAAUGUAAGACCUCCACAACUCUAAUCAGCAGAAUUUCAUUAAUGUCCUAUAUAUCCAAGUAAUAUCAUUGUUUGGGUGUUUAUGCAUGCAGGUGAAGAGUCUAAAUUGCAUUAUUUGAAGAGUUAUAUAUAUAUAUAUAUAUAUAUGUAUAUAUCUUAAUUUGUUGUAUGUUUUCAUUAUCAAUAAAAUUUUGUUCAUGUUAAUUCCUUUAAACUAGAAUAAGAACAAGAAGAAGAAGAAGAAUUGUAUUUGUAUGUUUGUUCCUUUCCAAUUUCAUCUGUCAGCCUUCAUGUUUCUUUGUAUGCUUUCUACAAAUUUGAAAGAAUAUGGUUGAUAAUAUAUAUAUAUAUAUAUAUAUAUAUAUAUAUAUAUAUAUAUAUAUAUUUCUGUCAGUUUAAAUACUAUAAAUUUUCAAGUUCGUUGGACUUGAAUUUAUAUUUCUCAAAUUAAAGAAUUAUUUUAUGUUUUGAAGAUAUAGUUUAAAAUUUUGUAAGAGUUAAAUAUUUCAUUAUUUCAUUCCAAUUAUUAUCAUAAUAUUUAAAUUCCGCCCCAAUGGUUCAAUUAUUUGAACUUGCGUCUCAAUCAACCUCAAGUUAAAUUUAAAUAGUGAGAAAACUAUUAUUUUAUUUCUUUAAUUUGUCAAAAUAUACUGGCCUUUUUUUCCCAUUUUUGAAAUUAAAUUAAAAUUUUCAUAAUGUCUUAUGCUGCCCUUCUGUCAAUUUUUUAUAUUAUUUUUUCUGUGGGUAUAAAGUAUCAUUUUAUGAUACCUAAUCUUAAAUUUAUCACUUGAAAUUAUUAUCAACUUAUGUUUUUUGUAUAGGUCAAUAAUACCGACUUAUGUUUUACUAUCAAGCUUCACUAAUUUGAUUUUUACACCCUCCACCUGGCAGUGCUUAAGAACAAAGAUAAAAAUAAAAGUAGGAGGGUGAAAACUGAAGGAUGAAAAUUUGAAAGGAAAAGAGAGAGAAAAAGGGGCAAUUUGGGGACUAAAGUGAACUUUUGAUGAUAAUGCGGUAAUGGAAUGCUAACCGAGACCUGAAAAAGGAAAGUAAAUCAUUUUGUUCAAUAAUUGAUACGAGUUGCCCAGGACGAAGAAGAAGAUGCGGCCAGUUACUGCCUCACUGCUUCAACUUCAAUGGAGUACUUGUAGUUAUACCCAGCUGCUUUCUAGCUCUAAAAACCUCAAGAAUACAAAUUUCACUGCCUCAUUCUGCUCUAAUUUUAGUACUAUUGUAGUUCGUAAUAAUGGCGGAAUUGGAAACCAGCUUCAUUUACGAUUACCCAAAUCGACUCUUUUUCUCAAUUGCUCUCUCAAUCAAGGAGCUACAGGAGAAAAUUUACCUGAAGACCAGCAAUCACAUUCACAGGUGCAUUUUUCUUUUCUUUUUUUUUUUUUUUUCUCUUAAUUUCUCUGUUUAUAUAUUAUAAUCUUAAACUCUGUUUAUUUAUUGUAUGCUUAUUUGAAUAUAUGCUAUUUGGAUAGAGUGAGCAAAGCCAAGGAUUUUGGAGCAAACGGAAGGUAAAAAUAAACUUUUGCUCUAUAUUAAUUCAGAAAAAUUUGCUGAUUGGUUUGUUGAAAAAUGGGGGAUUUAACUGGAAUUUAGAUUCUGAAUGCAUAAGGUUUAAUGAACUUUCUUGAAGUUUUCUUUUUUUUUUUUUUUAAAAUUGUUGGAGAAAAAAAAUUAACAAAAAGGACCAUUUAGAGAUAUAAGCUCGUGUUUUGCAUUUAUUUCAGGCUAAUUCUACGGAAAUGAGUUCAAAACUUGCAAAGCUUGGACUUGCAGCUGUACUUGGUUAUGGAUUGUUUGAUGCCAUUACUUAUACUACUUUCUUCGUUCUUGCAUUCCUUGGCUAUGAAAAGAGUACAGGGAAGAACCCUGCUGCCAAUCUUCAAGCACUUUUAGGGGUAAGAUUUGUUUUAAUCUUCAGUUUUCUGCUUAAUUUCAUUAUUUUGAUAAGAAAACGGUUAUUACUUUAUUAUUUUCAUUGUUUAAUUUUUCUUUUCUCAAGGUUUGAUUCAUAAUGCUGAAUAAGAAAAAAUCUAUGGUUCUGUUCUGUAUCUAUUUUCUUGGGACCUUCAUUCCUUAGGGUUUGUUAAGCGGCAUUACUUUGCAUUUCUUAGAUUCUUUAUAUUUGGCAAUGGGUUUGGCUUUACUCGUUACAAUUCUGAAAAUGUGGACUCAGUUUUGAUUUGCCUGGUCACUAUCAAAUCAUGGAUAGUAACUUCAGAAGGGGGGAGAUAAAGAAGAGAGGUGUUCAUGUAUACCAAAUAUCAAAUAAUUAUUAUGUUUAUAAGAAAAUAGCCUAUUCAAAUGCACAGGAUUAACAUUUUGCUGCGUAGGGCAUGGUAGCUUAGGUUCAUUUCUGUACUUAAGUUAAGAAAUGUAAGGAUGACAUGGUAAGAUUGGCCCGCUGAUUUCUCAUUUGCUGUUGUACUUUUUGUGUCUUCUUCAUGCUUUCUAAGCCAUCUGUUGUAGUAUGUUUUCACAGAAAAGACUUAGAUAUGCGCGGUAUAUGCACGAACCUUACACACCAAACCAAUUAAAAAAGAAUAAAACAGUAACAAUUAUGUAGGUAGGUUUUAUCUCGUUUUCACGGUUCUUUUGUUUGAGAUUUUGCUAACAAUAUCUUGUUGGAAAUUUCAGAUUGUCAUCUUAAUGUGGACUGGGAACAACGUCACAAGGCCGUUCCGAGUAGCUGGAGCUGCUGCUUUAGCACCAAUUAUUGACAGAGGACUAAAGAAGAUCCAAAACUAUUUCAAGUUCCCAAACCUUGUUUAUGCGUUUGCACUCAUUGUUUCUAUAGUAGCUGCAUUAUGUUUAACAAUUGCUGGCUUGCUAAUCCUUUCUAGAUGGGGAAGAUGAAACACAAGAAAAGGAGAAAAUAGAUUGAGCUGUUACCUCUGGUUUUGGAAUUUUUGCCUAAAACUAGCACAAUAAAGCAGGAUAAUGUUUCUUUCAAUUUGCCACUUUUAAGCUGCCUCCAACCUAAAUGUCCUAGUGUGUUUAUCUUUAAUUGGACAAGUUAGGAACCACUCCUUUAACCGUACAAUUUCAUUAUUCCUCCACACUUUUGCAAAAGAGAACUGCAGCUGCCACUCCAAUAUUUUCAUAUCACCAUUAUGAAUCAACAAUCAACUAUCAUAUUAUUCACAAAUGAGUGACAAAAUUUUGGGCAGUCCUUGUACUAUCCAUAAUAUUUAACGUUAAGAAUUAUCAACCCAUUCAAGCUAUGUAAGUUUGAGCUUCAACAUAAAUAUAUAAUCAAUAAUAUCCUUUCUAAAAGGAUAAUGUACAAGCUUGUACAUUUAUAUCUUAAUCGGAAGAGUCUAUUUCUAUAGUAGGAAUCCUGCCAAACUGAGACAAGUAGAAGAAAUUCGACAUCUUUUUUCUAUUUGAAAUUGGCGAUCGCUUCUUCCUGCCCAAGAAUCCUUUCCCAUUAAGUGAAUCAAAUAAAGCUCCCAUGUCCAUUUCCUUCUUCAUAUUAUUUUCUUCCUCAAAGCUGUAAUAUCAUCCAAGGAAAGAUGUUAGGAUUAAUAUUCCCCCGCUGAAGAAAUGGGGGCAUGGGUGGAAGACAUCUGGAAAAUGAUAGCAUGAAAAAAAUGCCGCAUAUAUAAGCAAUAAGCGUCAUGCAAUGCAUUACUAUUAAUUUAUUUGUAACUGCUGUUCAAAUCCCUAAGUUAAAGCCAAAAUGAAGGACCAAGAAGACAGACUAAUGAAUCACAGCCCUUUAUCCAAUCUCGGUUUUUAAAGACGAAAUAUGCAAGAAAACAAUAUAUGUAUGUGACCUAGAAGAAGUUGGUCAAUAAAAUGCUUGAUAGACUCUCGAGACACUGGCAAUUAACAAAAGAGAGGGAAAGAUACCAUACCGCUCACGAAUAAUUUUGAAAGCUUCUUUUGUUGCAUAAGGUAGCCCCGUCUUCGGAUCACGAUACCUACAACAUCCAUAAUUUACCACAAUGGUUACACAUUAAGCAUUCUUGUAGCAUUGCAGGUAUAACUAUCAACCACCAAAGUGCAUGACCAAAGUUUGCAAUGCAUGUCACUGCCUACAAGAUGAUAAAAGUUAUAUCAGGUUAUAUAUAUAUAUAUUUGCUUCCAUACCCUCAUUGAUGCUCCAUUCGACCUAAGGCCAUUACAAGCUACUUAUGAAUGGUGAUGUCAUCACAAGUAUUCAACUAUCAAGAUAAGGUUAAUUUUCUAGAAUGUUCAAUAAUAGACCAGAAGAAAAUCUAAUAAUUAACAUUAUCAACUCCAGAAAUAAGUUUAUUUAUGUAUUGGAUUGAUUGGCAUUCACAAGAACCAAACUCGAGAGAUGCACUAACUAAAGACCAUGUUCUUGCAAAUGCACAUGCCAGCUUAAGCUGAUACUUAAAACAAAAAAUAACUAACCAAUGAACCUUACUUGGCAGGCAAUCCUGUUACAGCACAUACAGCCUUCUCUGGAUCUGUAAAGAAAUAAUAAGAAAAAUUAAUAUCAUGGAACAAGAGCAUAAAAUUCCCUGCAUCAAAAGGGCAUAUGCAAUACAAACUCCAAAACCAACUAUAAAUUAUUCUUCUUUUAGCAUACUUCAGCAUGUUUGAAACUAGAGGCUUAAGCUUCUGAACAGAAGACACAAAGCAGAGGCAUGAAUCUAAAUUCCACGGAAUCUUCAUCAUUGCCGUAAAUGAAGAGGAGCCUAGAAAGGGUAUAGCAUUGAAAGAAUGCUAUCAAACUCCUCUUUGGCACUUUGAUCACAGUAAACAGCUCAGUUCAACUGCCAAGCUCAAACCUUAUGAUCUUAGUAAAAUAUCGCUAAAAUCCAAUUCAAAAUAUAGCAGAACUACUUACAUUUAUUUUGACAUAAAAUCAAAAUUUAGCUUACAUGGAACAGAUGCUGUUGAAAUUCCCGACUGAAAUGAUACACCUCUGAAUUCUAGAUAUGAACAACCUGCAAGAAAAUUAAGGAUUAACAUAAGAUAGUUCCAAUAACAAUCAACACUGAGACAUCAAUAGUUGCGAAUUUAUUUUAAUUGGCUGAACGAAUGACUUGUAUCAUUAACAAACACUGGCUUACCAUCUUUAGAAAAAUAUCGUAUCUGUGGGCCGCUGUAUACAGCUUUGUGCACAAUUGCUCUUUUCUUAACUUCUUCUUCUCGUGCCAAAACACGCUCUAAGUUUCUCAAAUUCAUGAUUUCUGCAGAAUUAUCACACACAAUAUUUACCCUGACAUCAAGUAUUAUAUGAGCAAUUGCAUCAUGACAAAAAAAAAAAAAAAAAAAAAAAAAAAAAAAAAAAAAAAAAAAAAGGAAAAAAAAGAGCAAUUGCAUCAUGACAAAAAAAAAAAAAAAAAAAAAAAAAAAAAAAAAAAAAAAAAAAAGAAAAAAGAAAAAAAGGAAGAACAAAAUAUUUCAAUCAACAUAUCAGGGCCGAAACCUGUUUGAGCUGCUUCAAGAAGCAUUUCCUCCUGUGUCAUCUUCUUCUCUUCACCUUCUUUUUUCCUUUUGAUUGGCUGUUAAAAGUAUCAAAUGAAAUUUUGCUCAAGUUACACAAAUCAAUACAGGCUCUACUACAGUGACAAGAAGAUGCUACCUUCUUUCUAUGGCUUUCUACUAGAGACAGUUUCUUUAUGAUCCCUGACAGUUCUAAAAUUGAACAACUGAUAUGCAGUUGAAAAUGUUUAGAAUCUUUAACAUUAGCAAAUCUGAUUACGUAUGAUUACUCCUUUCUAUUCAUAUAUUUGAUAUAUUUGAAUGAUCUGAAUAAAAAAAUUUUCCAACACCACAAUUAUCUGCCUACAUCCUUCUCUUCUUCCUUUUUUCCCUGACCUGGAAUGUAAUUCAGAUAAAAAGAGUAAUUGAUUCAACUAUGAGUUAACAGAAGAUGCAAUUGAACUUCAAUAUGCCCUACUGUUUAAUGUUUAUUAAAUGUAUUAUGCUCCAACAAUUCUUCAGCUCCAAGACAAAGUAGUGUGUUGUUCAAGCUUGUUCGAACACGAUCCAUUUAAUUGAUCCAGUGCCAAAAUAGGCUGGAUACAAACUCAAACCCUCCACCAUUCGACAUAUAGCGAAUCAGUUGCAGUGCAGCCAACUAGAGAUAAAGAGCUCACAAAAUUUCAACAAGAUGGGCAAUGCAUUAGUGCAUGUUUGACAACUCUUUUUUUUUUCCAAGAAAAAAGCUCCUUCAUGCUGUAAAUAGAUGUUUGAGACUGUUUUCUAGCCAUUGAAAUUUUAUGACCAAAACAUGAGGAAUCCUUUAAAUUAUUUUUUUUUUUUUAAAUUCCCUUUAGCCAACAUAUUCAAGAUAAUGUUUUUUUUCUCAAUGACAGCUAAAACAGCAAUAUAAACAGACUUUACACAGGCGGUCCGCUUUCUAACCAAGAACUUACCUUCAUUGUUGCUUGCAGAGCUGCGCGAAUUGCAUCUCUCUCAGCUUGCCUAACAAUGACAGAUGUCCUUGUAGAUUUCCUCACUAUUCUCUCGCCCUCGACAUCAUCAGGGGUAUCCUGUUGCUCUGGGGCAGUAGACUCUUGUGCUGUUUUUUCAUCGUUGGAAGGCUCAUCCAAUUUUGAAAGGACUUUCUUUUUCUUUUUCUUCUUUGUUGAAGGCUUUCCGGGAAAUAUAAGUCGCUUCUUUUUCUCAGUCCUAAAAAUAAAGCCCAAUAAUUAGAAAAACAAAAUAAUGAAAAGAAAAGAAUAGUAGUAGACAUAAUCUGCUUCAGCUAACAGAUACUAAACCUUUCCUCAGCAACAUUUUCUGCUUCUUCAUCUGGCUCAGGCUCCUAGCACCAACAGAAGGUCGUAUUCAUGCUUACUAAAGUUGGAAAUAGUAAUCAAUUUAUUAAAAUGAAGAUUAUAAUCUAAGAUUGAGAGAUGGAAACAAAAUACAGAUACAAAUGGCAAGAAUACUCACAUCUUCAUCAAAGUCGCUAUCAAACUCAUCAGCAACCUCUGCCUCUUCUUCAUAAUUAACAUCAUUCUCUUCCUAUAAGAUAAAAACAAACACAAAGAAAGAAGGCAAUAAGCAUAAUCUUAUUUGCUAAUCUGAUUUAUUACUCUGAACGCAAUUGCAAGUAUUUAAUCAAGACCAUAUCAUUCUCUCAAGCAAAGGGACUUCAAAGAAAAAGCAAUGAAAGCACAAGCUUUAAGCAAGAAGCAACAAAAUUUUGUAUAUGGAACAUAUUGAAUUUUUAAAUUUUCACCAUAAAACCACACACAGUUCAUUAAAUAAAGAACCUCUUUAAGAGCAUCCUGGUUCCAGAACAAAUCGUCCUCUUCAAUUUCCUCAUCGAGCAACUUGUUCAUCCUGGAAGAAGAAGAAGAACAAACGCGUACCAAAAUUUUAUAUAUAUAUAUAUAUAUAUAUAUAUCCCAUUUAUUUGACUAAAUUAUCAUUUAUCUCACCUAAUAUUCUAAUAUCAACAAUUCUCAUCUAGGUGUUUCUCAUAUAGGUGUUUUGUAUGAAUAUCAUUGCCCAUCACGCCCCAUUUAAUAAGACGUGUACUGGCUACCCUCUCUCUUCUCAAACUAAAUUGUCAAGAAACCACAAAAUGGUUGUAACCAAAAUCGAAACCCUAAUUUGCCACUUAAAGAAAAAGAAGAUUUAGCAAAUAGUUUACGAAACUUACUCGCUACUCUUCUUAUUGGCGGUACAAUUGUUUGAGACCGACAGAAUCAGCAAGAAACCCUAAUUUUGAGGAGGAGAAAAGCAGAUUAGAAACUUUUGUAAAAGCGUUUGAGCAGAGGACGUGGAGGGAAAAGAAAACCAAAAAAAGACGAAGGCUGUACUUACAGUUACAGACCUAUUCCGUCGCUAAUUUCAAUUUCGUCACCUUUCUCGUUUGCUGAGGCAGUUUAGUAUCGUUGUUAUAUUUGAUUUUUAUUUUUUAUUUUUACAAUAUAUAUAUAUAUAUAUAUAUAUAUUUAUAUAUAUAUAUUUUUCAUCAUAUGUUUUGUAUGCAAAGUAUAUUCCAAUAGCAGUGCUACAAUUGGAGGGCUUUUUACAUAGUUGUUACGAAUAAUGCAUUGCUCAAUUUAUCUCUUGAAAUUAAAAGUAAUUUACAAUUUCUUCAAAAAAUAAUUAUUAUUAAAUUACCAAUCUAGCCUUACAUCAAAUAAUCAAAAAGUCAAUUUUUAUUAAAAAUAAAAUAAAAUAAUAGUUAUUGAGGUUUUUAAUUGACUAAAACUAUCUAAUUUAAAAACAAAAAAUGUUUAAUAUUUUUAAAUAAUAAGUUUGAUUAUUUAAAAUGCAACUAAAAGUGGACUUCUUGAUCCCAAUUUCGAGCUUUAACAACUUGAAAUCACUAGUCUUGUGAACUAAAAGCUGGCUAUCAGUGAAUCAGACACCUCUAAACAGAGAUUGGAAUCUAAAUAGUUAAAGAGGAUAUUCUAAAUUCAGAGUACAGAAAACUAUUGUCCAGUUAACACCUUAUAGCAGCAAGCAACCAACAAACAAGAAAAAAGUUGGCACACAAGUAAAGAAAUAAAGUAAUACAGCUUUCAUUGUGCUACAAGUAGCAAAGUAUCCUCUGUUUUCAUAAACUGCUAAGUAACAGUAGAAGCUCCUGUAAAUUAUAGGACUCCACUUGCUGGAAAAUAUUUUCCAGAUUGGAGAAUAUUUUCUUAGUCAAAUAAAAAUUUAAUUGUUUUAAUAAAAGAGAAAAAGGAGUAUUACCAACAAAGCGGUGAUUAAGGUGUUUCUCAUGAAGCGCAAUUAGCUGGAGCUGGGAGAGCAAAAUAAACUUUUACACUCUACGACGGGAUAAAUAGAGCUUAACAUGGGAAAUUUUUUUUCCUACACAAAGACCAAUAAGUAUUCACUUACUGCUAAUGUACACAUUGAUUCAAGAGGGGUAAGGAGAUUCCCAAGAAGGUAGUCAGUGUUAUUAUCUCAGUCAAGUUACUAUCCCCAAAAGAAGAUUAAAGAUUAGUAGUAAGAAAAGAUUAAUUAAACUUAAUCUCCUGAUUUAUGUCUUUGAGUAUUUGUUAAGCUUCUAAGUUACUACUUUCCAAGAUUAAUGGUGGGAUUAUAAUAUAAUAGUCUAGAAGAAGCCUUUUAAAUUAAGAAUUUGCAAGUUGCUAAUCCCUUUUCACAUGGUUUAAUUCCACUUGUAGAAUGUGUACAGAUUUGCAUAAUUAGUAACUAUAGGUCUAUAGCUAUAAAUUGUCCAUAGACAAAGCAUUCCGCUUAAGGAAUAAUCCCAUUUUGCCUUUUUCUUCUCUUCUCAUUAGUGAUUAGUUAAUCUUUCUGGAUUAUGUCUUGCUAAAAUUAUUCUUUUAUAUGAGUUUGAACUUAAUUUCCUUAUUUAGUAACUCUGUCAGCUUAUUGAUCUUUCCUAUACUUCUUUUUUGGCCAUUACUUUCUGUCUGUUCGUCAUAGGAAUUCUACCAUUUGCAUAUUCUACAGUUUUAGAUGUUCUUUUUUGGCAAUUAUUAAAACUUGAAUCGUGCAUGCAUAUUUAUGGAGGAAGUGCCAGGAGUACUGACCCAAGGAAGAGUCUUUUUCAAAACCAAGCAAAAAUUACAAACUUGCAAAGUGAGUAAUAUUAAAAAUAUGUAUAUAUGUAAUGAUUUCAAAUUUUAUUUCUUUAGAUUAGCAGCUUAAAUUAGUUAUUUACUAAUUAUCUGACCAGUAAAAUUUUAUUAGAAAGGGAAGUUUUCUGAGCAGAGAUGUUGGACAAGAGCAACUGAAAAAAUGCCAGCAUCAAAUAAAGAAUACCAUAAUGCAUCUCCUUGUUAUGAGUCACUGGAUAUUCCUCUGCAUGCUAUGCAGUUCCUUUGUCGCUCAUGGAGCCCCACUGCCUCGACCUUACUACGGACAUUCUCAUCAUCAAAUGUGAGAAAUGUAGACGUGCAUGCGUGCACACACAUAUUUAUAUAUGCUUCGAUAAUUUAGAUCUCUUUUAAUUAAUCCAUAGUUUUGUUUAUUCUGAUAUACAUACAAUGUGACACCAAAAGUAAUGGGGGAAAAUUCUGAUGCUUAUAAAAUUUUUUUCAAAACAUGCUUAUAAUUCUUUAUCCUUUGGCAGAACCAGAUAUUGGAUUUUCAAGUUAACCAUAGUUUAGAGAGGCAUGAAGAGAAGGUAGACCAAGAAAUUGAUGUUUUAAUGGAGGAGGAAGGAAUAGCGCAAGUAGAUGAUGCAAAAAGAGCUGCAACUCAAAGCAACAGAUAUAAGUUAUGGGUACUGAUCACCCACUUGCUCACUAACAGAUUUCUUUUAAGUUACAUUUAGUACUUUGAAAUUGAGAUUGGAAUAGGAUUUUGUACUUUUCAUAUGAUCAAGCAUAGUGAAGAGCUAUUUUACUUUUCUUUACCCUCUUUUUUUUUUUUUUUUUUUUACAGUAACUAACUUUUUCUUUGUUCUGGUGGAGUUGUCUCUACAGACAAGAAUUUUGGUUCAAAGAUCAGUUCCAUCAAUUCUGCAAAGCUGUAAAUUGCUUUACAUUGACAGGGUAAUUUUACGAAAACAUCUUUUAUGUACUUUAUAUCUAUCCUAUUUUUUUGUCUUACUAUAUUUUGUUCUUUUGCUAAACGAAAUUAAAGCGCAUUAAGGAGUGGUUAAGAGAAAAAUCAUUGACUGAUAUAUUGAAACGGAAGGAGAGAAAGAAGAAAGAGGAAGUUCGGCUUCUCACAGCGAAAAUACGGGCUGCACUUUCUGUGACACAAUUGGCUGCAGCAAUUGCAGGAUAUUCAGCCACCGGUUGUGCAGAAGUAUCCAAAGUUACGAGUACUAAUGAAGAAAUGAAAAUGGGUAAUGUGGUUGCCUAUGCCACAGCAUUGCUAGCAAGUGCCUGUGCUGAAGCUGCAGAAUCAAUAGGUGCAAAUAAAGCACAUGUUUCCUCUGCUGUUAAUUCUGGUCUAGCCACUCAAAGCCCUGCUGAUAUAAUCACUCUUACUGCCGCUGCUGCAACAAGUAAUGCUUAUCAUAUAUCUUUUCUAGUUGUUGAGAGAAAAUCAAAAUAAACUAUGUUGAAAAUGUCAAUUACAAGUCUUAGAAUUUGUUUUUAAAAUGAUUUUGACAGUUAAACAACACUAUGAUUCUUCUAUUGCAUGUGAUUUUCAGGUUUAAGAGGAGCUGAAACCCUCAACUCAAGGGCAACGACUAAAGAGGCAGUUAAAUUAGCUGCCAAAUUAUCAGUAAUCACUCCUUCUGGUAUAGCAGCUUCUAAAAUUUUUUCACUUGAUUUGUUUCUAUGCAUCGUUACAUAUGUAACUCACUAUCUUGUGCUUGCUUGCAGGACACAAAGUACUAAGGUUGGUUUCCAUUCACUUGAAGCAUAGACAACUAAUGUUAAGCCUUGAAAAGAAAUAUUUAGGAGUCUUGACAACCUCAAAGGAGUGUAAGACUAUAUAAUUUGCGUCCUGCAAUUGUAACUUGCAUGAACAUUUUCUUUCUUGAUGCUGACGGUUGCUUCUGUUUGUCCAACUUUUCUAGAUGCGAUACUUCAAGUGAUAAGAGAACAGCAAGGUCAAGGGCAUUUUCUGCUUGGCAUAAAAUGUAGCAAUGGAGAUGUCAAGCUGUUGUUUGAAGACAAAGAGCAGUCGCUUCUGUGGAAGUCUAUCAUUUCUAAAAACUUACAGAUCUUGGAACCAUCUUGGAACAUCAGCUAAAAGGAUGUUUAAAGGACAGAAAAAUAAAUAAAAUAUAACUUAAAAGCACCAAGGACAACAGAGUACAAAGAUAAAUCUUCAGAGUACUUCAUCAAAACAGAACAUACUAAUCACGGUAAAUUAUUCUCACCAUAUCAUUGCAACAUAAAACCACAAUGGAAGCUCAUUAAAGGAAAAAUUAUUCUGUUGUGAUUUUUAUGAACAAAAGUUUGUACAUUUCUAGAGCUUAUGAUAAUCUAGUUUCUCAACUGGGUGAAAGAAAUAUAGUAUACACACCGAAGUAAUUUUACUACUCCUAGAUGCGGAUUCAGAAGAUAGGACAGAUGAUAUGGAACUAACUACCAACAAAAAAGCUUAAGGCCUCAACAUCUCAUGCAUGGAACAGCCUCUUUUUUUUUUUUUUUUGGGUCCAGAUCUUUAUGCCAAUCUGCAUGCCACGCAGAGUCCACAUGAAGUGUAACAUCAGUUUGACUUGUUUAGCAUCUCUUAUUAUUUCUCCUCAAAUUCAACAUCAAUAAUAUCAGAAUUGGACUUUGAUGAUGAGGUGCCUCUACCUUUACCGCCCCUUGAAAAGAAGUCACCUUCCGGCUGCCACACAAUGUUACCACAGCCAGCACAACGAAUUACUUGGCUUUUGUAACCAACAAACUGCCUCUUACAUGCCGGGCAAUUCCCCUGCCAAAAUUCAAUACAAAAGCCAAUGAACCACUCUUGUUAUUUGCUUCACUAACAAUAGUUUGUCAAUAAUACAAAAUUCGAUGGAAGUUUAUACAUUAACAUAGCAGCUCAAGUGGACAUAGAUCACAGGAUAAGUUAUUACUAUAUUUAGAUUGCACAAAUAUUAGCAAAUGAAGAGUCCACCAAAAUAUGCCAUCUGAUCAAGCAGCAGGAAUUAACUGACUAUUUCCAGAAGAUAUUGCUAUCUUGAUGAUGGUGUCUAUGACUUUUUGAGGAAUUACAGAACUCAUGAUGGUCUAGAACAUUCAAUGUGCAACAUGAAGAAUAUGAAGAAAAAGAAAAAGGAAAAAAAAAAAAGGAAAAGAAUACUGUAAAUUAUUUAAUGAUCCAGGGUAUUAAUCAAACCAUGUCCAUUUUUAAAAAAUUAAAAUAUAUUAAAAUUCACUCUCCCCUAUAGUAAUGAAAUAUGUCCAGGAAAUUACUUACAAAUAUAUAUAUUAUCAAAUUUAUGACAUUAAACAUCAUCUUUUAUACGAAUGAAAGCAUUAAGCCAGACGAAUUCUUAAUCAUUAUUGUUUUGUCUCCAUGACUCCUUAGUUGUGGCCUAAAUAAGUACCUACCCUGACUUUGGAGCAGUGAGAAAGCACUUGACAAACAGCAGAGCCGCUCAUGAUGAAAACAUAUAGAAUAAGGAAAAUCAAGCAUUUUAACUAAUCAUGUAAAAGAAAUACAUGCAAAAUACAAAUAAACAGUUAUACCUUAAUUACGAGAUUAUUUGCCACAGCACCAAUGAGGAGAGGUGCAGCAAAUGGCAGAACCCAUGUAGCAAAUAUCAAGAACCGAAACAGCCACCCAGAUAACGCAAACCAUAGGAAGAAAAUAGUCUACAAAAAAUAAAGAAUAAAUUAAACAGUCUUAAACCGCAAUAAUAGUAUAAAAAACAGUAAUGAAAACCAGAAGGAAAAAAUAGUUAGCAAAUAAAUAAUCAUUGAACUGCAUAAAAAUUAAAUAAAAAACAGACUACCAGAAAACCACCACAAAUUGAUUAAGAAAACUCUGAUCUGGCUACUAUAGAUUUUCAUUUACUGACCUCAUUUGUAUUUUCAUUUGGAUUGUGAUAUACAAAAGAUACUAAGAUUUAUAUUCCCAAGAAAACUAGCUAAAGAAUGGAACACCUACAGGCUAUAGUUUUACAUUAUGAGACGCUAUAAGCCACCCAUUGAAGGAAUCUAAUGUUCCUUAAGCUUAGAGUGUCAGCCAUCAGUCAGAUUCAAUCAUUUAACUUUCUGCAUCCCAGUUACCUCUUUUCUAGCCAAAUUCAAAUACCACAGUUCAUGUAGGAUUUGCACAUGAUGAAUGCAUUAAUCACAUAUGUGAUAUCAGCCUGAUUCACUGGCUUUUCUUCCAAGAAUAUCACAGGGCUGUACUUCAUGUGUGAAGCAUGAUGCAUCUGUGAACAGGGAAAAAAAAAAAAAAAACUGCAUGUGGUUGUGAUUUGAUUUUGACUUAUGAGUUCAAUAUGUAAGGCCUUGAUUUUCUUGUCACUAAUCAUGCUUCUUAUCCAAUAUCUUUCAAGCUGUCUGUUCUCAGUGUUAUAAUUUCUUUAUCAUAUUGACAACACGUUUUUUGGGCCAGCUAACAAAUGAGUCAUGAGUUGGAGGACCAAAACAGGAGAAAAUAGGAGAAAAUUUAUUAUCUUGGUAACAGUAUAUACCACACCACAGGAAGGGGAGAAAAAAAUUGUUGGUUCGAGAUUCCAAACAAGUAGAACACUCUUAACUCUAUGCAAAAUUUCUUGACACUAAAGUUGCAAAAUUGUUGGCCACAUUAAGAGUUAUCAAGCUGCAUCAUAGACAAUAUUUUUUUCCAACUUUCUUAAAUUUCUGGGCUCCUAGUUUAACUUAAAGGUGCAAGACAGAAACCACUUAUAGGAUAUCAUUUCUUUUGAAGUUUGGACAUCAAACCUUCAAAGUUUUCCGGUCAUCUCUUCUGAAAAUCUUAAAACACCUGUAAUCUCAUAUGCUGUCAACACUAGUCAUGGAGGGUUUACACUUUAAAAAGAUGACAUAUCCUAUCUCUUGUUCAUUUAAUUCCCAUUUUGAAAUCAUACGACUAGUUAGAUUCACUUAACAGAUUACACAAGUGUGAAAAAAGUUCCGAAUGCUGCUUGCUAAACAUUUCAGAAAUGGGAAUAAAGAUCGUGCUUAGAAUGAUUGGAUGAUACUAGUAUCCCUCAAUAGCAAAAGUUAUUUGCAAAAGUAUUUCGAGUAUAGAAAGAUAUACUUACAGCAAAACUCCUUCCUAAUGGAGUAUCCAGGAAAUCACUAAGCUGCCUCCUGUACUGCAAGAAUAACACAAUGAAGGUCAGACAACCAAUUACCAGUUACAGUUUACAGAAUUCAGUAGCAACUCCAGUUUGGCUAUUGGUGGUGAAGAUGUACUGAAUUUCAAACAAAACCAGCUAAAAGAAAAAAAAAAAUUGAAUUUUACUGAUUUUCAUAGAUUCGAUUGAUUGGUAGAAGUAAAUUAGUUGUAUGGAUGAGUUUUCACGUGGAAUGAGUCCUUUCUCACCAAACAAAAAAAAACUUAUAACUUUAGUAGAACUUGACAAUUUGGAUAAUUAAGCAUAUUACUAUCAAAAAUUUAAAACGAAUCGCAUUCAAAAGAAGGAACAAACCCUAGGCCAAUUUCUAGCAAAAUCCAUAGAAAACGUGCGCCACCGAAUACCCAGUUCCAGCUCUCUAUCAAUCUCACGGGCACGGUCAGCCGCAGAUUGGGCGACAGCAGUAAUACGCCGCGAGACGGAGUAUCUCCGGUCAAUACGUUCGGCGGCCUUCUUCGCCUCAAAUACAAACUGUUCAAAACCGUCGUUAGCGCUACGCCAAGCAUCCCUAGCGAACCUGUCGAAGUCGCCGCGCUGGAAGGCACGGACAGUGGCUGCAUGUCGAUAAGGGACUGAACGCCUGUGCAGGCGAGUAAGGAGAGGUGGCUUCCGCCAUGGUAUAGUUGUGGCCAUAACCACAGCGAUAGAGGUCGACAGAACUGAGAUAUUAGAAGGCUAAAAGCUCUCUCCGUUUUAUUAGAAGACGUGUUUUUCUAAUCACUUUCGUGUCUGUAGAAUGUUUAUUGCUCUUGUAAUGUGAUUUUUCCCAUAUUUAUAUUUUCAUCUAUUUUUAUCAUAUCAUAGGAAUAUAAUAAAUAACUAUCAAGGCACCGUUUUCUUGGCCACACCUUCAAUUUUUAUUUUAAUUUAUUAAAUAAUUAUUUUAUUUUAAUUUAUUGAACAAUUUAAUUUAUAAAAUUAUAAAUUAAUUUAUAAAAUUAAAAUAAUUACAUAUUUAUAAUAAAUAAUUAAAAAUAAAAAUUACAAUUUUAAAAAUUAUGCUAACAACACAUUAUAUAUAAAAAUUAUCAAGUCUAAAUUUCUUUUUUUUUUUUUUACUACAAAGGAGAGUGAAAAAACCCAGAUUAAUGAAACCCACGGGACCAAAUAGCCCCAACCCAUCAGGCUCUAGCAGAAAUCUAGUUGGAUUUAGAGGCCUUGCAAAUUAUUAUUGUUAGUAUUGAAAAUAAUCUAAUGUUAUCAAAAUUUUCAAGUUCAACUAUAUAAUAGAUCAUCUGUAAAGUUGAAAAUAAUAUAAAUUUAUAAUUAUAAAAUUUAUGGAUGAUUUAUAUAUUCCAACCAUAUAUAAUAAAUAUAAUGCUGAUAGCAUCGAACUGUGGUAUAUUUAUAUUAGUAUUUAUAAAAUUUGUUAAAAGUUAAUCAAACGGAGUAGAUUAUAAUUCGUUAUUUCUCUUAUAUUUAGUGAAAUGAUAUUAUAAAAGUUAAUAUUUUUUCUUAUCAAAGCUUUGUGUUAAUGUUAUGUCUUAAGAAAAUCUAUAAACAAAACAGCUAAAAUUAUUAAUUUUUUUAAAAGAUUAAAAAUCAAUAAAUUAAAAAAGAUGACAGUAAAAGCUUAAAAUCCAACGGAGGUCGAUUGAGUUAAUUAUUCCUAACAGCCGAUAUCUAGUAACCAUUAAAUAUUUAUUAGUGACUAAAAUUCAUGUGUGUAUAUAUAUAUAUAUAGUUUAAUUCAUUACAUAAAUAUAAAUAUUAUUAUAAUAAUAUUUAUUAUUGAUAAAUAAGUAAAAUGAUUACAUAAAAUAUUACUUUUAAAGAAUUAUUAUAAAUUAUUUUUCUAAAAAUAAAUUUGACCUAAUGAUUAAAUAUAAAUCAAUUAUUAGUUAUAUAAUAUAAAAUAACUAAAUAAAAUAUCACCUUAAUUAAUAUUUAUAGACACAUUUUUGGAUUCCAUAAAUGACUUUUAUCAUCAAUGAAUAAUAUUAACAUUUCAUCAUAAAAAAAAAAAUAAAAAAAAACCACUUGGAAUUUCGAUACAAGAAGUUGAGGUUAUGGAAAUAGGAGAGCUAGCAUGUUCUAUAAUUCAUUUCAAUUCUUUAAAAUAAAUAAUAGAAAAAAAAAACAAUUGGACUUCAUUAACUUUAGAAAAAUAAUUAUUGAUAAAUUUUCAAACUAAUAUUUUUUAUGAUUAUUUUAAAUAAUAUUUUUUAAAAUUUUAGUUAAUAUUAUUUUAUUUAUAUAAUAAAUUAUAAUAAAAAAAUAAUAUACUCACUUCAAAAAAUAAAAAUAUACAUACAAUCAUAAUAUAUAAAAAAUAAUUAUAUCUUUAAUUGAACUCAUAUGAGUAAGUUGACGAAAUAUUAGAACUUACAAAUUUUAUAAUAAUGAUUAUGUUGGUGGAUUUGCUAAUUGCAAUGUUAGUGGAAUUGCUAGGUAUUAGAGUGGCUUCUAAGUUACAAGACAAGACAAAAUCAAUUUACAAUGUCAAUCAAUUCUCCCUUUCUUUUCUUUUGGACAAUUUAUAUCAUUUGACAAAUUAAAAUUAAUUCAUUACUCUGAAUUCGGAAUUCCCAACAAUGCGUCAUCUUGGAAGCCGGCCGGCAGAGCAAAUGAUCAUUUGUAGCAUUUGACAAAAGGGUUUUUGGCUUUUGGGUCUUUACUUUGUUUAUUACUGAGAAAUUUCACAUUAUGCAGUUACAGAGCUAGCCUUCCUGCAGCCAUGGUUAAAGCUUUCAGGUUGCUUUUCUUUCUUGCUUUCUUUUGUGCAGGAAUUCAUUUCACUUUUUCCUUAACAGACCCUCGUGAUGGUAAGUGCUGUCUUCUUCAAUGUUAUUAGUUUCUGAUAGUUUCAGAAAUAAAAAUUGACAUAUUUAUUUACUCAUUUGCGUGUUAAAACAGCUGCAACUCUCCAGUCCGUCAAAAAUACCUUGCAAAAUACUCCGCCGAGCUGGGGCAAUGGAGAUCCUUGUGGAACACCAUGGGAAGGAGUUACAUGCAAGAAUUCAAGGGUCACUCGUUGUGAGCUUUCUAUUAAUUACUCAAGUCUUGAUUAUUCUUUUUCUUUUUCUUGUUUCAUCUCUUGUAAUUUUUCUUUUUCUUGUUUCAUCUCUUGUAAUUUUUCUUUUUCUUUUUUUUGCCUUCCUACUUAUUAGAGGGUUAUCAAGUAUAAGCAUCAAAGGAAACCCAAGUGGUGACAUUGGAGAACUUACUGAAUUGAUAUCCUUGUAAGUUCCUUUUCUCUCCCCCAUUCUUUUUCCCCCUUUUAAGUACAUAACAGGAAAAUGUUUGAUGCAAUCCACGUAGAAACUGAAAUGCUGUUAAAUUUAAGCUAUGUUUUGCUUUAAUAUUCACGUUCUGAGGCUAUUUUAUUGUAGGGACUUGUCAUUCAACACAUUUACAGGAUCUCUAACUCCGCGGUUAGGAGAUCUAAACAAUUUGACUACACUGUAAGAUUCAAUAACUUUCAAAUAUAGCUACAAAAUUUUCUGCACAGCUUAUUUUUUCCUUGAUUAAAACUUUUGUUUCUGUAUUUUCUUUCAUCUCUCAGAAUUCUCGCUGGUUGUGGCUUCACUGGUAGUAUUUCAGAUGAAUUAGGAAAUCUUGCUGAGCUAUCCUUCUUGUAAGAGUUUGUCAUAGUAAUGAGAAUCAUGAUCAUGUGAAUAUUUCAUUUUCUGGGUAUUAUCUUUCUUCAUAGGGCCCUCAACAACAGCAAUUUGACUGGUAAAAUUCCUUCCUCUUUGGGAAAACUCUCCAAUCUCUACUGGCUAGACCUGGCAGAUAAUCAUUUGACAGGACCUAUCCCAGUUUCAACACCAACCACUCCAGGCUUGGAUCUCCUCAAAGAGCUAAGCACUUGUGAGUAUAACUCUUUAACCCCUUUAUAUGUGCUAUCAAGUAAACGAAUAUUGCAUAACAUAACUUCUGUGAGUUGCAGCCAAUUCAACAACAACCAGCUUUGAGGUUCAAUUCCUUCACAGCUUUUGAGCUCUGAUAUGGUACUAAUAAUGUGUAAGUUGAUAACCAGCAACAGGACUUUCCUUUCUUUCAUUUUUUUUUUUGUUUGUUCCUUUUUAACAUUCUAAUUGAUGACAGAUUAUUUGAUGGAAACCUACUCGACGGAACUAUUCCAUCCACAUUAGGACUGGUUCAGACCCUUGAGGUUCUGUGAGUGAAAUCAGCCUCAGACUUAUCUUUCUUGACUAAACAUUUUCUUCCAAUUUUCAUCUCCAUGAAAUGCUGAUCAUUCUGAUUCACUACAGCCGGCUUGAUAGAAAUGCUUUAACAGGAAGUGUACCUACAAAUUUAAACAAUCUUUACAAGCGUCAGUGAAUUGUAAGCGCUAAAAAACACACCACAUACAUAUUUUGACUAGGUAUCCAUUUUAGUCUAGUUGGUUUAAACAUUGUAAUUUAUAAUUAACUCUGUAUGUUUUCUUCAGGAAUUUAGCAAUAAUAAGCUGAAAGGCCCUUUACCAGACUUAACUGGAAUGAAUGCCCUUAAUUAUGAGUAUGUCAAAUCUGUUUACUUUUCUUCAACUUGUUCUGUUGUCAUUUUAAUGAGUCCUGAAGCCUGAGCAAUGCAAUAUAAUUACAGGAACCUUAGCAACAAAGCUUUUUUCCCAUCAGAAGCUCCUGCAUGGUUCUCAACCUUGCCAUCACUGACCACACUGUAAGUCCUUAUUAGUAUGUCACAAGUGAAACAUCUGAAAAUUUUAUAGAAUAUAGAUAUUGUAUCGUCUCAUUUCCAUGUUCCACCAUUAAUAUGGCCUGCAGGGUUAUAGAAAAUGGAUCACUUCAAGGGCCUUUGCCACAAAAAAUCUUCAGUUUCCAGAACAUAGAGCAAGUGUGAGUUUUCUUGGGAUCUAAAUAUACCAAUUGAGAAUUCAGAAAAUAGUUCAAAUGUAGUUUAAACUAAAGCAUUCAUUUUCUUGGAAAACUUUUGCCAUUGCAGGAUAUUGAAAAACAAUGCAUUCAGUAGCCGACUAGACAUGGGUGAAAGCCUUGGUCCACUGCUUCAACUUGUUGAUCUGCAGAAUAAUAAUAUUUCUUCUGUAACACUAACUGCAGACUAUAAAAAUAAACUAAUGUGAGAAAUUAGAUAAACCCAAAAGAAAUUUAAUUAAACUGUGUUGUUUAUGCUUUCCAUCUUACAUCUUACUAUGCCCCUUUGGUCAGACUUGUAGGAAAUCCAGUGUGCUCUGCACUCUCAAAUGUUAGUUACUGUGAACAAUUCAACUUCAGCAGCAUCCCUAGCGAACCUGUCGAAGUCGCCUGAUAUUGAAGACUAAAAGCCUUCUCUCGGCUUCAGCAUCAAAACGACAUGCAAGGAAUCCAUUAAAUAGCUGCAAAAGACAUGGUUUGAUACUGAUAAAGAAGAAAAAAAAAACACACAUAUAUCAAGCAGAUAAAACUAUACUGGAAUGGUUGUUCAUCCAUAUCAUGCGGAAGGAAAAAUAAGAAAUGGAAUGAAUUUUUAUUGGAAACUUCUCUCUUUGUUUUCUCAAAAAAGCUUAACAGCUGAAUUUUACUAAGUUUACACUUAUACCCAAUAUGCAUUAAGCACUAAGUUUACCUAUUGACUAAAUUGAUAACAUAUUUCGUUUAUAAAAACAUCACAUUCGAGCGAAUAGGGUGCAAAACAAAAGGAUGAAAAAACGGUGGAGGAACCAACAUGGGAUGAUAAAUCUUGGGCUGACAGUGGCGAGUAAAUGAAGGAUACAGCACUCUUGGACGUACUGAUCUGCGAAUUCGGUUGCCAAUGCUAUACAAGAACCCCACAUGUUUCGAUUCAUCAAUUCCAUAAACUGCCUUCAACUUAAAAUAUACUUCUGCACUUAAUAAACUAUCAGAUCCUGCUUGAUGAGCGCCGCCAACUCGUUUAACUCGAAGGAUCUUUGCUAACUUCUCUAACCCCAACUGGCCUUUGCGUAAACCAUCGCAGAAUGUCGCUAUAUACUUGAUAUCAAAAACAUAGCAACCAAACACAUUUGCAAUUAACUCAGUAAACUCAAGAGAAGAAUGAGGCAGUGAGUUUUUGGUAACCAUUGUAAGCAUGUAAGCCAUAUCAUACAAUCCAUGGAAAGUAAUCCAUAUCAAAUUUCUAUGUUUGGCUAAAAUAUGACCAAAAGCAUCCGAAAAGAAACGAACAUCAAUUCCCUCAUUCUUCAACUUGUCGAAAUCAAUACCAUGGUCUUUUAGAAAUUCUAAAGAAUCAUCAGUAUGCACCUCUGUUUGAACAUCAAAAGAGAAAUUGAAUUCCCAGCAACCGGCGAUAUUGCCGUUUUCGUCAGAUAAGGUGAGGCCCAACUGAAUAAGUGUUGUUGCGUCCACAUUAUGCUUCAAAUUAGAAUAGGUAUGAAACUCACAGGCACGUCUUGGAGUACGAAUAAGAAAGCCUGGAAACUCAGUAUCGACAGAAACAACUCUAUGGAAAUAAAGAAGGGUGUCUAUACAUUUCAGUUCGUCAACGAAAUUGUGAUGCCAAACAGGGAUGAUGGGAUUCAUGGCAGCGGCAGAAAAUAUGUUGCUCAAUUCUGAAUAUACGAUGGUAUUUAUAGACACACUCAUCUUUCCUUACUCUACAUGGAAAUCCAAACCUGACGUUAUUUGGAUUUCCAUAUAGAAGGAGGAUUACAAAUUACAAAUCUGUAUGAACUUAUGUUAUGAUGCCAUAUUGUAGGAAAUCUAGUGUGUGCUGCUCUUCGCGUGAGCAAGGGAUUGGACGCGUGAGCAGCCGAGUAAGGAGCGGUGGCUGCCGCCAUUGGCGUAGCUUGCGGAGGUGGUCUCACAACUGAGAUAUUGAAGACUUAAAAAAAGCCUUCUUCAGCUUCAUUUCGAGACUUUAUAUCAAAGAACGAAAAAAAAAAAAAAAAUUCCUAUUUUAAUUUUACUUUUGCAUUGGAUCAAAGAAAAUAUUAUUUUCUUUUUUUAAUAAAAAAAAGAUAGCCAUAAUUAUUAAAUUUUAUUUUGAAAAACUUUUGUUCUUUAGAUGGAAAUUGAAAGUAAACUAGCUUUGAUUAAAUAAUGGUAUUUAUACAUAAAAUAAUUGAUAUUUAAAUAUAUUUUUUAGUUAUUUUUUAAUUUUACAUUUUUUGAGAUUAUUUUAGUAGUCAAACUUUUUUAAUUAUGAUUGGAGUAUUUUAAUAAAUCUAGUUUAUGUAAUUAAAAUUUAUUUAUAAACCAAUUCAAAAAUCUCAAACAUUGGAAUUUGAAUUUGAACAAAUUUCAUUUCAAUUUAAAUAUACACAGAUUUUAAAAUAUAUAUGCAUAUAAAUAUAUUUAGAUAUCAAUUUAAAUAUGAUCAACUAAAAAUUUAAUAAUAAUCAUUAUAAUAUAAUAAUAUAACUAUAAUUUUACUGAUUUACUAUUAUUAUGGAAAAGAAUAGAAUGUCAUUUAUAUCAGGGUUGUGGAUGGAGAUGGCCUUCUUCAAAGUUCCUUUAAGAGGACUUUGCUAGUAUCGUGAACACUCUUCGCAGCAAGUUUUAGAACAAAUUCGAGUUUGAUAUACAUUUGGAACAAAAGUAUCUGGUGUUGCUUUGCCUGGAAGAGCCACCAUCUUGUUAUGAGCUCCAUCUCUAGUGGCUCAAAUCAGUUCAGAUACACAAGAUACGUAUAGACUAAAAAAAAAAAAACGUAUUAAUUAAUAACACAUGUAAUCGAAUUAAUAACGUAUUAAUUAGGUGAUAAGCAACUUCAAUCUUCGUAAGAUGAAAAUAUGAGAUGAGUCCGAAAAAUACAUUUAGUAGAUGGACAUUUAAUUAAUUUUUUUGGAAUAUAGUAUAUAAAACUGAAUUUGACGAAGGGUUCAUCAAAUUGGUCUUAAAUCACUCACACCUCAAAGUUAAAACAUUUCAAUGUAUUUGAGGGGAGCAACAAUCCAAUCCCACAAAUGAAAAGAUAAAGAGAAAUGUAGGAGGAGCCACCAACAACAGGUAAUUGCUUACAUAAGUAUCAUCCAGGUUGAUGUUAGUCCAUCAUUGUCAAUAUGCAGAUCUAGAUGUGCACUUGUUGUGGUAAAAAAUCAUUUCUAAGUGAUUUUUGCUUAUGCGUCCUUCCACACAUUGUUCUGCUUGUUGGUGAAGCCACGUUCUCUACCAACCUUUCACACUACUUAAUUUGCCUCUCCUUGUCAUUGCAAUAUUCUUUAUUAUUGUUUUGUGAAAUGUUUUAUUCGACCAUGAUUUUGUGAUGCAGACUCUUAGCUGACGGCAUCCAUAUCUAGAUUUUGUAUUUACGUCUAGGGAUGACAAUGGGUUUGUAUUUACGUCUAGGGAUGACAAUGGGUAAGUUGAGGUCGGGUAAUGUAAUGAAUAUACCCAAACCAAUCUCUAUAUCCUACUUAUACUAUAUCAGGUAUGAAAUGUUAUUAUCCAGUUCAAAUUAUAAAAUUCGAAUUUGACUGUAUUCGAGUUAGGUACAUACCCAUCGGGUUAGAUUGAUUUUGUCAUCUCUAUUUAUGUUUCAAAAGACACAAAGACGUGUUCCUUAUCAUGUCACGGGUCUUAAUUUCUAAGAAAAAUUUUGAAUCUAAUACAUUGUAUUUCACUCACAAAAAUUUUGAUGUUUUUUCUCAUCCAAACUUGGUUUUAUGAUUAUGUUCAAAUUAGAGCAAGUGCAAUCGUUACUUUUAGAUAUUAAACUAUCUUAGUUUCAUUUAUUCGUAUGGAUUUAAAUAGUUAUAAAUGAGUUUGAAUAAUUAAAAGUAGUAAAAAUAAAAUAUGAGUUUAGCUCUCUUGAUUGCCAUUACACUAAACGGAUUUGGUCACUGUGCUCAUACAUAUCCUACUCGUGUCUAUUCAUUUAAGUAUCUUAAACAUUUUUGGAUUUAGAUAAUUUACCCUAUCCGCUUAAAAGCUACUUUAAACGAACUUGAUAAAUAUGGACAGUAAAAUAAUUUGCAGUCAAUGCAGUAGUUUAUCAAGUUACAUGGUGUGUAUUUUUUGUUGAUAAAAAGGUACUACUUUUGACAAAUAUGAAUAGUAAAAUAGUUUGUAAUCUUCUAUGUGAAUUUACCUUAGUGUUAUUAUUGUCAUUCUACAGUACCGUCAAAAGUAAAAAAUAGCAAAACUGAAAAGUUUACAAUAUUUUUAUAUUUAAAUAACUUGAGUUUAUUUUAGAAAAUAUUUUUUUUUAUAAACAUAAUUUUAACAUAUUUAAUAAAUUUUGUUUAAUUAGUAAACAUGUAAUUUUAGAUAUUUUUAUUUAUCAUUUUGUUUUCAGGAUAAAGUAAAAAAAGAAAAAGAAACAUGCCCUAAAAAAGUAAAGUGUGUCAGACAUUGGGGUAUUAUGGUUGAUUAAAUGUCAAAGACAGCGAAAGACGCGGCAAAAACCAGCUAAGAAAUUAGUAGAAAUUGUAAUGACUUUGCAAGAGGAAUCAUAUUGCUUCCUUGUCGGACGGUAGGGCGAGGAUUAGACCGAUUUGGUUAAUUUAGCUAACCUUUUUAACUGAACAUUUUUCACUAAUAUUUUUUUUAUUUAACUGAAUUUAAUUGAACUUAAUCGAAUUAUUUUAAGCGAACUAAUUUUGAUUAUUAACCACAUCAAAAUUAAAGAAAAUAAAAGUCUAAUUAAUCGAGCUUUUGUGAUUAACCAAAAUAAGAAUUCAACCAAAAUUACUAGUUAUUACACUUAUUUUCAUAAUAAACAGUUAUUAAAAAUAUUUUCAACAACAAGAAAACAUAAAAUAUAUUAAGCUUCAACAACAAUUAUAUGUCAAGAAUCAUUUAUAUUUUGUCAUGGCCAGGUUUCCAUAGCAUGUUGAACUUAAUUUAUUAAUUAUUAUUAUUUUUAUAUCAACGUACGUAUUUCAAACGAACAUUAUAUGAUACAAAUUAGCUAAUCUGAAUUUGUAAAUCAAGUCGUUUUGGUCAGCUUUUCAUUUAAGUAAAGAGUGAAAGAAUGCAGGUCUAGAUCUCAUUAAUUUAAGAAUUUCGGUCAAUUUGAUGAAUAAACGAGAGAGCUUUUGCUUAUUAUAUAAUCACGAUAUUAUUCCGGUCCGUUAGGCUUCCAGUAAAUAAUAAUGAAAUGUAAAUUUUUUUUUUCAAAAAAAAGAGAGAAAUAUUUCUAUUAGUAGAUGAAUUUUUUCAAUAUUUUGUGAAUUAAUAUUUCUCUUUUAGUAGCAUCCAAUCAAAAAGGAAAAAUUUCUUAACUUUAUAAAAAUCCUUUAUGUUAUAAUAUCCUUUUAGCGGAUGCACAUUUAUAAAUUAUAAUUCAGUCAUUUGUCAAAAAGUUAUAAUUUAGUCGUGGCCAUGGGCGGAGCAAUAUAACAAUUAUUUUGAAGAAGUUAAACCAAAAUUUUUAAACUUUAGAGUGUCAAAUAUAAUUUUUUCAUAUUUUUAAAGUAAAAUGUUAAAAAUAAUUUUAUACUACAAACCCUUUUUCCUUGUUUGUGAAAAUAAAAAUUAUAUUAAAAAUAUCAUUGCAUUUCAAUUUUAAAGUUAAAAAUAAUGAUUAUUUUUUUUAAAAAAUAAUUAUUUCACAUCAAUUUCAAAAUUUUAUGAGUUUGAAAAAGACUAAAUAUAUAAUUAAAACAAAUAUUAGGUACAUAUAAUAUGAGAAUUUUUAUUUUCUUAAUCUCUUUAUUAACUUAAUCCUAUUUGAUUAUUAUUAUGUGAUGAAUGAGAAAUCUCAUAUUUAAAUCCUUUCGUCAACAACAGUUUUUAUUCAUUUAAUGUGUUAUUUCUAAUUUGGUAUAUUGAAAAUGUUAUGUAAAAAGAAAGAUUGUUGUAAAUAAAAUAAAGUAAAAAAUAAAACCAUGGGUCCUCCAAAUUCUUUAAACUACUAUUUUUAUUAAGAUAAGCAAUACUGACUUUGUCAUUUUAUAUUGCUAAAAAUGAUAUAUUUUAAUUGAAAAUAAUAGUUAAUAUGACAUGCUAAAAUGUAUGCAUUUAAAAUAUGCAUUAGAUUAAGUAAAUUGCAAGUUUCUCUUCUAAUUCAGAGAGUAAUCUUGACAAUAGAUUUUUAUAUUAUUUUUAAUUCUAGAAUUAUUGACAGCUGUUGAUGCUGAUGAACGAUCAUGGUGGUGAUGAAGUGGGCCCUUUCUCAUUUUUUAAAAAUAAAAAAUAAAAUAGAUUUUUCAAAUUUUAAGUGUAUAAAACAUAAAUAGGUUUUGGAUUUUAAACUCGAAAUUGCCAUAAAUAAAAAAUAAUAUUAAAAUGUAAAAAACAUUUUACAUUGUACACCUUUUAUAUUAUAAAAAAAUAAUUUAUACUACACAAAUUUUUUCUUUUUUUUUGAACAAUAAAAAUUAUAUUAAAAAUAUCAUUUCAUCUCUUUAUUAUAAAGUUAAAAAUAAUGAUUAUUUUAAAAAAAAUUUAUGAGUUUGAAUGAAACUAAUAUUUAAUUAAAUAAAAAAAAUUAAGUACAUAUUAUAUGAGAAUUUUAUUUUCUUAAUUUUUUUUUCAACUUAAUCAUAUUUGACUAUCAUUAUGUGAUGAACAAGAAGUCUUGGAUUUGAAUUCUACAUUAAAAACGUUAUUUAAGGGAGAAAAGUAUUUUAUUCUUAUUUAUUUGAAUGGAUGAAAAAUAAAAAAAAAAAAACCUUAAUUCCAACAAGAUAGAGAAUACUAAAGUUGCUAUGUUACAUAAUGGAGAGAACAAUGAUUUUAAUAGUACGGUUUUAUAAUAAUAAAAAAGGGUAUUACUUAAAAUAUACUCAACAAAAAAAAAAAAAAUCACUUCAUUGGGCCGUUCUAAAAGAUGCUUUAUAGUUUAUUAACCAAACCAAAAUGAUUUUCAGAAGGAUUAUCAUUGUUAUUGUUGCAGGCGGAGGAAACGGUAAAACGUGCAAUUUUUAUAAUAAUGAUUAUGAAAGAGACUUGAACAAGAGAGAACAAGAGAGAACAUUAGAUGAUAAAAAUAAUGAUUAUGGUGGUGGGUUUGCUAAUUGCAAUGUUGUUAGUGGGAAGAGUUAGCUAUUAGAGUGGCUUCUAAGACAAGACAAAAUCAAUUAAAACAAGCAAAAAAAGGUCAGGAGAAGCCUUCUUCUCUUGUUUUUUGGGUCAAAAAUUUAUUCAUUCAUUACUAUGGACAUUGCUAAUUCUUUCACCCGAUAAACAAUGCAUCAUCAUCUUCCAGGCCGGCCGGCAUAGCAACUUAAUGCUCAUUUGACUAAAGGGUCUUUGGCUUUUGUGUCUUUAGUUUGGUCGUUAUUGAGAAAUUUCACAUUUUGCAGUUAGAUAGCUAGCCUGCUUGCUGCCAUGGCUGCAGCCUUCAGGUUGCUUUUCUUUUUUGCUUUCUUUUCUGCAGGAAUUAUAUUCACUUUUUCCGUAACUGACCCUCGUGAUGGUAAGUACUAUCUCCAGUUUCUUCUUUUUGCUUUUUAUUUAUGUUUGCUGUUAUAGCAAAUAGAAUGAAAGUAGCAUUUUUGGUGUUCUGUUAUGUAGGAUUUAGGAUUGCAUUGUUCUAGGAAGGUUCAGUUGAUCAUUUUAUUAUGAUCUUUAACUCUUGAUGAAAAUUGAAACUGAAAAUCAAAAUCAAGUAAAUAGUUGUUUUAGGUAUAUAUGUAAUGCUAAUUUUCUGAUAGUUCGAGAAAUAACAAUGCACAACUAUUUGUUCAUUUAUUCUUGUGGUGAUGCAGCUGCAGCUCUCCAGUCCCUGAAAGAUACCUGGCAAAAUACUCCGCCGAGCUGGGGCAAUGGAGAUCCUUGUGGAACACCAUGGGAAGGAGUUGCAUGCCAGGACUCAAGGGUCACUGCCUUGUGAGUUUUCCCUAAUUUAAAUCUUGAUUAUUCCUCUUUCUUUUUUUUUUUUUUUUCUUUAUCUGUUAUAUAGUUUUUUUUUUCUGCCUUUCUACUUUAGAGGGUUAUCAACAAUGGGCAUCAUAGGAAAGCUGAGUGGUGACAUUGGAGAACUUGCUGAAUUGAGAUCCCUGUAAGUUUCUCUCUCUCCUUUCUUUCCCCUUUAAGGUACAUAAAAGGCAAAAAUUUUUGCAACAACCGAAACUGUAAGUGAAGUAAUGUUAAAAUUAAGCUAUGUUUUAUUUUAAUGUUCAAAUUGUGAGGUUAUUUUAUUGUAGGGACUUGUCAUUCAACCCAGAACUUACAGGAUCUCUAACUCCGCGGUUAGGAGAUCUAAAAAAUUUGAAUAUACUGUAAGAUCCAAUCAGUUCCAAAUCUCCAUUGGUAGAAAAUUUCCACUUAGCUUUUUUUUUUUUUUUUUCCCACAUUAAAACUUCCGUUUCUGUAUUUUCUUUCAUUUUUCAGAAUUCUUGCUGGUUGUAGCUUCACCGGUAGUAUUCCAGAUGAUUUUGGCAAUCUUGCUCAGCUUUCCUUCUUGUAAGUAAAGUAAUAAAAAUCAUUAUUGUGUGAAUAUUUAAUUGUUUGUUCACCUUCUGAAUAUUAUUCUUCUUCAUAGGGCUCUCAACUCAAACAACUUGACUGGUCGCAUCCCUUCAUCUCUGGGAAGACUCUCCAAUGUCUACUGGCUAGACCUGGCAGAUAAUCAGCUGACUGGACCUAUCCCAAUUUCAACACCCACCACUCCAGGCUUGGACCUCCUUAAAAAAGCUAAGCACUUGUGAGUAUAAUUUUUUUAACCCCCCGCUUGUGAAAGAUUAGUUAGAAUGAAUCAAGGUCUUGAAUCGGAUUCACGCUUGCAGUGUAGGUAUAGUAUAGGCUUGUCAGUGUGUAAUGGUCAUUGUAAGUGCUAUUGCCAAUUUCUUUAGAAAAAUGAUUAUUUAGUCUAUUAAAUGUGAGUGAUUCACAGUCGUGAUUUGGACAAUAUGCUAUGCAAUGGCUGAUAUUCAUUGAAUGAAUCAAAACUCUCUAACUCUUUUUAUGUGCUGUUAAGCAAUUGAAUGUUGCAUAACAAGGUUUGUGAACUUGCAGCCAUUUCAAUAAGAACCAGCUUUCAGGUCCAAUUCCUUCCAAGCUUUUCAGCUCUGAUAUGGUACUAAUACAUGUGUAAGUUGAUAACCAGCAGCAGGUUUUUGUUUUCCCCUUUUUUGUUUGUUUGUUCUUUUGACAUUCUAAUUGAUGACAGAUUGUUUGAUGGAAAUCUACUUGACGGAACUAUUCCAUCCACAUUAGGACUGGUUCAGACCCUUGAGGUUCUGUGAGUGAAAUCAGCCUCCAAUUCAUCUUUCUUGUCCAAACAUUUUCUUCUAAUUUUCAUCUCCAUGAAAUGCUGACCAUUCUGAUUCACUACAGCCGGCUUGAUAGAAAUGCUUUAACAGGAAGUGUACCAGCAAAUUUAAACAAUCUUACAAGCGUCAGUGAAUUGUAAGGGCUAAAAAACAGCACAUACAUAUUUUGACGAGGCAUCCAUUUUAGUCUAGCUGGUUAAACAUACUAAUUUAUGAUUAACUCUACUAUGUUUUCUUCAGGAAUUUAGCACACAAUAAUCUGACUGGCCCUUUACCAGACUUAACUGGAAUGGAUGCCCUUAAUUAUGUGUACGUCAAAUCCGUGGAUUUUCCUUUUAGUUUAUUUUUCUUCAACUGUUUCUGUUGUCAUUCUAACGAGUCCUGAGCAAUGCAAUAUCAUUACAGGGACCUUAGCAAUAACUCUUUUGUCGCAUCAGAAGCUCCUGCAUGGUUCUCAACCUUACCAUCUUUGACCACACUGUAAGUCCUCAGUAUGUCAGAAAUAAAACAUCUAAAAUUUAGAAAACAUAGAUAUUUUGUUUUCUAAUUUUGAAAUUCCAUCUUUAAUAUGGUCUGCAGGGUUAUAGAACAUGGAUCACUUCAAGGGCCUUUACCACCAAGAAUCUUCAGUUUACAGCAGAUACAGCAAGUGUGAGUUCUGUUUGAAAUUUAAAAUACCAAUUAAAAACACAGUGCCAUUUAGAAUAAUACAUUUCAUUUUCUUUUAAAACCUUUGCAGGUUAUUGAAAAACAAUGCAUUCAAUGGCCAACUGGACAUGGGUAAAAGCCUCGGUCCACAGCUUCAACUGGUUGAUCUGCAGAAUAAUAAUAUUUCUUCUGUAACAUUAACUGCAGCCUACACAAAUGAACUAAUGUGAGAAAUUUGAUAAACCAUAAAAAAAAAUUUACUUAGGCUGCAUUGUUUAUGCUUUCUAUCUUACUAUUAUCCUUUACUCAGACUUGUAGGAAAUCCAGUGUGUGUUGCUCUCUCAAAUACUAAUUACUGUCAACUCCAGCAGCAGAAUUCAAAGCCAUAUUCUACUCCCUUGGCAGCUAAUUGUAGAAAUACAAAAUGUCCAGAUGGACAGAAGCUUAGCCCUCAGAGUUGUGAAUGUGCCUAUCCAUAUGAAGGAACAUUGUACUUUAGAGCACCCUCCUUCAAGGACUUAUCCAAUGUGAAUUUGUUUCAUUCUCUAGAAAUGAGUCUUUGGGUCAAAUUGGACUUGACUCCUGGUUCAGUUUUUCUUCAAGAUCCAUUUUUCAAUGUCGAUGACUAUCUUCAAGUGCAGCUUGCUCUAUUUCCCCCAGCUGGAAAAUAUUUUAAUAGAACAGAAGUUAUAAAGAUUGGUUUUUACAUGAGUAAUCAAACUUAUAAGCCUCCUAAAGAGUUUGGACCCUAUCUUUUUAUUGCUUCUCCUUAUACUUUCACAGGUAACUUAUAUAUAUCAUUUCUUUAGUUAUUAAUGUAAUUUAUGUGCUUCUAACUGGAAUGAUAAAUUAAUAAGAAGAAUAAAACAUCUUGCAGAGGAGCAUAAAGGAAAUUCUGUAAGCUCCAGUGCAAUUGCUGGGAUAGGAAUUGGUUGUGCACUUCUAGUUCUGAGCCUUGUCGGGGUAGGACUAUAUGCUUUUAGGCAAAAGAAACGCGCAGAAAAGGCACUCGGAUUAAGUAGACCAUUUGGUAAGUAGUACAUGAGAACUUUAUUCUUGAUUUCAAUAAUAGUUGGCAUCAGUAAAUUUGACAAAGGCAUUGGCUGACAUACUAUUGUUUCCAGCAUCUUGGGCUCCAAGUGGCAAAGAUAGCGGAGGUGCACCACAGUUAAAGGGAGCAAGAUGGUUCUCUUAUGAUGAACUUAAGAAGUGCACUAAUAACUUCUCCGAAAAUAAUGAGAUAGGUUCUGGAGGAUAUGGAAAGGUAAUUUUCAAGAUAUUAAUCAUGGUUAAUGAAAAUUUUCUCCAAGUUACUACUGCUGCUUUACUUUUUAAGACUUCCCCAGGUUUAUAGAGGAAUGCUAUCUGAAGGACAAGUAGUGGCAAUUAAAAGAGCUCAGCAUGGAUCCAUGCAAGGCGGGCUCGAGUUCAAGACUGAAAUUGAGUUGCUAUCAAGAGUACAUCACAAAAAUCUUGUUGGUCUUGUAGGUUUUUGUUUUGAACAAGGAGAGCAGAUGUUGGUUUAUGAAUUUAUGGCAAAUGGAACACUUAGGGAAAGCCUAUCAGGUACUUAUGUUUGUAUAUCCACUUCCAUUGAACUAUAUGCCGGCAGAUUAAGAAAAAUUGAUGAUACCAUUUUUAUAUUUAGAGGAACUUAUUUUCAUAAAAUGCACUGCAGGGAGGUCUGGUAUUCAUCUUGAUUGGAAAAGGAGGUUGCGCGUUGCUCUUGGCUCAGCUAGAGGACUAACCUAUCUACAUGAGCUUGCAGAUCCUCCUAUAAUCCACAGAGAUGUCAAGUCUAGCAACAUUCUGCUGGAUGAAAAUUUAACUGCAAAAGUUGCAGAUUUUGGCCUGUCUAAACUGGUAUCAGACAGUACAAAAGGGCAUGUUUCAACUCAAGUUAAAGGCACCCUGGUGAGUAAUUGCAUAUAUAGGUCUGUCUAACAUUGUUGUUUGAGCUGUUAUUGAAAAUGAGUCAAUAUUUGAAAAUAUUAAUAAGAAGUCGCAAAAGUUUGUAUUUAAAGUAAAUGCCACAAAUUCCAGUCUUAAGAAACUACAAAACAACAACUUCCAUUUACUUAUUUCAACAGCAUCUGGAAAACAACAUUUUUUUCUGAAAAAUAACUCCAAUCUCAAUUCCAAGCAAACUAAUAGUGCAUUCGGAUUAAUAUUUAGUUUUGUAACUUUUGUGUGCGAAAAUGGUGUUCAUUUGCAGGGUUAUCUGGAUCCUGAAUAUUACAUGACACAACAAUUAACUGAAAAGAGUGAUGUCUACAGCUUUGGUGUAGUAAUGCUUGAGCUAGUAACUGCUAAGCAACCGAUUGAGAGAGGAAAGUACAUUGUUCGCGAAGUGCGAACAGCAAUGGACAAAGAUGAUGAAGAGUAUUAUGGACUGAGAGAAAUAAUGGAUUCAGCCAUUAAGAACUCAGGACAUCUUGUUGGGUUUGGGAGGUUUUUGGAGUUAGCUAUGCAAUGUGUAGAAGAAUCAGCUGCAGAACGUCCAACAAUGAGUGAAGUAGUUAAGGCAAUAGAGACUAUAUUACAAAAUGAUGGAAUGAACACAAAUUCAACUUCUGCUUCCUCUUCUGCAACUGAUUUUGGAGCUUCAAGAGGUGUCCCUAGACAUCCUUAUCAUAAUGAUGUGCCUAAAAAGGAUGUUAAUAAUGAUAUUCAUGCAUUUGAUUACAGUGGAGGUUACUCACUUCCUGCAAAGAUAGAGCCUAAGUAGCACUAUGUGCUUUUCCAUUGACAUUUUCCAUUUUUUUUUAAAGAUUUGCUCAUAUAUAAUAUAAAAUAUAUAUAUGCUGAGACAAAAUUAUUAUUAGGACUUUUUCUAUAGAAUUUCAAUUUAGGGUUUUUUGUGUUCUUAUGUUCAAUUUAGGUGCAAUGUUCUAUAUCAUAGCUUUUAAUUAGGAUUUUUUUUUUUUUUUCAUUUUUUGGUUGUAGUUAUAGUAAUGAGUGAAAAUUGUUUUGUAAUUACAAUACUGUGUAUGAGAGAGGAACUCCAAUGUUGGAGAGCUCGAUGCGUUUUAUAAACACUGUAUUCAGACUUUAUUUGUAUCUUGCCAAUUUUCUUUCUGUCCCUCUUAUGAUUUUCACUAAGGUCACUCUUUUUUUCUUUAAAUGAUUAGGCUCCAACUGAGAUUGAGCUUGCAAUACUUAUAUAUAUAUACAGGAAAGCUUGUAAUACUAAUUAAAAGUAUUAUAAAAAAACUAAUUAAUGGAUAGGUUUUGUUAUGGGUUAGGUAAUUAAUCGGUUAUAUUAAUUUUUUUUUUUAAAUUGAAAUCUAUUGUAUAAAAUAUAUAUUCUAACUAAGUUAUAUAUUAAAUACAAUAAGAAUAUAAUAAUUCAAUAUGAUAAAUAAGAGAUUUAAAUAUGGUAUAUUAAAUAUAAUAAGAAUAUAGUAAUUCAAUUCGAUAAAAUAAAAAAUUAUAUUAUAUAUUAAAUAUGGUAACAUAUAAAAUUCAGUUUGAUUUAUCGUUACUAUUUGGUUUGAACAAGUAAUUUUAAAACAUUAUUUUUUAAAGAAAUAAAUUAAGUUUAUAAAAAUAAUUAUGUUUAUUAGAUAAAAAUAAAAUAAAAAUUAUUUCAAAUAUAUUAAUAUAAGGAGUUUAAGAAUAAUUAAUAAAUAUCGAUCUGCUGCAUUAAUUAAUAUAUUAAUAUAAAUAACUUGAGUGUAAUUAAUUAAAAAUAGUUAAAAUAAUAUAUUCUAAAAGUCUAGACCGUAUUAUAGUCAUUUUAAUUUCAUAUUAAAAUUUCUUAAUUCCACACACAGUAUUUUGGUAAAAGAAGAAAGAAUAAGUCGUGGGUUAGGUUUUAAAUCAAGAAUAAUUUUUUAAUUUAAUGUGUUUUUGAAUUUAUAUGAAUAAAGUCCAUAGUGGGUUUCAUAUUAAUAUAUUUUUUAAUUAAGUUUUAAUUAUAAUUUAGGAUAUUAUUGUAAUAUAAAAUUAAAGUUCACGAUGAAAUUGAUAUACGGAUUAAAAUAAAGUGAAAUUAGAGUGCAAUACAAGUGUGCAUAAAGCCAUAGAAAAUUGGCCAAACAAUCAAAAAAAUUCUUAAUUUUGUGGAUUGUUUUAAUUGUACUACAAACGUAACUUUCUUCUUUUAAUAUCCUGAAUUUGAAAACUAAUUAUAAUUACGUCAUAAUUUGAAAUUGAACUCAUUUUAUUCAAUUUUCAUGAGACUCACAUUCUCUUGUAUAGUUAAUUUAAUUCAAGCAAUUAAUUAAACUAAAGCACACCAUAUUAUUUUUAAUUUUAAAAAAUAAAUCUCUAAAUCAUACGCGUCUUAAUUCUGCCUCUCUCUCUCUCUCUCCCAUGGUUGGUUAGUAUAACCCAAGUAAUUAAUUAAACUAAAACGUACCGUUUUGAUUUUAAUUUAAAAAAAAAAAAAAAAAAAACAAAUCUCCGAAUCAUACCCGUCUUCACUCUCUCUCCCUCUCUCUCUCUCUCUCAAUUUGGAGGGCCAUCAAUAGACUUCCAAUUAUCAAUCAGUCUCAGUCCAAUCCGUUUUAGCAGGUCCCAUUUGUGAUUUCAGUGACGGGAAAACGGAAACAAGUUGCGUGGGGGCAGAUAGAUUCUACGUGCAUGGAGAUCACUUGCCAAUCUUGCAAGCAAAGGUUUAAGCCUUAAAUAAUAAUAUUAAUAAUAAUCAGAAUAUGCUUAAUUAUUAAUUAUCUUUAUAUAAUUAAGAUUGAGAUUUGAAAACCAUUGAAGACAAAGCUUAUCGAUGAGGGAGAAUGAGAUUAUUCUAGCUGGGGCCAAGUUGUUGAGUUUUUGAAUAUUUGGGUAUUGAGAUUAGUCUAGUGAUGGCCCUCCACAUUGACGGCAGAGAGAGGCAGAAGAGGGACAACCAGAAUGAAGACCACAGUGGCAUAUGAUUUGGAGAUUUGUUUUAUUUUUUAAUUAAAAACAAAACGGCAUGUUUUAAUUUAACUAAUUGUUUCAGUUAAGCUAACCAUGAGAUAAAAUGUGAGUCCUACUAAAAUUAAAUAAAAUGGAUUCAAUUUUAAAUUAUGGUAUAAUUAUAAUUAAUUUUUAAAUUCAUAAAGAAGAAAAUUGCAUUUGGUUUAUAAUUAAAACAAUCUGCAAAAUUCAGAGUUUUUUUUUAUGGUUUGGCAAAAUUGAUAAACUUGAAUAUAAAAUUGCGUUUUUCAAUUUUAUGGAAAGCAUUUUCAGAAAAAACAAACAACUCCGUUAUGUUUUUAGUUUGGUUUUUAUAAUGUAAAAUUUAAAAACUACAAAACUUACCAAAUUAAGAGAAAGAAAAGAUCAGACUGAACCAAAUCAACUCACUUCACAUCUUAAAAAAUUUUAAUUUUUUUUUUAUUUUAAUUGGCUCCUUUUUUCUUUAUGACCAAAUUGACUGCUUGUCAUUGACUCAAUUUUUAUUAUCAAAACACUAUCAACCAGAAAAAAAAAAAAAAUUAUACAGUAGGAUUUGAGAAAAUAUAAUCAUAAAUGUGAAAAAAGAAUAAUUCCAAAUACAAAAUUGAUCAUUGAAGAUGUUGGUUUAAAAUUCAAACGGCCAACUCGCAUGAAAGGCAUGGUUUUAUAUGCGACAAAAGCAAUUAAAGCCAAAGCACAUUAGAAUUCCCCGUAUAAAUCUUUUAUCCUUAUUCCUUAAUACAAGGAAAAACAAAAUAUUUAGAGCACAUCUUUCUUAUAUCUUUUUCUUUGUGCAUUUGUUUUUUUUAAUCUUUUACAGGAAAAGAAAGAAAACCUGAAACAGUGCCUCGCUUGCCUACCAAGGAGUACAUCAAAAAUAUUAUAUAUAUAUGUAUAUAAAAGAAUUUCAAGAGUAAAAUAAAUUUUAUUCCUAAAUUCUAAUUUUUAUGGAUACUAGUUAUAUAUGACAAAUAAUCUAUUCAAAUUAAAAAUAUUUUAUUAUAUUUUUAAUUGAUUUAAUUAGUUUUUAAUUAUUAUAAUAAAUAAAUAAAUAACAAACUAAAAGAAAAAUAAUAAUUAACACAAAUAAGAUUUUAACUGUUUUUUCGCUGAAAAUAUAAAUCAAUAAUAAAGAACUGUUAUCAUUUUAACCGAUAAUCAACUAUUAAUUAUAUACAAAUUAUGUGAAAUAAAUAUAUAUCAUUUUUUCUUUUUAUACCAAAAGAAAUAAUAAUUAAAAAAAGCAAGAUAAUAAAGACAAUAAUUUAAAAAAAAAGCAAGAUUUGUAUAGUAAUAAUAUUAGCGUCAUGUGCAAAUCUCCAACUGUAACAUUCUUGAAUAUAGAGUUAGAGUUUGUGUGGGCAAUGAAAAGCAAAUCAAGAAGAUGCCUAAGCAGAAACGGAAUUACUAUCUGCGAAUGUAGUAGAAGAAGAAGAACACCAACAACUCACUCACCGCCGCUCACUUCUCUUCACUGCUCUUUUUAGCGACAAACGCUUUUCCUUUUUAUAUAUUAUAUUUCUUUUCGCAUCUCCAAAUAUACACACCAUUUUCCGCUUUUUCCGCUUCAUACUACUACUUGUCCCUAACGAACUCCUCCGCCAUUCAUUAUACAAGACGGCGAGAAAUCGCCGGAGGAGCAAGAAUAAAUAUAAAAUAAGGUGGAGGACAGAGGUAGAGACAGAGGCAGAGGCGGAGGAGGGUAAUGAAAGGCGGAGGCGGGGGAUAUUCGGGGAAAAGACGAUGGAGGUGUUUGGCGAUUGGAGUGCUUUUCCUUGUCGUUCUUUCUAUGCUCGUUCCCCUCGUCUUCUUACUUGGCCUUUACAAUGGUUUUCACUCUACUGGUACUUUUCCUUUCUCUCUGUUUUCUAGAUUUAGAUCCGUUUAUUAAUUGCUAUUCGAAUCUUUUCAGAUCCAUACCUGCCUUUAAUGGAAUUCAAUCUGCACUUGAAUGCACUUUAGAUCUCUUUGUUAUAUUUCCAAAACAUCAAAUUGUAUUACCGUUUGUUGAUGUUUUUCUUUUUUUGACUUGCCACUUUCUUAGGGUACGUUUCUGAUCGAGCGAGUUCGAGUUCUGGUUCGGGUUCGGGUUCGGUGAGUGUUUAAACUAAUUAGUGAUUUGUAACUGAUAAAAUGGUAGUUACGAACCUUCUGUGACUUUUCUUUUUUUCUGCUUGAAUCAAAGAAUCAGAAUGAUGCAAGAGUUGAUCAGGGGACUCGUCCUGUAGCCAAUGUUGAGGUAUUUCAUUUCCAGAUCAAUGUCAUAUUAAUAGUAAAUUCCGCUAUUGACUAUCACGCUUCUUUGAAAAUUCUUCUUCAAGUUUCAGUUUAUUUAUUUAUUUGCUUCCAACUCAAAUAGGGAAUUUCAUUUGCUUGUCCUUUUAUUUACUUGUAGAGGAAUACAAGGGACAAAUCCAAUAUACAGGAAAUUAUAGAUCGUUUUGGGCCAACCCUUCCACAUCUAGAGGUUUGCAAGUGAAUUCGCUGUUAAUCAAUGCUUUAUUUAUUGUACUAUUACGGUUGAACAUUUGUGUCUAACUUUGUGCUUAAUAUUAUAAUUGCUGGGCUAAGUUUGUCUUGUCUAGUCAAAUAGGUGAAUGAUCAUGUACUUAAGUUUGCAGAUGAGUAGAUAAAAUGUGUCAAUCUAGAUGAUAUGACAUCUGAUUUUAGUGGAGCAAAACAGUUCAGACAGAUAGUUGUUCAGAAAGGUCACAGAUUGAUGAGAAAUCUUCUGCAAAAAGGGGAAAAACUAAACUAAAUUCACAAAAAGAGCUGUUGAAUCCUGCUUUUCAUCUGCUACACAAAUUUCAAAACAACUGUUGGCAGAAUCAAGGAAGCCAAAUGCUAAGUUCUUAUCCCAUAGUACUUAUGACAUUGAAUGAUUAUUCUUAAUUAUUCUUACAUUAUGCUUCAACCACAAACACAUCUUGCCCCUUUGAAAGCUUAAGACCUUUUGCUUUCUUCCUCUUAUUAAGAUACUUGACUUGGGGUGAAAAAGGGAAAAAAAAAGGACCCUCCGAGGGGAUGUCCACCUGUUUCCACACAUCCUGUAACAUUAGGCAACUCAAAAAACAAACUCUAUUAGUUACCAUCAUGAAAACACAAAACAAGCAUUGAGAGAUAGAGCCUUAUGCAGGUGUUGGGUUAGUGGUUCUGGUUGGCAAUCGGGGUGGCAUCAAAUAUGAGGACUUGGAAACAUAACUAUGAUGUGCUUUUUUUUUCCUUUUAUUAUUUUUUUUCAUUUCUUUUGGUUCUCAGUUAAGGGCUGAGGUUCAAUUAUCAUUCAGGACAUUUGAAGCUGUAGAAAAUAGAGAGAGAUUUUAGGGAGUAAAGAAGGGUAAAGUGUCUGUUCUAGUUGACUUAGUUAUAAGUUUUAUUUUGAGAAGGCAUGAACCUUUAUCAUUAAUGCAAUACAAGAAUAAAAUAAAAAAGUUGAAUGAAAUUCUUAGGAAAUGCAAAAAAGAAUUAAUAGAAUAAGACACGUUUAAUUCAAAAUAAAUACAGAGUAUUCAUAAGGGAAUGAAACCAUAAUUAACAUAUAUUGAUUAAAGUAAUUUGAAAAAAGGCAUCUAUUUAUUCUUUUUUUUUUUUAAUCAUUUAAUCUAAUGAAAAUGUGAUGCAUAUCAAAGACAUAGGCGUCUUUGAAUUUUGAAAUAUGUCUUAUGAUAUAUUUUGUUCACAUUAAAAAGAUUUGAUGGAGAAGUACUUCUGGCUUCUGCUACACUUCUAAUGUGGGUGAAAAAAACCCAAAGAUAUCCACAUGGGAAGAUUGACUCUUUUUAUAUGAUUGCUGUGCCAAACUAUCCCUGCCAAACAUGCUAUCCUAUACCUAACAGUUGGAUUGCAUUCCUUUCUAUCACUCUUCUCUUUGUUUCUUUUUCCAAAUCUUGAACUUCUUUGGCCAUAUUAGUGAUGCUUCUAUUUUCCACCCCGUUUCAUAUAUUAUCAAAAGAUUUAGGGUUUUAAAUCUAUACUCUUCUUUAGUUUUUAUAUUUAAUUUCAGUAAAUUAUCCUUGAUAAUUGCCUUCUAAAUUAGUGGAGUAAAUGAUAUUGCCAGUGAUUCAUUUUGGGUACUGAAUGGUUUCCAUUCAAAUUUGAACUUUUAAAAUAUGCUAUUGGCUUUCUGGGUCCCAAAGCAUACAGCACUUUCCCCCUCUCGCAUUAGCUUUGUUAGUGUUCAUUAUUUGGUUCUUUUGAUGAAUGUUCAUUUUUUUUUUCUUUUUUCUUUUUCCCACAUUUUAAGGGAUCUCUUUCAAAUUUUCGAGUCAUUUUUUCAGUUUCUUUUUCUUUGUCAAUCAAUUCGCAGUCCUGUUCCUUUAAUGCCUCUUUAUGAAUAAUUUUAAUGUCUUUUCUUUUCUAGAAUGUACUAAAGGUAUUUAAUAUAAGAUUGUGCUUACUCCACAAUGUUUUAUUUUGUUUCUCAGAAUGCUUUUAGAAAUCAUACAAAUGAAGCAACAAAUGUAAGUAGCAAUACAGACUUAAAGCGUGAUGGCCAACAACAACAAAGAGGUCUUUCAAGUUCAUUCUCUUGAAGUGUUGCUUAGUUAAUUGUUUGUACUAUAAGACUUCAUAGUUUUUUUUUUCAAAAACAAUCAACAGGUACCCCAGUGCCAUCUCAUUCUUUGCCACGACCACUAAUUGUUGAAGUAUGCACAUUUCAAUGUUUUACUGCAAAGUUAGUUUCUCACGUAACAUGCGUUUAAAGUUUUUAAUUUUUCUUCUGCUUUUUUUUUCUUUUGUUUUCUUCUUUUUUCUUUUUCUUUAAAUAUAUAUAGCAGCGUGAUAAAACUGUUAUACCCAAAAUAACUAAGCCCAAGAAAAGUGUAGUUGAGGAAAGCGAAAAAUUAUGUGAACUUAGAUUCGGGAGUUAUUGCCUAUGGCGUGGAGAACAUAGAGAGGAUAUGAAGGAUGCUAUGGUGAAAAAAUUAAAGGACCGGCUUUUUGUAGCUAGAUCAUAUUAUCCAAGUAUUGCCAAGCUUCCAGCACAAAACAAGCUAUCUCAAGAAUUGAGACAUAAUAUUCAAGAUUUUGAGCGAGUUCUCAGUGAAAGCACAACAGAUGCUGAUCUUCCUCCACAGUAAGUGAUUGCAAGUUUUUGUGCAAUGUCCCUUAUCCUGUGACCAUGGAAUUUGUUAAUGAGGUUUUUGUAUUAUGUAUCAAGGAAGGAACCUAAAAUUUUCAUUUUAUACUUAAUAUUCCUUAUUGUUAUCAUCAUAUCGUGCAUUUGCUUGUUUUGCAGAGUUAAUAUAUUUUGUACUGUUAUUAUAUAAAAAAUUUGUUUUAUGCUAUAGGACUUGGUAUAACUUGCAUUCACUGUGUUUUUGCUAGUGAUAACUAUCUUCAAAAUUUUGGAAACUCAUAAUGAGUUCUGUUAUUUUUGUCAACUGAUAUAUAUUUUAUUCAGAUGUUUCAAAAAAGAGGGGCAAAUCUCUUGUAGGAUGGGGCUUGAUUCUGUACUGUAACUGGCUUGAUGUUUAUCUGCUAUAAAGUUCCAGUGCUAGGGGUUAAUUUUUGGAUUCUGCAUCCAUAUGGAUAGAGUCCAAGUCUUUAAGAGGGGGACCACAUUGUUGAAAAAUUGCCAAGGCCUUUUCUUGAUCAGCCUUUUGUUUACCCUUCUUAGAUAGGACUAGCACUGGGGUUUGUAUUUCCCUGUUUGUGCUUUUUGUCUGGAAAAUUCUAAUACAGCUGCUGGAAGUGGAAAAUACUCGGAGUUUGUACCUAUUGCCAGAACUAGUUAACAUUCUUUCUCUGAUGGGUUCAACCAUUUAAUUUUUCAGCUAUGGGCCUUAUUCUUGGUAUAGUGAAUAUAGUCAUUUUCCUAAAAUUCAUUUCAUUUCUUCUGCUGUCAUUGCUAAUGAUAAAGUGUUCAUUCUAGGCAGUAUCUUGGAAUUUAAAGGUUUUAUUCUAGUUUGUCUUGUGUAUGUGUUUUACUUUUUCUUUUUGGUUUUAUCAGUUACCACAUUUCAUAGAGUAGUGAGAUCAUUGUUUGUUCAGCUUUAUCUAUAUGGUCGUCAAGGUAUUAGAGUUGUUAUGUUGGUCAUUUCUCUUUUGUUAGAAUUAUUGAAGUUGUAGUUGUUGAUCUAUCUGAGUUAGCAUAUGUAAUGUGCUUGAACUGUAAGUUCUCAUAGUUUCUGCCCAAGCAUGAUACUUAUUGUCUCGUUGACCAGAAUUGAGAAGAAUUUUCAGAAAAUGGAGCUUGCAAUAGCCAAAGCUAAAACAUGCACUGUAGAAUGCCAUAACGUUGACAAGAAAUUGAGACAAAUACUUGAUUUGACCGAGGAUGAAGCUAACUUUCACAUGAAGCAGAGCGCUUUCCUCUAUCAGCUUGCAGUUCAGACCAUGCCAAAGAGUCUUCACUGUCUGUCCAUGAAACUUACUGUGGAAUAUUUCAAUUCUUCUUUACGUGAUAUAGUACUCUCUUCCUCAGAGAAAUUUUCAGACCCUAAAUUGCAUCACUAUGUUAUAUUCUCCAAAAAUGUACUUGCAUCUUCAGUUGUCAUAAAUUCAACCGUUGCACAAACAAGAGUACGUUCAUGUAUUCUUCUUUGCACUUUUCUCUGUUAAAUGCCUAUAAGUUCUGAUACUAGUACUAAUGGGUUAUUCUCCUCACUGCAGGAUAGUGGGAAUCUGGUUUUUCAUGUGCUGACAGAUGAACAAAAUUAUUUUGGAAUGCGGUUGUGGUUCUUUAGAAAUACUUUCAGGGAAGCUGUCAUUCAAGUGUUAAACAUCGAACAACUUGACCUAGGCUAUCAAGAUAAGGCAUCUUUGUUAAGCAUGUCCCUGCCUGUCGAGUUCCGAGUUUCUUUUCACAGUGCUGAUAAUCCAUCUGGAACUGAUUUUAAAACAGAAUACUUAUCUGUUUUCUCCCAUGCUCACUAUCUUCUCCCAUAUAUAUUCCAAAACUUGAAGAAAGUCGUGGUUCUAGAUGAUGAUGUUGCUGUCCAGCGUGACUUGUCUGAUUUAUGGAAUAUCAACAUGGCAGGGAAAAUCAAUGGUGCUUUGCAAUUAUGUUCGGUGCGGUUGGGUCAGCUUACAUCUUAUUUGGGUGAAAAUAACUUUGACAAAAAUUCUUGUGUUUGGAUGUCCGGAUUAAAUAUAAUUGAUCUUGCUAGGUGGAGAGAACUGGAUCUUACAGAAACUUUCCAGAAAUUUAGGCAACAGGUGACUACUCAAGUUACUUGUUUUAUCCACCAUUAUGCUUUGCUAAUUUGUUUCUUUUAUCUCGUUUGACAAAAUUGUUGCUGCGCAGAUGUCUAAUUAAUUUUCUCUUUGAAUAAAUGAAGUUUGGUUUCUAUUUUUUCAUUUUGCAUUCAAGUUUGACAAGUGACGAAAAAUUAUUUAGCAAUUUGGACUUCUCAUUUGUUUUCUUGACCUCUUUCUGGAAAGCAGGUUGGCAAGCUGACAGAAUCAGUUGAAGCUACUGCGUUGAGUGCAAGCUUGCUUACCUUUCAGGAUCAAAUUUAUGCUCUUGACAAUACAUGGGCUUUGUCAGGACUUGGUCAUGAUUAUGGGCUUCAAGUGCAAGUCAUUAUGAAUGCUACAGUUUUGCACUAUAAUGGAAAAAUGAAACCUUGGUUGGAGCUAGGAAUUCCGAAAUAUAAACACUAUUGGAAAACUUUUCUAAACCGAGAUGAUCAAUUCCUGGGCGAGUGCAAUGUAAAUCAAUAACGAGUAGGUGGUCGGGUUGCUGUGUUUUCUGGAAAAAUAUACCCAUGAGAAGCAUGAAUAUGUAGAUGUUAUUUUUUCAGUGCUGAGAAUUUUUCUUUGAGCUGGGUUACCAAAGGGAAGUCGGUGGCAAAGUAUACCCUUCUCAUAUUUUGGCAAAUAAAAAGACUGGAAUAUCGUUUAUUGUCUUGCAAAGUGGAAGGGAACUAAUGCUUUGAGAUGGCAUAUGCUUCUGUGAACUGAUUUGGCGUAUUGGUUCGAGGAGUGAGAGGAAACAACUCCAUUCUCUGCUUCUUGAUUGGUAAGUCGAGUGGCACUCAAAUCCUUGACAAUAACAACAAUUGUGUUACGACGAAAAUGUGCAACUGUAUGUUGAUUCGAAAAAGUUUCGAUUGCCAUUCAUGGUGUAAAUGAUGAAUGAGAAAUUAGUCUUUUGAUUGUCAUAGUAAGUUAAUUCUUUUCUCAGGUCCUCUAUUAUUUGAUUUAGAACAAAGUUUUUUUUUUUUUUUUUCAUGAGAAAAUUAGUGUCUGAUAUUUACAUUUUGUAUCAAUCUAAUGAUAAGCCUAAUCAUUUAUAAGUUGAAUUGGCUUGUUAAUUAUCCUGGGUUGCAUCUUGUAUUUUCCUUCUAUUUUUUCCAAACAAAAUGUGAUUUGGGCAAAUCAGGUUCAUGUGCUUCUUUUUCCUUCUAUCUACGAUUUUGAAUAAAAGCAUUGGUAAUUGAACAGUGUUUGGUAAGAUGACAUAGCAACUUUCGAACUGUCAAAAGAAAUAAUUCAUUCGCAUGUACGAUUCCUGUUACUGAAGACCGGCAAAUAUACAAGCAUAGCCAUGGUUUCAUCAUUUCCAACUAGACCAAAACGUGCUGGAAUUCAUUAUAGUUUUGGUACACCUUAAAAACUAAACAGAUUUUGAACAAGACUGUCACAUUUGGAACUACCCAGUUUUGGUUCAAGGUAGGGUGUCCAAACCAUCGGUUUGAGUUUUAAAAUCAAAUUGAAUCAAAAUAAGUCAAACAAAUCAAAAAUUUUGAAAUGAAAAUUAAACUGAACCAAAUAGAGUACAAAAAUCAGACUAGUUCAGUCCGUUUUAAACUGCUUUUUAAUGGCUUUGAGCGUAUUUUUUAAACUUCAUGAAAACUAAAUUUAAAAAAAAAAAAAGUAUAAAAAUCGAAUUUAUUCAAUUUGUCCGUUUAAGCGAAGAAUACUCAGCCUGAUUAUAGAUAAUUUAUAGGAAAAAAAAAAUUAGUAUAUUCUUAAAUUACAAUCAAAUAAAAAUAUGGGGACCUAUAUUUUCAAAAGCAAUUAUAAAGUUUUUAAAUAAUACUUUUAUUAGCUUUUGGUCCCAUCCAUCCAAAACAGGAUGGAGCGACCAAAAUGUUAAUAUAAAUAAUGAGUUAGAGAUAUUAUAAUUAAUUUGACUAUAAUUAAAAGAUUAGUUUUUUAAUCAAUUGACGGUCAAUAAAAACUAUUUUAAAUGGAAGUAUUAUAUUAAAUUAUGAAUUUUUUUAAAAAAUAAAGUUUUCAUCUAUUAAUUUGAUUAAAAUUUAGAACGAAUUUUAAUUUUUUUUUUAAUUUAUAGUCCAACGUACAAAAACGGAAAGAGAUUUCACUCUUUCACGUUUGAGUCCCAUCCAGUUUAUACGAAGUUGGAAAAAAAAAUUUACAGAAAAAAAAAAAAAAAAAAAGGUGGAAAAGCUGCACCAAACAGCGUAUUUCAUAUUUGUUCGCUAUUCCUCAGGGUCACGUGAUAAAAAAACUUUAACACCACGUUUGGUUGGAGAAUAAGGGAAUUCGUAGGAAAAGAAAAUAAAACAAUGCACCUCCAAACUCACCCUAGUAAUAAAGUUAUAUCUUAAACAAGACAAGAGAAGACAAACAAUUGUAUUGAAGUUGAAAUUUCUCCUCCACUCCUUUGUUAACCAUAAAAGUAAAAAACAAAAAAAUAUUUUCCAUCAUGCUGAGAUAUUUUCCUAUCUUAUCUUCCCAAUUUCAACCCACCUAGACUAGACACAGAAUAAGAGAUUUACCUGAAUUAGAAAUCUUUAAAGAGCUCAAAUUAUCAGUGUUUAAGCUUUUUUUUAACUGAGAAAAAGUUGAUUUAACAAGUGAUUGAAGUUAAAAUUCUCUACAAUUUUAUGUUGAGUAAUUAAUUACUAUGUAGUCUCAAGGGUUUACUCAAAUACUCAAUUCUCAAAAUUAUAUUGACGUUCUUGUCCUAUGAUUAGUUUUUUUCGUUAAGUGAUUGUAAAAUGUCAAAAACACACUCUAAAGAUAAUUAUUAUAUAGUCCUUACCGUUUUAUAUAAAUAAAGUGAUCGCAGACAUUCACUGUUUUGUGCAGAUCUUUGUAUACUUUCAAAUAUGAAAUUAAUUUCGUUUCGGAUUUGUUGCUACUAACUUUCAUCACUAAGUAGUGCAAAAAAACUAUUAUUGCUCCAAAUAAUCUUAUUUGUAAUGACAUAUAUGAUGAUGUAAAAAUAAACUAUGCCAUUCUAUUAAAAAAAAAAAAUCAAAUUCAUAUAUAUGUGCAAUGUGUUAAAAGAAUUAAAAAAAAAAAAAAGAAAAUUGAAUGAGAAAAUAGAAAGAGAAGAAUCACGUGAUUAACUUAACUACAUGGACACUAUACUUUGGUACCAAAACUGUGAUGAUUUCCUUUUUCUCAUCUCUCACUCUCCAAUACCCUUUUCUUUUCUGAAUUCUGAUCCUCUCUCUCUCUCAAUCUGAAUCUUCUUUUAUGGUGGUUCUUUAGCUUCUUCACCUCACAGAAUAUUUACUUUAACGUAAAUAAUAUAAAAUAAUUUAUAUAAAUUUGGAAGUGCACACACACAUAUCGAACAAAAUUAGAUAAAAAUAUUUUUCUCAUAUAUUACAUGUGCUAAAUCAAAAUCCCUCAGAAUUUCACAUUAGAGAUCCGAAAUGAGUGAUAAUAUUGUAACCAUAUGGUAAAACAUAACCAAACACAUUAAAGAACAAACUAUUCAAUCAAAUUGGUAUAAGAGGAGGCUACGACCAAACAAUUUUUAACUCACACUAACAAUUUCCCAGCAAAGAUUAUGCAGUGGCAAAUCGGUGGUGAUGGAGAUGAUGAUGAUGGUAUUGAUGAAUGGUACCAGUAUUAGUAGUAGCAUGAAAAGGCCGCCAAGCAGAAGCCGUAAGCAAGCAAAGAUCUUUCCACCCAAGUUUAAGAGUACCAUUAUCCUCUACCAAUGUAUAACCAUCACAAGGGAACAUACCGAGAAGUAGAGUUGCCUGAGUAGCAGCAUUUCCGGAAAGAGAAAUGCCUUUAAAUCCAGAUUGCCGUAGUUUCUCCCUCCAGUUAUGGAAUUUCAGGUCUCCAGUUCUUGACGGCCCUCCUCUUGCUAAAACAUUACGUAUUUCUCUAGAAAGUAGCUGUUGCUCUACUACGUGUCUUUCUUCACUCUCUUCUCCAUAACUGGCUCCGAGUGAGUCGAACAGAGCCGAGUAAUAAUGUAUUGCCUCUACAAACCUACCCAGAAAUGAUCCUGCAUGACUCAAGUCCUGUUCUACUACUGUCACCACUUUUGGUGCCAACCUGAAAUCAAAUUCAAAGCCAUUGGCAUUAAUAAGCUAUAUCUGCCAAUUCGAUACCUUUAAUUUAGUUUCCAGGAAAAUUCCAAAACACAUUUAUUAUAAAUGGUUUCUAGUUAGAAGUAUUCCAUGGGAUCAAGAAAAUCUUGUCUUAUAUGCAGAAUUAAGCAACAACUGAUAGCUACGAAUUUGCAGUGACUACUACUAUAACUAAAUAGCUAGCAACAUCAUGACUUUAAUGAAAGUGAAAUUCAAACUUAAUAGAUAAAAUAAAAGAACAGCAUAAAAAAAUUGUAAAGCAAAAGAAAAACAAAGAAAAGGAGAUUUUUUUUUUUUUUUUUUUAUUUUUUUUUUUUUUUUUUUAUUUUUUUUUUUUUUUUUUUAUUUUUUUUUUUUUUUUUUUAUUUUUUUUUUUUUUUUUUUAUUUUUUUUUUUUUUUUUUUAUUUUUUUUUUUUUUUUUUGGUUCUGGGAUCUUGUGUUCACGUAUAUAUUAUAAUAAAAAAAAUGGAUAUUUACCUCUGCAAUAGCCAGAGAGUAUUGGUAUCGGAACCCGUGACGUCGUAGAGGGAAUGCUGCAACCAGUGAACGGCGACUGCUUCUCUCUUGCUAACAUUCAACCUUUCUGGGUCUAAAUUACCAACUUUAUCGGCGACCGGGAAAAAUUCAAAAGGAAGUCCCAAUUUCUGUGCAAAAUCAGACAAACGCUUUCCAGUAGCUUCGAGAGCUUCCAUGGAGGUGCCCAGCCCUGUAAGACGAACAUACGGAGGUCCACCAGGUCUUGAAGCUAGAAUAUGAAAUAAACCCGGCCAUUGUAACCCUUGCAUGAUAUCCAGAUCUAUUAUAUGCACUCUAUCUUCUCUUUCAAAAGCUUCUUGUAUUGCUUGGUUAGCCGUAAAAUGAGAAAACUUAACGAAAGGGCUAAUUCCAUUGAAGACUUGAAAAGCUGAUGCCAUUUUUUGUGUAUGGCUAAUAGGCAUUGAUGGUAGCGUUGCGUAUAUUCCUAAACAAGAAUUCACUAACCUUGCAGACAUUGCUUCGGAGAAAUAGGCUGCUACUCUCUGCGCCGACGUGCCGUAUGGCGUCGAGAGUUCUGAGAUCUCUAAUAGCAUCUUAUUCGCCUCUUCGAAAUUAUCUACAGAAACUGCCUCUGCGCAUUGAAGAAGUAAAGUUAGAAGGUGUAAGCCUUCUUCGUCACGCUUUUGUUGCCGUAACUCUUCUUUCUUCUCUCUUACGCUAGUUCCUGCAGCCGCUGGUAAUGAAGUCGGCGUUGUAACUAUUCCAGUGGUUGCUGCGGCUUCUGUUUCGGCAGAUGAGGAUUUUUCCUGUUCUUGUUGUUGUGGAUGCGUUUGAUUCAAUGCGAGAAGAGGUGGUGUAACUGAAGUAGAAGACGGACUGGCUUCUUGUUGUUGUUGUUGUUGAUCGUGAACAAGAUGGACUUGAUUGUUCGUUUGGCAAACCAGCGGAGGUGACGAUACCCAACUAGAGUACUGAUUUAGUACGGGCGGCGCAGUCACUGAUGCGGCGGCAGUAGAAUCCGGUAAUGAUGAGUAAAUGUUAACAUUUUCAAGAUUUAGAGUCAAACCCGAAGAGCUUUGUCCUUGAUUAUUGUAAUCUCUAGCCGGAACCGCAUCCUUUCUCCUCCUAUCCACCGCUGCCGGAUAAUUAGGGAUUGGCUCCACCAGUGACCGGAGUCUAUACUCUAAAAGAGAAGCAAGACUAGGAUUGCAAGGGAAAAUAAUCUCUCUCACAUUCUGAAUAAGCUGAGGAAUAGAAACAUUAGUAGAGCUAUGGAUAAGAUCUUUAAUAAUACCAUCUAUCCAGGCCGUAGCGGAGGCGUCUUCCAUGGUAGUAGGAGUAGGAGUAGGAGUAGGAGGAAGAGGAGUAGAGCUGCAAGUAGUAGAAGUAGUAGUGACGACGACAGGAACGACAGCGUUUCGAUUCCUUUCUCUUUCAGAAGGAAACAAAGGAAGACCAGAGAAGCCACAAACGGCUGGGGUCUGAAGCUGACUUUGUGGUGGAUGUGGCUGUGGUGAGGAAGAAAGGGUGUCAUUACAAGUAAAGUUGGUCGUUCCUGUAGAGGAUAGAAACCCACACAAAGACACAGAAACAGACCCGCCUGACGUCAUAGAUGUCAAGUUUGUGGAAGAAGGUAACAUAGUCAUACUCAUCAUAGUGGAGUAGUUGUUGAGUGAUGGGUAUGAGUUCGGGUUCGGGUUUUGGUUAGGGUUAACGGUAUUAGUCAAAGAAGAAUAACCAAUAAUAUUACUAUUAUCAUCCAAAAGAGAAUUGUUAUUAUUGGUAUUACUACUAAUCCUUCUAUAACACCUCUGGUUUUGAUUCGCUGCUUGCACCUCCAUCAUUUCACAAGCCAUUCUCUUCCUCACCAUCUUUCCUUUUCCUUCAAUUCCUGUUAUAACCUGAGUUUUGCUACUGCUUGCAGUGGUACUAUGGCUAUGGCUAUGACUGUUACUCUUGCUAUCGUUGCUGUUACUCCCAUUCAAUUCAGUAUCCCCACCAUUUUCAGCAAAGGCAGCCAUGAAAAUGGAUAUAAUAAUAAGCAAUAAUGACAAUAAAGAGAGAUCCAGAAAGUGCACCAGCUGUUUGAUGUUUGAUCCUCAUAGUUUGUUGCCAAUGAUAUAAAGGAAAAGGAAAAAGAAGAAAGAGAAGAAGAGAGCAUAUCCAAAGCAGAUAACGGUGUUUAAGAUUGAGACAGAGAGCGGCGUUGGGAUUCUUCUUUCUUUCUCAGCCCUACACGACCUUCUAUGAAAACCUUUUUACUUUCCUUUCCUUUCGAUCAAUAUUUUAAUAUAAAUAAACAAAAGUACAAAAAAAAAAAAAAAAAAAAAAAGGGGGGGAGGGGUUAUUGAGGUGGUGGAGGUGGUGGUGGAGGUGGUGGAAGAGAGGGUUUUGCUGGUGGCGGUUAGCUAAGCGUCUUAUAUGAAAGAGAGCAUGUGUUUGUUGAUAAUCAAAUGGGAAAUGGUAUUAAUAAGAGAGAGAGAGAGUGGGAUGUUGGAGAUGAUAGAUGGGUUUGUAGUUCGUCGUUGCUUGUUUGACGUCUUCAAAGCAACGGCCAUUUCAAUGAUCCUCGUCUCCUGUGUUAUGUUUGUAUACACCUAGCAUUUCUAUCUAUAAUCUAGCAGUCUAUGCCUAAUAUUUUCUUUUGCCUCUUGUUUGUUUUAUUAGUAUUUAAUAUACUUGUGUCUUUUUUAAUUAAUAUUUUUGCCUUUUUCCCCUUCUCUUCUUGGAUAAUUUGAUUUUUCUUUUCAAGUUCUUGAAAUAGUUAAUUAGGAUUCUUGCCUUUUCCAUUUCCUAAACUCUUUGAAUAUGCAAUUAAGCUAUAGCUAUGAAGUGAUUAAGUGGGUUUGACAUAUAUUUUCAUGUUGAAAGUUUCUCUUUUUUAAAAAAAAAAAAAUAUAUAUAUAUAUAUAUAUAUAUAAAUUGGAAAAUGUUAAUCCAAACAAAUUAUGUAAUUAUUUAGGGAUUUUCCAAGCUUUAGACACAACAAGGAGAAGAAGUUAAGACACUAAUAAAGACAAUAUCAAGCAGCCAUAUCCUCCAACAAGGUAAUGUUGAAUUAAAUCCCAUCAUUCUUAAAUCCAUGACUUGAACAUACCCCAUAGUUGGUUCUUGUCUGAAUUUUCUUUCUAGUUUUCAAAUAAUUAGGUUGUUUCAAUAACUUCCUUAAUGCUUCUUUUCUUUUUCCAAAAAUUGUAGCAAUUUAAUGUUGAAUGUCGAGUCAUUAAAUCACCAAAGGAUUAAUAAUAUGGACUUACGAACUUAAUAAGUUAUAAUGUUAAAUAAUUAUCGACUAAGAAAUAAGUUUAUAGAUUUUAUUUAUAUAUUACUCUAGCAAACUGCAUUUAUUCGAUGUAAGAUUGGAAAAUGCAGUAAUUUAAGUAGUACAAAUAUCUGAAUUUCUGAUUUGAAAAAUAAAAAUGAAUCAUUUCAUUAGUCAAUUAGUGUAUCCAUAAAUAAUUGCGAAGAAGUUGCAUAGAUUUGAUAGCUCAUUUCUUGUAAAAGAAAAUAAAAAUGAAUUGGACAAUGUUAGUCCAAACAAAUAAUGUACUAGUAUAAUUUAGGUACUUAUGUCUAAGUUUUGAUCACACCAACAAGAAGAAGUUAACACACUAGCAAAGGACAACAUCAACAACCCAUGUCCUCCAACAAGAUUGCGUUAAGUGUGUACAAUUCAAUCUCAUUGUUCUUAAAUUCACGUUAUAUAUAUAUUUCCUUGUACGAACGUACCUUGUAUUGUACAUUAAAUACAAUUUUUGAUUAAUGGCAACUCAACUCAAAUUAUACAACUAGUAAAUAAUCUCUGGCCUAGUGACAAGAGUGGUGCCCUGGAACGUUUCAGGUUCAAUAUCUAACAUUUAAUUUAAAAUUUGUAUUCCUUCUCCCCCCGAAUUAUAAUUCAGAGUAGGCACGGACGAUUUACAGAACCGACGGUUCAAAAUUUAAAAAUGUUGAACUUAAACCGGCCCUUGAAUGGACGGUUUCGGUCCGGUUUCAGUUUCGGCAGGUUCCGGUGCGGUUUCAAUCACGAUUUUUGGUGAUUUAUGUUUUUUUUUUUAAAAAAAAUCGAUUCUAACGUUACAUUUUUUUUUUUGAAAAUAUUAAUAUUAGUUUAAAAAAUAUUGAUAAAUUUUAUUUUAAAUAAAUUUUAGAAUGUUCAUACUCAUAUAAGAGUAAUUAAUUAAUUUUACAAAAUAAUCAAAUAAAUUAUCACUUUAUUUUGUUUAAAUGUUAUUAAUUAAAUAAAUUAUAAGAAAAUUUUGAAAAAUGCUUCAAAAGAAUGUAAUUUUAAACUUAGUAAACAAUUUAAAAGGGUAAAAAAAAAGUUAAAACAAUAUAAGUUUAGCCUAAAUAUUUCUCUCUUUUUUUACCGUUUUACUUUUUAAAUUUUUAAUUUUUAAAGUAAAGUAUAUUUAAAAAAAUUAAAUAAAGUAUAUCAUGUAUUAAAAUAAUAUUGAGAUUUUUAAAUAUGUAUAAAAUCUGCUAAGUGAUUAUCAUUUUGAAAAUAAAAAAAAAAAUUCAAUUUGAAUCGAACCGAAAUCAUCAAUUCAAAACCGAUUUAAAUUCAGAUUUUAACAUUCACAUAAAAUUAUACUCCACGUACUUUUCGAGGGUCAACAUAAUGUUUCAUUUCUCUUUUACCCUUUCUUCCCCGUCCGUGAAACAAAUCUUAUUGAUUUUUUCUAGCUAUAUGAAGCAAAUAAAUUUUGCAUGAAAAAGGUAAGAAUGGUUAAACGAUUGCCUGUGACGUUUCAGCAAACAUGUACAAGUUUGAUUUUUCCCAUGUCACUGUGUAAAAUUAUUAUCCUAAAAGGCAUUUAAAAACUUAUAAAACGAUUCAUAUAACAAGAGAAACUUGGACUGCGCUAUUAGAGAAUAAGUCAAAUUGUUUGUAACUAUUUGACAUUUGGCCAAAAAAAUUGGUUUGAUAGGUUUAAAAAAAUGAAUUUGAGUUUAAAAAAAUAAAAAAAUUUUUUUCUGAAAAAAUCAGAAUCGAGUUAAACUCAAACUUAAAUUAAAAGACUUUUAUCAUACCAAGUUCAAAUUUAACAAUAUGAGUUAUUUAAAAUCCUAACUUAAUAUUAUAAUUAAUCAAUUAGUUAGUAGGCUUUCCGAUCUCGUAUUUCUUUGUAUUUUUGGAAUUUAUUUUAAUGUGAGAAUUCUAUACUUUUCAUGUUACUUUAGUUGUGCCUAGGUAAGACAAGAUCAUGUAAUAAUGCAAAGGGAGUGUAAUGUAAAAUUAAUGAAAUGGAAAAAUAAAAUAAAAAAUGUAAAUAUUUUAUUAUGAAAUUGGAAGGAACGAGGCGUAAAUUAAGUAGAUUGAAAUGCAAUCGAGUCAGAAAGUCAUUUUCAGAAUCAAUGGGAAGUCGUACGUUUUUUCAGCCAAAAAAAAAUUUGCAUCUGCAAACAUCUCAUGCCAAUUUCGAGACUGUGUUUGCUUUUUCUUCGUUAAUAGUAAAGUAGCUGGAAAUAUAAACUAAUAAACAUAGUAUAAACGCCGUUAUGCUUUAUAGUCUGUAUUAAUACUAAAAUUAAUCAACUAAUUAUCGCCGUUAAUAAUUGCUCAGGCACCUGUCAACUUUGCAACUGUGAACUUCUUUAUGACCUGCCCAACUGCUACUCCUGUGCGUGGCAGGUUCCUAUUUAAUUUAUGUUAAGGGUAUUUAAUAUUUAUUUCAAAAUAUGUAAAUUAUCUAAUAUCCAAGAAGCUAUUUUUGUAAAUUCACUGAAAAUGUCACUAAAUAGUAGAUAGAGUUUGAAGUAUUAAAAAUCAACUUGCCAUUAUAUUAGUAGAAAAAAUCACAUAUUUCUAUAUUAUAUUAUUUCAUUUUUUAAGUAAAUGGGUUGGUUUGAUUUUAUGAUUUGAUUAAAUAAAAAUUAAAUCAAAACACUUAAAAAUAUAAACCAUGAAAAUUGACGAUUUGGUGGGUUUUAAUUCAAUAAUAAUUUGAAAUUUUAAACUCUCAAUCUUUUAGGUGAAAUUUACUUAGGAAUUCAGUCAGUUUUAUUUGAUCUAAUUAAACUCGAUUAAUCGUGAUAUAUUUAUUUUCAUAACUAAAAAAAAAAAAACCAUUUAGCAUAAAAUGAUGUGAAUUAUAUUUAAAUUUUGACUUAAUAGGAUGUUUUCAAAAGUGAAUUAAAGUAUUUAGCACGUUGAAGUAAGUUUGGUGCAGUAGAUUAGCAUAGAGUAAUUAGGAGAUUAAAUAAAUAGUUAGAUUCGAAAGAAAAAUAAAAACAGAAGAAGGAGUUGAGGUUGGAAAGGAGAAGACAGAAGAGAAGAGGGCGUUGAUAUUGUUGGGGUCGAGGAGGAGGUUCUUUUCAAUUUCAUACCUCACUUCCCAAAAACCGAACCCAUAGCUUUUGACAUGUUGCUUUCACUCUACCCACCUUUUUAACCUUCUUUUCCCAUUUCUUUUUUCGUAAUUAAACCCAUUCUUGUACUUCCUUUCCACUUUUCUCCCUUUUUUUUAAAAUAUAUAUAUAUAUUUUUGGCCUUGUUUGACUCUACACCCACUCCUCCGCCUUUGCUCUGUUCUUUGUAAUUUUUUUUAUUAUUAUUAUUAACCCUCUGUGCUGCUCAAAAUGAGAUGAGAUGGACAAGGGACUGUCCAUAAGGAAAGAAAGAAAAGAGAGAGAAAAGACACAUUUUACAAGGAUGGCGAAAGCUCAUUGUUACUAUAUUCUAUACAGUAAGACACAGAGAGAUCAUGUUUUUAGUUAGUUUUAUGAAUUAUUUCUGUACAUGCAUUCUAUAUUGAAUUUGUCUUUUAUAUGAUUUUUUCCUCUUCUUUUUUCAGAAUUUUUUACAAAUCUAUAUAUAUAUAUAUAUAGUGGCAUGCCGACGUGGGAAUCGGGUUGAUGGGAUUUUUUUUUUUUUUUUUUUUUUUUUUUUGGGCGAUGUAAAAAGUGAAUUGUCUUUUAGAGAGAGCUUUACAUUUUACUUCAUAGGUCACAAAAGAAAGUCUUCCCUAUAAACCAAAACACGUGAGAAGGCACAUAGACCGAGGCAUGGUUAAUGCAAGUAUUAUCAAAGAUGGAGUCUCUCAUCCGUCGCUUUCGGUUUUCCAUUUUGUAGAGAGAGAAAGAGAUCUCUGGUGUCUCUUCUUGCCAUGGCGGUCCCCACCCCCUCUCAUUUUGUGUGUCCCACUAUUCCUGCCUCUCUAUUCCUUUUCAAUCCUUCCCAUCUAAUAAAUAAAUCAAAAGCCUAUUUUCUUUUAUUUUUUUAUUAGAAAAUAUUCACAGUGAAAAAAAAAAAACUUUUCUUUAUUUAAUUCAUAUUUUAUCAUUAAUCAUGUGGUUUUGAGCUAACCUAUACAAUUACCAAAAAGUUUUCUGUUAUGAUUGUGCUCAUUUUAUAUUUUACCGGUGUUUUAAUAGUAAAUAGAGAUUCAAAUUUUAUUUUGAGAUGAAUUAUUAUAAAUUUGUGAGAUUUAUCAUAAUUUAUAUCUAAUUUUUAUUAUUUUAAAAUUAAUAUUUUCGUGCAUUAAAUUAAUUUAAUAAAAAUAAUAAGAUUCUGUCAAUCAGAUGUAAUCGGAUUGAAGAAAAUGUCUCCAAUUCGAAUCCUCUCACCACAAGAGUUUUCACUAAUUUAAUGAGUCAAAAGAUGGACUACCUAUUUUAUAGUCUACUGUCUUUUUUUCGACCUAUUGAAUCUCGUAAUGCAGUAAAAAAAAAAAGAUUCUAUUAAAUUAAGUCUUCUGCAAUACAAUAACUAAAAAAAAAAUAUUAGACACCAAAGUGUUAGGUCAUUUAAGGAGUAAAAAUAUCAAUUUUGAAAUAACGACUAAUAAUUUCUCAAGUGCGAUAAAUAUUUAGUGUAAAAAUAAGUUAUCCAUAUGUAUAAAAAUUAUCAAAUAUUAAUAUAAAGCACGUAUGAUUUUCUUAUACUUUUAUAAAAUAUGGAAUUCAUAUUUGUUCAAAAAAUACUUCGCAUACAGUUUCCAAUUAAUAAAAUUCUAGUUUAAUUUAAAAAAAAAAUACUUUGCAAAAUAGAAUGACUAAUAUGUAAUAGGAUUUUUUUGAAAUAUAAUUCCUUAAUAAUAAUAUUAAGAAUUACAAAACAUUUAUAUAAACCGGACAUAGAAUUCUUCCAUCAGUAGUGUUUGCUGAUCUUUUAGCGAAAUAAAAUAAUUCAUAUUUUUUUAAAACAAUGAAACUAAGAUUAAAAAAUAUAAUAUUAGAUCUUUUCUACUUGGAGUUGAUCUUCACAAAAGAUAUAAAUCUUUAUAGCAGCAUAUGACGAAGAUGGAUGAGUUUUUUUCAAGAAUUUACAACAUAUGAUGAAGACAGAUAAGUUUACGCCAAUAUGCAUUGAUAGCAUCAAUAUAGGAACGAGCCAUACUACCAAACUCAAUUGUCGAAGAUUCACACCUGCAAAAUAAGAUUUAAAGUCUUUGUCACGCCCGACUUUAACCACCAGAGGAAUUGUCUUAUUCGGAUCAAGUCAAUUCUAUCUCAUAUUGGAUUGGUAAGACUUGCACGGUUUUGUCCCGCAGGUGAAAUGAAAAACUUCCCACAAGGUCACCCAUCCUAGGAUUUCUCUUAAGCGAGCACGUUUAAUCUUGAAGUGAAACCAUUCCAUUUAAAGCCGUCUCUGAUGAUUAGUUUUUUCUAUUUUCGAUUUAUGAUUUGACUCAUUCUUGUGUCCUGCAUUUCACUACCCACAGCUGGCCUGCUAUCUUAAAAGCUAGCUAGGAGCUUUACUCUACCCGCCCUCAUAGGAUUGCUUUGCUGAGUCGAGAUGUCACAGUUUUCACAAAAAAGUCAAAUAUCAUAUAUUUAUUUAGUAAUUAACCCUCACGGAGAAGGGACCACCCUCGUAUGGAGACAAUAUAACAAUAACAAUACCAAAAAAGAACAAAUAAAAACAAAUCUAAGUUUAUUAGAUUGAAUAAAAAACUAAAAGCAAAAGGAGAUGAAGCAAAAGAAAGAGUAGAAGGUAGAAGCUACCGCUGAUAAACUGCAGUAACCCCAAAAGAAAACUACGAUUAGGAGGCAAGAUAGAAGAAAAGAGAGAAAUAAGCUACUAGUUCGUUAAUCGAUUUGGACAAUAAAAUAAUAACUCUUCUAUAUCUUCUAUAAUUGAAUUGUUUUUCCAAGAAUUUAUAAUAUAUGACGAAUACAGAUGAGUUUAUGCUACUAUGAGUCGAUAGUAUCAAUGAAGGAAUAGACCGCAUUACUAGACACCAUUGAUCGAAAAUCCACACCUACAAAACAAGAUUUAAAGUCUUCAACCAAAUAAAAUUAAAUAUUAUACUUUUAUUUAGUAAUUAAUCCUCACAUAGAAGAGUCACCCUCAUAAAGAAUUGACAAAAAAACUUCAAAUAUAGAGAUAAAAUAACAAUAAUAAUAAAAAAAAAAACAGAUGAAAACAUACCUGAGUUUAUUAAAUUGAAUAAAUGGUUAAAAGCAAAAGAAAAUGAAGCUAAAGAAAGAAUACAAGGUAGAAGCUACCGCUAAUAAACAACGGCAACUCCAAAAUAAAACUACAAUAAGGAAGCAUGAGAGAAAGGAGCUAUAGUUGUAUUGCUGCUUAACAAAAAAAAGGCUUUUAAUGUUGCUAUAAUUAGAUUUUUAUGGGGUUUUCAACAUGAAAAAGAAGACUUUAUUUUUUAAAGAAAAUCUAGUAUAGUUUUGGAUUAUGAGAAGUUCGUAAGACUUUCUUAUUCUUAUUUAGUAAGCACAUAAAAAUUAAUAAAAGUAUAGCUUACUCUUCACAUAACUUAUUAGCAAUUGAGUAAAUUUCAUAAAUAUAUAUAUAUAUAUAUAUAUAUAGGAAGGAGAAAAUCAUUCAUUGCGUGUAACUCGUGAAAAACAGAGAAAGGGACCAGCGCAGGAACCGUCCUCCCAACGGUAUGUAAUAAAAUCUUGAUUUCUGAGGGCCUAAAGCUCACUAAAUUUCAAAUCUUCAAAUUAACAAUUCGCUGACACAUCAUAAGUGUGAAAGGGAAACAUGCCUGCCUACUCUUCAAGCCUCGCUUUGUCUAACAAGCCAGCUCUUUUACUAUUUUACAAUUUCAGACAUUUUUACAAUUUUUUUUUCAGCUUUAAUUUUGACAUUCACGUAAACCAAAUAUUAUAAAUAAUUAAAUAUAAAAAGGUGUUCAUGAAUCGCCAUAAAUAUCCAAAUCGAAUCGAUUCGAAAUAAUAAAUUUAAGUUUUUUAUUUUAAUAUUUUAUACUUAUUGUUAAAAUAUCAAGGAUGAUCGGUUGUAGUCAUUAGACUAAUGAAUAUAUGUAUCUUCCUUCUUAUUGAGUGUUUUAAAUUCCAGAAAAUGAAAAUUCUGGAUAAACCAAGUCAUUUAAAAAACACAAUGAUUUGAUUCUUUCUCUUUUUUUGCACAAUAAGAGCCAUUAGAUUGGUUUCCUUAUUGACGUGGCCUUGCCCUGCUGGCCUUAUUUGUUCUUUAUAAAAAUCAAUACAACCAAAUUAAUGAACUUUCUUGUGAUUUGAUUUCGAAAUUUGAACUCUUCAAAGGCAUUUCGCUUAAACAAUUCAUAUAGCACAUACUUAACAAUUAGAUAUAGAUGUAUGAAAAAGAUUUUAAUUAGCUAAAAAGGUGUUGAUGUUGUGAAACUUUUUGUGGUAUGUGUUUAAGUUUAUAGCUUUUGUGUUCUUCCAUUUGGAUGUUCAUAUAGUUGUUUUUAUUCUUAUUUCAAAAAGAAACACUAUGAUUUAGGUCUAACCUACAAAAAAAUCUCGACCUUUGCGGCUUGUUACAAUAUUACCCUAAACUAACCUUCGUUCCCCGGGUACCCCAACUCAGUAAAUUUGGAAUCCUCAUUUUGGCCAACCGACUGGGAAGCUUUUACUCGAGGGGACGCCCUGGCCCACGAGUUUCUUUGGGUUUUCCAUAGCUAUUAGCAUAACCUUCUUCAAGAAGCCUAUAAAGAACCGAGAAUCCUCUCCAAUUCUCUGCCACCUGAUGGAUGAGACCGAGGUAUGAGUUCAAGUAUUAUAAGUGUUUCUUCAUAAGAACGUCCACGAAUCUGAUCAAUUAUUCUUCGUGCUUUGUGGGCGGACAUAUGUUGUCUAUUUCAAAAAAAAAAAAAAUUUUGCAUAAACAUAAAAUAGAUAUUUUUUAUUUAUUUUUUAAAUCGAGUUCAUAUAAUAUGAUUGCAAUGAACGGAAUGUGCUUUAGAAGAAGGCCAUCUGUUAUUGAGCCAUAUUAUUAGAAUUAACGAGAACAUCUUUGAAUACUCAAAGUUUCAUAUCUGAGGCCAGUUUUCAAGAAACUACUCGCGUUUUAGCAAAAGCCGCUCUAGAUAUAUUGUCAACCUGAAUGCAAACUUAGCCAGAGUUUUAUAAUAUAUUGUCAAAACGCAGUGUUUUGAUAAAUUAAGUUUAGGUAUAUUGGGAAGCCAAUUGGCUUGGGUUAGUUGCUUGGAUAAAUUAAAUUUUUCGUGACAUAUUAAUAAAAUAAAUUGAAUUCACUGAUAAAAAAAAAAAUUAGACAUUCGAAUCAGUUAUUGAUUAAUUAGAUUCAUUUUUUCACUUUUUUUGGAUGAGUUGAUAGAUAGUUCCUAUUUAUAUUUUAUUUGAAUUUCAUUUACCUUGUAAAAAUGAUUACCAAUUUAUAUUUUUCAAAUUAAUAUUUUGAUUAUUUUUAUUUAUAGUUAUUUGAAAAUAAUAAAAUAUUAUUAAAUGUUAUUUUAAAAUUAUUCAAUUAAUAUUGUUCAUUUAAAUAAGAUUAAAAAUAAAAAUAAAAUCUUCACUUUAAAAAGUGUGUGUAUAUAUAUAUAUAAUUAUAUUAUCGGUGAUGAUUUUACAUUUUAAUAGUAACUGCUUUCCAAAUUCUAUCAUACACAAAUAUUCAUCAGUUAAUCGAUAUUAGUUAUCAAUACCAGCAAUUAGUAACCAUUAUUAUAUCUAUCAACGAGUAUGAAUAGCUAAAUCAAAUGAAUCAUCGAUCAAUAAUGUAAAAAUUGAAUAACAAAGUGAUUUAUCACUUAAGUGAACAUUGGAUUAUUUUUUAGCAAUGAUUUUUACAACAAUAAUGAGAAGCAAAAAAAGAAGGAUUUGUUGAUUAAAAAUUUUUAUAUCUUCAAAUAUAGAAGGAAAAAAAAAAAAAAAAAAAGGAAAUCAAGCGUAUCAAAAAAGGGUCCACAAAAGAUGAACAUUCAAGUGUAGAAUGACAGGCCACUUUUUUUAGAAUUGGAGAAGAGACUAUUUGAAAGAGAGUUGGAUUCUUUUCUAAUAAUAUAAAUAGAAACAUAGUGCAAAAUGCAAUCAAACACUCACAUACUUUUAACCAUAAGUAUCCAAUAAUGAGCAAAUUAUUGAAAACCUUCUCUUCCAAGUUUUUGGUUGUUUCUAUCCUGUUCAGAGAACAAGAAUGAGAGCCUCCGGUGGACAUUUGUGUCUGUAGAGGGGGCAACCCAACAACAUUGCCUAGACAUGACAUGCCCAUCUCCAUAACACUCUCUGAUUUGAAAUGUUAUGGGUCAUCUCAUAUCUCACUAUUAAUUAUUAGCUCAUCACAUGAAAAUGAUUUUGCAUAUAUACAACCACCAAAAUCGGAUAUCCUUGACUAGAGUUUCUUGUCAGAAAAAAAAAAAACAAUUAAAUAACUAAUUCUUUCAUACACAGGCCAGCUCUAGAGUGUGCUUACAAAAUUAGUUGUUUUGAUAGUUUAUUUUAACGGUGUUUAACUUUUAGUUGUUUGAAUAGUUUUUCAUAAAAUGCCAAAAGUUAAAUAUUAUAUGGGUUUAACUUUUUAUAGAAAACUAUUUUAACCUCUAAAAGUUAGUUCAAACGCUAUAUUAUUGAACGCUAUCGAUGAUAGCGUUUAGCAUUUUGACCAACUAUUUAAAAAGCUAUUGCCCUUAUAUUGAACAAAAUUUUCAAAAAAUAAUAAUCUUGAAUACACUAGAUUUACAUUGAAAAAUACAUCCUUAAAAUUAUUUGAGAUGAAAAUUGUUUACAAUGCAUGUAAAAAUGAUUCAAGACAUCUCUAAUGCUACAAAAAUAAUCAAGCCUUAGACAGUGUUCGGCAAUUACUUUUGUAAGUAUCUUUUAGCGUUUUAACAAAUAUUAUUUUUUAUAGUAUUCGAUAACAUAGCGUUUGAAUUAAUUAAUUUUUAAAAGUUAAAGUAGUGUUUUAUAAAAUGUUAACUCAUAUAACGUCUAACUUUUAGUAUUUUAUAAAAAAUUACUCAAACAGCUAACAAUUACCCAAACAACUAAUUCUGCCGAACAAGCUCUUAGUCCAAAAAAGACAUACAUAUACCUCUAACGCCAAAUACCCAAAAAGAAAAAAAUAUAUAUGAAAAGGAAAAAUAGCAUUUUAUAUACGUUAAAAUAAAAUAUAUUGAUGCAGAAACGAUAAACAAAUAUUGAUAGGAAGGAGACACAAACUAGUCAGUACCAAACAUUCGAAGUUUGGAAUCAAACAAAGGCAUAACUAUCAAAAUUAAAACAGAAAAGUGGAAACGGCUUAUAGCUAUAGGUCAAAAUUCUCUCCAAGUUUCUAAGUUUUUGCUGCUGCCAAUUCUAUUUAUUUAUAUAUAUAUGUGUGUGUGUGUGUCUUUCUAUAGCUAUCUAUGAUUUAAUAAUAAUUAUAUAUAUCAUGCAUGCAUCCAUCCGUCCGUUCGUGUCAAAAUUUAGAAACAAUGCAUAGAUUAGAUCUAUCUUGGAGGAAUGGAAAAUCAUUCAAGGAUGAGAAAAUUUUAAUUACUGUAUGUUCUAUUCUUUUUAAUUAGUUUCUUUGAUAUGUGUAAUUAAGUUGAUUUCAAUAAUUAAUUAAUUAUGUAUUAUCCUUAUUAAUAUUUUCCUUUUCUUAAUUUUCAGUAACUUAUUAUACUUCUUCUAAAAAAAAUUUUAUUUAAUAUGAGAUAUUCAAUUCCACUACGUAAUCACAAAUAUAACGUAUAGUUUCUCUUUAUUAUAUAUAGGACUGUAAACGAGCCAAAUUAUUAUGAGUUGAUUGAGAUUCGAGUCAAGAAAAGCUAGUUCAAGUUUAUUGUUCGAGUUCAUUCUACAGGGUUAAAGAGCUGAAUUCGAAUCUAUUUAUCGUGUUUGUUUAAUAAACAAACUAAAAUGCAACUUGAAUUUAAAUUUAUAAAUGGAUAAAAUGCAUAUUUACAUGGGGGCUAGCUGAUGUCGUGGCAAGGCCACACCCACAGUACUUCUUCUACAUGAGUCUAUCUAAUUACUAAGGGAUUCCAUUCCACCACACAAAAAUUCCAACCGGAAAAUUACACUAAAAACUUGCCAAACAAAAUCCUAAACCCUAUUCAGUUUUUAAAUUACACGGUCCCAUUGUCAAUUUGCCAUGCAUAAAAAAAAUAAUAUAUAUAUAUAUAUAUAUAAUUAAUUAUUUUAUUCAAUCUGUAUCUUGCUAUUGUCUAUGUUGGCUAAGAAUAACUGUAAUAAUUUUGUUUUUUACUACUAAAAAUAUCUUUUCUCUCCCUCGAACGGUUAAAUAAAAGAUUAAUAUCUUUCGAGUCGAAGAACGAUUAUAUUGAAAACUCUUCUCAAGAUAUUAAUUCCAUGACUCAAUUGUAAUCACCAUGGUCGAGUUUAAUACACGCUUCAACCAUUGGAUCAAACAAUUUUGGAUAAUUAACUGUAAUAUUUGAUGUAUAAGAUAUAAUAAAUAUUAAUUAUAAUGAAAAAUUAUUGAAUCAUUUUCUUCAUAAAAUGCGUUGGCAGAUAAUCGAGGUAUGUAUGUGUCACCUUGUGUACUGCAGGUUGCCCUAGAUUUUAACUACAGUUGAAGAUUUUAAUAGUGCUGAGGAGACAAUGGAGAAUGAUGUCUCCUUAUGGUACAAGAAACAAUGGGAUGGCUGGACAGCCAAUUAAUUACCUAUGUUAAUUUUGUUUGUAUCUAAUUAAAUUAAUAAGUUUUGUUUAUUAGAUUUACUUAGUACAAUUAGAAAAUUUAAUAUGAUAUAAAUUGAGAAUAUAAUUGAUUUUCAUUAAAAAAAAAAAAAAGACCAAAGAGCAAUAACCAUCGAAAGUCAAAAUUAUAGACGAAUGAAAAUUGAAAUUGAAGUAAAAAAUUCGGUUUGAUUUGAUUGUCGAUUUCUCUUUUGAGGUUUGCUCACUCUAUUACUUAUCAUGAAAAUCUUUUUAUGACUAUUUAAUGGACUUUACUUGAAAAUUUUUAUCAUUUAGAAAAUGAUUUUUUACCUUUACUCAAAAAAAAAAAAAAGAAUUUUACCCUUUUAAUUCAUUCAUAACAAACAAGAGGUACAAAAAAAAAAAAAAAAAAAAAAAGGAAAAACGAUUUUUUAUUAAAAAAAAAAGGGGAAAGGGGGGGGGGGAAAUGUAUUUUAGUAAAGUGGGCUAGACUUGAUUAAGGGCCUAAAGGCCCGUCUAACCCAACUAUGAUUGUGCCCUAGCUCGGUCCCUGGCCAUUGAACACCAUCUUCUACAAGAAAUCAACAAACAAACAACAAUGGUUCUGCAUUUGAUGCGGAAAUGAUAAUCAAAAGGUCGAGUAGAAAGGUAAUUAACUAAUUAUUUAUUACAUAGAAAUUUCAUGUGUCUGAGAUUAGGUUUUUGUUGUUUAUUUUUAAUGAAUUUUAAAAGGAGUGGGUGAGUUACAUAUUAGUAUAAACAAAAAGCAAUGAUGAACUGAAAUAGAAACUGAUUACUAUUCUAAUGCAGGAAGAAGAAUAUGGGGCUAAUGGCGAUUAUGAGGAGAAUAGGACGAAGCAUGGUAAUGACACGGCAAAUGAAAGAAAUUAUAGGAAGAGAUUUUAGUACCCAAAUUUUGAAGUCUCCUCAAUCCCUGGUUUCUCUUGAUCUACCUGAGAUUUGGACGCCCGUCGCUGAUGAUUUUCACGAUCCUCCGCUUAUGAAGUGCGGUAAGUGCUAAACCUUUUUCUAGUUUCUUUCACUUUUUUUUGCUCUAACUAUUGCAUGCCAUUUGUUUGUUUAAAUGCCCUUUUUUGUUAGAAAAUUUGUAAUGAGAGAUUUUGUUUAAACAAGGAGCUUAAUUAGAUUUUUUUAAUCCAAUUGGUGUCAAAUUUGGUUGAAUUCCCUAUCUUUGUGUUGAAACCUGGAUAUUGAAUUUUGGGUGUUACUCUGCAAUGAAAUUUGUUUUUUAGGUGUUGGAGAUUAAAACUACUUUGACAACCACCAUUGUAGAUGGUGGGCGUUAAGCUAUUUUAAAGCUCUUAUGACCAGAACAUGUGAAAUUCACCUUAAAAUGAAGUUUGAUAACCUCUAAUUAACAUUUUUCAUAUAGUGGUUUGUCAGUAACUCAAUCUGCAACGCCAUUGUAUGUCAUACUUGGUUUCUUGUAUUUUUCCAGUUCUGUUGUUUAGUAAAAUCAAUAAUCUUCAAAGUUAAUAAAUGCCAAAAUUGGGGAUUUAUCUUGUUUUCUUGAUUAUUUCCCAUUUGAAGUUUCUUAGUUAUUGACAUUCUAUGCACGUGUGGCACGCCGCAUGGUAUGGUUGGUUAACUUAUUUUGAUCUUCACCACAGCCAAUGAACAGGAUGUUACUGUAAUAGAUGGGAAGUUGAUAGCAGAGGAAAUUAGGUCUACAAUAGCUACUGAAGUAAGGAGGAUGAAGGAAUCCAUUGGAAAAGUCCCUGGCUUGGCUGUUAUUCUUGUGGGCCAGAGAAGGGACUCCCAAACUUAUGUUCGCAACAAGAUAAAAGCCUGUGAAGAAGCUCGAAUCAAGUCACUUUUAGCUGAACUGCCUGUGGAUUGCCCAGAGGAUGCAGUUAUUAAUGCUGUUGCAAGUUUUAAUGAGGAUCCAUCUAUUCACGGUAUUCUUGUGCAGCUUCCCCUACCGAGAGUAAUUUCCAUAACCAAAAUAUAAAUCUUAGUCUUUACAAUUUGCUGAUCGUAAAGUAAAAUAUAUUAAUGCCUUCAUGUGUCGAGCCUUUCCAAUUCCAGUAUUUCUGAUUUCCAUAACUGGAAUUAAAUUCAAAACACUUUUGAAGUACUAUUAUUGACUUGUUUACAAAUUUAUAGUUCUAUUCCUUAUUUCCUUGCAAAUGCAAGAAGAUUUGCCCCUUGAUGUGUUCCAUGUGCAAAGACUAUUUGAGAAGUUGAUGUUGUAUGGAUGACUUUAAAAAAAAUGUCUGGGACAGCAUCUGAAUGAGGAGAAGAUUUUGAAUGUGCUGAGUUUGGAAAAAGAUGUAGAUGGCUUCCAUCCAUUACAUAUGGGGAAUCUUGCCAUGAGAGGAAGAGAACCAUUGUUUAUCCCAUGCACUCCAAAGGGUUGCAUUGAGUUAUUGAUCAGGAUCGGUGUAGAAAUCAUGGGGAAGAAAGCUGUGGUUAUUGGGAGAAGCAACAUUGUUGGUUUGCCGACAUCCUUGUUAUUGCAGGUGGCAUUGAACUAGUUUUUAAAUUAUUCUUUUAUUUAACAAUUCCAUUAUUUGAUUAACAUCAGGUUGUUUAAACGCUCUGCAGCGGCACCACGCAACAGUUAGCGUAGUACAUGAAUUCACAAAUAAUCCAGAGGAGAUAACAAGUGAAGCUGAUAUUGUGGUUGCUGCUGCUGGAGUGCCCAAUCUGGUCCGCGGCAACUGGUUAAAACCUGGUGCAGUUGUUAUUGAUGUGGGAACUUGCCCAGUUGAGGUAAAUUCUUUAAUUCAAAUUGCCAUUCCGUGGAAUACAGGAACUAUGCUAGGCCUGAACAAGUAACCUAUAUCAACUGAUUUUGUCAAUUUUGUGGAAUUGUGCUAGUAAAUAUUUGGUAACUUUUACUGAUAUAAAUAUAAUUCCAGAUUUUAAAUUAAAUAUGGAUGGCAGGAUCCCGGCAAUGAGUUUGGCUAUCGUCUCAUGGGAGAUGUUUGCUAUGAAGAAGCAGUGAAGGUGGCAUCUGCCAUCACCCCUGUGCCAGGAGGCGUUGGACCCAUGACAAUUGCCAUGUUGCUGUCUAACACACUCGAUUCUGCAAAGCGGGCAUAUGACUUUGUUUAAACAGUAAAGCCUGUUACAUUAUAUAAUGAUGUAUAUAACAAGUACAAGUUGAUAUAACAAGGUGUUAUAUGCAAUUUUUGUUGCAAUUGAUUUUCUACUUAGAAGCUUCAAUUGAUGCAUAAAUAAAAAAUGUAUUUCAUCCUAAAGUUAUAAUUGUUAUUCUUCAUAAAUCGAAGCAGUUUGGAGAGAAGGGGGCAGGGAGGGGGAAAUUACUUAAAUAGACAAAUUGCAUGCAUCAUGUGAUAUGGUUACAAAUGGUGCUCUGGCAUCCAUUACAAUUGUAUGAAGAAUGGAUUAUAAUUGUCAGUUAACAUACAAACAAGUUACAAUUACUAUACUUUUGGCCAACCAUCAGUGCCAAUCAACUUAAAAGUCUAACUUACAAGUCUGCCUCACAAGAUGAAAAUUACAAAAAAAAAAAUGUAAUGGUACAAAUGAAUAUUGGGAAAUGAUUAAGCAUAAUUUGAAAACCAAGGAGGCUUAUGUUCAUCCUUCCACUUGAUUUGUGGAUUGCAUUGGUUCCACAACUGGUGGUAUGCAGUCCACCUUGUAGCGGAUGACCUAUUCCAAUAGAAGACAUGAAAUGAAAAGAUGCAUGAAAAUGCAACAUAACAAGUACAAGUUGAUAUAACACCAACCCGAUGCUAAUCAUCUGAAAGGUUUGUACUUCUACCUUUUUGAAAAAUGAUGAAUAUGAAUUAUCCCAUAUGAGCUUGUAAUUUCCAGCCAUAACUGUGCAGAAGUUUCCCUGUAAGAACCGUCAAAAGUGACUAGGCAUAUUGUUUUCUAUUCUGAGACGUGGUAAUAACACAAAAGCUCUAUGGCAGUAACUCACUUGGUCGGACUCAUAGCGCUGGUAAGGUAAUAUCAGCUGAGGAAUAACGGAUCAUAGCAAGAUGUACAUACGAGUAAAAACGAAUUAAUCAGUAAUGAAACAACAAUAUCAACUGGGAAAACCAGAAAACUAUACAAUCUUUUGCAGCAUAGAGAAUAAAACUUUUGUGCAAUUGAAAAUAAUUUAGAACAUCAUAUAGGGUAUAUUCUUUCAAGUUUAACUUACAGUUUUUUUACCAGAAGGAUCCACAUACUCCACACUAAAUCCAAUAUCCUGACAAGCAAUGGUGUAAUGAUUAAUGAUACAGAGACCAAAGAAAAAAAAAUAAUGCAUUAAAUUAUGUAUCAGUAUGAAGCAACAAUGACAUCAUUGUUAGAGCUGGCUUCACCUUAAUUGAGCCUUUUGAUACUUGACACAUCUUUCUACAGUUUGAUGCCAGGCCUAGUUUUAUGUUGUUCUUAGCAAUUAUACCGGGCACGAAAAUAAUGUGCACCCAAAACAAGGUGCUGAACACUAGCAAGCUUCAAACUAAUCCCGAGUUAACUUUAUUGACAUCAGAAGAAUGAAAUUCCUCUCCAUAAAAAUGAGGUAACCAAUUGUUUUCACUGGUCAUACAAGAAUGCAACAACAUUGUCAAAUUUAACAAUUUAAACUUAGUUGCCUGUCAUCCAUCUAACCAUAACCCUCCCUUUCUGGGUCUCGUUUUAUUUUGCAUAUUUUUUAUGAGGAUGAAUUCAACGCAAUAAUAUUUCACACUGAAAACAUCUCUUUUAACCCAAAAAAAAAAAAAAAAAAAGGCCUGAAUGAUUAAAAAAAGAAUCAAGACACUCAUUAAUAAUAUGUCAAAAAAAAAAAAAAUCCAAUGCCUACAGAAUGAUCAAAUAAUGCCUGUUUGAUCAAAUACAGAAAAUAAAUUUCCAGAAAUCAGCAUCCAACAAAUCACUUGACAAUAACUAUUAAAAAAUUGCAACAGUAGAAAUCUAGUUGUCAGGACACCCCAACCUUCACCCUCCUCUCCCCCCCCCCAACCUGCCUUAGGGAAAAAAGGUUUCCAGAACUCAGCUGCUAAAAGAAGUUUCAGAAGAGAGAGAAAUUAAAUAAUGUUCAAGAACUCAGCUCCAGAAAAUAGCUUGAGAAUAAUACCAUAUUUAUCUUGCCUUGUAUUAGAGAGAAAUCCCAAGCUAUGUAUGAGUUUAUCGAGUCCACUGCCAAUGAAACCUAUAAAGGAAGUCCAAUUAAGAAUGUCAAAUAUUUGAAAAACGCGCACAACAUAUCCAUACAUCAUUAGUAGCUGCAGAUAUCGAACUUCAACAAUGGGAAAAUCAGCGGCAAAAAUUUAUACAUGUCUAUGUAAAACAUAUAACUGAGCUGAUCCCGGUCCAAUCUGGAAGAAUUUUAUACAGAUUUGAAUAUUCCCAUUGGACUCUCUUACAUAUUCAUGCAUGCUCAGAUUCUAAAAGGACCAAAAUCCAACAGGUAAUAUUGAAGAUAUAUACUUCCAACAAAUAACAAUAAGGCUGCAGAAACUGUCAAUAUGACCAUAGAAUAUCUACCAAGCAGAUUAUUUUUCUGCACCAAUUUCAGAAUUAAAGGAGAAUAAUACUUCAGAUUGCCAAGGAGUCCAACAAAACUCUAAACAGAUUUCUUCCUCCAUAUAUUCAACUUGUUUAUGCUUUUAACCCACUUAAAUAUCAUGAAAGAUUUGUGAGAUUGUCUUGUGUUAUCAGUUUACAAAAUGCUAAGCGCUUCCAAUGUGUUCACCAACAACAAAGUUCAUUGGAUAAGAUACUUCCUGUUGAAUUGAAACGCAAAUACAAAAUACAAAAUCAGAUGGCUAAGGAGGAGGACCUAAUCUAAUGGAGCAUGACAUCCCAUGUCACUUUUAGUGGACUAAACAUGUAUUAAAAAAUUUCAAGAAGCACUUUUUCACGAACUCAUAUUUAACAAGUGAACAAAUGCAGGUAGUUGCAACAACUGCCACAUCCUGUGUGCAUAUAGAAGGUAUGAAACAUCUUCAAUUAUUAAAACAUAAAUCUAUGCAAAUAAACUUUUACACAAACCUCAUGAGUUUUUCCGGCUGGAACACUUAUUUCUUUGAAUUCAUCAUUUGUUCUGCAGAGAUAAAAUAAAAAAUUCAAACUUGAAAUACUGGCACUGAUUUUGCUAUAAAAUUCUGAAAACUUACCUUGCAUCUAGUGUGCCAGCAACUUCUGCUGAAAUAAAGAAUGGAGAAUUUGCAAAUACCUCACUGGCAAAAAGAAAUACAAAUCAAUAGAGGAAAUGAGAGAUAAUUUCUCCUUGAACAGCAAUCAUCACGAUUCUUGUAUACACAGCAACAGAAAAUGCAACAUGAAUGCCAUGCACUGGUCAAUUUCAAAUUGAUAAUGUUUUAUUUACUCCAAAUGAAGCAAUGUGUCACUUAUAUUAUGCAUCCAAGGAAAAUGAACCAUCUUCAAAUAAUUACUAUGGCUUUUCUUUAUAAUGUGCAAGGUCCACAUUAGAUGUGUCAACAAGGCAGAAUUUGAUUGUUUAAUUAGUCAAAUCAAGAUUCAUAUAGGAACUUCAGUGCCUUGUUUAUUACUUCUACAAGCCAGUCACUGAGAGUUAGGUUAGAAGAAACUCUGUUGCUUUACACAAUGAUGCUUUUUUUUUUUUAAUUAGUGAAUUCUCCUCCUCAUGCAAUAUUAAAUUUAAUACAAUGAGAAAUAGAAUAUUAUAUAGCUUCCCACGUGAUCUUCUUAUUUCUACGACCUUUGACUAUGAAGAAUGCACACUUAUACUUCUUCCAAGAAUUUGCUGUCUUCCUCUUGUGUUCUUCAUAUGCUGUUAUCUUUGCUUUUUCAAGCAACUCGAUGCAAUAUUAGUUUUUAACAAACAGAAAUCAGUUCACUCUCUCUCUCUCUCUCUCUCUCUCUCUCUCUCUCUCUCAGUUUAUUUCCAAAUCUAAUCAAUCUUUAGUUCAUCACUUCACCUAGGACUCGUUCUCAAACAUUUAUUUUUCCCUCCAUCAAGCAGCAAUUCCAAUUCUGUUACUGUUCACAAUAGCUAGCAGCCAAACAUCCGUAAACAACGUAAAUAUUCAAAAUGUCAAGUUUCUAAAUACAUUUCUAGCCUUGUUCUCCAUCAAUUAAUCAAACUUGAUCCUAAAUCCGAUAAUCAUCUCUUGUCGCACAAAACCUGCACCCUACUCUUGGUUCGCAGCUACUAACAUGGCCCUAAUAGAUUUAAACCCCAGUUUUAUCCACAAACCAUUAAGGAGUUCUUAGCAUUGCUCGCAAGGCCUAGAUUCCCAAUUCAGGAAGGCCUAACCCACUAAGAAACAGAGAUAGAUUUGUACAGGCAUGUCCGGUUACUUAUUCUUCCAAUUUUUAUCCAAAGAUUGAUAAACAUGAUAUGUUAUGCAAGGGGAUAAACUCCCCUUCAAACUCCAAUAACCUUAUAAAAGUGUCAUUUGAUGUUUAGGAAAAAAAUUUGUCCUGAGAAGACAUGCUUCUGUAGGUUGAUGAAAUUUAUCAACAGAAUGUCAGAAUAGUAAACUAACAAUGUUAAUCAUAAUCCAGGUUGUACAAGCAAACAACAAUUAUGACCACAACAAUAAUAGUUUUAAAAGAAGUCCUAUGAUAUCAAAAAGAAAUAAAUAAAUUACUGGAACUGUGAAUGCAGGAAGCAGAAGCAAUACCUGAGGAAGGUGAUAAAUCUUACAAACUCAUGAGUAUAGACAUCAACAGCUUGUUUUAAGACAGCAACUUGAUCCCUGUUUCUGCUUAGUUAAAUAUAGCAGGUGUGAAGGCAGAAAAGCAACCAUAAGAGUACAAUAUUAGGGGUUUGAGACAGUAUACUUGGUUCAUCCAUACAUAAUUUAAGACCAAAAGUUGGUAAACUCAAGAAAGUCUGGCAAGAUAUCUCACAAUUUACUAGCCUCAAACCUCCCCCAUGAUAGUGAAAGAAACAGUCGAAUUGAAAGGACCAUCGCUGUGAGGCUGUAUAAAGUCGGUCCGUAACGUUUUCUUUGCUCUUCCAUGGGCCUAUGAUAGAAGAUUAAACCUUUUUUUUAACAUUAUUGAUUAGACAACUGCUGCAAGAUCAUUUCUAUCUUGAAAUUUAGAUUAAAGUAACCAUGACUAUGUAUUAUAUUUUGAAAGCAAAGAACUCCAGAAAACAUGAAGGCAUACCCAUCAUCAUCAUUUAUUGUCCGAAUAAAAUCUAGUAAAACCUGCAAUGGAGUGUGUGAGAUAAAAAAAAUAUCAGUUACUAUGUAAUACUGAUACUUGACAUUUAAAUUAUUUUCAAAGGCCAAACAGGUAUUCUGAAUGUAUCUUUAGAUUUAUGCAGACAGAAUAACUGAUUCACCAUUAAAUAUUAACCCUCAGCUUCAAAACUGAAAGACUACACUAAUAAUUCUACAACCAAAACAUGAUACAUGCAGACAAAUAAUGAAUAAUACAGGAGGAGACAACAAGUACACAUGAAUUCUGCUUGCGAGAUGGGGGCCACUCGAGUAAAAAACAUUAACCUUCGCCAAAACAAGAUGAUAAUGGAGAUUGAAAAUGAAAAACAACAAAAAAAAAAAUGCAUACAAAACUGUGAACCAUUGAACUCUGAUGCUUAAUUGCAUGAGACGUAGUUAGAUCAUUAAGGAUGAAAUGACAAUCAACUUAUCCAGGCAUGGAAACAAAGGUCAAAUCCACAGGUAAAAGGACAGAUCAUACCUGUGGAACUCCUACUAAGUACUUCACAAGAGUUUUGUAUACACCUGUUGCAGAACCAAGCUGUGCUAACUGUCUCCUCCUGAGGGGAUAAUCACAAGUACACUAUCAAAUCACCAUAGUAUCUGCUACAAAUGCCACCAUGAAAAUCAAGGUGCCUUACCUAUCCAUUUGUUGUUUCCACAACAAAGCAUAGCGAUCACGUAUACUUCUACCAGAGUUAACCAAAGCAUCAACCUCUGCUUGUUUAUUUCUCUCCGAUCGCUCCCUUUGUUGUCUGAUAAGUGUUCCACGAAAAUCUUGAGGCAUGUAGGUCAUGACUGAAACCAUGUUCACAGAUAGCUUAGUCAACUGAAAAUACAAACCCCAGCAAUAGUCUAUAUUAUUCAUCUCCUCAAAUAAUGCUGAAGAAAUAUGACAGGUAGAGAAGCACAUCCAAUUGAUAUGCUAUGCCUACCACUAAAAACAUACAAAUUAAUAAAGGGUCUAAAAUCUCCAUCAACAAUCUUAUGUAGAGAUAAACAUGCACAGAUUCAAGAACUGUAGGUCCAAAUUGCUAACUAAAAACCAGGCCAGGUAAACCUAGCAUAUCCCAAACCCAAUUUAUGGAACUCUACAUAUAGCUCUUGAAUAUUAGAUAAACAGCAAAAUACCACUUACUAUCCUUAUAUGCCAAGCCUGGUGUGGCAGUGCUUACAGUCAAUCAUAAAAGAAAAAAUUAUCCAAUAAAACCCCAAAUAUAAACAAACAAUGUUCUGAUACUAAUUGGAAGUGACUGGUUCAUUAUACUCCAGUUUAAGGUCGACGCAUCCAGUUGAGGCCUGUUUCUCUCUCCAAAUAUCAUUAUGACAUCAUUAUUCGCUUUAUAACCUAUCAUGACCGUCGUAUGACUUGCUGCUGCAUGUGGAGUUCUUUCAUUAUCUUUAUAGAAAUAACUUCAUUACUUGAGACCAAACACAUCAAACAAAAUCAUACUUAAAGCCCUAGUUUGAAGUGCAAUUCUUCUUUCCACCAUUCUUCACCAGCAUUUACUCAGUCACAAACAGCUUUUUUCUCCACCAAGCCCCUAUUUGUCAAUCGUAUUCCACUCUGAUACACUCCCAAAAUCAACUUCGAUGCCCUUGGAUCUCCCCCAGAUCCUAGGCCAAUUUGACAAUUUCCUUUUCCCCCCAUCUUUCCUCUAGGCAUUACAAUAAGUUAAAUUCACGAAAGCAUACACUACCUGAAUCACCUGUAAUCAAUGCAUUUGCAGACUUGGGAAGUAAGAAAAUGAGCCCCAACCAAAACCAACCGAGAAAGGAAAAAGGUAAAAAGAGAAUACAUGUACACUUAGUACUGAAAAACAUGACCAAUAGACAAUACUACAUGAAAUGAAGCACAAAUGGGUUAUGCAUAUGAGAUUGAUAAAACAGAAAAAUGCACUAACGAGUUUCAAAAUUUAAUUGCAUAAAUACAAAAGAAUCUAGAAAAUCAACAAACUAACGCAGAUAAAACGAUGUCAAUUCUGUUCAGAGCGAUACACGUAAAGAACAAACCUGUAUUAAAUACACGUUCAGAAUUUUUAACCUGGAAAGACUCCAGUGUCUUCAAAGUGCUAUGAAACAAGUCUCUAAUGUUGCUAAAAACAGUAGCAAGCUCACUAUCUUCAGGUGUAGAUGGUUGUCGAAUCUGUCAUGACAAGACAAAUGCAUACCAAAAUGCUCAAGUAAUCAUAAAAUGCAUUUAAUGAAGUAAACAACUCAAUGCUUCAAGAGCAAAAUACUAAGUGAAAGCUUACUUGCUGCGGCCAGCGAGAACGAUCAAGCAAAAACAAAAUUUCUUCCAUGUGUUCUCGAUUCUUCCACAUAUUCUCAUCGAUUUUAUGUAUAGGAUCACGGUCUGCUUCUUCCACCAAUAAUCUCUCCUCUACCAUUGCAGUAAUCCCAAUAGUAAUGAGCAAAAAAAUAAUAAAACAAUAAAGAAGAAAUGCAGAAAGGGAAAAAAAAAAAAAAAAAAAAAAAAAAAAAACCUUGUGAGGGAGGGGAGUGGUUAAUUAAAUCAGAGGCCAUAGAGCGAAUCUCAGAUGAAAGACGAGAAACGUCGUCGGAGAGAGGCGGAAAAGGAUAUCUAUCAUAGUAAGAAGCGAGGAAUUGCCUGGUUAUAGGCACAAGACCGUCCAUUGAUGCCAUAUUUUCAGUGUUUAAUGUGUACGAUUCGACGAUUUGAGAUUUCUCGACGGAUCAAAAGUUCAAAUUUCUCAAAUCAAAUUCUUAAUGGCUUGUAGAAGACGAAUUUCAAUUCCAGUGGAAUUCAAGUCCACGCUAUGUUACGGCUGCGCAAAUUUAUGAUCAACAUUUUACGGUACCGUCAUGCGUACGCGCACAGCAUAUUCCUUUUCUUUCGUUUCUACUUUCUAUUAUCCUUUUUUUUUCUUUUUUCUUCUUUCUUUUUUCGUUCUCUCUUUAAUUAUUUUUCUUUUUUUUUUUCUUUUCAAUUCUCAUUAACUAAUAUAACAAAAAAAAAAAAAAAAAAAAAAAAAAAAAAAACUAACCGAAAUCUGAUCUAAAAAGUGUAUCAAUGGAGAAUUGGCUUAGCAUCUGCGAUUUAUGUACCGUCUUCGUCCAUGAAAUUGCCACAUACUGUUUUGUUGUUUCCUUAAAUGAAAUGUCAUAUUGGAGUUGUUUUCUUUUAUAAAUAAAUGUAAAAUAUUAAAAUAAUAAUUUAUGUAUAAAUGAUAUAAAUUAACUCAAAAAUAAAACUCUAAUAAUUAUCAUCAAACUCAUUAAAUAAAUAAAUAUAAGUAAACAUAAACUCAUAAGUAUAACUAUAUAUAUAUAUAUAUAUAUAUAUAUAUAUAUAUAUAUAACUUUGCACAUAAAAUAUAAAAAGCCUGUUAAAUAAAUUUAUUUAUUUACUUUUUGCUAAUAAAUUUAUGCACUUCAAAAGAACGAUCCGAUAAUACUGAUCGAUAAAUAUUCAAAAUUUGUUUAAGUAACAAAUCAUAUGUUUUUUUAUAAUUGUUGCUAAAAAUAUUAUUUAAUUAGUUUAUUUAAUUAGUGUUUGAUGUGAGUGUUUAAUAUUUUUAAAAAAUUAUUUUUAAUAAUAUUUAUCUAGAAAAAUUUAAAAGUCUCUAUCAAUUAUAAAUGUUAAAUCAAAGUGUUACUUACAAGUAAAACAUCUAUAUGUUGUACAAAAAACAAAUUGAAGACGAAUAGAAAUAUUGAUUUUGUCACACCAACAUAAACCAGUUAGGCUUUACAUUUUCAUGUCAAACUUUUAGGUUGGCCAAAAUAUUCAAGAAUACUUCAUUGACUAGUCUUAAUCCACAUUAAAAAAAAAAAAAAAAAGCCUAAAAUGUUUAAUAACUUACUGGUCAUGACAUGCAUAUUGACUAUGCUCGUUAUACAUUUAUUUUUUGUAUUUUUUUAGUUUUUUAUAUACAUAAUAUUAAAACAUGAUUUUUUAUGUAGAUUAAAAUAAAUAUAAGUGGUUAAUUUGUAUUACAUUUUACUAUACAAGCUACUUGUAGUGAUAUUUCUUAUAUACUUAGUUCUAUUUUUAUAUAAUGAAUUGGUUUCAAAACUGAAUCGAUAAUGUAAUCGAAUUGAUAAUGUAAUCAUUUUGGCUACAGUAUUACUUAUCCAGUCUAUUAAAGAAAAAUUAUAUGCACAUAUAUAUAAAUUCUUAAAACCCAAAAAAGUGAUCCAAAACAGAAAUGUAUAGUUCUAGUUUUUUUUUCCAAUUUCCUAAACAUUAUUUUCUUUCAAGUCAAAGAUAUAAGAUAUAAGAGAAAAAAUAUCAAGAAAAUUAAAAAUGCUUAAUCAUCAAAUAACCAUUUAUUUAUUGCAAAUGAGAUAUAAAUUUCUUACCAAAUUAAAAUGUAAUAGUCACAAAUUAUUUAGUAACGAAAAAAAAUUAUUAUUGAAAAUAAAAUUCUCUUCUGAACUCACAUAAUAAAAAUAUAUAUAUAUAUAUAUAUAUAUAUGGAUAUAUAAAUAUAUCAAUAAAAUAUAAUUGUCCGUCAAUCUCACGCACACAUAUGUUCAUUUUAUUUAAAAUAAAAUUUGAAAAGUAAAACUUUAAGAGUCUUGAAAGGUUGAAUAAUAUGUAUUUUAUUGUUUAAAAAAAUACCCAAUCAAAUCAUACAAACAUAAAGAAAAACAUAUUAAUAAAAAUAAUAUAUUUUUUCUUUUUUUAUCUCUCUUCUAAAUAAAUUUUUAAAAAAUAUAUCCAAUCAAAUCAUACAAAUAUAAAGAAAAAAAAUAUCAAAUAAAAGAUUUUUUUUAUUUUUAUACAAAAUAAAAUAUUUUAAAUUUUAUAUAACCAAAUAUUCAAAAAAUAAUAUAUAAAAAAAUUCAAAUGUCUCCUUAUCAUAUAUAUAUUUAUUAAAAAUAAAUUUAAAUGGGAUAAAACUUAAAAUUAUGAAAUGCUUAAUUAUCUAUAUGUAUUUAUUUACAAAAUAAUUUCUAUAAAUAUAUCAAAUAAACUAAUAAAAUAUAAUUUUCUAAGAUAUUUAUUUAAAAAAUAAUUUCUAUAAAUGUAUCCAAUCAAAUAAUAAAAUGUAAUUUUCUAAUUGUAACUAAUAUUAUUUUAGCAUAUUAUAAAUUUCAUCAAGGGUAAUAUCAAAAAUUUCGUUAUUUUCUUAUUCCCACAUUUAUAUACUGUAUAGAGUUUAUAAAAAUGUUUCACUAAUUUAUAUACAAAUAAAUUAUAAUCUAAAUAAUUAAAACGUCUAGUAACUCCUCACAAAAAAAAAAAAAAAUCCAGUAACAUUAAAUAAAUAAAUAAAUGGAGCUCUAAACAACACAUAAAUCCUAAAAACAGUGAAAACACACACAACACCAAAAGGGCCAUGUAACACACAACGACUCCACACAACCAAUUUAUGACUCUAUCAAGUAGAUCUAUAAAAUAUAAACUCCAGAAAGAAAUAAAUUAUUAUUUUUUUUUAUUAUUUAUUUGAACUGAGGGGAGGGCUCACCUACACUCGUGUUUGAGUUAAUUACAUAUAUAUUUUUUUAUUAAAAUGAAUGUUUUUUUUUAAUUUAAGAGAAAAAAAAUGAUAGAAUAGCAAUAAUUUAAAAAAUCUCUUUAUGAAUUAGUUUUGUGCAUGAAUCAAUCAUUGAUUAACUGUAGGCAAGUACUAUCCUUAGAUUGAUUGGGUAUGGUUUAUUUAUUUAUUUUUUUUUUUGUAAAUAUAUAGAUAUGUAUAGAUAAUUAAACUUUAUAAAAUUUCUAAAUUUUAUUUUUAAAAUUUAUUUUGAAAAUAAAUAUAUAGGAUGAUGACGUAUUUUAAUUUGAAAAUUUUUAAAUUUAUUUUGUAGAUAUUUAAUUUUAUUAUUUAAUUAUAAUUUAAAAUGUAUUAUUUGGAAAGAUAAGGAAAAAUAUAUUCUUUUUAUUUUAAUCAUAUAUAUAUUUAUAUUUUUAUGAUUUGAUCGGAUAUAUUUUUUAAAAAGAAAAAUAUUAAAUCAUUGAGAUAGAUUUAGUUAGAAAAUCAUAAUAUUUAAAUAAAUCCACAACAUAUAAUGAUAGGUUUAUUUGAUAAGCAUUAUUAUUUAAAAAAUAAAUUUAAAAUUAUAAAUUAAUAAUAUUAGUAAUAGAUCAUUUAAUUUAUUCUGCACUAUCUUCCCUUUUUUCACAUGGAAACAAAUUGAUAUUCUAAUUUGAUGCUAUAUUACUUAAUAUUUUAUAAAUAAAUGUAGACAAUAAACGAAUAAUAAUAACAUGAUUAAAGAAAAUUUUACUUAAUAAAACUAUCAAAGGAUAAAAAUUCUUUAAGAUUUGAGAUAGACAAACAAACUAUAUUAGAAUUAAGAAUAUAAAUAUAAAUAAUUAAAUAUUUAUACUUUAUUUAUACUUAAGUUCCAAAAAUGAAAAUCUCAAUCUAUAAAGUAUUCAUAAUAAAGUAAAAAUAAAUUUUGUAUUUACUGUCAAAUAUUUUAGGGGGUAUUGGAUUAAGAUUGUGUUAUAUUUUAAAAGAAUAGUUUGAGAUCGAUGGAAUUGAAGGAUUUUUUAAGAUUUCCAUAAAUUUCACUAAAAUUCUAUAUAGAGUUUUAUAAAAUUGAUAAGAUUUUUUUAUAGAUUUUGAUUGACUUUAAUAGAAUUACAAUUAUUUUUUUGUAUCUAAUCAAAAUUAAUUUCAAGACCUAAAUGAAUAAAUUAAAAGAUUUUUUAGCCAAAUUGAAAAACCGAAAAACAAUGAAUAACCAAAAAACGCAUCAUCUUCUCUAAAAUUAUUUUAUUCUUCUAAAAAUCUUAUCACCGUGAAUAGUAAAAGCCUAUAAUUGCCAGCAUCACCGCUAGCCAUUCCACGACUCUAGAAUGGUCGCGCAUGAGCAAACGGUCGGUUUGGUUCAAACUGAACCAAAUCGAGAUAAAAACAUAUGAUUGGUAUUUUUUUAUUAACAAAUUGAAUCGAACCGAAUUUACCUUAUGAACUGAAUCAAACUGAACUAGUCAAUUCGAUCAAUUUGCCAUUUCAAUUUGGUUUUAAGUCCAACCGAUAGAAUUCUAUGAAAUUGACUCAAACGUACUAAUAAAUUUGUUUCAAAUCGAACAAACCAACAACCGAACCUUUAUUGAUUUAGCUGACCGAACCAAAUCGAAAUGAAUUGAUUCGAUUUUUUAUUCAGUUCGGUUGAUAAGUUUGCACCCCCUCAGUGACCGUCUCGCCAGAAAAUCGCAUGUUUAAAUAUAAUUUUUUUAAUUUAAAACGAGAAUAAAAAAAUAUACCUAACAUUCUAAAAUCCAAUGAAAUUUUUGGGUUUUAGGAUAGAUUUAUGAAUGAUUUUUCUAUUUAUACCUAUAACUCUAAAAUCCAACGAAAUCAAUAAUUUUAUAAGAUUAAUUCAAAUCAGUAAUUUUUUUGACUAUCAUUAGAUUUAUAUAGACUUUUAAAAGAUCAUAAUUAUUUUUAUAAAUUUUAUAAAAGUCGAAAUUGAAUGCCACUGAAUUUUAAUACACUAAACAACCCUAAAUUGAGUCUAAUCAUUUAAAAUUUAAUAGAUUAUUAAUCCAAUAUACACUUCUUAAAUUAUACUAUAAAAUAAUUUAACAAGUUUAAAAAACAAUUCCAAAUUCGAAAAAUCAAAUCUUCAGAUACUGACAUAUGAAAGAGAGAGGGGAUACGAGUUAGAAUCACAAGUAUUCGUGAAGGAAGCCCUAGACCGCCUCUCGAAAAGAAAAGAAACACAAAAAGGAAGGCUAUAGAGGGCGACAGGUGUGGAGGGCAAGACAAAUCUGUUGGGUUGAGUGUGAAUUGUCCAAAAGAAGAUGCAGUAGCCAUUAGACAGAAUAUAAAGCCGCAUUUGCAAAUUCCAAUUUUCAUAGCAAUUUAAAAAUCUCCUACGCAAUGGCUUCCGACGCUAUCGGCGGACAAUCGGAAAAGGCAAAGAUGGCGACGUGGCUGGUGGUGGCGGUCGGAGUUUCUCUAUUAGGUUUAUAUUUGAGAACCGGAGAAUUGAAUCCGUGGAGAAGGAUGAGGAAGAAGAAGAAGAAGAUACGCGUUUACAUGGACGGUUGUUUUGACAUGAUGCACUACGGUCACUGUAACGCUCUUCGGCAGGCGCGUGCUUUGGGCGAUGAGUUGGUGGUCGGCG
rnacentral:lncRNA from 1 species